rnacentral:lncRNA from 1 species
ACACACACACACACACACACACACACACACACACUCACCGUUCUCACCUAUCGCCCUUUCUCUCUUCUCUCUUUCUCUCUCGAACUCAACCGCUCUCACCCUCCUCAAUUUCUUCUCAAUCACUCCUCUCAAUUUCUUUCUCUCUCAAACUCAAUCACUCCUCCCUCAAUAGAGACUAAGCCACUGUCACUCAAUUACGGUUCGUCGAUUUGGGGGUUCAUCCAUUUGGCUCCUCACUCGAUUUCUUCCAAUUUGGUUCGAGGUUUGUACUCUUCUCCUUUCUCCAAUUAGGUUUCUGGGUUGGUUAGUUCAAUUUCUUCCAAUUUGGUUCAAGGUUGGAGUCAGUAGAGGAGGCUGGGCUUGGCGCAGCGGAGGAGGGGGUUGGGGCCGGACCGUUUGGCGCGAUUUCUGCUUCCCUGGGCAGCUUCCUAAGGGAAGGAUAGGGGAAUACACAGGCUCUACACAGCUUGGUGAGUGGUUCUUCGUUUUGUCAUGUUUUGAGUUUUCUAGUUUCUUCUGCCGCUGUCGGCGAUGGUGGUUCAUUUGAAAGACUUGUUAAGACAGUUCUGAUAUGGCUAAAUGGCAGGGAGGAGCUGAAGGGAACAAAGAAUCAAAGGUCCAAGUUCAACCUCUGUUCAACUUUAAGGUGGGUAAUUAUCAGUAAAUUUUCAAAGAAAAACUGGAACUCUAACUGAACUUCAAAAACUCAUUAGUAAUUAUAGAAAAUUCCUUUUUGUGCGAUUCCAGUUCCAGAUUGAUCUUUAGGUUGUCUUUUACAAUUGUUAUGAAGAGACCAACAUGAAAUUCUUAGCCGAGCUAUACUGUUUUUAGCCAAGAAGGUCUGCUGGUCAGAAAGUUAGCAGACAUAUAUACAUUUUCUGAUUUUGGUCCUUUGCUCUUAGUCUCAAUGUUUGCCAAUGAUUCUUGCUUGAUUUGGUAUGAUAUUAUACAGAUGUAGAGAUUAGAUUAUAAAGUACUUAUGCAUGUUAUUUGUUUCUUAAAUUGAAAGUUAGAUUUGGGUUGCUUAAAGUUAGUUGAAAGAUUAGAAUUUAGAACUUUACAUUAGUUUACCUUGUAGUAAUCUAAUGCAGCUGAUGUUCUCUUACAUUUAAAUUGUAAUUUUUGUUUGUUUUCGUCUUUUUGAAACAUUGUUUUGCUUAUGUUCAAUAACUUAAAGUUUUGUGUCACAUAUAGUUUCAGUUUUGCUUUUAGAUACUUUAAAUAGGCUUUUAGCAGAAAAUUUUCAGACAAUCCUGAAACUGUAGCUGAACUUUGGAAAUCCAUAACUAAUUCAAGAAAAAUCGUUUUAAAGUGAUUCCAACUCUCAGAGCUUCUUUAGUGUGUCUACUACAAGUCUUUAGAAGAAAUCAAAGUCAACUUCCAAAUGGUUUUGUACAGUUUUUAGUGUAAAGGUGACUGCUGCAGUAUGCUAGUUUGUAUAAUUGUGUUUGAGUGAAAAUCUGUUUAAGUAUCCUAUCUCUUGUUUUAAUUGUGUGACUGUGUAGACAUAUGGUAAGAGAAUAUUUACCUAUACAGACCUGUUUUUGUCUGUAUGUAGCUAAUCAUAAAUUUGUGCUUUGAUUAGGAUUUUGAUGUGCAGAGUUAUGGAUUUUAGCAGAAAAUUUUCAGACAAUCAUGUUUANNNNNNNNNNNNNNNNNNNNAUGCUACCGAAAUUUGAUUCAUUUUAUCCAAUAUUUGAAUGAGUUUUAUUGUUGUACAUGCUCUUGUAAUAUUCUUUUAGUUGAGAGGCUUGAUGAGUGAAUUUUUUGGUGUCAUAUCACAGGUUAAGGAGGCUAUCAAUUAUAUGAGUAUGGAUUGUUGGACUGGAAAAGGUGUAGAAGUGAGCUUUCAUUUUGCAAUUCAAGUUAUUUGAUGAUUAAUAUAAGUGGAUUCAUGCAAACUAAAUUGUGUAUCAUGUACAAUUUUGUAUUUAAGUUUCUUGUAUGGAUAAUAGGGCAUGAUUUUAAAGUCCCAUUUAAAACAAUGGUUUGGAUCCUUUCGGUCGGAUUUUGAUGAUUUCAAUGUGCUUUAGUUGCUAUUGUUUAUUUGGUAAAUUAGUAAGACAUACAACACAUUAAUGGCAAUCCAACGUUGUUUGACAAAAAUGAUAUCUAUUCACACCAUGCCUAUUAGCAAAAAUCAUGUCUACUCUUUAACAAUCACACAACCAUAAAAUCGAGAAAACCUGUUGUAUGAACAUCACUUCACACAAUAGUUUUCAUGUCAAAAGCUGUUGUGUGAUUGUUGACAUAUAUUAUCGAGAGUGACCUCGACAUAUGUCGACAUAUGUUGAUGAGAUCUAUCGAUAUUCACACAACAGCUCUUAAAAAGAACAGUUGUGUGAGUUGACAAUUACACAAGGGUUUUAUUGAAAAAACUGUUGUGUGAUUCUCGACAGAUAUCAUCGACAACUGUCGAGAAGCAGCUCAACAUGUGUCGGCAUCUGUCGAUAAUAUCUGUCGAGACUCGCACAACAAUAUUUUACAAAAAACCAUUGUGUGAUUCUCGGCAUAUUUCAUCGACAUAUGUGGACAGCUGCCGAGAAGCAGCUCGACAUGUGUCGGCAGCUGUCGAUGAUAUCUGUCGAGACUCACACAAUGGUUUUUAUUGUAGUGUUGUGUGUCAGUUAGUCAAACAAGCUCUUUUUAGCCGUUGUGCGACAUGUUGAUCAGACAGCGAUCGGAUUAACAACGGAUUUGACUUUUAACAGACGACGUUUUUUCCCCGUCGUGUGAUGCAUUAUCUGGCGUAGUGUCUUCUACUCCGAUCUCCUGUUGGAGAUGAAUAUGCUCGUCAUAUAGAGUAUUUAGUACUCUACAAAUAUAUUCAAUGGAGUAUUGAUUUUCUUGUAUGUGCCUUGAAUGAAAGCACACUUCCCACUUUUCAGUUCCUUUUGUAGUACAAAAGGACUGAUAGUUUUUCAGUUUGGAUUCUCUUUUGUUGGUUGAGAGAAGCCAACUCUGUGGCAUAAGCCUUUUGUCACCUGCUUUUGAGCCAAGCAGGCUCUGAUACCAGCUAGGGCGGAUCUAACCGAUGCUCAAAAUAUCAAGAGGGUUUUGAUCUUGUUCAAAUGUUUCUUGAAGGACUUCAAUUUCCUCUCUUGACUCGUAUAUCCUUCGUUGCAACUGGAAAAUAAUAUCCCAGUAAUUUUUGGUAUUUCUUGGAAGCUUAUCUCUUCUUUCUCUUAGUUUUCUUAAAUUUCUUCUUUCUUCUUGCAACUCUUUAUACGAAAGUUUAGCUUCUGAUAAUAAAUCUAGUCUAGUAGCAAUAGAUUCUUCUAUUGAUAGUGAAAAAUUAACUGUCUACCUUUGAGUUUAGAGGAUAGAUUUAAAUACUUGUAUUAUGUUAAACAAAUUCAUAGGCCCACCAUGCUCCGUCAAAAUUACAUACUAUAGUAGGAACUUUAAAGUAAAAAGGCAUAAAAGACAAAAAGGACUAAAAUGCUAAAUUUUGUCCUUAAACGUUAAAGAACCAAAUUAAAGGAUCUUUUUGUAAGAUGAAAUUAUAUUAGGUAUUAAAUUGUAGUUUUCCUUAUGUGCUCUCAAUUGGAAGAUUUUUUUAUGGCUUAGAUCAAACAGUGAUAUUACCUACAGUUCAGAUCGCACCGCAUCAUUUUCUUUUCUUUAGCCUCUGUAAAAUUUCCCGAAUGUUCACACGAAGUCAUGUUGUGUAUACAUUAAUAUCAACCUCUUAUCAUAAUUUUCACCUCGUGAAUAUAUCUGAAAAAUAUCCUCGAAAUUUACUCAACUGAGAUCGUAAAAUAAUCCCCAAGCAAUCUUGACACAAUUAACUCGAUAAAUUUCUCAAGGCUCACAAUUCUCAAGCAUCCUAAUACCCACUGAGGUUCAAAAUAUUUUCUGACAAACUUCACUUUAAUUCAUCGCAUAAUUUGAGGUCACGCAAAAGAUCAUACACGAUCUAUCAAUAAUCACCAAUACAGACCGAUAAAUAAUUUGUCAACAUACACCUAAUAAAACUUUCCAGACUUAUAAUUAAAUCUAAAUAUUUAAAAUUAUCAGAAUAUUACAUUAAACUAUUGCAAUUGCAUUUUGAUUCAAAUAUUAUCAAGCCUUGCUGACUGAGGUUGCUGCUUCUUUGAGCUUCCUAGUCAGAUUCGCAUGGAGAGAAAGGAAAAGUUGCUAACACUGAUAAUGAAGAAAUUUUGUGUCCUUGGUUCUUAUUUAACUUAGAGAAUUUUAGAUGAUUGCCUGUGUUCUACCAACAGAAUAAGAAAAGAACCGAGGGUCAUAUGAUGUAUUUUUGGGUCAUAGAAAUUUGUUUUUCUGAUAAUUAUAUCCCUGGUCCUUUUGUUCGAGUGUUUUGCAAAGUAAAUUGGCUGUUUUGCAGGUUAACAACUCAAUAAAAAGUUAUAUCCUUUUAUAAGAUAUGUUAUUCCUUUUGUUGGUUUAGCAGUAAUGGUUGGAUUUGAAGGCCUACGAUAAUGUCAAUUUUCUUUUUGCGUGUGUUAUGUUAAUGGAGUAUUUGUCUGCAAUUUGUAAAUAUUUCUGUGCUGUAAUCAAAGCUAUGGAGCAAGGCAAUGAUCUCUCUGGGAUGGAGGUAUAUUGCCAGUACAUCUGUUGGGGAGAUAGAAAUAUGUGUGUGACUCGAAUAACCUCUGAAGUACAGAUAUGUGUAUUACGGUAAUAUCUUUCUGGGUUUGCAAGUAAGCUUCUAUGCUAUUUCACAAUUGUAGUCACAUUUUCCUGUCAUUUAGGUUUUUUGGAAACUAUGUACGGAAUGUACCUCAUUGCAGCUCAUUUACAUGUGUUUGAGAUUAUCAGAUUAUGAUGAGAAAACAUAAUAUGAAUGAAAGGUAAUCUUGGUAUCAAAGGGUCUGUAGAUCAAAUAUAUUGUAGCGAUAGUUCUUGAGUUGGGCUGCAUCAAAUUGAUUGGAACUGAUAUUUAGAGGACUUGGCUGGUGCCAACUCAGAUGAAAGGGGUGUAAUGCCCUAGAUUGCUGAGUGAAUGGUGGAAUCAGGUGUUUGCUUUUGGGAUGCUUGACUGUUACAAAUUUCCACAGGACAGAAUAUAUAACAAAACACAGCCAAUUCUGCGUAUUUGCUUUGGUCAUUGUUACACUCUGCCAUAUAUUCUGAAUUUGGUUGCAGGUAUCUUAUGCAAGAGUUGAUUUCUCUCUGCCGGUUUCUGCGUUAGUGAUGGUUAUGGGAGUUAUUGUUCCCAGGCUUUAUUGAAUAAGAUUCAUCAUUCUUUUCUUGUCAUUUGAGACAUGUAACAGUUUUCAGUCAAGUAAGCUUUUCAUUGCGUUCUACAAUGUGGAUCACUGAUCUUUUGUUUGAAUUGUUGCAGAUGUUGGUGAUAUCCUUACCGUUUCAUGCGGGGAAUACUUCUCCUUGCGAGAGGCGUAGGGAAAAUAAGCAAGGAUUGUGCUUCCUUUGGGUGAAAAACCCAAAACCUGAUUGGGGCUCGUGGUGUUCGAGCGGAUAAUUAAGUAUGGAUUGUGUCUUCCUAAGAUGAAAGGACCAAAACCCAAUCAAGAUGCCGUGGUCUGCGGCGGAUUACGGCCGAGUGCCGGGUUUACGGCCGAGUGCCGAGUUUUUACCACCAAUGCCGGGUUCGACUUCCAAGUGCCAGGUUUUAACCGUCGAGUGCGGGGUUUACCACCAAGUGUGGGGUUUACCGUUAAGCGCGUCUUACCGCUGAGUGCGGGGAUCUCAUGUCACCAUCAUGAAAAUGUGGAAGUGAUUCUCAUUUGCAUGAGCAGAUACAAAUUUGUUACUCAUUAAUAUGCCAUGCAUCAUAUAUGUUUUCAUUGAUCUUGAAAUGUGUCGUAAAUAAUAGAGACCUAUCAGGCUACAAAUAAAAGUGAGAAGUGAAGUGAUAUCUUUAGGAAGGGUGACAACACUCAUUGCAGUAUCUUGUAGAUGGGAUGAUUGAAUACUGAACAUGUUGAUUUUGAAUUUAUCUUGCUGUGGCAAAUUGGUGCUAUCCACUUUAUGAUAGUAUCCAUUCUGCAAAUAACCAAUGCCAAAGAGGACAUACGCUCUUGUUCUAUUAUAACAUUAUGGAAAUCUGAUUGAUAUCAGCACAUCAAAUUAUACCGUGAACCAAGCAAGUAAACAUUGCAACGCUUGAUGAGAGCUACACAAAUAUGAUGAUGCAAUAUGUAAAUAAUAUGAGUUCACUAACUUCCAAAGUUGUUUUAUAGAAUAUGUUUGAUGGCUUGGGUAUGCGAGAAAGAGAUGAACGGAGAUGCAUGUGUUGUUUGAACUUAAAUAGUAUAGUUAACCAUGAGGGAGCAAUAGUUGCGUUCUUGUGGUUUUGUGAUCGAGUAUGGCUAGUAAGGUUCAGACCUCAGUAUAGUACUUAUAUAUGGGUUAAAACAGCAGUUCAAAGAGCAAGCGCGCUCAUAGAGUAUAAAUCAAAGAGUAAAAUAUCAACGAUCAUAGAAAUUUUGAUGGUUCGAAAAAAAGAAAUCUCGAUGGAUAUAUCGAGAUAAUAUCGAAUAUCGAUGGAAAUUUUACGAAAUUUUAUCUAAAAAUUGUAUAUUCGACCAAAAAUAGACUAAAUAUAAAAUAUCAGAAAGAUAUGAAAAUUAAUAUCGGUAAUUGUAAAAAAACGGAAAUUUUGAAGAAAUAUCGAGGAUAUUUUGGAUAUUUUACUCCUUGGUAUAAAUGUUGCUAUUGGUUAUAUACGGCACCAUAAAAUUGGUGUAUCAUAUAAAACACAGUCCUCGAAGGCUUAAAGCUUUUGACUGCCACCGUGAGUUUUCUGUUCAAUAAUAUUAGUGACUAACUGUCGUAUAUAUCAUAACUGUUUUAAGUUUUGAGAACGAAAUUUUUUUAAAGGGGUGAGUUUGUAAUAGCUCUAUAAUUUUUUAAGAUAGAUGAGAAUAUAUAAAUGUAGGCGGUAUUAGUCGAGAUUAAUUUGGUUGUCUCAGUUAUACCGACUGGAUUAUCGAGAAUAAUUUCUCUAUAUAUUUCUUAAGUAUUGGAACAUAUGUGUAUGUGUCAUGUAAUGUGUAUAUAUACAUAUACCCAACAUAAUGAAAAGAUAUAGGUAAAUAAUACAUAAAUUGGGUAAGUAUAAUUGCAAAAGAGAAGAAGAGGUCUAGAAAGGAGGAGAGGAGUCAAGAGGUCUAGAAGGGUUGGUUUUGGGGAAACGAGAGACCGACAUAGAAAGAAGAAAAAGAGGGGGGAAGGGAGCAAAAGCUUCCAGGUUUUUCUCUACUCGAAACGGGAAGCCACCAACUCGGAGGAUAAACCAACCAUAUCUCGGGCUACUCCUCUAGUCCUCUACACAGGAGAUAGGAGGACCUCGCCCUCGAGUUUACCUCUCACACCGACUUCCUCCACUAAUCGAUCUUUAGCUCUUAGGAGGGAGGCUCGUUGAUCAGUUCUCUUGAUGACUCUGAUGGAGGUUUGUUGUCUAAGUUCGACAUAGAUAGACAAUUGCUUAUUCAGGCUUGCUUAUUGGUAAGAUCUAACCGGUACAAUAUACAUUGUAAAAUACUCGGUGUAUUACAAACCCGGUCUCCACCUCCCGAAGUAAGACCGAGAAUUCUUUAAGCACCCCCUCCCUUCAGGUCUAUGAAAGAUAUAUAAUUAAAAAGGUCGGUGUCGUUCNNNNNNNNNNNNNNNNNNNNUCAGGUGCGGGCGUCUGCACCAAAAUUUCCAUUUUUGCACCACUUUUCGAUCGAAUUUUCUCAUCUCCACCGUCUAGUAUCUAGAUAAUAUUUUGUAGAUCAUCUCUGCAAAAUUUCAGCUAAUUUGGUAAUUGUUAAGGCCCUCAAACUCGAAAAACAAAUGGACGGACUGAAUUCUGUCCGGUUGUGUUCAUACCAGAAAAACUCGAGUUUGAGGGCCUUAACGAUCACCAUAUUGGCUGAAAUUUUGUAGAGAUGAUCUACACAAUAUUAUCUAGAUACUAGACGGUGGAGAUGAGGAAAUUUGAUCGGAAAGUGGUGCAAAAAUGGAAAUCCGCACCGAAACCUUCGGUGCGAACGUCCGCAACCAAGAAGGGUUGUGUAUAUAUAUAUAUAUAUAUAUUAUUUUACUUACUUAUUCACCUUAUUAUAAUUGAGAAGGUAUUACCGUAUAUGUGCAUAUACAUAUUAUACACAUAUGUUCCGGCACAUGAAGAGUAUCGAAAACAUACUCCCAAAUAAAUGUCCUCGUAUUACGAGAAUAGUUUGAUUGACUCACAUCUCAACACAAAUGAUAUAUAUGCAUAUACAUUAAUUUAUUUUUAAAAUUAUCGGGGUAUUACACGUGUGAGGUCUUGUAAAAAUUCUUUCUCUCUCUGGCACCCGGUAUUUUGUGAUGUUUACUAAUGAUUGUACCCGUAUGACUUGGGUGUCUUUAUUAAAGAACAAGAGCGAUGUUUAUUCUAGAUUCAAAGAAUUUCACAAGAUGGUGUCCACACAGUAUCAACAGGUUGUUCAAGUUUUCCAAUCUGACAAUGGCGGACAAUAUAUUAAUGGUCUUAUGCAAGAGUUUAUGCAGUUACGUAGAAUUCGACAUCAGACUUCAAAUACUUAUAAUCCUCAGUAAAACGAAUUGGCAGAGAGGAAAUAUCGGCAGUUUCUUAAAGUUGUCUGUGUUUUUUUGUUUGGCAUGAAUGUACAUCUAGAAUAUUGGGGAGAAGCUGUGACAUUUGCUGCCUUCCUCAUUAAUCGUACCCUUUCUCUGGUUAUUGAAUGUCAAAACCCUCUACAACAGCUUCAGAAACUUCUCUCGAUUCCCUCAUUGCUUAACUUGGAGCCUCAUGUAUUUUGAUGUACAGUGUAUGUUCAUAUUCCAAAACCACAACGAAAUAAGCUUGAUUCCUGUGCAAGGAAGUGUAUUUUUGUGGGUUAUAUAGAUUUUCAGAAGGGAUAUAGAUGUUAUGAUCCUCUUACAGACACCAUAUAUGCAGCAAACUCCUCUAAUGCAAUAGAAUGUGAGCCGAGUGAGCUGAGCCGUAAGCGGAACGGAGUUGAAGCCGAGCCAUAAUUUCAGCUUGGGUCACGUGUCUGCGUUGAUCCAGUUUUGGGGAGUGAAGUUGUGCCACGUGUCGCGCACAGAGAGGUUGGCACGACUGAUGAAGAAGAGAUUAUCGGACUGGAAGAGGCAGGCACGCAAGUAGGGCCACGUGUCGUGCAUGGAUCGGCUGAUGCAAACUGACAAGAACCACAAUUUUCAACUAAUUCGACAACUUCCUCUUUAGAUAUUUUUCCCUCUCUACACCAUCAACCGAAGAAUCCGCUGCGAAUGUCCCUUAGGUACCUUUACAUUCAAACCAAUUAUCUGGGGUAGAUACUAUUGUAAUUAGGAAAUCACAAAGGGUUACCAAGGGUAUUUUAUAGAAACAAUAUGAAUCAGACAUCGAAGCCAAAGCUAAAUAUCCUAUAGCUAAUUACAUGUCUAACCACAAGUUGUCUGGGUCAAAUGCUUUUGUCAUUAAUAAUUAUCCAGUGUUUCUAUUCCUAGCACUGUACAGGAUGCAAUGGCGAAUCCGAAGUGGACUCAAGCGAUGAAUGACGAACUAGAAGCCUUGCAAAAGAACACGACCUGGGAUGUUAUUCAUAAACCUAUUGGAAAGAAGAUAGUUGGAUGUCGUUGGGUAUUUAUAGUUAAACUCAAAGCCGAUGGGAUCAUUGACAGGUAUAAAGCCAGAUUAGUUGCUAAAGGAUACACCCAACACUAUGGGAUUGAUUAGGAAGAAACGUUUGUGCCUGUAGCAAAGAUCAACAUUGUUCGAAUCUUGAUUUCACUUGCAGCAACUAAAGAUUGGCCUCUACGACAGUUUGAUGUGAAGAAUGCUUUCCUCAAUGGAAACUUGGAAGAAAAGGUGUAUAUAGACAUGUCCCUAAGAGUCGAAUAUAGACCUUGCGAUGUCGGAAAGGUUUGUAAGUUGAUGAAGUCUCUGUAUGGUUUGAAGCAGUCUUGUAGAGCUUGGUUUGGAAGAUUUACCAAAUCAAUGAAGACAUUUGGUUAUAGAUAAAGCAACUAGGAUCACACUUUAUUCAUCAAGCGUAAUCAUGGUAAGAUCACCACUGUAUGUUGAUGAUAUGAUUGUUACAGGAGAUGACCCAAAGGAGAUGGAGGCUCUAUAGAAGUACCUUUCAAAGGAGUUUCAGAUGAAGAACCUUAAACAGUUGAAGUAUUUUCUCGGAAUUAAAGUUGCAAGGUCAAAGAAGAGGAUUUAUUUAUCCCAGCGAAAGUAUGUACUUUACUUGUUAGCUGAGACCAGAAUGCUUGACUGCAAGCCUGUUGAGACACCAAUUGAGAUGAAUCACAACCUUGCCAUCUAUCUGAAUCAAGUUCCAACUGAUAAAGGAAGGUACCAACGUCUAGUAGGGAGACUUAUUUAUCUUGCCCAUACUAGACUUGAUAUUGCUUAUGUUGUGAGUGUGGUUAGUCAUUUUAUGCAUUGUCCCAGCGAAGAGCAUAUGGAUGCAGUGUAUCGUAUUCUGAAGUAUCUUAAUAUGGCACCUGGAAAAGGCUUGUUGUUUGAAAAGAAUGGUGAAUUGAAAGUUGUAGGGUACACAGAUGAUGAUUAGGCUGGUGAUAAGACUGACAGACGGUCUACAUCUAGGUAUUUUAUAUUUGUUAGAGGAAACCUUGUGACUUGGCGUAGUAAGAAACAAAAAAUCAUUGCAAAAUCAAGUGCUGAAGUAGAGUUUCAAGGUAUGGCACAUGGAGUUUGUGAGAUGCUAUGGAUUCGUAAUGUAUUGAAAGAAUUGGGUUUCAAACUCAAGGAACCCAUGGACUUGCAUUGUGCUAGCAUGUCUGCUAUUGAAAGCUCAUAAUCAUGUUCAACAUGACCGGACAAAGCAAGCAUGUGGAGGUAGAUCGGUAUUUCAUUAAGAAAAACUUGGAAAGGAAAAGCAUUUGUUUCCCUUUCGUGCAUACGAAAGAUCAAUUAGCAGAUGUUCUCACAAAAUGAGUGUCAAGGAAAGUGUUUGACAACUCGGUUGACAAGUUGGGCAUGAUCGAUAUCUAUGCACCAACUUGAAAGAGAGUGUAGAAUAUUUUAUAUAUAUUUACUUUCCUUGUAUGUGUAGGUGUAGAUGUAGGAAAUAUUUUUCUAGUAGCGUUAUGAUUAUAUCUCUCUAUAAAGCUCUUAUUCGGAGAAGAACAAUACAUUGAAGCAUUCUAAACCAUAUCGAAUCAUUCUUUUCUACUACUAGAACAGGGACAAGCGUGGCUUGUGGAUCAUUAUUGUACCAAUACUGUCUCAACUUAACCAUGUUUAAACUGUUCAGUUUUAUUCACAAAAGACCUCAGUACAAUUAAGUGUGAUAUAUCCACUUAUAAGUUGUAUUUUAUUUAUAUAUCUCUUUUCUGAUGUGGGAUUUUUCCUCUCCAACACUCCCCCUCACGUGCAACCUGACUUUUUAAGUCUGCACGUGGAAUUCAUUCAGUCCAAUUCCCACAUCGAAAAUCGAUAAUACUUUAGUCUAAUUCCCACUUUUGGAAAUUGGGGUAUGCGGUCUAAGGCUCACUGCAGGCACUUGGUAUGGUAUGCGCCAAUUCGAUGAACCCAAAUCUGGGCUCAUUAUGCUAGGAGACUUUCUCCUGUUACGCUGAAGAGGGACCCACUCUGAUACCAACUAAAACAGGGACAAGCAUGGCCCAUGGAUCAUUAUUGAAGUCAUUGUCCCAACUUAAUUACCUUUGAGGUGUAGGGUUUUAUUCACAAAAGACCUCGAUACAAUUAAGUGUGAUUCACCCACUUACAAGUUGUAUUUUAUUUAUCCUUUUUUUAAUGUGGGAUCUUUCCUCUCCAACACAUGCAAUGACAUCUAAGGAUGGACGUCGCUCAAUUGGUACUAGAAUGAUAUUGAUGGCAUAGGAAUGGAGUUAGUAGGCAAGCAGUUGAAUUUGUAAUAUCCAACGUGAUUUUGUGCAGCGAUCGCUCAAGGAAUUGAUGCCGAAAACACAAAGAAGCUUCAAGACGCAGGGAUCUAUAGACUAUAUGUAUACCUGCAAUGUCUUGAUGAUCCACACCAAAGGAAUGAACUUCGUUUCAAUUUUGUAAAACUGAGCAUUUUGAAGUUCAAUUUACUUACUAUGAUUUCUGUUUGGUUGAAAUUGUCGCAUAUUGUCCAUAAUCUGCACUUCCAGUCAAGACUCGUACCAAUAGUUGAAAAUUUUGGUUUCAACCCAAAAGAUGUUCUCAACAAAAGCUGUUACUUUUCUGUAUUAUAUCCGUUUGACUAGUGAGACAAUUACAUCCAAAUAAGAAAAUUUUGGUGAUUACAGAAAUUUCGACCUUCCAAAAUAUAGAAAUUUCGAUAGAAAUUUCGGGAAAAUAUCAAUUGCAGUAAAAAAAAAAAGAAAAUUGACGAAAAUUUGAAGAAAAACAAGGAAAUUUUAAACCAAACUUUAAGAGAUGUUUGUUUUCUAUGUACUAUAUUUGAAAUGAAAACCUUGAAUUAACAUUGAUCUGUAGGGUGUUGUAGUAAGUCAAGGUGAAAAGGUUAGUACUGAACCGUUAAAUGGGAAAGAAAUAAAUAAUAACUCACCAAAAUAUAAGAGCAUAGGAACAAUGUAUGUUAAAUGGGAAAGAAAUAAGUAAUAACUCACCAAAAUAUAGGAGCAUAGGAACAAUGUAUGUUAAAUGGGAAAGAAACGGGAAGAUGAAGAGAACAAAUGAAAAAUGAAGUAAUGGACUAAUGGAUCAUCAAAUGAAAAAUGAGAGGUUUUGUAGGAAUUUUUGUUGAAAGGUAGUUAUAAAUGAAUUAAGAAGUGUAGGUUUGGUAGUUAUAAAAGAAUUUUUAUUUUUUUUGAAAGGUAGAUAUAUUAAAAAUGAGUUAAGAAGUGUAGGUUAAAAACUUUUUUUUUUUUAUGGAAGUGUAGGUAAAAAAGUUAAAUGGGGAUUAGACAUUUACCUAAUUUUUUACUUUUCAAAUUCGGAAAAAAAAAAACCAAUAUAUAUUAUAAAUAUACUAAGAUAAACUAGUUGGAUGGUUAAUAGGGUUGGUUAAGGUGUUAACCUUAUACCAACCCAACCAAGGCAGGGAAAAAAAAUUCAAAUUUCGGCGGGACAUUUUUUGGAUGAUUUCGGCGGAAUAUCGCGAAAUAUCACCGAUAUAUCGAUAUUUUUGGGGCGAGAAUAAAAUUUCGCUACUUGAAAAAAAUGAUAUUUUCCGCGAAAUAUCGCCGAAAAUAUCGAUUUUUUCUUCCUUGAUUACAUCUACUAACCUUGUCAUUUUCUGUCACUACAGGAGAUUGUUUAUUUGAGCAUUAGAAUGACUGGAGUGUACUCUAUUUAAAUCCCUAUCCAAAAUUUCAAAAAGUCCCUGUGUCACUCACCCCGAAUUUUAUUUUAAAAUCCGAAGUAAACCCUGCAGGGACCACCUCCAAAGAAGAUGCUACCAAAAAUUCGGUAUAACCUCUUUUGAAAAUGGACAACCAUUCCUAAAAGCACCUGUAUACACCUCUAAAAAUCCAACUCCAUCCUUAUGCACCUAGAACCUUCGCACUCCCCAAUAAAUUCACAACACCUCCUAAUUUAUUUACUAAACUGAAUAUAAACCCACAACUAACAUUCAUAGGUUCAGAACAACUCUAAUAUUCAAGGAAAGAAACAAAAAUAUACAAAUAGGCGGAUGAUAUAAAAUGGACUAUGCCUCAUCUCCAUAUAAGCCCGAUCUCAACUAAGUUAUCAUGCAAACUGGGCAUUUAAUACCGAAGGGCUCAGGGGAGAAGCAUUUGAAAAACGUUAGAGUGAGUGGACAAAAAAAUAAAAUUAAAAGGAUCGAAUAAUUAAAUAAGACUUUAUGUUUUCUCAAUUUAAUCUCUUCAGAAAAGCUAUGCUGCAUGCGACAAGCACAAAAGUUUUUAACUUAAAAACUAGGAAAUACGUGACUAGCCUCGCGCUAGUCUCCAAAAAUAGUCUCCAAAAAUUUAUAAUAUAGAGCCUCUCCGGCUAUAGUAUAUAGUAUAAAUUUACACACGUCAUACUCCUUAUAUGAAUUCUUGUGAAAGACAGAAAUUUAUACAAGGCUACUACGCUUGCGUCCCACGCUCACGUCACACGGUUUAAUCGCUACAUCAUUAUGACUGAAAAGACGGGUGUAUAUACAUGCAUAUCCCCUAUAUGAAUUCCUACAUUCAUAUAGAGCUACGACGCUUAUGUCCCACUCUCACGUCACACCAUAAUGACGGCUAAUUGCUACACCAUUAUGACGGAAAAACAUGUAUGGCUAGCUAGCAUUUAUAUACAUAUCAUCCUCAUAAAUAUCCAUAUAUAUCUAUAUAUAUAUAUCCACCGAAAAUCCCAUUUUCGGUAACUCUCCAAAAUAAUGAAAAUUGCUAAUUAUCAGCACAAAAAAAACAAUAUAUUCCAGCAGAAGAAUAAACUGAUCAUCAAAAUAAUGCAUUGCAUGCUUUUAAUUUAAAACAAAAGUCCACUCACAGUAUUAGGCCCAAACUUCUAAAUGCUCAUAACACUCUUCGAGCUUUGCCUCCAAAAUAUCCAAAUCCUCAAGUCAACUCCGUGUCUGACAAUAAACUGUAGAAAGGAUCGAUCAGGACGGACUCCAAGAAUAGUGGACUCGACCCUUUUUGUUUGACCAAGGUUUUCCUAUGUUGACCAGGAUUGGUCAAGUUUGACCAAUUGACUUAGGGUUGGCCAACUAAUGAUGUUUCAACAUUUUCCAAUUUAACCUUUAACUUAACGAUUUGAGUCAUUUUUCACUAGACUUCUUACUAAGUUAAACACUUUGAUCUCGGUUAAUAACUCAAUAGUUCAAGAAUCACUAAGGACACCCAAACGAAUUUCCAUAAAUAAGAAGUUUCCAAAAGGGGAAAGUUUUCUAAAAUAGAAACUUUCCUAACUUAGUAAGUUUUCCAAUUAUAACCCAAAUUUUCCUAUUUAGGAACUACGACUUAAAUUAGAGAGAAUAGCCUCCAAAACUACCUUAACGACUCUCAGCUGGAUAUGCUGCCUCGCCGAAUUCCAACGACUUGUCAAAAAACUCCACCAGAUUCUGGCGACUUGUCGGAAUUUCACCAUAGCCUCCCCGUAAACUCUGAAUCACCAAGUUCUCGACAUGCAACGAUAGAUCACCACAAUUUCAGCCACAAAUCAUCAACACAGACUUCACAAACCAACAACAAAACUCUAAAAAACUAAGCUUACCUUAAAUCUGCCCAAAACUAAAGAACUCAGUAGCUCCUCCUUACUUGGAAUCGACAUGCAGUACCUCCAGCUACUUCCAGAACGAAACCAACAGCCCAGUAGCCUUGACAAAAAGUUGCACCGCCUAGAAGCUUCUGCUCAGUCGCCAUCUCCACAAACACAACACCACAUCACCUUGAGUCCCCUCCACCAGCCUCUUCUGCGAAUGGUUUAACACUAGAGAAAUGAGAAGGUCGCUGGUAGCCGAAGAAUGCCGUCGCCGGAGCUAGGAACCCAAAACCCAGAAAACAAAGAAGAAAGGGUUUUAAGAAUUAGGGCUCGAUUUAAGAAGAGAAAGACACAGAAAGGAAGAGGGAAGAGAGGCGAAGGAGAGAAUACUUGUCACCAUCAGAGGCGACGUCGGAGUUUGCCAGAAUUCAGUGAACUCAGUGGAGCACCCUUGAUUUCGAUCUCCAAGAAUUCGAGGUUGUUUGUGGAAUUUGAUUACUGGGUUUUGAAGAGAAGGAGGAGAUCAUUUUCAUAGUGGUUUCGCUGUCUAGAGCGGCCGGAGACGGCAAUGCUGCGCUGAAGAAGAGCAACGGCAAGAGGAAGACGAGGGAGAAGAGAGAGAAAGGCUCGGGUCAACACCCGAAUUGGGUUUUGACAAAGUCAACCCAUCUCUUUUCCCUUUAUACCUGAACCAACGGUUAAGAUCGAAACCCUAAUUGAUUAGACGGUUAAGAUUAAAUGAGCUAUUUUCUAAUUUCAGAAAAUUAAUUUCUUUUAACAAACCUUCAAUAAAUCUUAGAAAAUAGCUCGAAUCUCCGACAAAUAAUCUCAAGACACCAGUAAACUUGUGUCGACACGUACUAAGACUUCGGGUCCUUAAAAGAAUAAUUUGACAUUUCAAGAAAUACUCGAAAAUAGACUCGAGCGUUAACUUACUAAGUUACUGAGCAUGGUUAAUUCCUCAGUAACUUGUAGAUACACCCGGUAAAUAGGUAAAAUUAGGUUUGGGGUGUUACAAUCUCCCCCCUAUAAAAAUAGGUAAGAUAAGAGCAUGCUCGCCACUUCAAAGAAUCCACUAAGAAGUUAAAAACAAAACNNNNNNNNNNNNNNNNNNNNNNNNNNNNNNNNNNNNNNNNNNNNNNNNNNNNNNNNNNNNNNNNNNNNNNNNNNNNNNNNNNNNNNNNNNNNNNNNNNNNAAGGUUUAGCCGACGAAUAUAGUAAAUUUCGUCGGCUUAUAGUUAUUUUUUAAUUAUUUAUUACACACUUUAGCCGACGAAUAUAUUAAUUGUUUCGUCGGCUAAAGUCUGGAAAAAAACCGACGACAUGUUUUUUCGUCGGCUAACUGUGGGACUAUAGCCGACGAAAAUAAAAAUUUCGUCGGCUAAAGUCAUCACAGACGAGCUUUUCCCGACGACACUAUAGCCGACGAGCCUUCGUCGGCUAAGAUCUUAGCCGACGAAUUAAAAUAACAGGCCGACGAAAAUUUUUCGUCGGCUAAAGUGCUUGUCCUGGUAGUGAGGGCAAUUAUGAAAUCAAUUUGCUCCCAAAAGCUUUCCUUCAAUAGCAUGUCCUUCACCGCUCUUACUUUAGGAACAUUAUCUUCUUUAUAGAUAUCCCAUUUUGGACUAAUAACCAUUUGUUGCUAGCCACUCUUCACAUCCCUAAACCUUUUAAGGACAACAUAAUGAGAAGCAAACCUUGUCUCGACAACUUGGAGCAACUUCAAGGAACAAUGAUCAUUGUACAUAGACAAACGCAUGUUGUGGUUUACCACAAAAUUCUUAAUGAACCAAACAUCAUUAUACACAUCCAUAAGCCACCCUAGCUCUUCAUCCACCUUCUCACCAGGAAGAUAAGAUUUUGCUUUCAACAAAUCCUUCAAAGCAAGGGUAAGGGUGGUAUGAACCACACAUGGUGUCCAAAAUAUGUGUGGAUGUGUACUCUCAACAAUAGCAUCGGCAGCAGAGCACACAGGUGUAUUAUCGGUCACCACUUGAACCACAUUAUCCGGACCAAUCUCAUUGAUGGAUUCCAAAAGCAAUCUUGAUAUUUUGUUCUUGUCUUUAUACACACCAUCACAAUUAAUUGCUUUCAACAUCAUUGCCCCUUCUUUAGCAGCAGCCAUCAUAUUAAUUAAUGGCCUCUUUUGGUCAUCGGUCCACCCAUUAGAACACAAGCUCACACCGGUUUCUUUCCAUGUCUUCUUAAUGGGUUCUAGAGUCCGCUCAAUGUGACGCCUCUCGUUAUCAAGAAGUGUAGUUCUCAAUGCGUUAUACCUUGGAGGAACAUAACCCAGAAUCUUUGAAGCCAAAGUGUAAGACUUUUGGUAGUGAGGAUUCCUUGCAACAUUGAAUGAAAAGCCACUAGUGUAAAACAGCCUUGCAACUGCUGCAUCACAUUCUCUCCUAUCUUCAAGCCUAAAAGCCUUGGUUAGUUGUGGACUCAAUCCCUUUCUCUUUUUGGCUUCAGUUUCCCUCUCUCGCAACGGAAAAUAACUUGACUUCCAAACAAACUUGAAGAAGGAGGCAAAGAAACCUUGUGUGGAGCUUUAUCCCGCAACUUCUGCUUACAUGACUCUAGCAACUGCUGCAUUUCUGCCAUAUCUUCAGCAGUGACUUUGGUGCAAGCCUUGAUCCCUUCCCUUGGAAUUUUAAGCAGAUGAGCUUUCACUCUAGAAUGUGAACCCUUAAAAUUCUUCUUGCAAAAAUUGCACACAAAAGGAACAUUUCCUCCCCCUAUUUCAUUGUCCCAUCAACAUCAAUCACUACCUCUUUAGUCACAUACUUCCAACGAGGCGCGCUUAGUUUUUCUGGCUCAUUCGACUUAACACUAGGUUCGGUUGAAGCAUCACUUAAGCUCAUCCUAUUUAUACAAUUGAUUCAUUGAAUAUAUAUAGAAUAAGCAAUUUGAGCAACAAGGAAUCAAUCCAUAAUCAGGCAACACCUAUAUUUUAAUUAACAGGUGCAAAACUGUAAAUCAAACUUAACAGAAACAAUAUUGAAUUCAAAUCAAACUUAACAGCUCCUUAACUCAAACUAGCUCCUUAACUCCUUAACUCAAUUCUCAAACACAUCUCAUUUUGAAUUCAAUCAGCAAUACCACAUAGGAAGAAGAUUUAGCAGACUAAAGCAUAUGCUCCUUAAUCCAUCCAUCAAUACUAACAAAAAAUAACCCAUGAACUAUCAGAUAUAAGAGGAAAACGAACUCACCUUAGCAACGGCUGACUGGAAACGACGGCAACUGCCAACGGCGGACUGGCGACUGGCGGACUGGCAGACAGGCGACGGUGACGACAACGGACGGUAGAGAGAAGAGAUCAGAUCAGUGAAGACUGAAGAGAUUGAUUGGGUGGCGGACUGCCGGACUGGCCACUGGCAACUCAGUUCGCUUGAGAAUGGGUGGCGGAUGGUGAGCGUCAUCUUCAUCUCAGAAACAAACCGGUGAAGAGAAGUCGGCAGACGACAGUACUAGGCACAUAGAGAAGAGAAGAGAAGAGAAUAAGAGAUCGAAUCCGAGCGUGCCUCAUCAAGUUGACUAACUUCAAUUUUUUUAUUUUUUUUUAAGUCUUACUGACGUGGCGUGUCAGACACGUAUUUUGCCGAUCGGGCGCUGUGUCGGAGUGUCAGACACUCCGACACUCUAGGAGUGUGGAGUGUCGAUGCAACAUAGGAUAUCCAUGUUGCCUUGCACUUCCCAUAAAUGGUUGAUAAGAUCUUCUUAAAAGUUUGAGUAAUCGUACUGAUUCCUAAUUUCAUUGUACCGCUCCAUGAAACCUUCAAAAGUAUGAGCAUCUCUACCAACUUCCUCAAAGUCUUGCCCGGUAGGUCCAUCCCAAACUUCUGUUAUCCUUGGCCUCAUAUUGUUGUCCUCUUCUUCGUCAAAUUCUAAAUCCUCAUCGGUAUCUUCAAGGCGUUUGUCCUUAACUAUCAUGUUGUGUAAAAUAAUACAAGCCAACAUGAUGUAUCAGAGAUCCUCUUUAUCCCACUCUUGAGCAGCUCCUCUAACAAUACCGAAACGUGCUUGUAAUAUACCAAUUAAAACACCUCUCCACAUCUUUCCUGUAUCCCUCUUGAGCCUUGGCAAAUGUAAUUUUCUUAGAUCAUGUGGGGUUUAGAAUGGUCUUCACGAAAGUCGCCCACCUAGGAUAUAUUCCAUCGGCGGGAUAGUAACCCAAUUUAUGAACUCUAUUGUUCACUUAGAAUUGGAUCUUUGGUGCUCGACCGGCAGUAAGCUCGUCAAACAACAGCGACUUUGCUAGGACGUUGAGGUCGUUGCAUGCCCCGGGCAUUCCAAAAAAGGCGUGUCAUAUCCAAGCAGUGUCGUAAGAUGUGACCGCUUCAAGAAUUAUAGUAGGGAUUUUCUUUCACCCACUAUAUUCACCAGCCCAAGCAGUUAGACAAUUCUUCCAUUGCUAGUGCAUGUAGUCGAUGCUCUUAAUAAUCCCUGAAAACCCUCGUCUUUCACCUUUAGCAAGAAGUCUUUUAAGAUCGGCUAGAGAAGGAGCUCGAAGGUACUCUGCUGAGUAAAGAGCAACGAUUCCUUUUGUAAAUCGUUGGAGGCACUCAAUAGAGGAGGACUUUGCUAUCCGACAAUACUCAGCACAUUGAUCUGCCGCAACACCGUACGCAAGCAUCCGUAAAGAAGACGUCAUCUUCUGCUCAGGAAGUAGACCGACUUUCUUCAUAGCAUCUGACUUCUGGAUAAAAUAUCGAUCAUAGAUGCAAAGGCCAUCACGUAUGCGGUUGAACACCUUGUGACUCAUCCUAUACUAAACUCAGAAUUUCUCGUCACUAAAAAUAGGACGUCAAUAAAAUAGUCUUGAAGUAUACCUUAGCCUUUGUCCUCCCUUUCUCGAGGUUGGUUUGGACAACGACCGGAACGAGAACCGCUACGCGGAAGUUGAUUUUGAGCUUCAUGAUGAGCCACUGCUGCAAUAACCACGGCGCUUGUCACCAAGUCAUCUUCAUCAUCAUCUUCUUGCGACUUGCGAAUCAUUUCUCACAAAUUAUCCAUUGUGGUCAAAGAAAGAGAGGAAUUGUGAGAUGGUAGAGAUAUGAAAAAUGUUUCUAUGGAACUAGGAAUUUUUGUUGUGUGAGAUGUAAAUUAAAUGGUGAUAUAUAUAUAUAUAUAUGAAUUUUUAUUAUUUUUUUAAGUGGUUAACUCAGUUACCGUUGGGAUUUUUAUCAAAAAAUUCAUUUUGAACUGUUGGAAACACAAUGGUAACUUCAUUGUAUAAUUGAAUGUCGUUGAUAUGCUUGUUUAAUCACAAUCAACAGUCUAGAUCAAAUGACCGUUGGAUUUGAAAUGAAAGCAACGAGCCCAGCUGCUAAGUGCUGACGUGUGGCCCCUGCUUCUAAAUUCAAACCGUGUUGCGACAAAAACGCGACACACGCUUGGCUGAUUCUUGCUCGUAGCCUUUACGCGCUUGGCUCUCGUGUCGUCUCACCCCACUUGCGCGCGCGCUUCAUGUGGUCAACGUCAGCUGUGCCACACAAAACGGGCUGAGCUGGAGACGAAGGCCCGGGUCUUCAAAAAUGGAGGUCUGGGUCAUAGGUCUGACCCAGAUGAAGAACUUUUUUUAACCUAGGCCUUCAUUGGGUCUUCACCUGGGUCCAUGGACUUUGUUUUUUUUUUUUUUGGGUUCUUCAUUUGAGGUGGCUGAAGGCCUGGGUCAGGUUUUUUGGGUAAGGGGGGACUUGCUCUUAGGAGCGCUUAAGCCUAAUUAAAGUUCACCGCUUUUAUUGGGGCCCAAGCAUUACCAGAAGUUUGUGAUUUUUUAACUCUAACCGUAUUUCAUUAUCCCGAUCACAUCCUAUUUCACAAGAUUUUUAAAAAUUUUACAACUUUUGUAUAGGUUGUUAACAAAAAUUCACACUUUCAUAUAACCUACUAAACAAAUUAUGCAGCUUUAGUACGCACGUGGCGAUCCGAGGUCAUAAAUAUAUGAAAAUAAAAAUUUCACCGUUCGAUGUAGUUAUGAUAAUUAAAUAGGUAUACUGAAAAGAAAAAAAAACCCACCGCGUUUUGGAUUUGUUACGUCCUCCAUCGAAUCGGUCAACCUUAAUUCACCUUAAUUCAACCUUGUUUUUUCACACGAAACGCGGUUGACCAACAACAUACAAGACCCUUUUCUUCCCCGUUUUCGAACCAAAAGCUCGUAUAUAUGAGAUUUAGAAACCCAUGGAAUUUUUUUUACUGGGGCUAAUAAACUUCUGUCGUGGUUAAUAAAUGUUUAUUAACAAGGAACGAUGAAAAAUAAAACAAGAAACUUUGACGAAAAAAGAAGAAGAAGAACAUUAUUGAUGCUUGCAUACACAGACUCGAUCUCUGACUAGCGACUAGCGAUGGGCCAUCGUAAGCGUCAGUGACGACGGAGGCGUUGAAGCCAACAACAGUGAAGUGGAUCGACGCCGGAGAUGUAGACUAUGCUACGUCGAUCAUAAAUCUCUAUAAGCGGAUCAAUGCUGGUGUUUUGGCUGAGCAAGAUGGUUAGGGGAAGGUGGCAACGGAGAGAGAGAGAGAGAGAGAGAGAGAGAGAGAGAGAGAGAGAGAGAGAGAGAGAGAGAGAGAGUUAUGGGUGGAUAUAAUAGUCAUUUUCUUAAGAUUUAUUGGAACAGACGCUUGACCUUUUAUUUCAUUGAAUUAGGGUUUGACUUUUUUAUAUUUAUGCAAAUGAGCAUUUUCCCCAACAAUAAUGAAGGGUACGGAGGACUUCACUCGUGACUAUGAUUAAUGAAACAAUAGAUAGAAAGGUAUUUUGAGACAUGCUCUUGAUACUUGAUGUAAUUGUGAUUGUAAAACUUAAAUUGAUGAAUCAAACUUUUGAAAGUCAUACUUCGUUGAUCUAAAGCUCAAGUUGACUGAGGAGCUUAAUCUGAGCACGGGUUAAUCCCUCCCACCCAUAUGUUUAAAAUUGAUGUAGAUGAAGCUAUAGCUUUUGUCCAGACCAAUUUGUGGUUACUAUCAGUCAAUUGCGAGUAAAAACAUUUGAAGCUAAAGCCAUAUCAUCUACAUCACCACACGAAAUAAUUUGAACAUUUUCCUGCUCCAGAUAAUUUGUACUCUCUACUAUAAGUCUAUAAAAUGAUUAAAGUAGCACACAAACUGUUUAUUGUCUCCAGGUCACAUUACAUAUCACUCGGCGAAAACUAUUUAUUGUGAGAACAGCGAGGCCAAGUACGUGAGGUAGAGAGAGGCAUUACUCAUCACUUGAGGCACACAUUUAUGUGGGUUUCCAUGAAGACAGUGGUGGAGUUUCAGAGUUCUUCCAAGUACUGAAGUCAUUCUGAUAUCGGCCACCCUUAACAGCAUCUGCAGUAGCAAAGGAUUCAAGCUCAGCCAUUUCCUCUGGUGUCAGUUUCACAGACAGAGCUCCAAUAUUUUGAUUAAAAUUUUCAAUCUUGGUGGUUCCCGGUAUGGGGCACACAUCAUUUCCUUGGUGAUGAACCCAAGCCAGAGCUAACUGAGAUGAGGUGCACCCCUUCCUUGUUGCAAGAUCACUAACCCGCUCGAAUAUUGAUUUAUUGUGCUCUAGAUUUUCACCUUGGAACCUGGGCAGAAACUGCAACAGUUGAAUCCAUAUAUGAGAAUUCAAACAAACUACUUUAUCACAAAAGGCAAGAAUUUUGAGGCAAGACAGUGUAAAACGCAUAUUGAACAGGACGCUAGCAUAUAAAGAUAUUUGAGAAUGCCUUCUUUUAUUCAGUUUAAUCACUUGCCACAAAACUCUGGUUAAUGUCUAGUACGUAGAGAGAAGAAACUGAUAUGUACAUGGCCUUGGUCUAAUGAAGUGAGGGAUUACUUUAGAUAUUUCUUAUCUUUAACUAUUAUAAAACUAUGAGCAUCCAAGAAAAUUAAUCAUGCACUGGACUGGACAGCACAGGUAGAAUAGGGCUACUUGGAUACUAGAAUUGCAAAACUAAUUUUAUGACUACCCACAUUUUCGCUGGAAUGCAGACAGACAAUGUGAUGGCACUAGGAGAGAUUACUUUGCAAGGUUAAUUACCCACUAUCAAGGAGAUAGAACUUCAGGACAUUCAUGCUAAGAUAAUGAUGAUGCUACAUAUGUUUUUGUUAUUGAAUGCACAUGUACUUGAGAAUUAAUAACAAACCUUUCGGAAAUCAUCGUUGGCAAGAUUUUCCACGAACUUAGCCCCAGAUGACAGGAAUCCUCUUCCUAGAGGACUGUAUGCAACAAUACCGAUGCCAAGUUCACUGAGAAAUUUAAGACAAUAGAAUUAGAAUCAAAUAGUAUUAGAAUCAUAUGCUAGCUACUUUAUGAAUAUAAUAGUCAAGUUCCUUCGAGCCUCACCGACAAGUAGGAAUAAUAUCUUCCUCAACAUCUCUUGACCACAAGGACCACUCCAGCUGUACAGCUGUUAUUGGAUGAACAGCAUGGGCUCUCCUUAUUGUGGAAGCAGAAGCCUCAGAGAGACCAAUGUACUUUAUCUUACCUUCUUCAACUAGUUUCUUGAGCUCCCCCACCUAGUAAAUGACAUAAUAGAGUAAUAUAAGGAAUGACAACCAUGCUCAGAAAAACUGACUAUGCAUAUGCAGCAAGCAACAAAAGAUGAGAGAGAAAGAGAGAGAGAUACUGCGCAUAAGAUAUGCAGCUACAAGAUAAUACAUCACCUGAUGUGUUUUUACAAAUUGACAUAAAAUGCAUUAAACAGCAAUGAUCUUUUUGUUGCUAGGAGAUAACGACACAAUUCCAAAUCAAUUAUAGAACCAUAACUUAACACCAAUUUUGCCAUUUUGGCCUUGGAUGCUGAUAUUCCUCAUUCACCAAAACAAAAAACUAGUGAAUACUAUGCUUGAUCAUCAUCAAAAGCAAGCCUUUACUUUCUUCACAUCUUUGGUUUGUUGCUGGUCUUUGCUAGUAUUUUCAUUAAUUGAUUUUUUUUUUUCGUAAAUCAAUUUCUAUGGAAGGAGCAAACAAGAAAACAACUUAACAAGGGGAAAGAAAUAUUCCCAAACCUAGAACCAAUUAAGCCCCAAAAAAGAGGAACUAAGAGACCUGACACUCUGGUUGUUAGCAAUGUUUAAGUUUACCAAGGUAGAAUUAAACCUGAAGAUGGCAUACACUACAGCUAAUAGUGGUUAUGAUAGACUUCAGAAUUACAGAGGGGGAUUCUUUCUUGCUGAAACUUCAGCCAUGCGCUAUAAUCAGAUGCUAAGUACAGUAAGCUAAUCUUUAAAGGUGUUGCAGCAAGAGUUUUUGUCCAUCCAAUGGUCUGCUCUCCAUAGAAAGAAAGAAAGCCAUGGAGGGGCAAAUUUAAGGAAUGCCACUGCUCCGUAAAACUAGAUUAACCCCUCCUCACUGUACUAACUAUUAAGUACUAAGAGUCAAUGAAAAAGUGUUUCCCAGAUUCCAAACCAAUACUACAUAACAGAGCAACCGGCAUUAUCUUGUAGAGACAAGGUACUGAUUCUAUCCACCCUGAGCAGCUUCCUUCUAAUGGCCUUUCAUAUGAAAGGAACUUGCACAAAGGAUAUAUGAGCUGAGGCAAACCAAAUCAGACAAGGAACUUUAGACUUAAAGGAACAAUUCUCCCCCAAGCACAAGCACAAGAACUGACCAUUUGGAGUAGGCAGCCACCUAGAAAAAUCCAAACCGGAAGAGCAAGGCCAAAAAAGCUUCAGAAUCCUGCUGAACUAGAGACUCAACCCUUGCUAGUCUUGCUGAUAAUCUUUUUGAUACAGCCAUUCUAGUCUUGCACCAAGCUCUUCAUCAUUGAACUUCAGAACUAGGAAACUCUAGUACUUCAAGUACACCUAGUGAAGCCCGCUAUUCUCUUGCUUUAUCUACAGUUGAAAAUGGAUUCACCCUCCACUUAUAAGCAUCUUGUAUGGUCCAAUCCCUGCUCCAGCUCAGUCCCCUCCAAAUAUAUCCUAAGACAACUCUCUCUCUUUCUCUCUCUAUUGUGUAUACUUGGUUCUAAUCUCUGCUAAUAAAAGCAGGUGGCUAUAAAACCAGGGGCAAGUUCUUUUUUUCUUUUUGUUGGCAAUGAAACCAGGCAAGUUCUAACCAAAAUAGAUAUUUAGGUACAUCCAGGUCAGAUCAUCCAUAAGAAGAAUAGUGUGACGGCACAAAUGCUGCUUAGGAGCAUCAGUUACACUACUUUCUCAUCGAUUAAACACAAUGCAACUCUAAGACAAGUAGUUAAGCCAUCACUAAGAAGAUUGUUUUUACUCUACAGAUUGAUACUAUCUGUUGAUUUCAACUCAUUCUUGAGCAACAUUACAAGACAAUUGUAACGAAAACUUGCAAACAGCGGGGAUCAAUAUCAUCAUCAAACUAACAAAAGAGAGUAGAAAACAAACCGUGACUUCAAUGGGGAGACGAGUGUCGAUCCGAUGCUGAUAAUAGAGAUCAAUACAAUUGAGUCCAAGGCGUUUCAAGCUUGCUUCACAAGCAGCCCUCACAUAAGCCGGGUCUCCCCGAACCUCCCUCUUGUUGUCUGCAAAGCUGAUCCCGAAUUUGGUGGCCAAUUCCACCUUGUCCCUCACUCCUCCGCUCAAAGCCUGCUCCAUCAACUCAAGCAAUUCCUAAACCAAACCAAAAGUCCAAAACAAACAAAUCGUAACGAAGUCAACGACCUACCUUGCCGAGGAGAAUCUCGUUGGUGUGGGGGCCGUAGAUGUCGGAGGUGUCGAGGAAGGUGACGCCGGAGUCGACGGCGUGGUGGAUGAGCUUGAUCAUGUCUGGCUCUGGCUUCGGGGGGCCGUAGAAGGCUGACAUCCCCAUGCAGCCUAGUCCUUGAGCCGAGACCUCCAGGCCUUGCGAACCCAGCUUGAUCCUCCUCACUCCCGCCAUGUCUAUGUGAUCAGAUGAAGCAGGGAGAGAGAGAGUGAAGGAAAGAAGAGAGUGAGGUUUAUAUAUAAGGGUUGGGUUGGUGAAUGGUUGUGGUUGUGGUCGUGGCGGUGGCGUCAGCGGUGAGGUGGUAGGUGAAGGAGUGUGCGUAAGAGCGUACGUUCCAGGGGACCGAAACGGAAACAGAAUCUUGUAUACAAACAAACAGAGAGGCUGUUGGCAUAAAAAAAGAAGCGAGAUGUGCACUUGUUACACGUAUACAUAGUUGGAGUGCAUCAAAUAUAGUAAAAAAGUCCCACAGUACCCUGACAUUUCUACUAGUAGUAACUUUCAUAUCUGAAAUUUGGAACUUUGAAUGUAAGCCUUCUGUAACUCUCUCUCUCUCUCUCUCUCUCUCUCUCCAUACUUCCCAAAUAUCCCAAAUUGCUGGGAUCACUCAUUCACUCUCAUAAUCUUACCAUGCUCAAUUCUAGGAUGACCACGAUUCAUAGUUUUGUCAAUGACACAGCCUUGGUGCAUAAAAAAAUUACAUAGUGCAUAGGAAAAUUAUCGACAAAAUGGAUAUGAGCAUUCCUCAUUCCUGCCAUUAAUAUGUGAGAAUAAGAAGAAGCAGAGAGAGUGAAGAACAUAGAGAUUGUGGUUUAUAUACAAGGGUUUGUUUGGUGAAUGGUUGUGAACUUGUGAUGGUCGCAGCAGUGAGGUGAGGAGCUCAUUUUCACAAAGUGGAAUGGGAUGGAUGGCGUAAUAGCAUGGGUUACAAAUAGACGACGGAGAUAGUGAGACAUAUAUACGGAGCUAUGGACUCUUGACCAAACUGAAUGCUCUUAUUUUAUUACAAACAAACACAACCGGUGUUGGCAGGGAAAAGAAAUUCAUCUAGCCGGACCAUCAAACAAUCUUUUAUGGGAUUUGUUAAUUUUGUUAUCUGAGAUCAUUUAGGAAACCUUUAGUAGCUGGUAGAAAAAAAAAAGGUAAAAUUCUCUAAAGUCCUUAUAAUUUAGGUGCUUCAUCCCUUUAGUCCUUGAACUUUCAUUUUAAUCUGUUUAGUCCUUAAACUUACAAUUAUUAAUCUGGUUAGUCCUUUCCAUUAUUUCUGAUGGUAUAUUCCGUCAGAAAAAGAAUAUUCUGUUUUUCUAUGAUAUUUUUGUUUAAAAGAAAAUAAACGGAGCAUGGUGGGCCUUGGAUUUUGAAUUUAUUUUUAUUUAACAUUUUGCAAAUAUUAAAUCUAUCAUUCCACUCAAAGGUAAACAGUUAAAUUUUUAUCAUCAAUAGGAGAAUCUAUUGCUACUAGACUUGAUCUUUUAUCAGAAGCUAAACUGUCAUAUAAAGAAUUACAAGAAGAAAGAAGAAAAUUUAGAAAACUAAAAGAAAGAAGAGACAAGCUUCCUAGAAGUUCUAAAAAUUACUGGGAUAUUAUUUUCCAAAUACAACGAAGAAUAUACGAGUCAAGAGAAGAAAUUGAAGUUCUUCAAGAAACAUUUGAAGAAGAUCAAAAACCUCUUGAUAUUUUGAGCAUCGGUUAGAUCCGCCAUAGCUGGUAUCAGAGCCUGCUUGGCUCAAAGGCAGGUAAAAGAAAAGGCUUAUGCCACAGAGUUGGCUUCUCUUGACUAAUAAGAGAGAAUCCAAACUUAAAAAUUAUCAGUCUUUUUGUACUACAAAAGGAACUGACAAGUGGGAAGUGUGCUUUCAUUCAAGGCACAUUCAAGAACAUCAGUACUCUAUUGAAUACGUGUGUAGAGUAUUAAAUACACUCUACGACGAACAUAUUCAUCUCCAAAGAGAAAUUAGAGUAGAAGAGCUUGAUCCAGCAAGACCAAGCUUAAUCGAGUUCCUAGAUCACUUAUCUAGGGAUAGGACGUCUGAUAAAAUAUCAGAUCAACUCGAGAGAUUUAAUCUACGGAUAAAUCAACUUGAGGAAAUUAAUUCAAAAAUUGCCAGGCUUGAAAUCAAGCUAAAUUACCUCAAAGAAAAGCAAUAUCUAAUAGAUAUUGAAAGAAAGUUAGUUCGCACUGAGAAUCUUGCAAACAACAUUCAUCAUCAAGCAGCGGAACUAAGACAAACUCAGGAAAACCUGAAAAAGCUUUUACAAACUCUUAUCUCCAGAAUAGGAUGAAUCAAAGAGUAGAUCUAAAAGUAAAACAGAAAGAUGUAAAAGCUAUUGGUUUUCAUCAUCCUACAGAAAAAUUGGCAAAAAAUGUAGAAGCAAUAAUUCAUCAGCAGAAUUAUCAUAUCGCUUAUCUCCAAGAGAUAGGUAUUGACCUCGAAAUUCAAUUUUGAGAGUUACAUAACAGAAUCUUGUGUCUGCAAAAAUUGUAGAAAAGAUGAAAGAAAGAGAAGGCUAUGAAAAAAUAGAUGAAGAAGCACUAGCUCAAAAUGUAGCUAGUAAAAUUAUUAUAAAUUCUCCACCCCUACCAACGGGAGAAAGUAGGCUAAGGUUUAGUGAACCAAAGCUACUUGAAUGGAAGUCAUCAAAAUCUACAACCAAGAGAGAUUUGAAGAUGCUGAGUAGAAUCCUCAGUAAAAGGAACACAGUUCCAGUACAAUUAAUAAACGCUCAAGAAUUUGAGUAUAAUGAAAUCGAAUCUAGUGUGCGAGAAGCCUCUGCUCCUAGAUUUAGGUUCAAUGAGAUAUAUAAGAAAGGAUCCUUUAUUAUGGAUUCUCACAGAUUCAAGAUUCUUGAAUUAACAGUUCCAGCCAUAGGUGGAGAAACAGAUAUCAGGUUGAUAACUCCAAAAGAAGUAAGUGAAGCUUUCUAGAAAAAAUAUUCCUAUAUGCAUAUAGGUGCAGUACAAGUAGGAAUAAAGCUCUUAGCCAGAGAUGGUAUUGAUUGUUCUGUUCUAUGUGUCCUACAAGACGAUAAAAUAACAGAUUAAAAAAAAAAAAUCUGUUAGGAAUAGUAGAAGCUUCUUUGUGCAACCAAGUUGCAUAUUUUAAUGUUUUUCCAAACUUCACAACGCAUCUUAGGGAUGCUGCUCACUAUUUAAGACUGAGAAUCAAGACAGAUGGGAUUUCUAUGAAAAAAGGAAUGAUGGAACUAGCGAUAGAUUAUCGAAUCUAUUAUAAGUUAAUGAGUUCAAAUGUAACCCUUAGUACCAGGUUUCUAAAUAGCCUAGAAUUACUACAUCUGUUCUCACCAACCCAAAAAAUAAUUCUCAAGAAAAACAUGUCACGAAAUGGCAUGAAGUAACAUUCCUAAGAGAAUGGAACCUGACCCCUCCUAUCAGACAGCUUGAAAGCUCUAAUGCUUCAAUCUAUGAAGACAUGGGAGGAAAGGUAAGCUUGCAGUUUCAUAGGCAUUCAUUCGCUAAUUAUGAAGAAGCUAGCACCUCUGGAACUAAAUCAGUUUAUAAUGAGGAAUCCCUUGAAGAAGAGGAUACUAAAAGACCUAUGAGAAUGUUCCAAGCAAGAGAAUUAUGAGAAUUAUAUGCACAAGCAGAGACUUGUGAUUCCCCAGAAGAAUUAGAGAAAAUCAUAAAUGAAAUUUCUCAGGUUCAACUUGGAAAGAAAAAGAGGAAGAUUCUUCCUUAUCAAGCAGCAAAAGAAGAACCAGAGCCAUCAGGAGUGUCGAUGGACACAGAUGGUGAUAGGCAAACUCCUCCAGAAAGUGGGCAUACUGUAAUAUAGAACAUCACCAACAAUCCUACAAAGAUCAUUAGUGAAAAGAAUAUCAAGCUUCCAAAAGGACAGAAAUGGUACCAAAAAUGGUACCAGUCUUUCAAGAGAAGUUCAGAAAUUGUACCAGUCUUUCAAGAGAAGUUCUCAAUGGACUAAUUGGGCAGCAAAAAUGGCUCAGACUAAUAGUUCUUUAGAUUUUGCAAUGCCUAUCUACGCACAAUUUUGCGGAGAUAUCACGGGGCAUAGUGAGCAAUCUAAAGAAAGAGCAAAGGCAAAUAUUCAAAAAUUGAGUAUUUGUAACAUGAGGUAUUUCGAGGAAUACACCAAUGAGUUCCAAAACUACUACUGCACUAUUGGAGACAUUGAAAAUAAUGAUCUCAUCAGAACAUAUUACAGAAAGUUGCCAGAACCCUGGAACGACGCAAUAGCACAAUCCUUGGAAGAAAACCCUCUUCAGUAUUUUACUGUAGGAGGAAUUGCAGAAAGAGUUAGGAAUCUCCUAAGAAAACAAUGCAUAGAGAACAUAAAAUCUAAAACGGCCAAGAAGCAACUUAGAGGAGUUGAGAAUAUGUGUCCAAAGAUUUUGGAUACCCCAACACAAUGGGGAUGUCAUAUUCCUAUAGAAAGAAAACACCGAAGGAAAUUCUCUAGCACCAAGCAUGAUAAAAAAUUUGCUUCUAAAAAGAAGUAUCAGUUCAGGAAAAGGCCUGGAUAUAAGAAAGAACAAUCGUCUCAAACUUCUCCUAGAAAGAGAUUUUUCAAAAGAAAAAAGAAGAUGAAUUUUUCUUCUAAGGAAACAAAGAAAUGCAGAUGUUGGCUUUGCAAGGCAGAAGGACAUUAUGCAAAUGAAUGUCCUAAAAAAGACAAGAGAUCUUCUAAAGGCUUUGAAGUCGCAUAUUCUGAUGAAGAGAAUGAAUCAAUAUAUUCUCUUGAGUAACCAUCAGAUAGUGAGACAGAAAGUACUUCAGAAAACUCUGAAGAAGAAGAUAUAGGAGAUCGUCCUAUAUUUUUAUUGCAUAUCCAAAAUUGGAAGGAAGAAAACACUGAUAUUAUCAGUACCUUCCAUCCCAAUUCAGGAAGAUUUAUUUGUGACUAUUGCAAAUGUGAUGAUAAUAAUACAAUUCCCAUGUACGGUGAAGGUAUAGGUGAAACUUAUCAUUGGGAAUGUUUUAUUGCAGAACUCAGAAGAAAAACCAAGGAUAAUGAAACACAUGUCCUGGUAGAAGAGGAAUACAAUGUAUUCCAUAAAAAAGAAAAAGAAAAAGACCUUGAAGAGGAUAUAAAAACAAUGAAGUUUGUAACUUCAUUAAGUCAGAACAAGGAAAUCAAGGAAUCUCUUGAUUCUCUCAAUUCCAGUUCCAAUCCGAUACUGGGUUUAGCACAUGACAAUCCUCUGGAAUCAAAAACUGCAGAAAGAAUGGUCAAUCCUUUCACAGAAUUACUUGAUGAUCCAAGAAAGCUAAUGCUAGUCCAGACAAGCAUAUAUAGUAAUUAUAUUACUAUAGGACUAAAGUUUCUCAAUUACAAAAAAUAUCAUCUACAUGCAUUUGUAGAUACUGGUUCAGGGUCUAGUGUUGCUAAAAGAUAUGUUAUCCCUGAAGAAUAUUGGGAAAAAUCUCCAAGGACAGUUACUGGAGUUGCAAUGGAAGAAAACAACAUAGUUAUGGAUACAAUGGCACGUAAUGUGCAAGUUUCCUUGGGAGGAGGUACUUUUACCAUCAAGAUUAUGUGGCAGUGUGAAGGUCAGACAGCUGAUUUGUUGAUAGGGAAUGACUUUCUUCUUCAACAAACAGUAAUUCAAACACCAAAAAUGAUUGGGUUUGAAAAACAUAAAAAAUACUAUUGGGAAUCCCGAUUAACAGACGCAGUACGCGUUACCAGUAAAAGAUUUACAGACCAAUAUCAAAGGUCGCCAGCGAAGAGUGGUGAUUAUCAGCCAAUAUUAAAACCUGUCUUGUUGCUAUAAAAACAGCUUAAAGGUCACAAGGAGAUAUUGGUGAAUGAAGAAACAAGUUCAGAAGACUCUGAAUCAGAGGAAAGUUCUGAAUAUCAAAUUUUUGACAACGAGAGUUCUGAUGGAGAAGAAGAAUACAUCAGAGAGCAUAAUCUCCGUAUGCUAACAAAGUAGAACAAAAGAAAAUACCAACUCUCACAUAAAUAGAGAAAUUGUUGAAACCAGUAAUCAGUGAAGAUCCUCAAUUGUAUUGGGAAAGAGACCCAAUAUAUUGUCAGCUAAAAAUGCAUGAUGCAAAUACUAUUUGCCAUGUUAAGGCCAUCCCCCAUUACAGAGAAGAAGAUAGAAAAGAAAUAGAGAAUCAAAUCCAAGAACUUCUGGAAAAGAAGUUAAUCCGGCCUUCAAACAGUCCUCAUCAUGCCCCAGCUUUCUUGGUGAGAAAUCAUGCAGAACAAUUAAGAGGAAAAGCCAGAAUGGUGAUUGAUUAUAGGGAUGUAAAUAAAAAGACCGUUAAAGACGGUUAUCAGAUAGCUCAGGUGAGAGUUCUCAUCAACAGGCUUAAAGGAGCAAAAAUCUUCUCUAAGUUUGAUGCAAAGUCAAGCUUUUGGCAGGUUAAAAUGCAUCCUGAUUCCACAGCAUUAACAGCUUUUGGAACUCCUCAAGGGCACUAUGAAUGGUUAGUUAUGCCAUUUGGUCUUAAGCAAGCCCCGUCUAUUUUUCAAAGCAAAAUGGAUAAUAUCUUCAAGCCUUACUCAGAUUUCUGCAUAGUUUACAUAGAUGACAUUCUUGUCUUCUCCAAAACUAUGAAUGAGCAUCUAAAGCAUCUUGAACAGGUGUGUAAACUUAUUGUCCAAAAAGGAAUCAUUAUUGGACAGAAAAAGAUUCAUCUUAUCAAAGGUGAAAUUGAUUUCCUUGGCAUUCAUGUUAAGGAUGGAGAAAUUCGUCUCCAAGAUCAUAUUGUUAAGAAAAUCAGCCAAUUUCCAGACAUAAUCCCAGAUGCAAAGUCUCUACAGAGAUUUUUGGGAGUUGUUAAUUUCGCCAGAGAUUUUAUUCCACAAGUUAGUGGUCUAACUGCUCUCCUCUCUCCAAAAACAAGUUCUAAGAAGAAAUGGUCUUUCACAGCGGAUAACAGUAAUACUGUCAGAAAGAUUAAAGAGUUAACAAAAAGUCUUCCUCCUCUACAGUUACCUGAAGAAGGAGAUCUGAUCAUUUUGCAGACUGACGCAAAUGAUUAUUAUUGGGCAGAAGUUGUUUUAGCUGUUGCUCCAAAUACACAUCAUGAAAAGAUUUGUAAAUUUCUAUCAUGAAAGUUUAACAUAGCAGAGUUAAACUAUUCUACUGGAGACAAAGAAGUCCUUGCCCUAAUCAAGAGCAUUAAGGGUGCUGAGGCAUUCUUAGGAAAUAAAUUUGUAGUUAGAACUGAUAACAAAAAAGUCAAAAACUUCAAAAACUACAAAUUAACUGAUGCUGCUGAUAGGGGAAGAGUUCUGAGAUGGCAAAUAUUUUUAACCCAAUAUGAAUAUGAUGUUGAAAUGGUUGUAGGUGACAAGAACUAUUUGCCCGACGCUCUCACAAGAGAAAUAGCUAUGUUUGAUAGAGAAGGUCGCAAUCCAAGAAGCCGGAAACCGGUAUCUGAAGAAAAGAAGCUUUGGGAAAGAUACAAGAGCGGUGAUAAAACCGUAGGACCUCUCCAUGACGGACCAGGUUAUCAAUACAUUGUUUCUUAUGGAGCUGCUGAAUCAGGCCAGUCUUCAGAAAGAAUCAAGCCAAAACUAGAUCAAGGAUGGAAUGAGAUUUCAGACUAUUCUAAAAAAGAAACAGAUUAGUCUGUUACUUCUGAUGAAUAAAAGCUUGCACAAGAAUUUUUGCUGUGUCCGAAAGGAACAGCCUCAACUAAUCGGUCUCAGGGUAAAAGACCGGCUAGCCGGUCUCAAAGGGCAGACGGUAAAGGCAUAUCAAGUCCGUUGAUGGCUGCUGCUUUGCCAAAAAGCAGAAGAGACCCUCUUAGGGCAAGUAAGAUAUCGAUAGUCACAGGUAAGAAGGUUAUCCAUGAUCAAUCUCUGAAGAUCUUUCAGAAGCCAGUUUUCAGAACGGAAAGACUGUUACCUUUCAAGCAGAAGAUUAUUAUUGAUAAUAUUCUGUAUUCCUUUUAUGAAGAAAAUGAAGCUCAUCUGCUUCAAACUCUCAAGGCUUUAACUGAAGAAUUGCAUGGAUUCCAUACAAAAGACAAAGAUGUUCCAGCAGAAAAUUAAGCAGGAAGUUCUAAGGCUGUUUACCUUGAAAAUCCUGAAAGUGCUAAAAUACCUAUGCUAGCACUAAAAGAAUCUGAAUGGCAUAAAUUUCAUAAUCUCUUAGGAGAAGGAAAAGAUGUUCUACCAAGAACAUUAUCGGUAGUUCCUGGUCCAUAUUAUGGGAAAUAUCUGGUUGACGUUCAAGCAGAGCAUCCUCAGAAGCACAAGCUAUGGCUUGUGGAAAACAGUUUUGUUCAUAAUCUGUGGACAAAAACCAAUGAAGAUCUAAAGGGCCUUCCAGAAAUAAUAGCUGAAGCAGUCAAGAAUAUCAGACCUGAUGGUUGUAUCCUAAGGUUAAAAUUCAUUUCAACUCAACCAGAAUGGACAGUGGUAAAUAAUCAGAUGAAUUAUAUCUCUCCAUAUCAUCAUGUCAGAUUAAUCCAAAGUCCGGUUCAAAAGACAACUAUGGCCAGUGGAAAUGGAAGACCAAAUCAAAGCAUUCCUUGGAUGAAAGCCAUGACCAUAGCAAUUAUUAAAGACGUGGUUUUAAGAGACUAUGAUUCAAGUCUUUUAGCCAGUGGAGAAAAAAUUAUGGUGACCUGUUACAAUCACCCUCCACCAGAAAACUGUGAUUUUUUCACGGCCCUUAUGAGGAAAGAAGUGGACUGCACUCUGGCUUCCACUACGUGGUUAGAAGAAGUUGAGACUGAAGAUAAAUAUAAGAUUUCUUAUCCUUAUGAUUCAGACCUCGACAAUGGAGAUGAAGACACGGCACGAGAUUGGGAAUAUAGUGGGCCCAACUCUUCAGUGGGUUAUUUUGAAGAUCCAGAAACAUAUCACAAUAUUGUGAAUAUGUUGGAAAAUUGAGUGGUUGCCGAUGCAUCAAGACAAACAGUUUUUCUUUUGAUAAAAAGAAAGUGGCUGCCAGCGCCCUAAAUCAAUCGACUUUACUUUUCAAAAGUAAUGUUAUCACGAUAGGAUUCCUCUAUGUAUAAGUGUGAUUUUAUUCCAGCUUGAGUUUCGCACCCUAUAUAAGGUGCCUCAAACUUCAGAAGGAGGGCAAUCGAAGAAGGAACCAAAAAACAGAGAUCUGAAAUUUUCUCAACCUUUCUCAAGAAGUUAGAGAGUCAUUAUACAGUCUUUAGAAUAGUGUGAGAAUAAUAAGAGUGUUUUUAGAUUGAAGUCUGUAAUCAUCUGGUGUGGUGUGCUGUAAAUUUACAAGUAAGUACUUAUGUUUAUAUUCAACUUUAUGAGUAGCUAAACAGCCUUUAGCUGUUUACCUGAGAGCAAGGCUCUGGGUUUGGUAUUUGUAUUUAUGUUGAAUUAAAUAAAUUCUACCUUGAGCCCUAUUAUCCGUCUCAAAAAUAGUUUUUGCCUUUUGUUUCAUUUUUGUGAAAUUACUUUACUUUGUAAGUGAUUAGGCCUGCCCACACUAAGACAGCAGUGAUUCCGCCAUGGUUAGUAACCAUUAGACAGGAGGUCGUUAGGUGAAAUUUUGGCAUGUUGAAGGCUAGUUCUUAGGAAAAGCCUGGUCUAGUCCUUUAGGAGUAAGUUUUAAAAAAUAAAAAAUAAAAAAAUAAAAAAUAAAAAAAAUCUUUUUGUAACGGAAAAACAGUGGUUUAACAGUUUUUUUAACUAGAGGACCUUCUAGAUGAGAAACCAAAACCUUGAGGACUAUAUAGAUGAUUUUUAGACCUUGAGGACUAAGUAGAUGAGUUGUGUAAACCUUAGGGACUAAACAAAGGUUAAUUCAAAAAAAAAAAAAAAACACUUGGGAUACUAGUGUUCUUGUUGCUGAAGCCUCUGUGUUUUACGUGAAGGUCUUCAUACCGAUGUUAUCGUAUAAGGUGAUUCUAAAAUCCUCAUGAAUUGUCUUGUGGGUAAAGCUUCAGUCUCUUUGGAGUAUAAGAUCUCUCGUUCACGAUAUACUUUGGCUAGCACAAUGUUCCAAUGUUGCAAAUUUCGUCAUGUACACCGUGAAGCGUAGCAUAGCGUCUUUCUUCUUUAGUCAUUCUGGUUCUUGUCCACUUAUCUGGUUCAAUUGUCUUCCCUUUUCAGUGUUCCCAGCGUCCCAUUUGGAUCAGAUGGAAAAGGGGAGUUUAUAGAAGUUUUAUGUAGUGGUUUAUAUUUGUUACUUCCGUAAUCGAAAGGAAAAACCGAGAGGAUUCAUAGCAGCAACAUCAACUUUCACUAACAUGAAUAGACAGUUUUUCUUUGUCGAUGAAAACAUGAAUAGACGUUUAGGUUUCAUCAAAUAAAUAUUUAUUCUAAAAGAAUUAGCAACAAAUAUCAAUGAUUAAGGUUACAUAGAAAAUGCUGAGCUCGCACGGCUUGUGGGCAUAGAAGAAUUUUCGAAAACAUUCAUGCUAAAACGGGUAUAAGCACUUUCCCCUUCUCUGCGUUGCGUUUAGAACUCCAUCAAUUAAAAUUAUAGCAAUUGCAAAUUCUAUUGUAUGGUUAUAAGGUUGCCUUUGUCAAAAAAUUUUAAAAAAAACACAGAAUUGAUCGAUGUAGAUGAAUCGUGGCCGCCUAAAAUGACUUGUCAACUACUUUAGCCAAAAUAUGACUACAAAAUAGCAAACAUUGCUAAAGCUUUUCUUAGUCACUACAUCAACCCACCAAUUAUUUUUAUUACUGAGUAAUUACAGCCUAACUUGAGUAAAACAGUUUUGAUAUAAUAAGAAACAGGUCUCCAACCAAGGUUUUAAAAAACACUAGGUGCUAGUCGGAUGGAAAGCCAGAGACUAGCCCCCAGAGGAUCAGUCGGGAGACUAGGUAGGGACUAGGCGAUUUUAUUAAUUGAAUAUUUAUUUUAUUAUUAUGACACAUAAUUAUUUUUUUAAAAAAAAGCUAUUAUAAUGUUUGAAAAUAAUAAAAAUAGUGAAAAUAUGGAUAAAAUCUUUUUUUUUAAGUUCUCUAAAGUUUUUUUCAAUGAUUUAAGUUCUCUAAGGUUUUGAUUUUUGAGUUUUGGAGAGUGAAAAAAAAUAGACAGAGCGCCUAAUCGGUCGACUGCUUAGGCGAACCAGUCGGCCGACUAGGCGAACCCCUGAUUACAAUAGGCAUCUAGAAGUCCCGAAAUAAUAUCGAGAAUUUCUACAAAGUACAUGUAAUCUAACGAAAUAAUAUCGAGCAUUUCUACAAAGUACAUGUAAUCUAACAAGCACCCACUAGCUAAGAAUACUACUUUAAUAGUGACACUAAUUGUUUUCUCACAUUGGUGACAUAAUGAAAAGAUUAAUAGAUAUGUAACUCGAUUACAUAUUCUAAUGUCUAAUAAAACAGUUUUCGUAAUAUGUUGCCGCCAGAUAAUCCGACGACACUUAGUUUCAUCCCACCACAAGUAGGCAACAACCAUUAGAUAGAUAAAGCAAAAACAUCGUCGCACACCUAGAACAGACAAGGCACACGAGGUGCAUAGACCGGGACCAAGCCUGUUUAGUACCACCCAUAAAAGGCAGCUAGUUAUCAGUACAACUAAUAAUAAGACAACAUAACAGAAAUUAAAAAAGGAAAAUUUAAAACAUCUUGGACCUAGUGACACGUCGGGCUCAAGAUGCACUAGGACCAGAACAAACCCAUGGUUGGAAGAAGCCCGAUUGGGCCCAACCCUUGAUUUAUGCCCAAAACGGUUGUCGCGCAAAACGCCUGAGCACUUCUAGUGAAACUUCAAGGCUACUACGCCACCGCUGCCGUCGUUUUUAGAGCCCGACAAUUGUCAAAGCUCCAUCGUCAACCAAGGCCCUUCGUAACAAAGCCACCACCACAACCUCACUCUUCCAGAUCCCACGAAGAAAUCCACCACUGCCCUCUACUACAAACUCUGAUUCUAAUCGCUGAUCCAAAAUCAAUGAACCCUAGCGAUAUACGGCUGGAUCCAUCCAUAAACCCACAAUCCAAAUAGCCCCUCACAAUCUGAGUCUGUGCCGACACCAUCUUUGAUAAGAACCAAGGAGGCAGACAUCUUCUCAGACCCCUCCACUCACAAGAGUUUGUUCCUAGUUUUCUUCUUGCAUAUAAGAACCCAACUGUUGCAAAAACGGGGAUUUAGUCAAGGAUUGCAAUAUCGAUUUUUUCACCGAAAUAUCGGCGAAAUUAUAGUUUUUUUGGGUCAACGAUACUAUCCUUACAUCCCAUCUUAAUAUCACACGAAAUUUUAGAUAUUUCGCGAUAUUUGUCUAAAAUUUCGUCCUUUUGUCUUGUGACCCAAAGCCCAUUCCGUUCUUUUAUCUCAUGGCCCAAGCCCAACUCGUGCAAAAUUGACAAAAGGCAGCAUAGAGACUCGCUUGGGUUGUUCAAGUGCAAUACAAACAACCCAGCCACUGCCGGUGAUGGAGAAUUUGGUUAUUAUCUUCACAUUUUUAUAUAUAUCAGAGUAUGAUUUCAUGCUAGUUUAUGUCGGAUUUUCAUCCAUAUCGAUACUUUCUGAAAUUUCUAUUUUUUUUAUGGUCGAUCUAUCCACAAUCACCGAUAUUUUACUCCUUGAUUUUAGUAGUAUAAUAUUGUACCGUCUAGCCGCAGUAGACGAACUCCAGCCAUGAGGCCGAAGGCCUCCGCUAGGGCCGUCGCACACCCUAAUGAGAAUGAUUGAAGAUUGGGACAAAACCUAUUCAACGCGUUCUAAGAACCAAAAUAUUUCACUUCUUUGAUGGCCUAGCCAUUUUAUGUAAUUUUUAAACAUAUUUAAAUCAACAAUAUGUGGGGUGAGCAAAGUGGUUUGUGGUAGCAAUAGACGGAUCCAUAAAAAUUUAGCUAAAAUAGAGAGUAUUGAUGUAAAGACAUUUCUAAAAUAUUUAGCCAAAAUGACUUUUAAGUAAUGUUAGCUAAAAUUUGAUUACAAAAUGGCUAUUGCGUCGAAUACCAUUUGGUCCAUUUGGUCUAGUGACACAAGUAAAGUGGAAAGUCGUGCGUUCGACUCACAACAGAUUUGUUGUAAAAUCUAAGUUAUUUAACUAAUCAAAAGAAAGAAAGAAAGAAAAAAAGAAAAAAAAAAGAACUAGCAUUGCUCAUGAUUCUCUUAUGCUAGCUACUAGUUUGUUUGUUUUGUUUGUUUGUUUGUUUUUUUUUUUUUAAAUGAUGACUAAACUUUCAACUUUUUCUCUCAAACACUCUCUCAAAACCCUAAAGCCGGCGGCGGUGCUAGGCUACAAAACCAACUNNNNNNNNNNNNNNNNNNNNNNNNNNNNNNNNNNNNNNNNNNNNNNNNNNNNNNNNNNNNNNNNNNNNNNNNNNNNNNNNNNNNNNNNNNNNNNNNNNNNNNNNNNNNNNNNNNNNNNNNNNNNNNNNNNNNNNNNNNNNNNNNNNNNNNNNNNNNNNNNNNNNNNNNNNNNNNNNNNNNNNNNNNNNNNNNNNNNNNNNNNNNNNNNNNNNNNNNNNNNNNNNNNNNNNNNNNNNNNNNNNNNNNNNNNNNNNNNNNNNNNNNNNNNNNNNNNNNNNNNNNNNNNNNNNNNNNNNNNNNNNNNNNNNNNNNNNNNNNNNNNNNNNNNNNNNNNNNNNNNNNNNNNNNNNNNNNNNNNNNNNNNNNNNNNNNNNNNNNNNNNNNNNNNNNNNNNNNNNNNNNNNNNNNNNNNNNNNNNNNNNNNNNNNNNNNNNNNNNNNNNNNNNNNNNNNNNNNNNNNNNNNNNNNNNNNNNNNNNNNNNNNNNNNNNNNNNNNNNNNNNNNNNNNNNNNNNNNNNNNNNNNNNNNNNNNNNNNNNNNNNNNNNNNNNNNNNNNNNNNNNNNNNNNNNNNNNNNNNNNNNNNNNNNNNNNNNNNNNNNNNNNNNNNNNNNNNNNNNNNNNNNNNNNNNNNNNNNNNNNNNNNNNNNNNNNNNNNNNNNNNNNNNNNCGCAUUUGAGUCACUAUGCGGGCUCUAGGCCUCGCUGAUCUCUGACAUGCUGUCGGACGGGUAUCCAAAUUGGGGUACUGGUGUUCAAGGGUGAGGCUAAAUCAAGUUUUCCAAGUGGCUUGACAAGGUUUAUGGUUUCAUCUAUUUUGAUCGACGCGAUUAAUGGCUCUUCUAAUCUGGCAAUGAAGAUUUGAUUCAACGUUUUGCUUGAUGGUACUGCGCUCGGAUCGGUGACGAGGCUGUGCUUCUUAGGUGAGGUUGGUUUCUAAUCUGUGUGGCGUGCUAUGGUGGUGCAAUUGCAGAGUUUUGGGUCGGCGGUUGAUCGACGAUCUGGAUCGAUGUGAGCGAGGUCGGAGCAGCACAUGUCGGGCAAUUGGAGCUGGGUGAGAUUGGCGUGGCGGUGCAUCGAAGAGGCAUGGGGGAUCGUGAUUGGGUAAGCCAAGUAGGCCUGGUGUUUAGACUCAUCUUUUGGCCCAUUACACCUAAUUUGGGCUAGGGUUUUUUGCUUUAGCCCAAAACUAAGUAUAUAUUUAGCUAGUCUAUUUUAUAAUAAUUCUUUUUUUUAGGAGUCUAAACACUUUGUGCGUGUGCCUAAUUGCGGUGGUUUGUUCCAUGGUCUAAUUAGGUUCACUUUUUUAUUUUCUGCAUUGAAUUAAGUGAGCGAGAUUUGUAAUGAAUUAUACUAGCAUGCCAAGUCCUUAACUUGCUUUAGGUAGCAAAGGAGGACAUGUAUCCUCACCAUUCUGACCUCGGUAUUAAUGAAAUCGCCUAUCGGCACCCUUUGUAUAAAAAAAAAAAAUUGAGAACUUCUUAUGCUACUAGCUAAUGAUACUGAGCUAUUAGAAUAGGGAUAGCAAUAAUCCCAACGGGUAGGGUACCCACGGGUGUUCGACCCUACCGGGGGAGAUAUACGGGGAUAAAUAGGUGACGGGUAUGGGGAUAUUCAGUAUUCAGAUUUUUGAAUCGGGUACGGGGCGGAUAUGGUAUUUUGAUAUUCGUCUCCAUCCCCACCCAUUUAGAAUGGAAAUAUUAUUAUAUACAAUUUCUUAGAUAUGUUUUUAAUAUAUAUAUAUAUAUAUAUUAUUUAUAAACAGAUAUUCAUGUAAAAUCUUUUCUAAUAUUUUUGUACUAUGAUUAUCUUAAUGAAUAUUUAUAAAACUUCAUUUUUAACCGAGACUUAUACUCGUGUUUGUUAAAUUAAAUCAAAAAACUUAUUUAUAUAUGUAUUUGAUUUUUAUUUCAUAUUUCUAUAUUUCAUAAUUAUUUUUAAAAAAUUAAUUAUUACAUAAUUGUUAACAGGAAUCGGGACGGACAUAGGAAGAUAAUCCUAAAAAAAGACGAGGAAUUCUCGUUAUCUAAUUACGGAAAAUAGAACGGGUACAGAAAUGAUGAAUGAAAAAGGUCACGAGUAUGAUAUUCCCACCCUACCCAUUGCCAUUCCUGUAUUUGAAACAGAAGACGACAAUCGUUUUGCUCCUUUUCGCUUAAAGACUAUCAGUCUCGCUCCUCUCUCUCCCACAUAUUGAAAGCCAAACAGGAGACGGUUGUAAGUACAGUUCUCACUCUCUUCUACUUGAGUUUCAGUCCCUACAUAAGUUUCAGGCUUUCAAACUGAUCUCUUUGAUCACUUGUGUUUAUAUUCGCAUCUGGGUUCAUGGGUGUUUCUGUCUUAAAUGCAAUUUGGAUAAGUGGUUUGACGACAAUGGCUAUUGAACUUUGAAUUGGUUUGUUUUGGCACCCAACAGUAUCUGCAAUGGGGCUUCUCACCAUUAUUCGACAGAUCAAACGGAAGCAGAAACAAAUACGUCUCCUCAUGGUGUAUGUCUACAUCUCUCUCUAUAAUAUCUGGGAAUACUUGCCUCAUUUUACUUGAUUGUUGUUGUUAUUGUUUGAUGCAGUGGGUUGACAAUUUGGGCAAGACUACGAUUUUGAUGAGGCUUAAUGGGGACGACACCAGCCUUGUCACUCCCACCCUCGGCUUCAACAUCAAGACCCUCACUUACCUCAAGUAACUAUAUUGGACUCUCUUUGUUUCUUUUAUGCAGCACUAGCAAUGAUAUAUGGGUUUAUUGAGUUUGUGUUUAUAUAAUGGUUUUGCUAGGUAUACGCUCAAUAUAUGGGAUGUGGGGGGGUCAGAAAACGAUACGAUCUUAUUGGAGAAACUAUUUUGAACAGACUGAUGGUCUUGUAUGGGUGGUUGACAGUUCUGAUCUUAGACGAUUAGACGACUGCAAAAUGGAGCUCCAUAAUCUUCUAAAGGAAGAGGUAACUACAAUGCACCGUAUUGUUGUCAACUGCUAUGCCUAGUAUACAAUAUGGUUUUUGUGGAGCUAUUCAUAUUCUUAUAAUGUUUAUUAGGGGUUCUUCUAUGUCUCAUAUUUCGUAUGAUGUGAGGGGAUUUCUAUGAAACUGUUUAUUUUUUGGAGUGACGACUUAUGGAUUCAUGUUGGAUAUCCCGAAACUUUAGGUUAUCUAGAUUUUGACUGAUUUUUAAAUUGAGAUGCAUCAUUGAAAAUAUUUGAUCUCCUUAACCACUUCAGUUAACCUAUGAUAUUUCAUUAUGUUGCUGGUCUUAAAACCUGGUAUUAGUGUUGUGUUUUCCUUCUUUUGUGACUUAUGAUUUGCUACCACUAUUAUAGUGAAUUGUUCUAAGACGCGGACUUGUUUUGCUCAUAUGACAGAGGCUAUCAGGAUCCUCUUUAUUGAGACUAGCAAAUAAGCAGGGCAUAAGAGGUGCCCUUACUCUAGAAGAAAUUUCCAAGGUAGGGUUCUAGGCCAGCUUGUAUCGGUUGGUGAACGUAGUUUUUAUUAGAAUGCAUCAUUGCUUCCUGUAUGCCUUGAUCUAGAAACAGUUCUGUUCUUUUCUGCAUAUGUUUGUGUCAGUUGUUCUAUUCACUUUUUGGAAAUUAAAUUGCAACAGACCACUUAUCAUUUUUAAGUAGUUUGUAUGCAGCACUUCAGUGUGAAAUCUUUCAAUGUUUUUUCUUCAUCUGGUUGAAACCAAUAUAUAUGUAGAUAAUAAUGUGGAUUUUUAGUUUUUCAAUCAUGAGUAUCCAUUAUAGUUUCUCUUGUACUCAUGCCUAGGUUUUGAACUUGGAGGCAAUGGAUAAAACUCGACACUGUAAUAUUGUUGGCUGCAGUGCAUACACAGGUGUGGGACUGCUUGUAGGAUUUGAUUGGUUGGUCCAAGACAUUGCCUCUAGGAUCUCUGUGCUUGACUAAGGCCAGUUUUCAGUAAUUCUAAUUUCGGUAGUGUGUUGAGUGACUUGAGUCAUCUUUUCAGUUUCAGUGAACACUUGACAAUCAUCCAGUAGUAUAUAUGGCAGUUAUCUUUUCAGUUACAUGAGUGUGUAUGUGUCUCUUUAAUUGUAACGAGUCAUUGUUUCGGAAUGGGCUCAGCUCUGAGACUCAUUAUUGACUGGAAAUUGUAACUUUGUACCAUUAUGAAGUUAAAUGUGAGAAGUAAUGAACAUAUAUUCUUUUCUCAGAGUUCUGCCUCAUUCCCAUAGGAUAAGAUAGCAUGAGGUACUGUUGUGUUACAUAUCAUUGUGAGUGCCACUUUUGGCACAAGCAAACUUCUCUUACAUUAACAAUAGAGAAAUUCGUCUCAAUGGUAUAUGAACUUUUGCUCCUUAUAAACUUUGGUGUAUCAAGUUUUAAAAAUAUCAGAUUGGUAUCUCAUGUUUCCAUCCCGACCUAAGAUUGAUAUAUUAGCCAUUAAGAUGACUAAUUUACCCUCAGUCCUAAAAAAAAGAUGACCAAUUUACCCUUAUAUUCCAAUUUUUUUUUCUUUUUAUAUUUUUAGGAACGUAGAGAAAAAAUUCAUCUCAAUCAUCCUAGCUUGAAUGUCAAUGGCAACAACAAGAUCCUUGAGUGGCAACGGAAACAACAAGAACUGAACUUAUGUAUGUUUCCCCUCUCCAAUCUUCUUCAAGUUUAUAAAGGCCAACCCAAAUCAUCAAAUUCCAAAAAUUCUUCUAAUAUUUCUAGAAUAUGAAAACAAAUAAAAUAAAAAACUAAGAAAAAAAGAGAACUUAAGGGUAAAUUGGUCAUCUUAAUGGCUAUAUAUACCAAUUUUAGGUCGGGGUGGAAACAUGAGAUACUGUCCUAAUAUUUUCAAAACUUGAUAUACCAAAGUUUAUAAGAAGCAAAAGUUCGUAUACCAUUCAGACGAAUUUCUCUUAACAAUAUGCACUCUUGAAAAAUGAAAACUUUGGUGUUGAACCUUCCCCUAUAACCGGUAAUUGAAAUCACGGUCCAAUGUAACAACUCACAGCAUAGCAAUCCUCCAGCUCCCUCCUUCAGGUUUGUAUUGACUCUCCCCCUCUCUUGAUCUGUCCCUCUCUCUCUCUCUCCCUCAACUCUCUCUUCUCUCAUCACAUUGUCUAAGUAAAUUUUCUUAAUUUUCAUUUUGCAGCUUGAUUAAGAGUUGUGUUUUUGUUAGUUGCUUGAUUUGCUAAGACCUUGAGAAUAAUUAUUUUAUGGUUUCCACAUGUUGUAUGUUGUUAUGAACAAUUUAUUUGAUUUAGGUUGCUUGGAAUAAUGUAUUGAUAUCUGAGAAGGGUCUUAUAGUUAGCUGGAGGACUUUAAAGUUUGCUCUAUCAGUUUCGAUUAAGUUGGAAACUCUUCAGAAUUCAGACUCAUUGAAAGUUCAUUUUCAUGCUCGAGUGAUAAUUUCAUUUAAUCCCUAUAGUUGGGAAGUAACCCAGACUGUAAAGAAAAUUUAAUUUCUGCAUUGAAUAUGCACCUAAAUUGGAGAAUUUUAAGGGACCUUUCUAAAUUUGAUUGCAUCCCUAGUAUAUGCUCCUAUAGUGAUGAAUUGGCUUUCGAUGACUACACAAUAAGAGACCUAAUGUGUGGACAGAUACGGGUCAAACAUUUUUUCUAUCCUGUUAGAUUAAAGUUCAAUUCUAGUGUUUAUGCAGGAAAGCUGAGUGAAUGUUGAUGAAUAUGUGGUGCUGUGCUUUUUACAUGUCUGCUGGCAGUUUCUUAUUUUUCUGCACUUUAUGUGGAGGAAUCAUUGGUUUUGAAUUGACUGGAGUACUGUUUAUAAUAUGCCUUUUUAUGCUGCUUUGUAAGUGUUGGAUUUUUCAUGAAGAAACAAUUAAAGCAAAGAGCUUUAAAGAUGAAACCAGAACUUUUUGUUUUUGGCAAAGUGAAGGCAGAACUUUUCACCAUAAUGGAAAUGCUGUAGCUGAAGCAAUAUAUUUAGUUAUGAUGGUGAUUCUUGUCAAAACAUUGCUACUUACUGGAUUAGGUUGAAAGGCCUUACAAGUGGAUUGCUGAGUAUACAUUGAAUCCAAUUGCUUAAGCUGUUACCAAUAAUUAGUAAAUCUAUAUACUUAUUUGUAGUUUAUUAGCGAACAUCUGUACAAGUGUCAAUAGAAGGUACAGUCACAGGGAAGAAAUGACUCUGGAUUCCUUUUUAAUUUUCUUUUAAAUUUGUUUUGUUUUUAUUGGAGAAUGGAGUUCUCAGAAUUCGAUUUAUUACAUUUAUCUGUGAAUACUAGUGUUCUUAAUUAAUUUGGAACAGAGCUGCACAUGUACUAUCUUAAUUAGAACCCUUAAUUUCUAUGGUAGGUAUGAAGAGUGGGUAUAAUGGAGACGAUGGAAAGCAAUGUGGGGUAGAGCAGCUAGUCUUCUGCAUCAGAUUUUAGGUAUGUUUGAAAACUCUCAAGUGUGUUAUUAAACUCGUAAUUGUAUAAUUUGUACCAUAUUACACAUGUAGGUAAGUUCUCAUAUACACACUUGGGUUAGGUUUAAUAGUAUUGUAACUUCUGGUUUUUCAGUUGCAUAUUCAUUACUGUUGUUGUAGUCAAAAGCUUGCACAUGUGACGCAUCAACCUAAAAAAAAAUGGUUGGUCUCACAUAUUUAGUGUGCUUGAAAUGAAAUUGUCAUGGAGGGGGAAUUAUAUUUCUUAAAAGAGUUCAAAUGGAUUAAUUGUUAUUGGAGCUGACAGACCAAAGUAGGAUAAGGUUAGUUUCUUUCUCUUAACCAAUAUGCCUAAUAUACGUAACCCUGUUACAAUCUUUGCCAAGGAAAGUGGCCCGAGAAUUUUGAUAGAAAGAGAGGAUCCUGGUGUGCUGUGAUUAGCAUGAUCUGUGAGAAAAUAGGUAGGAUCCAAAACUGAUGGGAAAGAGGGUGUAGUAGAAACCCUUGAAAUACUAUUUCUCAAGGUAUUCUGGUUUCGUGGAAUGCUGUAAGUUUUUGUGGGAAAGAGUAAGAUGGUGAGGUUUCGCAAAGCAGUUGAAUGCAGAGAUUUUGGGAGGAUGUGCUAACAUGAGUUGUUUGACUUGUUUCUAUAGAAGUCAAACUAUCAUUGGUUGAAUUUGGCAUAUGUUCUGGACUCAAGACGGAGUUGGCCGGGAUAUGGGUUCUGGAAGGAUUUUGAGUGUCUUGGUGUCCAGAAUUUUUAUUCAAGGUUGUAACCUAGAGUUGAUUUUCCUUGCACUUCUUACUAUAGAUUUCUUUCUGAUGAUUCCACUAGACCAAGAUUUGUACCAGCUUAGUUUGCGAAACAAAGGUUCAUCCAAGGCCAAGUUACUACUGGGAUUGUGCUUUGUGCAGAGCUCACAGCUCUUGAUUUUCUCAGUAAAAAGAGAUCAUGAUUUUGCUUUUUUCCCGAGCUGAUGCAUUGUGUGUUCAGGAGAAGAGUCUAAAACUUGGAAUCAUCUUCAUUAUACUGCAGUAUGCUUUUUUCCAAUUGUGUUGGGACUUGGGAGAAUAGGCUUUUCAUCUCAGGGAAGUAUCUGUAAUGAGUUUCCUGUAAGCAAUCUCUGACGUAACCUGAGCUAAUUGGUUUUUGGCUUAUCUGUCAAAUUUGCUGAUAUGCAGAGUUUAUUAGUAGCCACUUGCCAGUAUUUUGACUCAGAUCUAAUGCAGAGGGCUGUAGUUAGCCUAUCUAAAAUAAAAUUUUAAUUUGGGAGAAAUGAGAUCGCUAAUAUAUUCAAACAACAAAUAGUUUCUAGUUCUCGGUGCUGUAACUGUGGUAAUAGGCAGGAGUUGGUGCUUCAUUGUCUAUGGGAGUGUAAGGAAGCUAAACCCGUACGGCUCAGAAGUAUGGGAAAUGUGCAUGAACGAAGUUUAUAGAUUUAUUUGUUCAUUCUGAAAAUGUUGAAAUUGUUGAGUUACGGCAAUUUUGCUCAAUCUGAUGGUGGAUUUGGCACAACUGUAACAUGUGUCGUUGGGAAAACGAGUUUGGGUGCUAAUGAAUUGUUGAGCGAAGCCUGUGAGUGGGGAGUUGGUAGUGCUACUGAACCUACAAUGAAGUUAAGCAAUGUGAAUUCUCAAUCAAGAAUCACUGUUUUGGCUACCACCUUCAGUUAAGAUCAACUUUUUGCUACAAUGAUUUUCAAAGGUACAACAAGGUUCAGGAGCAGUAGUCAGAAAUAGUCAAUGCCUUUGGGGUCAUCUAGCUUUUGAAGCUCAUGAUUCCAUGUAUUACUUGAUAGGCUGCAGUUUUGUUAUGAAGCUGGUUUUAGUAAAAGCUUGAGCUAGUAAUGCACAAGCUUUUCCGUUGAUGAGGACUAUCCUUGAUGAAUUGCAGUCUCUCAUCGGAGUUGAUGACUCCACAUCCUGGCUGUACAAUGAGAGUUCAACACCGUGGUGCACUGCUUGGCAAAAGCUAUCUGCCUUGAUAUCAGGAGUUAUAUUGGUUGCAAGAAGAGCAUCCUUGGCUUUCAUCUCAUAUAGCCAAUAAGCCAAGGAUACAUUGCUGUAAAGUUUCAAUAAAUGGUGUUGGGUACUGUCUUUUAGUUGUGGAAGUUUAUGAUGAAGUCACUAUGUAGACCCCUUAAAUUUGUAUAGUUUGCACCUAAGUUCGUUGAAUAAAAUUCAUUUCCAGAUCAAAAAUAAACGAAUCUAGACGCAUUCUCCCAUUCUCUAUGUUUUUCUCUCAUCAUUCCAUUUAGUUUUUAAGCAUGGAGGCUCAUCCCACAGCUAGUAAAACAACCAUACUUAGAUUGAUAUGAAUUUAUGGUGUCUAUGUUUGAGAUGUUACAUGCCAAUGGAGAAAGAAACCUUAUCCUUUUGCUAGCUGCUCACUAUUUUCAUUGUCUAAGAAGUUCUUCAUAGAUAUGAUCUGUAUCUAUAUGUUUGUGUGCGUGUGAGCUCGAGGUUUUCUUCUAGUCACAACGGAAUUGAAGAUAAGGUGCUUCAUGCUUAAAGCAACCCCCAUGGUGACACAUCCAUAUAACGGCAAAUAUGGCAUUCAACGUGACCCCAAAGCAUAAGAACCUCAAGCUUGCACUUCUCGUAAGUACUUAUCUCUGGGCAUAUAAUCAUGUUUAUAUGCCCAAAAUUAUACAAACUGAGAAUCCCAUCUAUUAAUAAUGGACCAGGUUUCUUUAUCGUUCACCAACAAUGGGUCCUCCUCUCAAAUCCAGCAACAAAGACCUUCCACUGCAAACUCAUUCUCUAUAGAAUUGGUCGAAUCCUCAAUACGAAAUCUGUUAAGGAGCUGGUACAGAAGGCAGAGAUGGAAGUUUUUGUUCAACUCCACACCACCACAAGACCUUGAUAGAGCUCCAUGGAGAACCCACCUGGCCAGUUUCCUUGAAUCCACACCAGUUCAUGCAGUUUCUCUCGGUCUCCUCGUUAUUGAUCUGAUCUUCACAAUCCUUGAACUCUCCUCAUCUUUACUUGCUACCAGCUGCAGGCCAAAAGAGAGCCACUACAAUGCUACAGAAGAAAUCUGGUACCACUGGGUUGGCAUUGCUAUUCUUUCUCUGCUUUCUGCCAAGACAAUUGCCCUUGCUGUGGGGCUUGGCACCACAUUCUUGAGGCGUCCAGGUUAUGUCAUUGAUGGGAUUGUUUUGAUCGGCGCAUUGGUGUUGGAAGUGUUUCUGGAGAAGGUAGGGGGUGGUUUGCUUGUUGUGGUGAGUUUGUGGCGAGUUGUUAGGCUAGUAGAAAGUGCGUUUGAGCUAAGUGACGAGGCCAUUGAAGCACAGAUUGAAGGGGUUGUAUAUCAGUUUGAGAUGUUGAGGGAAGAGAAUAGGAAACUGUUAAUAACCAUAGCUGAGAAAGAUCAGAUUAUCCAGAAGCUCCAGGAAGACUUAGAUCAAUGUAUUUGUCACUCUGGUCGGAAAUUUUCGACUAAUGCAUGAUAUUGUAAGGCCUUGAUCGAUAUUCAUCUUUUGGCCAAUAAAUUAUAAAUCAAACUUGAUUAUAUUUUCAUUUUCUAGGCUGAUUUAUUAAUACUUUGAGUAGGGAGAAACCGGUAACACCUUGACCUAAGAUUUAAUUGAAUAAAUACACAACUAAUUAUCAGAUAUCAUCAAAAUUUCAAAAGAACUUGAUCAGCAAACCGAAACAGCAAUCAUCAAUUAACCAUUCGAUUUCUCAGGAACGUCGAUAACCCAAUAACCCAACAGUACUAAUAAUCAAAAAUCACAAUCACAACUCAAGAUUGGAAAUUUACUUAUUCAUUCAAUUGAUAUUACCGAGAUGUUUUGAUUUCGACUCCUCAUAUCUCUCAUUAUUAUAUUAAUUAUUUAUUUAUUCAAGCAAUUUCUUAUGUUUGAGAGGAUAUAUGAAAAAUAUACACAUAGGUCUCGACACGUAAAGUAUCGCACAUCUAAUUGAUUAUACUGAGACAUUUUGAUUUCGACUCUUGUCUCAAUACAAAUCGUAUACAUAUAUUGAUAUAAUAUUCAAUUAUUUAUUUAUUAUUAUUAUUAUUAUAAUUUGGCCAGAGUAUUACAGAAACAAUUGAAAUACUCUCAUACAUAAGUUAUAUGUAAUUUUGUUUUUCUGUUUCAUAUGACAUUUCAUGUUGUAUCAUGUGACAUAGUUUUGUUUUUUUAUUGAAUGAAAUUUCAAUCAAUAAUCUGCAAUUACAAAACAAUCACAUAACCGAACAAAUGAUUACAACUACAAGCUAUUAACUCUAGCCUCAAACUACUUGUCCACACUAGUUGUCACGUGACAUAGUUUUAUAAGGCAGAGCUUCAACAAGUAACUAAUAUCAUUUGUACUAGGAAGUGAGAAGACUGAAUAAUCAAAUAGUGAUGUGUAUUGUAAACUGUACCAUGGAGUUAUCAAAAGAGAACUUGGAAACGAGAGAAAACAGAAAUAAAAACCUUCAAUGUCAAAGAGCCCCUAAUAUCUGUCUAAAGUCCAAACUAUAUACGAGAAGCUUUCUAAAAAAAAAACAACAACUAUGUACGAGACAUUUAAUUGUUAGGGUAGCUAAUUAAUCAUGACAUUUGUACAUACUACUACACUAGUUAUAUAUAUGUAGUGAUGGCUAUUAUGUACCAAAGCAUAACUGAAGUCUAAAGCCACAAAUACACUCGGGCAUCAAGCGAGGACUUAGGAGGGAUCUUGGCACCUUAGGAACACACAUGAGACUCAACCUUAGGAGGUGGGUCCACCGCAUAAGUGAAAAUGGAAACGUACUAUGAAGUGAUGGCUAUCAUACCUCGCAUUGCUAAUUUUGGUAAGUAUCAAUCAUUCCCACAUUGGAAAUGGAAACGUACCAAACCCUAAACGUACCAAACCCUAAACCCUAAACCCGAGUCGUUUCCCAAUUACUAUCUUUCAUUCCUGUUAUAUAAUAUAUGGGACUGUUAAUGUCCUCCCGUGUUAUGGCAUGUAUACCUCUAUAGUGCUAGGGACUUAAGCCAUGUUCUUUUUUCUUUUUUUUGUCGGAAUUCAAGCCAUGUUCAAGCUCAAGCAAUCUGUUUUCCAAGUAUAGCAAACAAUCACUCGAAUGUAAUUAAUGAAGUAAGUUUCUCAUGUGAGUUAGGAAAUUGGAGGUCACAAGCUGACCUCAAGCCUCGAUUAAUGAAACUGUUGAAUACAAGGGAAGGAUGUUAAACCUAAAUCCCUGAUUACAAAGACCUGAAAUAAUAUCAGAAAUCUCUACAAGAAACAUGUACUCAAACAUGCAUCAACUAACAAAUAGUGCACUAAUGGCUACUUCAUUUGCUUUUACAUAGCGGUGACAUUAUAGAAAAAUCACUUGACAUGUAACCCGAUUACGUAUCAUGAUGUCUAAUAAACCAGCUUUCCUAUUAUGUUGCCGCCGGAUAAUAAACCCGACGACAUUUAGUUUCAUCCUGCCACGAGGAGGCAACGACCAUUUGACGAAACAAAAACUUUGCCGCCCACCUAGAGCAGAUGAGGCAAACGAGGUGCUUAGACCGGGUCCAAGCCCGUUUAGUUUUGCCAAAAAAAGGCAGUAGUUAUUAGUACAACUACUAAUAAGAAAAUAUAAUUGAAAUUGAAAAAACAAAAAAUAAACCAUCAUAGACCCAGGCUGUAAACCCAGGCCCAAGAUUCGUUAAGCCCAGAGCAAGCCCAAAUCUGAAGCAAGGCCAACCCGAUCCAGCCCCUUGUCUCAACCUAAGUCUAGCCGCACCAGCAACCACCCUACCACUAGCAAACCGCAGCGCCGCCGUUGCCUUCGGAGCACAACCACAACCUGAGCUCGGUCCUCCACUCAACGCCAUUGUAACAACCCAACUACCACAACCCACAGACACGCCACAAGAAGCUCCCAUUUCACCCUCUGCAACACCAACCAAACCAGAUCUCGGAUCCAACUUCGGUGAUAUGUCGACAGGAUCUAAGUAGAUCCACCCACAAACCCAAAGCCCAGAACAGAUCUCACCAUUGGUCCUUGCAUCAAGAUCUAUUCAAGUCACACCCGCCACCCUUGCUUGUGCCAACGUCUCCUUCGAUUGAAAUCAAGAAAGCUUAGAACCGCUCCACCAUGCCCAGACACCAUAACUAACUCCUUUAUUGGUCUCCCGCUCAGUGGCACUCAACCAGCGCCGAUGAGGCCGAAGGCCCAUGCCUGCACUGCCGCGCAGUCGGACAAGAAUGGGUGAAUCUAUCGCUUUGUUUUCAGGCGCGUUCUCUCUCUCGUAGCCAAUAACUUCAAGGUUACAUAGGUUUUGGAAGAUGACGCAAUCAAAAGUAUUGGGGUUCACUAUUUAUGAACCUAUGAAAGAUAAAUUUAAAAUCCACCUAAAAAUAAGAGUAAACUCUUAGAUUUUGAUUGAUAAUAAUAUGAAUGAUUGAUAAUUAUAAUAUAGACACCUUAAUUAAGACUUUUCAAGUUCCUAACUUCAAAAAAGCGCUUCGAUAUUCCGGAGCAGAGCAUAUUAAGCCUUAGGACCUCGUGUAUUAGGGCAUGUAGUGGCUGCUGCUGGUUCUCGACCAAUCUCCGGUGUUGUUCUCUUCAGUGCGUGGUUGGGAUUCAUCACCUGCUGGUCUUUUUCUUUUCUUCCACUUCGAUGGCGGAUCUGUGAAGAGGUGUGUGUUGUAGGGCGGCGAGGAUUCCAGUUAUCUAAUUGCCUCAAGUUGAUUUCCGACGUUGAUUUCUUCGAGGUGGACUUCGGUUGAGAGCCUCUUGGUUCAGUCACAAAUGGUGUAAGGGUGGAGGCUUUUAUUUCAAGGAACCCAACAACGCUCCAGCUUGUUGACAAAUCUGGUUUGGGCUUGUUAAAAUAUCUGGUUCAGCAUUAAGUAGCAACGAGCGUCCGUAAUUGCGACCAUGGCCUGGCGGUUUGGACGACCACCGAAUUGAACCAGCGGUGACAACAGCUCUAACGAGUUUGCUGGGUGUGUUGGUUUCACGUUGGUUUGAGUCUAAGAGCAGUGGGGGUUAGGCUAGUAGGCCCACUUUCUCUCCUCUCCUUUGACUUAGGCUGAUGUGAAACUGAGUCCUUAGUGGCUGGUCUCACCAAGUUCCUACACAACCUAAACAAAGAGCUUGUUCCCCAUUUCAAGGGAAUGGUACAUAAAAAUGGUCUCUAGGUCUCGAUUCGAUUUGUUAGAUGAUGGAUUCCUGCAAGUAUACAGGGUGGAUGUAGUAUAGUGAAAUGGAAGAGAAGGGGUUGUCGUUCCCACGAGGAUAUUAGUUCAAUUCAAAUUAUGAAAUACCUAAACUAACUACACUAAAACACACAAAUCACGAUAACAAUUUAAAGAAACAAAGAAACAAUAAAAUAAGUAAACAAAUAAUGAUAAAUGAAUCUAGGGCGUCAGAAUCAAUCACUAACAAUCCUAUUUAUGCUUUGAUGCAACUAAUGGAUUCUAUCGGAUCUCUAGAUGACAAUUCUCGUAUCUAAGUCCUUCUCAGGUACUCUAGACCAUAAUUUUCCUUAAGUGUAUGAUGCUCUCCCUCUCGGGUAAAGGUCGUAUAUCCUAGCUAUGUAGUCUAUCCUUCUCAGGUAUAAAUUUAACAUGCAGGACUCAUUACGUACUAGAAAAUAAGGGAAUCAAGCAAACCAUUAUUCUUUCUCAAGCAACAAUGUAAUUCACCACACUUAACCACAAGAAGCUAUAUAAAUUAUAUUGCAUCUCUGCUUCAAAUUUAUCUUCCAAUUACUAAAUGUAAAGCCCUAAGGUGAUCAAUCAAAGAACUUAAACAUCAAGCAUAAAAUCAAACAGUGAUCAAGCAUUCAUCAUUAAGAAACUAUAAAUCUAUUAAUUAAUCAUCAAAAACAUAAACAAUCAUGCUAGGGCAUCAUCCUAACCCUAUAAAAGGUUUAACUAAACAUGACUAAAUAAAACAUAACGAAAACAUAAAAAGAACAAAAAGGUGAAAGGUGGAUGAAUGGAUGGUCUCUGCUCCUUUAGGCAUCUUCAAUGUGUUCUCGAGACCUCUCUUUCAUAUGAAAUUCGUGCUCCUUUAUAUAGAGAAGUUUCCUACUCAUCUUUGGCUUCAUAUUUCCUUGUAAGAUUUGGAUUCAGACUCCUUUCUUGAUAUGGAAUGGGAAAACUUUGAGAUAUCUCUUGUAAAACUAGGAAUACAUGUACUUCUUGAAUCCUGAUCUGCUAUAUUGUCCUUGAAGCUUUAGGGUUGACGGUCUUAUGCCACGGAACUUGAGUUCUCCACAAAUGCUUGUAAUUUUCCGAGCAGAUUUUCUGAUCUGAUCUAUCUUCAUUCAAAUGAUCAUAACUCAGUCCAUAAGUAUCGAAAUCGAGAUCCGUAAAUUUCUACAGAAAGUAGACUUCCGUAGCUUUCCAAUGAUAUGAGGCUCAUAGUCUGAUUCGAUAUGAGUAAUUCCUAGUAAGUCGGCGAAGUUGGAUGUUCUGCUCAGGCAGAUUCUGGCACUUGAGAUUGUAGUCGCCUUUUAAUCCUUAGUUGCUCAUUUUAGCUCCUUACGACAAAAACCUACAAGAAUACUAAAAUAACGUAAAUCUAUCACAAAUACGAGAAUUAAACACAAAUAUGAAGAUUAGGAGUUAUAUAAAUAUAGGAUAAUAUGAGCACAUCAUUAGAGCACCUUGUUUUCGUUUUGUAGGUUAUUGCUUUCUAUCCUACAAAUUUAUAAGUCCAUUUGGACAUUAGGUUUUUUAGUUUUGUAAAUUUUUUGUAGUUUGGUUGGCUCUUUGAGUUGUAUCGGAGCUUUGCUCCAUUUUGACCAGCUAGAGGAUUUGUAUUGGAGUUUUACUCCCGCUUGACCCAUCGGUCAAUAUUGAUAUUGGUUUUUCGCCAUAUGAUAUAUAUCCCUUUUUUUUUUUAAAUAAAUUAACUUCUAUCGCCUAAUAAUUUAUACUGACAAUAAAAUAAUAGACACACAACUUUUUUUUCUUUUUUUUUUGUAAAAGGUUUGGAACAUGGCCUAACUGAGAGGUUCAUCCCCACGCCUAUUUCCAUUUAUUAUAGGAAAAUGUACAUGAACUUUGAGGGACUCCGAACUUAUGUGUAAUCUGAUUACUCCGGACUAGAUAAUCCAACAACCCGGUUCACAUUUGGUUUGCAAGUGGAGCAUUAGAGAUGGAACUCAUUCCUGCUCUUCCUUCCUCACAUUUGUCCGUAAAUGACUAACUUGAGCGUCGAAGAGGAUUUGUCCAGAUCCGUUCGGACUCCUCUCUAACCUCUGUUCGUAUUUCGCAAGAUCCCCCACAAACCACUUAGCGGUCAAUCCAUUUGCGGACAAAUCUCUCCCAAACGGAUUAAAACAACGACCAACUCAUAAUCCUCACAAACUUGUUUCCCUAUUUUCCCUUAUACCAACAUGGUUUAACGGCUUUUAAUUUUGAUUUCUAUAAUUUAAGUUGUUUACAUGGCUUUUUCGUUUUAUUUUCCUUGCAACUUGAUUUGCGAAAGAGAAACCCGACCCAAUUACAGUUAGAACCCGAGAAUCCUUUCAUUUUCAGUUUGAGCAAAACCCUCUCUCGCUCAAAAACCCUAAUUUGUUUUGAGAAAUCAGAAAAUGGCGAUGAUGCAGCAGUUUGGGCGCACCAAGAGUGUGACGAAGCGUUCGUCGAAAUACGUGGAGGAAGCUCUCUACGUUUGGCUCUUCAAAGACGGCGGCUCCGAGGUCAGCGUCCGCCAGAAGCUCAAUGAGUUCAUCAAGAGCCGCAAGCGCGUCUUCAAAUGGGAAGUCGGCGACACUCUCAAGAAGCUUCGCCAGCGCAAACUCUACUACCCUGCUCUCAAGGUACCCCCUAAUCACCUCAAUUUUCCGAUCUCAAACACCUUAAUUUCUAGCUAAUUACACUUCGGAAUGUAUGCCCUGAUUAUUCGAUGCCGUUUUGAAUUUGUUUCACAGCUCCAUAUUAGUAGAAAUGUGAUUCGAUUCGAUGAAGCUGAUCUUUUAAGUUGUUUAGUUGUUAUAUGUAUGUGCUUUAAUCUGAAAUGCGAGACAUAGAUGCUAAGUUGUUUGUUUUAUACUAAAGCUCUCGGAGACUAUGGCUAAAAGAGGGAUGAACAAGACCGUUAGUGAUCAGGCUAUACAUCUCGAUCUUGUUGCCAAAGCUCGAGGAAUUCCUGCCGCAGAAGAUUAUUUCAAGAAUCUUCCUGAAUCGUCGAAAAAUCAUCUCAGUUACGGGGCGCUGCUUAACUGUUACUGUAAGGAAUUGAUGACUGAAGAGGCUGAGGCUCUUCUGGAGAAGAUGAAGGAACUUAACCUUCCUUUGACCUCUAUGCCGUAUAAUAGCCUUAUGACGCUUUACUCAAAAACUGGGAAGCCGGAAAAGAUCCCGGCUAUUAUACAAGAAAUGAAGGGUUGCAAUGUGAUGCUUGAUUCAUAUUCUUAUAAUGUUUGGAUGCGGGCGUUAGCUGCUGUCGAUGAUGUUUCUGGAGUUGAAAGGGUUAUUGAUGAGAUGAAGAGGGAUGGUCGAGUUGCUAGUGAUUGGACAACAUAUAGCAACUUAGCUUCCAUCUAUGUUGAUGCUGGCAUGCCUGAGAAGGCAGAAAAUGCACUUAGAGAAUUGGAGAAGAAAAACACCCACCGUGAUCUUUCAGCUUUCCAAUUCCUUAUUACAUUGUAUGGUCGAACAGGGAACCUGCUUGAAGUACACAGGGUAUGGCGUUCCUUGAGGCUUGCUUUCCCUAAAACUGCAAACAUAAGUUAUCUGAAUAUGAUCCAGGUCUUGGUUAACUUGAGAGACUUACCAGGUGCAGAGAAAUGUUUCAGGGAAUGGGAAUCUCGAUGCUCAACCUAUGAUAUUCGGGUAGCAAAUGUUCUCAUUGGAGCUUAUGCUAAGGAGGGCAUGCUAGAGAAGGCUAAGGUGCUUAAGGAACAGGCUCGUAGGAGAGGAGCCAAGCCUAGUGCAAAAACCUGGGAGAUCUUUGUGGACUGUUAUUUAAAGAAUGCAGAAUAUGACUUGGCAGUUGAGUCUGUUGCCAAUGCAAUCUCUAUUGGUAAAGGGGAUGGUGGGAAGUGGGUACCAUCACAUGAGACCAUCAAAACCUUGAUGGAGCACUUUGAACAAACUAAGGAUGUCGAGGGUGCAGAAGGUUUUCUGGAGAUUUUGAAGAAGGCUACAGAGUCAUUAGGGGCUGAGGUGUUUGAGUCACUGAUUAAAACUUACGCCGCAGCUGGAAAGACAACUCCAGCCAUGCGUCAUCGAUUGAAAAUGGAGAAUGUGGAGGUUAGUGAAGCCAGCAAAAAGUUGCUCGAGUCCAUUUGUGUGGAGUGAGUUUUGUUUGUCUUUUGUCUCCCAAUUUUUGAUUCAGAAUUUUUAGUUUCUGGAAAAGCCCAUUUUCAAUGGUGUCUGUACUUGGGGUUUUAUUUGUUCUGAUAAUAAAUGAACCUUUCAAGUACUAAGGUUAGCUUUUCUUUUCUACAUUAUUAGCAUGAGUACGAUUUGUUUACAAUUGAAAGCAUGAGUUUUUUUCCUAUCCCACCUAAGCUCAAGGUUUUCUUGGGAUCUUUUGUGCAUGGUAAGCUCCUGGCUAGUGAGCAACGUUUUAGAAGAAAUACUGCUGUGAUCCCUUCUGUAAAUUCUGUUAUGUAACCAUAAGUCUAUGCUCCAUUUGUUUUGUUAUUUGGUGACUGUAAAAGCGAAGCAGGUAUGACAAGCUUUAACCCUCAGCUUAAGCUUUCUAAAUACUUUAAAAAUGCUUGGAAUAGCCACAGAUCCUAUCCUAGCAAACUUGGAGCCAAAAAACAAUACUUUAUGAAGCCGUUGAAUUGAAAUGUCUUAUUUUUUCUUCUUCUUUCUUUCGGCUGCUGGUUUAUAUGGAAAGGAGGUGCAAGAGUGUUUUUGACCUUUAUCUAUGCUUACAAUAUAACCACAUCAUCUCCGCUUAUGCUAAUGAAUGGAAUCAUGCUAAUGCUAAUUCUGUUGCUCAUAAAUGUGUGCAAACUGAGCAUCUCUGUCGGUGUGAGCCACCCUUUGAGUUAAAUGCUUGAUAGAUUAAGAUGAUGUACUGCACUAAUUGGUGCAGGUGGUGUCAUUAGAGAUAGUUCUGGAUCUUGAUAUAGUGGUUUUAUGCUUUAUAAGUUUAUAUUGAUGCUGGGUACGUUUUACAUUUCAGCCUGGGGGUAGUUACAGAAACAAUAUUAAUCUUCAGGUGGGAACAGAUUCUUCACUCUUGGUUAAUUUUUUUUUUUAGUAGAAAAGAACAACAAUUAGAGUUGUGCCUCAAAGGCAACCAAUUUGCAUAGUCUAAAAGGGGGACCUUAUUUGGCUCUCCCUACCGUCCCACACAAUCCUUCAUGCCCUAAUGGCUGGAAGCAUGAUUUUCCUAGGCUUGUGCCGUGUGUUGGAAACACAUUCAUGCCAUGAUGGAUAACCAAUCCAUCUAUCUUAGUUUGCCAAUCUCCAUAGCCUUAAGCCUUCCUCUCCGUGGUCGGACCGGACUUGUAUUUAUAGACCUUGUUUCAUGGCAGCCCCCACAAUCCGGCCAGGCCUUCACGCUGACACCGCGGAGAAACUAUAAGCUUGUGCUCCAGCUGCGGAUGACAAGCUAGCACCAAAGAGAGACCUACUUACAUUCCUUGUUACGAAAUUGAGUGCCCCCUCCCCUGUACUAUACUAUAUUGUCCAUAUUUUUGGUGAUUAAGAAGAACUAGGUGAAUGAAUCGAAGCUGAGAUCAUUCGAUCUCUGUCAAUAAACUAUAACUAAGAUGUCAACUUUUCAGGGUCACUCUUUAAUUCAGGGUACAUUUGCACACAGAGUUCCACUAUAUUUUGCAAGCUCACUAAAAAGUAAAACCUGAUGCAUGUCAACUUUGUAUGCAUUCUUGAUUUCUUUCAAUACAGGGUACAUGCCAUAUAGAAAACUAGCCGGAGAGCGGCAGAGUUUGUUAAAGUGGCACUGAUUUUCUACUACAAGAAGUGAAGACUACGAAUCUACUUCAUCAAAUAGCCCUUCAACACUUGGAUCAAGAUAAAAAACAGUUGCUGCCAUAUAGCAAAGAGCAAUCAAGCUCGAUAUCAUAGAUUGAUUACAUGUAGUGACACAUAGUGCAUGAUCAUACGAAUAACAAAACAACUAUGAAAACAACAUAACUCCUACCUAGAUUGGUUGCACGGUGUAGGACCAGAAUCCCAUCUUCCUGCUGUAGGACAAUCCCAAGGCCAGUGGCUACCAAGUUCAUCACAAACGGUACACUCCGGCUGAGCAGGUAUGUAUGCACCACUGCUACAAUUCUCAGUCAUACACCAACAAAGCUUUACAAAUCCCUCCUCCAGAGGAGGAUGAUCAUCGCCAGAGAUAGUCAUAAUUAUCAUGCCCUAUAAGGAGGUGCCUCUAUUAAUUGGGCAUUAUUGCAUAGCUUCCAUACGAUAGACCUAGAAAAUUAAGGAAAAGAAAUUGUCAAUGAAAACUAUCUAAUAAUUCUGAUAUUUUGGUAAUUUAACGUACCCACAAAAUCUAAUGUUAGGUGUAUGAAAAAAGAGAUGUGUAUCUAAUAUUUUGCGUAAUUUGUGAAUAAAAUUUCUCACAAGUUUAUCAUUGGAGUGAUUUUAUUUGCACAUAUCAAAUUGUUUAAUACACAUCCCACAUUUUUGUAAUUUUUCAAAUUCCUUUAUAAGCCCUCUUCCGAACUUAACCUAAGAUGAGCAAAGUACGUAUUCAAAGUAUUUCUUCAAGAUAUGCUCAAACUAAUCUAUAUACAUUACAACAUAGAGAUAUUGUCCAUAUUUCACCAAGAACUGUCAUGCACUUCAAAUACAAAACCAUCUUGCACGAUUUGAAAGAUGAUCCUUGUAGUCUUUUCUCUUGAAUUGGAUGAUAAUUGAUGAUUGCAUCUAUUGAUCUAGCAAUUAAUAUAUGAGCGACCAAGGUGGUGCUGGGUGUUGUAAAAAUUGAGAAUGGUGAGGAGCGUAUAAGUGAGCGGGGUGAAGAAGAAAGAAAAAUAGGCACAAAGGGCAAAAGAGGAAAAUAUUGGGAAGGUUGGCAAAAAGGUUAUGAGAGGUGUGUAUUGAGAAUUUAAGAAUGUGUUAAUAAAAUUUCUCUUAUCAUUCUUAUCAAUAUAUAUAUAUAUACACACACACACAUGGACGGAGCCGUUCAGAAGCGGACGUUCGCACGGUCCUUAAAGUGUGGACGUCCCUCCGUUCUCCACCCUCCGGCACCGACGACGGCGCACCUCCACCCCAGAAGACUCCAGUAGCAUCCUCGAUCACUUUCCCUCACCGACGAGUCCGUUCUUUUCCAGUUUUUCGGCGAGAACGAUCUUGUUUGAAGUUUUUGGUGAUCUCGCCGGAAAACUGGAAAAGAACGGACUUGUCGGGGAGGGAAAAUGGUUGGGGACACUGCUAGAGUCUUCUGGGGUGGAGGCGCGUCGUCGCCGGCGCCGAAGGGUGGAGAACGGACCGACGUCAGCACUUUAAGGCCGGUGCGGACGUCCGCUCCUCAUCCGGCCUAUAUAUAUAUANNNNNNNNNNNNNNNNNNNNUGAGGGAUCCAUUUUUUUGUUUAUUUCUAGGGAUAAGGUAUUUGACAAACUUCCCGAUUACAAAAUCACAUCUCCACUGUUCAGUUUAUAGGUGUAUAUGAGUAAAUCACUUCUGUAAAUUUUCAGAAAAUUUGGUGAUCGUUAAGUCAUCCAAAUGUUUGAUUUAUUUUUAAUGUUCUUGAACGGUGUAGAUUUGAUAGAAGUUUUUUGUUUUAAUCUCAGUCAUCAAAACCCAUUAAAAAACAGAUCUAAUGAUGUGGGCCUAUCCCUAAAAGUAACAAAAAAUAGGGAUCCCUCAUUAGAAGGGCCCUGUAUAUAUAUAAAUACAAGGAUUAUCAGGUGCAGACGUCCGUACGGGUUUUCCGUACGGAUUUCCAUCGUUUCUCCACCAUUCCAGCACCGGCGACGCUGUUUCUUCUCCCCGACAUGAUCCCAGACCUCCCCCAACGGUGUUGGAAUGAAGAAGAUGGCCGGAGAGAUCGCGAUCGGAGGUCCACCAUGAUCGGUUGUGAAGUUCUGAGUGAGAUUGCUGCACAGACCUCCGAUCGCGAUCUCUCCGGCCUUCUUCUUCAUUCCAACACCGUCGGGGGAGGUCUGGGAUCACGCCGGGGAGAAGAAACGGCGUCGCCGGCGUUAGAAUGGUGGAGAAACGGCAGAAAUCCGUACGGAAAACCCGUACGGACAUCCGCACCGCCUUAAAGUGCAGAUGUCCCUCCGUUCGCCAUCGUACGGCGCCGACGAGGGCGCGCCUCCACCUUAGCAGACUCCAGCAGCGNNNNNNNNNNNNNNNNNNNNCCUACUAUAUAUAUAUAUAUAUAUAAACUGUUAAUGCAAUUAACUACUCCUUAAUUUUAGGUGAUUUUGUGACAACGUUCAAAUUUAUAAGGAUAGAAGGCUAGUAUUUGAUAAAUAUAGGUGCCUAAAUCAAAUAGGAUACAAGUUGUAAGUAAAUUAAGUGGAACUAGGUAUCUCCUAAAAUCAAAAUAAAUAAGGAAAACAAAACCGUAGAAUAAUACCAUCAGAUUUUAAGCUCCCCUCUAUGCCAUUAAGUUUCAGUAUAAAAAGAAGUAUAACGGAGAUGAAUUUCUAGAGUCUCAAACAAAACCUGAAAACCCUAUAAAACGUACGUCGAUAGUAUUGAAGUACUCCAAGACUCCAAGAGCUAGCCAUCAAUGGAUUCUCCGAGUACUGGAUCGUCUCCCUCAUCAAUAUUGCCAGCUGGGACAACAACAAUUCAAGCAACUCAUCAAGUAGUCCCUUCCUGUCCAAACCAUGAAACCCUAGAUCCAAAUAAGGCCGGAGAAUCAUCGGAAAUCUUUUGUGGACUUUGUCUUGAAAGGCAAGAAACCGAUAAGACGUUCACGGUGGAGAGCUGUAAACACUCGUUUUGCUCCGGCUGCAUAAACAGACAUGUCUCCUCAAAGAUCAAAGAAGGAAAACACAUCGUUUCUUGCCCUGGAUUGGAGGACUGUAAAUCAGUCAUAGAACUCGAAGCAUGUUCCUCAAUACUCCCCAAAUCCAUAGCGGAAAAGUGGAACGAAUCCCUCUUUGAAGCUCUUAUGAAGGAGCAGCAGUGGAAGAUGUGUCCCAAGUGCACCUCUUAUGUGGAGAAGACUCGAGGUUGUUUGCGCAUUACUUGCAGGUCAGUAAUUUAUUUAUAAAUAUGUUAAACCUAUGAAUGAGUACUUGUUGGGAGCAGCCAAAUUAACUUUGAACUAAAAUUGAAGUCUACAAGACAUAAUCGAUGCACUGGAGUGGGAUGGAGUUUGAACAUGUUGAUGAUUUAUUGCUCUGAUUGAUUUUGACAUCAAAUUUAAAUGAAUAAUCAGUCAGACCCUCAUAGGUUAAUGUGGUUAGGAUCUACCUCGAACUCAUGAUAUCAUUAAACAGAAUGAUUGUGGUUUCAGGUGCGAUUUUCAGUUCUGCUAUUGGUGUGGAGAAGAAUGGACAGAGGACCAUCGUGUUAGUUGCCAGAAAGAUGAAGGGGAUCAAGAAGAAGAGGACUGAAUAUAUAAUUCUGUCAUGGUUACAGAAUGGAUAUGUGGAAAGAUUUAUAUAUAUUUAGGAACCAUUCUUGUAAUUGUUUAGUUUCUUAAUGUUUCUUGAGCAAAUCACCUCCUUCAGCUCUUUGAGGCUUUCAACCGAAUUAUAACAAUCCAAGACCUAACGUACAAGACUUUUCUUAGAACUAAAGCCUUCACUAGCAUUUACAACCCAUUACCAGGUAUCAAGUUGCACCCUCUUUGGUAAGAAAUGUUAAAUUCAAAAGAGAUUACAUCGAUCAAGUCAAUUAAUUAUGCAAUAUCUUACAUAUAUAGUCCCUGCAGUGUGUGCUCCUUAACUUUUACUGGUUUGUUUCAAAUGUAUCAAUUGGUUCUUUCUGUAUGACAGGGCUGCAUGGAGAUGGAUAACUUGUAUAUAUAUUCUGUUACGUACUACCUCCACUUCCAAAGGAAAGUCCAUUAACUUGUAUCAAAAUGAAAUGCAGCACUACCUUCCAAUUAAAGACUCCUUGUCCUUUCAGAGUUUACUUUCGAAUUCACAGCUACAAAUCAAACAUUUUGUGGUAGGAUUAAUUUAUCUUUGCAUCGGGGUUGCAGAACCAGAAGGCUAAUUCACCCACCUGAUAUUUAACCCUGCUUCCUUUCUAUCCAGAAAUGUAGCUAGCUAAGAAAAGAGCAAUUUACACUAACACAAAGCUAAACUGUAUAGUACUACAGCUGCUACCUUCAAUUUUCGGCUUCAACUUUCGCUCAAAUUUCUAAACAUUAUGACAAACAUAUAUAAAUUGUUAGAAGACAUGAAAAUCAAAUUUUGCAGUGAUGGUUUCCCAAAAUUUGUUCUAAACAUUAUGACAAACAUAUAUAAAUUGUUAGAAGACAUGAAAAUCAAAUUUUGCAGUGAUGGUUUCCCAAAAUUUGAAAUCCAUAAAGACAUGAAAGCCAAGAGAGAACACCCGGCUCAAAGCUCAUAGCUUUCCCACCUCGAAAAACCUCUCGUGGUUUCAACUUGAGUAAAUAUCGAAGGUUCCAUGACUUCCAUCUAAACAUACAACUAAGCAUAGGUUCGCCAAAGAACGCUGCUUAUAGGUUCCUUAAGCAGCGCAAGUAAUUAGAAUACCAAACCUGUGUACCAAGCAUGACUGCUUGGGACUGAGAUUCUGUGUCAUUCAAAUGUUUAUCCCUGCGUGAUUUCCACACAAACCACAGCUUAACAAGCAACUGUCAAAAAAGUGAAGGCAUAUAUACAGUUGCUCUAGGCAAUGAGUUUCUUAUAUAUAUGUCUUAUGUUAUAGCCUAACGUCUGUCUUUCUUUAUUUCUGAGUUACUUCCUUUAGGAACCACAUGCACCAAGUAAUGUGUAUAGAUUUGCAGAUUGCAAUCAUUUGUGCGGAAAUUCAAGUCCAACUAUAUAUCUAGAUCAAUUUGUACAUAUCUGCUCGCACGAUGUCAUACAUUUUGUAUACAUGCUUGCUAGCAUUGGUGCCAACGUACUCUGAGUGCCCUCUCUCCUAUACUUUACUACUAUCCAGAGUAUCUUCCAUCACAUAUAGUUGCACGAUAAUUGGCGCAUCUAUAUAACUGAAAUCUUUAAAGCUUAGAGGCAAUGUUGUUGGAUUAUAAAUCAAGCACAGUAACUUGGUAACCGGUGUUUGAAUGCUGCAUUUGCAUCAGAUUCCUCAUGCCACUUCUAAGUCGAUAUUAUUGGUACCAUGCAUACAUCUCUUGAGUGCUGCAACAUAGAGAAAGCAGUUUGCUCCAGCUGCGGAUGACAAGCACGUACCGGAGAGAGACCUAGCUACUUAUGUACCUUGAUAUGAAAUUGCAGUUACCAGAGAUCGAGUUGCAUCCAUCAGCGAUUUUACAGAACAUAUAUAAGAAGGGAUUUGAGCGUCCCCCUCCUCUGUACUACUAUACUAUAUUUUCCAUCUUUUUGGGGAUUAAGAAGAACUAGGUGCAUGAAUCCAAGAUCGCUCGACCUGUCUGUCAAUAAACUAAAAUUAAUAUGCCAACUCUUUAACUCAGGGUACAUUUGCACACAAAGUUCCACUAUUUUGCAAGCUCACUAAAACUGAUGCAUGUCAACUUUGUAUGCAUACUUGAUUUCUUUCAAUACAGGGUACAAUGCCGAGCACAAGGUUUUCAGCGGCUAAUAGCUCUGUUAACCAAGAAUCCCAUUAUCCCAGUAGCAAUUAAGCAACAGGUCAAGGAUCAAAAUUGGGUAUAUUAAUACUACAAAAUUAAAAAGAACAAUCAGUCUUAAAAUGCAAUAUAUCCCCACUGCUCUUCAUUGCAACUGGAAGGAUCUAUACAGAUCAACAUACAGAACUAGCCGGAGAGCGGCCCAAUUAAUUAAAGUUGCACUCGUUUUCUACUACAAGUACAGACUACGAAUCAACUUCAUCAAACAAUGACCAUACAGCAAACCUCUGCGGAAAUCUCUGAAGAAAUAAUGAGGAAUUUUCCACUCGCAGUUCGCUGAUGGGCUAACUGAGUACUCUCCUUGUCAAGUUUGUGCAUAAGCUUGUGAGGGAGCACCAAAGGCACCCAAGGGGAGCAUCCAAAGGCUCGAGUCUAGGAUAAAUAGAGCGACCAUAUCCCUCUAUGUAUCCGUUCUGCUUCACUGGUGAGAAAAUUAUAGAAAGAGGAAGGACCUGCUAUUCUAAAGAAGCUAGCUGGGAAACAACCCAGUAAACCUAGACAAGCAGAGAGAUGUUUCCAAGUCUGAAUAAGCUCAUGGAUCCUAAGUUCAUAUUUUAUAGCUUCCAUUCCAGACUUCACAAGCAAAUGGGUAACCCACAGUAGGUAUAUACAGACUAAACAUAGCCACCAUGGCUGUACCAACACACAAACAAGCCCAGCUAGCUAACCAAGAGGGAGGAGUAGCUAACUCGCAUACAUAAACCUGAUCUACAUCCCUGAUUUCACUGAAAUUUUUUCCUUCCGAACAGAACCAAAAGACCAUUCGUUUAUCAAUGAACAAUGAUGAUCGGAAUCCAGAACCCUGAUCUCAGAUCAGGUUUGCUGCUAAAUCACUUCACCCAAUGCCCACCUUUUACCAUUUAUUUCCCUUUCUAGGAGGGUAAAUAAAUCACCCAAAUUCAUUUUUUUUUCCUAAAAAGAGAAAGAACAAUAAAUAGGGAAACCUUACUUCAAAUACCAUACCCCCAGAGGAAACUCUCUCUCUCUCUCUCUCUCUCUCUCUCUCUAAACAGUCGACAAGACAGACGCAGCUCAGUCUAGUUUCUCUAACGGUCUAACUAACACCUCAGUUCAGCUCCUUCCCUUCUACUUUUCCUCAAAGCCAUCGUCUUAUUUAGUCAUUGACUUCUAUUGAGCUAGCGUAGCUUUUCAUCCUCUGUAAUUUAUUCCCAUUCAACUUGAUAUUUCUCAAUUGUUUCCUUCUUUCAUUCCAGAAAUUGUUUUCUUCCUUAAUUUCUCAAUUGAUUGUUUCUUGAGAUUCUUCUUCUUCUGCUCGUUUCUUUCUAUCUGGGUUUUUAGGGUACCUGGAGUUUUCUGCGCCGUCAUAAUUGGUUUGGCCUGGAGAAUUGGAAUUCCAAAUUCCUCAGCUCAUAAUUUGAACUGGGUUUUUUGUUCCUACCAUACUAUGCAACCUCACCAGAAAAACCCAGCUGGGGAUUCGCAACCUCUGCCCCCACAGCCACAAUUAGCGUCAAAUGCUCAACCCGAUAAGCAUCCUUUCUCUAUAAGGUGAUUAUUUGAUUUCUAGUUUCGUUUUUUUUAUUCUAUUUCAUGAUUCUUGCUAUGUUUUGCUGGUUGUUUUCAUGUGUAAAUUGUAAUUGUAGAGUUACAUCUUGAUUUAUUCAAUUGCUUUUGCUACUGUCUUGAAAUUUCGAAUUCUGAGUAGGAUAAUAUUUCUAGGUUCUGCUUUGCAUGACACAUUUUGUCUCAGCAUUCAAUUUAUUAGGGCUGCGAUCUGAAUUCCAAUGCUACUUCAAUUCCAUCCAAUGAACUUUUCGCUACUGAAAUUCAUGGCUGGUGUUGUUUUGUUGUUGAGCAUUCUUAUUGUUCUUUUCAGUCUUGAAGUUCCUACUAUUACGACUGUGCUAUGUCAAGUAAUGAGUUGCUAUUCAUUUACCUUGGAUUAUUUGCUGCAAUGCACCUACCUAGUUGCUAAAUAGUUCUAUUUUCAGACAGCAUGUUCUUGCUUGUCGUCAGAGAGAUGUCAUUUCCAACUGGCCAUUCCCAAAGCAAUACUUGCAUCUGUGUCUCAGUCACGGGAUCAAGGAGGUGUUGCCACCCCUUGAAUCCCAUAAAUCAGCUCUGCAGUCAAUUAAAGGAGUUAUAAGUUUGCAUUGUGCUCAGCAAGAAGAUAAGGAUGGUGGUCUCUUUCGGAACAAAUCAUUGGAUACUGUUGUGCAAGAGAAUGAAUGUGAAUGUGUAUUGAACACUGAGCCUUCAUUAUCAGAACUUUCAAUCCAGUAUUGCCCUUCCUCUCCCUCUAAUAGAAUUCACGAUCAUGAAGAAAAUGAGUCUAGUUUAAGUCCUGAAGUUGCUUCCAGUUCCAUUAUCAUAUGCUCAACAGACCAGCCUUCAGCUACAGUACCAAGCUCACAAAACAAAAAUAGUUUUAGUCCCCAUGUUGCUUCCAGUUCCAGUGUCAUAGUUUCAACAGAUCAACCUUCAACUUCAAUACAAACUACAACUACAUUGAGUUCUAUCAGAAAGAUGAGUCGUAAGGAAAGGCGACGUAAUGGUAAGCAGAAGAAGCGGACGAUGGCUGCUAUUUUAGAUGUAGCUAAGCCAUCUACAUUAGAGGAUCUUCUUAGAAUUAAAAGAUUGUGCUGUGUUUCAAGCGACCCUCUUGAACUGGGGGGAGAAACAACAGAAAGAACAGAAUGUAUCAACGAUGAUGAGAAUAAUUGUGAAUCUGACCUAACCAAGGAUUACUCCAGUGAAAAAGUUGAGAGAGAUUGUGAAGCAGCUAAUCUCAGUAUGCAAUCCAGACAAAGGUUGGUGGUGAAGUUCAAUUUUAGCGGAUGUGAAUCUAAUGUCUAAAGCAAGAACCAAUACAAAUUGAACUACUAUAGAUGGAGGUACUGUCUCGGCUUGAUUAUCUUUCUUCUAUAACUGACUAUAGUCACUCACAAAUUUUUAAGAUUUAAGUAACAAUUUUAAAGCAUUAGAUGUAGGGUUGCAAUCACUAAAACUCUUCUCUUUCUUUUGUUUUUAUUUGUUUUUUGUUUUUUGUUUUUUUUUUUUUUUUUUGUAGAAGAUACAAUCAAUUACACUCUGCAUUGCAUGUUAUGAAUACAGCAAGAAUGAGUGCUCAUUGUGAGAUAUAAACUGAUAAUGUCUUCAGAUAUAGUUCUACAGAAUGUGUUUGGUCUUUAUUUGACAUGUUUGUGGUUAAUAGAAAUGUUUAAUUUUGGAUCUGAGUAGUCACUAUUUUAGCUUCUGUGGGUAUGAGAAGUACUUCCAUCUUGUACAUGCAAUAAGUGAUCUGUGUUUUUUUUUUAAAAAAGGCAGUCAAGUACUGGUAGGUUUAUGUUUUAGAGGGCUUAAAUUCAUAUUAACAGAUGUUUGGUUCUGUUGAAAUAUUGCCCAAAAUUUGGAAACGAGGUUGCUUGCUUUUUGAGAUGGAGGUCAACAUGCAUAAUGCUUUGAUCCUUAUUAAAUUUCAAUAGACCUAAACUAUGACUUGUCCAAAUAUAUAUAAGCUCCUCUAUAGUAAGGAUCAAAAUGCAAUUCUUAUUAACUAUAUGAAGCUUAACUUUUUUUUCUUUUUUUUUUCUGCAUAUGCAAUACAUCGUUCAUAUCAAAUAUAAUUUUAGUUUGAUCAAUCCAACAUUUUUUUUGUUGAACUGAUCAGUACAAGUAUAUAAAAGCUUCAAUAGAGUUAUCUACUAAUUCUUAAUUCCUUCUCGCUGAAGAAAACAUUCGGUCAUAGAAAGAAUUGUGAUACACUAAAUCAUCUUCAAGGUCUCCUUAUUUAAGUUUUGUUAAAAUUGUGCUUGUGGUUUUUGACAGUUUCACGUGGAAAGUUAGAUUUGUUGGCUGCGUUGGAUCAUUGAUGAAGGCAGUGGCUUACUAUUUUCUUUUUUACGCCAACAAUUCUAAAGAUCCUGAACAAUCCCCAGCAGGAUGAUAAAAGCAAAAGAAAGGUGGUUGAUGCUUGCUGAAGAGAGAAGAGAGAGACACAGAGACAGAGAGAGCUAGCAUUUACCNCUCUCGAGUCUUCUUAUAUUGUAUGAGGAGGAUAUUUCAUCGGAUUUANNNNNNNNNNNNNNNNNNNNNNNNNNNNNNNNNNNNNNNNNNNNNNNNNNNNNNNNNNNNNNNNNNNNNNNNNNNNNNNNNNNNNNNNNNNNNNNNNNNNNNNNNNNNNNNNNNNNNNNNNNNNNNNNNNNNNNNNNNNNNNNNNNNNNNNNNNNNNNNNNNNNNNNNNNNNNNNNNNNNNNNNNNNNNNNNNNNNNNNNNNNNNNNNNNNNNNNNNNNNNNNNNNNNNNNNNNNNNNNNNNNNNNNNNNNNNNNNNNNNNNNNNNNNNNNNNNNNNNNNNNNNNNNNNNNNNNNNNNNUUCUUUUUUUUUUUUUUUCCUGAGGUAGAAAAGGUCAGCCCUUUAUUGAUAAAAUGGAAAAUUACAUACGACAACAUUAGCUGCAGUGACAGCUAGUAAAAACGAGGGUGAAGAAAAACGUUCCUGCACUAGAGAGCUAGCAUGCGCAGCCAUUAGAUGUGCUGCCUCGUUAGCAUUUCUUCUAGUAUGAACAAUCUGCAUAUUAGGAUGAGAUACCAAAAUGGAGCUUAAGUCAUCAUAAAGUCGUCCCAACAGGGAGGUAUUGAUUUCCUCUGAUCUACACAAUUGUUGCUGCACCAUCUCUGAGUCAGUUUCAAUUACAGCAGCUACAGAAGUUCUCUGAUAGCGGUAAAUGAUUUAACAGAAAUACUUGAGAGCCCAUUUACCAUAUUAAGAUAAGGUGAAUAUUGAUAUUAAUAUUUCAAUAGGGUGUUGCUAAAUGUACCUAGAAAAUAACUGAGUAGACCCAACAUCAUUUUCAAACCCAUUAAAAUUUUAUAAUUUCCAAUUAUACCCUUACUGUGAUGAAACCCAGCAAAACAUUUCAAAUGCUACCCAGCAAACCCAAUCGAUCCUAAUCGGAAAAAAAAAAAAAAAAAAAAAAAAAAAACAAGCAAUAUAUCUCCAACAAAACCCAACAAAGAAAACAAAUUAGUUCCUUAAUUGUGUUGUAUUGAAAACUUGCAAUUGACAAUUUCAAGGAGAUGCAUUCAUGCAUAUUGACAUUUCAGUUCGAAUCUUGAAACUAGACAUACAAGUUGACAGACCCUUCGUUGGUACCCUAAUCCACCAAGCUCCAGCCUUAUACUUUCUGGGCACCAGUAUACAUACAUAAAGUCGGUCUUCAAUUAAUCUACAAUGAGAAGUUUAAAUUCUGUGUCGAUCUUCAAUUAAUCAACAAUGAGAAGUUUAAAUUCGGAACUCUUCCUUUAUAAGAGCUAAUUCUGGCUUCCGUCUUUGCAACCAUCACGACAGCCACUCUGUGCCAAAAUCAAGUUUAGAACCCAACCAUAUCAGCAGCAGUGGUAAUCGUGUAUUUCUCGUCGAGGGCUUUUGGGUUUAUGAACGUACUUAAGGGUAUUAUUGGAAUGUUGCUGGGUGUGGAUAGAAAUUGGAUGAUUUUGCUGGGUGUAUAAAGUUUGCUGGGUCUACUUAGUAUUUUGCUGGGUACAUCUAGCAGCACCCUUAUAUGCCAUUAAGCAAGUACCCUCAUAUGCCAUGUACUUGAAGGAAUUAUGCACAAACAAGAGACAGAUAUAAAGAUGAUGAGAGUGUUUUUUAAAGAGGAGCCUCAUCCAUGAUUCAACAAAAGCUUCCUUCGGAAUUUGGAGAUCCCGGAUGCUUCAUCGUCUCAUGUAUCAUUGGGUUUACAAAUUUUGAUAAUGCACUUCUAGAUCUUGAAGCUAGGUAUUAAUCGCAUGGCUUAUGAAGUCUACAAAACACUUGUUUUGGAGGACAUUUAACUGAUCAAGAUUAGAUUGCAAAUGGAGGAUCGAAGUGUUUGUUUAUCCUAGAGUUGUGAUGGAGGAUGCCUUGGUUAAAAUUUAUGAGAUAUUGGUACUGGCCGACCAUCACAAAGACUACAAGGAGUCUAGGAUCCAGAGGUAAAAAAAAAAGUAAAAAAAAAAAAGUAAAUAAGAAAGAGACAAAAAUAUCCCAAAAUGAAACCGGAGCUUAAAUAUCAUCUACACAAUUUUGUCAUCCAAAUGACAUAAACGGGAAUCGCGGAGAACACACAAGUAUGAAGCUGAAACUCUAAGCGUAGCUCCGUCGGUAAGUCAAGUCCUUCCUCUCUCCACUUGUUUGUUCUGAAUUCCUCGAUCUUCACUAGUUUAGCCUUCGAAAAAGAAGAGGGAGAGCUAGAAUGAAAUUUUGCCAUUCGAUUUUGAAUGGGUGAGUCUUGAUUCUACUUGUUUUGCUUGAUUCUUACUGUUUUCAGUACAUUCUUGUCUUGUGAUUAUGAGGUUUCUAUCAUAUAUUUAUGAGAUUUGAAUCUCAUCCUUGAGAGUUGGGGUUUUCUGCCAAUAUCCUUCAUUCUUAGUUGUUGUCGACUUAGUGGUGUAAGGCUUCUAUGCUUCUUUGCUUUUCCAAUGCACCACUCAUUCUGUGAGCUCUUUCGUCUCUGAUAAUGCUUAGCUGAGGUCUCAGUGACAUCAAGUAUGAAAGUAAUAUCACUAAUAUGAUACACAUUGACCUUAAACAAUAAGCUUAUACCUUCACUAAUAGAUGGAACCAUUUUUACCCUUUUCGUUAUAAUGAUCAGGACAUUCUUUAGACAGAGGUUUUCUUUUCCUUUGUUUUGCUUCUUGUAUAAGUGGAACUUGAAAACUCGGUGAUUGAGCAAUGCCUGGGAUUUUAGCUUAAGAGCCAGAAGUGAUUUCACAUUAUCUGUAGGUGUAAGCUUAGUGUUUGUUUCAUUGCUAAUGGUACAUGUGAAUUUCUAUUUAACAGAAGGUUCCUCUAUGGACAAGGAUUACCUGUGGGGGUGUAAGUACAGUGAAUUGAAAGUAAUUUGAAAUGAUGCCAAAUGGAGUUCUUACUAUGUAGAUUUUGUAUAUUAUUAUCUCUUUCUAAAUCUGUUUAAUGCUGUUUUUACGUUUUCCAUUUAAACAUGUCAGUUCCCUAGGCACAGUACUAUUUCCACUUUUUUUUUGGUCAAUUGUACUAUUUCCACUUUGAAUGGUAUGUUUGCUAUAAUCCUUAAGUUGAUGCAGGAAUUGUCAACCAUUUUCCUAGCUUGGUGUUUAUAUAUAGGUUUUUCCAUCUGUUAAAUUGCAUAACCUUGGUUAUUGUUUAUGGGUAUAGGAAGAUGACAAUGAAGAUGAUAACAAAAUGUUGUAACAAGAUUUAGUACACUGUCAUCUAUGGUAAAUAAAUGAGUGGCUGCAUAAGACACAAUUGUAUGAUGACAGCUUUGCUUCAUCCCAGUCAUGAGAAACCAUUAUGGAGAAGUGCUUUGGGUUACUAUCAUGUGCACCAUGCGAGACUGAUGACGUUAUUGUUACACCCAGCAGAGUCUCCCAGAGAAAUAGAUUAGUGUAGGAUAGAAAGCUUCUGAUUGCAUGAUAUGGCGUUGUUGUUGCCUUUCUCAUCGCAAAACUUUUUGCCCAUUGCUUCUUUCCGUUCUGACUUCCUUCCUUGGAAUCCUCACUUAUUUGAAGUCAGCAGAAAUCAUAAAAACAUCAGUAAAACCAAAAACAUCUCUUUUCCAAUUUCUUGCUCAUCUGUUAAAACUGUCCGUAGUCCUUCACUAGACAGGCAUAUUGUGAAACAGAACAAGAUUCGGUUUGUCCUAAAACUACAAACACUGCUCCUUUCCAAACCAAAAUGCUAUAUUCCACUUCAGAUUCUUAAUAAAUGUCGAUCCUACCUUUCCCUACCAAAGCCCCGGUCCAUCCUUUCGAUGAUCCAUCGUUACCCUACCAUUUUUGAAGUCUUCUCAAUUCCUACAGCACCUAUGCCAUUCAAUGCAUCUAAGUCAUUAUCACAACUCUGUGUCCGUCUAACCCCAGCUGCGGCUGCCCUUGCUGCUGAGGAAUCAAGUCUAAGAUCAGCCAUCUCUGAUUCCUUGGCUACCAAACUCCAGAAACUUCUUAUGCUUUCUUCUCAUCAUCGGCUAGUUCUGUCAAAGUUGGUUCACCUUGGUCCUGAUCUUGGUCUUCACCCUAACUUUCGGUCUCGUCUCUGCAAUGACCAUCCAGAAAAAUUCAAGACUAUAGAUACCUCUUAUGGUCGUGCACUUGAGCUUGUAUCCUGGGACCAAGACUUGGCAAAACCUUUGCCGUCUCUUCAAAUUCAAUCGCUUGGGCUGAUAGUAGACAGGCCUUUAAAGUUCAAACAUUUGAAUCUUCGGAAGGGGCUGAAUCUAAAGAGGCGACACCAAGACUUUUUGAUCAGAUUUAGAGAAAUUCCAGAUGUGUGCCCUUACAGUACCGCUGCCUUGGAAAUGCCAAAAGAGUCAAUUGAGGCAGAGAAAAGAGCUUGUUUGGUGGUGAGAGAAAUAUUAGGCAUGAUGGUUGAAAAGAGAACAUUAGUAGACCACCUGACACAUUUUAGAAAAGAGUUUGGUCUGCCCAACAAGUUGAGAGGGAUGAUUGUGAGGCACCCUGAGUUAUUCUAUGUGAGCUUGAAAGGGCAGAGGGAUUCUGUCCUCUUGGUGGAGGGCUAUGAUGAGAAUGGUUCCCUUUUAGACAAGAAGAAAGAAACUUUGGUGAUAAAGGAAAAGUUGAUGGAGUUGGUCAGGGAAAGCAAGAGGUUGAGAAGAGGGUGGAGGAAAGCUCACCGUAAUAACACUAGGAUUGAUGUCUGUAAUGGUGAUAACAGUGACGAUGAUGAUGAUGAUGAUGAUUAUGAUGAUGGCUUCCAGGAGUUGUUCAAGUCUGACGAUCUGGAUUUGGAUGACCUUGGUGGUGAGAAGAUUGAGACAUUAAACUACAGGGAGAAUGGUCAUUUUUGGACUGCAGAUGAUCUUAAAGGCAGAGAUGGGCAACUCUUGGAUCCUUGGUAGUUGGUAGAAAAGAAUGCUAAAAUUGUACAUAUCGUACCAGGACACAAUCUGUCUGAAAUGUUUUCUGCAGAUUUGCGAUAAUAGCUGGAUUGUUUGCCUUGUUGUAUGUAGAUUUAGACACUAUCUUUGCAUGGAUCAUUGACCCAAGGAGGGUAGCCCAUUCAAAAUGGUUAGUCUGUAGCUGUAAACUCAAAAUGGUUGGUCAAUAGUAAAUUUGGCAUGUUUAUGAGCGAUCUCAAUAUGUUUCCAAUUCUUCUCUACUAUUUUAUAGUGUUGAAUUCAUAAGAUUAGUCCAGAACUUCUUUUCUUUUUCUGUUGUUCAGCUAACGGAACGUUUAUGAGUGUUCAAUUAUUGGGGAUCAUGUUUCUUAUCUGCUUGUAGUUGAUCUUGAUUUCAUUUCAUUGAGUUAAUAUAUCCACCAUCAAUGGAGGACCAAAUUGAAUAGAUGCAAAGUUGGUCUACUGAAAUGGAGUAGGAAAUUUGGUACACUUCUUUGUCAUUGCAAUUGCGCGUGCGUAAAGAUAGAAUGGAAAGCGUUGCUCCUCAGAUGGAUCGCUUGGAUGAACUGAUGAACUAUGGACUAGGGAGGAGAUCAAUGCAUGGCAUCAGAGAUUGAAAGUAAAACGGUCGUCUUCUCUGGUGGCUAGAAUUACAAGUAAAACAAUAUCAGCCAUCUACGCCACUACAAGCAAACCUGGAACAGAAAAUUUAAUCAAAUCCUACACCAUCUACUCCACUUAACAAGUAUGAAAUCAAACUAAUAGACAAAUCCAAAUUGAAAAUUAUAUGGAAAGGAAAUAUCAACAGGACCUUGUGCAUAUUGCUUGUUCCAAAUAUAAGUCGAACAGAACAAACAAGUGACUAACAUGUAUCAAUGACCAUAUCUAUAAAGCUGGUCUCCUUGAAAUCUGAAGGAUGCUAGUUGCUUGCUAAUAAUCUGACUGAAGAAAUAACCGUUUUGUGAAAUAAGGAAUGGCAUUCGAGCUAGGUCAAUACCUGGGGCAAAAAUAUAUCCUUUCAUUAUUUUCCUUGAGGAGGAAGAUAUAGUUUGCAUAUAGUUCUCUUUCUCUGCAGACUAAUGAGCUCCACUAAAAUAGUUGAUUAUUAUCAGAAAACAAGAUCCAGAAUGCAUUCUGGAGCUUGAUUAAACCAGAAAGACUGUGCCUAUUUUCAAAGGCUAUGCUAGCUAAAUGACGAGCUACUGCAUUACAAACUCUAGGAGUGUGACAGAUUGACACUUUGCCAAGUGUUCAGGUCUAUUCUAAUGUCAUCAAUCAGUCCAGCUUUAGCUACACUACUAUUCUGAGAAUUGUAAAUAUCCACAGUUGCUUCUAGACAGUCAGACUCAGCUAUCACAUUACUUAAAUGCAUCCUCUUCAACAUUUCAAGGCCUUCGAUUCUUUAAUGGCAAGAAUUUGUAUGGACUGCAAAAGCCGCCUGAAUGCAUCGUCUUCAACCUGUUUAGCAGAAGCCAUAGAAUUUGUAUGGACUGCAAAAGCCGCCUGAAACUGACCUGUGUUAUUCCUUAGUACAGCACCAGUGCCUCCAUGUGUAAUCUGUGGCAAGAAGCUGCCAUCAACGUUCAAUUUUAAAAAGCCAUUCAAAACAGGCUUCCAUGAAGCCUUAGCUCGCUUUUUCGGUUUUGCUUCCGCCUGUCUUGCUUUACGAAAUUCUUCCAACCAAGAAAGGGAAGUUAACAUGAUACAGGUAUACUUAUUAGCUAGGCCAACCUUAUUCCUGUUGUAUAUGCAAAUAGGCAUACUCAUUUUCAUUUUUAGACAUUUACCGAUUGUCAAAAGAAGAAGAAAAAAAAAAAAAAAAAAGUAUACGCAUUUACCAAGUAUUCUUUUAGUCAGUACUGAUAAAUAAAUAGGUAAUCAACAGAAGGAAUGUCAAGUUGCUUGUUCUGCAAUGAAUGCAACUUCAGUUGUUACUAGGCAGCAAACGCUUGCAAUGCCGCGGGUAUAUCAUUGAUGUAGUUAAGUUUCUAACAGAUUCAAUUAUCUGAUACUUUAACCAGAUAUGUGUAUUUACACAUUUCAAAUAGGCAUGUACAUAUUCCACAAAGUAGUCAGGCUUAGCAAAAAAAAAAAUAUUAUAUAUUUGAUGUUAGAACCAGCGACUUAAUUACUAUUAUCUCUUCAGAAGAGCCUUCUGCUGAUUCCAUCAUUCAAAUGCAUCCUUCGUGGUGGGAAAUAGUUCAUUUGGCAUCUGCUUUGAGGGGCUCUUACUGGAAGUCAGAAAUAAGCAUAUCAAUAUGUAAGCAGUAAGCCUGUAUAAUAAAAAUAAAAAAGAAUGACAACCGUAGUUAAACCAGCAUAAGGAAUAUUUGUAAAAGAGGCUGUGCAGAUAAAGGACUAGUAGUUCUUCUAACUUUUCUAAGGACAGUAGUUAUUAUGAUCCUAGUUUUUUUUUUUUUUAGCAAAAUCAGAUAGUUUACAGUAACAAUAGUAGAGAAUGUCUUUAAGUCCAGUGCAGUGUAGUGUAAAAUUUCUAUCAGAAUGUCUUUAAGUUUUGUGAGCUGUAACUUUCAGUUUGAAGUCUGGUCAGACUAGUAUAAGAUGCUCUACAGGUGGAAGAAACUUACAGGAGAAAGAUUAUAUAUAUAUAGUCCUUAGUAACUGUUGGAAUAAAUUCAAAUACACUGAACUAAAAUUUGGACAGUUCAGUUACAGAAAGGAGGCCUCAAAUUAAUUACAAAUAUUCAAACAACUUGCAAAAUAAAACCAUAGCAACGGCUAAUUGCUGAUAAUUCAGUCGGGGCUUUCAGCAAGCUAUGCUUUCAAAUUGGGUUUUUCAAACUAAAUUGAUUGAGGCAAUAAUGAAUUGUGUUAUAUCUGUCAAGUACUCUGUCUUACUUAAUGGUGAGCUUGCUACUUUCAAUAAUCCCAACUCGUGGUUUCAGACAAGGAGAUCAUCAGUUAUCUCCAUAUAUAUUAUAAGGGACUUAAAAUGUGUCCAAUUGCACCUAGUUUAAGCAUUCUGUUCUUUGCAGUUGAUAGUUUCAUCUUUCAAGCAGCUUGUGAGGAUGAGGGCCACAAAAGAAAGCUUCUAACCUUCUAUAUAUGAACUUGCUUCAGGGCAGAAAAUUAAUUAUCAGAAAAGUAGUGUUGUGUUUAGCAGAAACGUUCACCCUGAUUUGCAGCACACGGUAGCUUCUAUUUUGGAAGUGAAUAUGGUCGCAGAGCAUGAUAGGUACUAGGGUUUGCCUAUGAGACUUGGUAAAUCCAAGACUGCAAUAUCUGCAUACAUGAAAGAAAAGUUGAUGUAGAACGAGAAUGGGAUAAAUUUAGACAGAAAAAAAUAAAAGUAAGGAAGCGGCGAAUAAUCAGAAAGAAUGAUUUAAAGAUCGGUAAUUCUCGUAUCAUGAGGUUGCUAGCCGCUGGAAUAUUCAAGAAGAUGUUGUUUUGGACUUUUCGGGUUUGUUGCGCAAAAUCUGUUAAAUCUGAUUUGGAGUAAUUUUUGGCCAGAACGUCCGUUUGGGACGCAUGAGACCUUUCCGGAAUGGGAACAACGGGAUCUACAAGACUCAUUUUAGUGAUCCCUGUCAGAUUUAGGCAAAAAGAUAUCGUUUUAUAUAUCCGAUUCGGCAUUUAAUAUUAUUUUAGGUUUUUAGUUUAUUUUGGAUUUUGCUUUCUUUUAACCUAUGGGCUUUUAGGCUUGGUUGUUAGUUGCCCUAGGGUUUAGUUUCUCCUAUAUAAGGACCCUUAAUCGGUUGUAGUCGUCAGCUUUCAUAUUAAUAAAAACUCUUGAGUUUAUCUCAAUUUUCUGGUGGAUUCCAAAUGCUCUCGUGGAUUCGAGAAAACCAGACUUGUGGAUUCAAGUCGCCGUUGGUGGAUUCCAACGUUUAUAUUUCCGCUGCAUCAAAAGUUGUCAAGGAAGCUCAUCUAUUGGAAGCCUAAAUUAUUAAGUUCUUCUGGAAAAGUACCUCAUUAAGGAUGUGGCUCAAAGAAUGCCUUGCUUCUUGCCGAAGGCUCUGUGUGAUGAUAGUCCCCAACUCUAGCUGUGCUAAAAAAAAAUUAGGGUUGAUACAGAAAGUAAGACAAAGAUUCAUUGGAGGAGCUGGAAGAGAUUGUUCUUGACUAAACAUGAGUGCUUUCGGUUUUAAAAAAUCUCUAUGUUUAUAAACUUGGAAUAGCAAAAAUAGUUGGGAACAUUGUUACAAGUCCAAACUCCCUCAUUCCGUAUACUUAGAGCUACAAAUCACCCAAAUUGCUCUUUUGGGAAGCUGAUGUGGCUGAAUCACCCUCUUCUUGGCGCAUGAUCAUCCAAAGGUAGACCAAUUCUAUUUUCUAGUGUGCAAUGGCAAACAGAAGAUGGCAAAAAAUUGAACAUUUGGAAUAAUAAUGAGAUUCUAGACUAUCAAAAGCUAUUUAAUUCAAAGCCUGCAAACUGUGGGCUUGAGUUAGUGUCUGAUUUGAUUACUGAAGAAAAAAGUUUGCACGGAGAGCCUGCUACAACAAAAAGGAUAUCAGGGUAACCUGAGUUGCAUUUCUUGUUUACAUAUAUAUAUGAAGAUAGUGUUCAUUUGUUUUUCUGAGUGGUCUACUCAUCGAAAAGAAAAAGGGAAUAGGUUACUAGCUUAAUACGUACGUACGUGUCUUGUAACUAGCUAAGAUUUAGCUAGGUUUUCUGAAGCUGAAGAUUCCGAUCCGUAGUGUUAUAAAUAUACGAAUACUGUUAGGUGUACACUCCAUCAUCUCACCAAGAAAUUAAAAACUGUUCAAGAAGACAAGAAACAAAUAUCAAAUAUGUGUAUGGCAUUUCCAACGAUUUCUUAAGGAUUUGAUAUAGUACGUAGUGGUGCAUGCAUGCAACCUAGAGAUAUGAUGGGCAUGCGUGUGGGAUGACGUCGUGCAUGCGAUGACUCCCUAGCUAGAGUAAUUAUUCACACAAACAUCAUCGAUUAAGCUCAAGAAUAUGGAUGGUGUUGAUUGAUCCUUAUUUACGUUCGUGUGUAGUGUAGCUCCACUGCCUCCACAAGGUUGAUUAGUUAUCAAUUCACUACGUUUAACCGGACUCUACGUACGUGUGCACGUAACUAAUUUUCCAGUCUUCUCCCACCUGGAUUAGGUUCUCCCUCCUGGAUUAGGUUUACCUAGCUAGCCUUCAUUAUCUAUAAAUAUGAAGGAAUUCUGUCAAGGGUAGUCAAUCGAUCAUUUUACCAUAUUAUUCCCAACGCAGCAGAAAUUAGAAACUAUUCAAGAAGACAAGAAACAAAGCAUGUGCGCUUCGUGUCCGUCCGUACAAAAUCCCAUGGCAGUUGAUGAUGAUCUUCCUCCGGGCUACAAGUUUAGGCCAGACAAAGAACAACUCCUUGUUCAUUAUCUUCGUCCCAAACUCGACGGAGAAGACUUUGCCCAAGAGCUUGUCCCUUUCUGCGAUCUGUAUGGAAAAAAAGAACCAUGGCAGAUAUGGAAUGAUUAUUUCCAAGAAUUAUCAGCGACAGACAAAGAAAGGACAGACCUCUACUUCUUCACCCAGCUAAAGACCAAGACUCCAAAGGGCAAGCACAUAAAACGAACAGUCGGCAGCGGCACCUGGAAAGGCGAAGACGCCCCCAAAGAAGUACUUGCGGCGUCUCAAAGGGUUAUUGGCAAGAGAAGAAGAUUUCGCUACGGAAACGACAAGGACUCGGCACAAAACGAUCGCUGGCUCAUGCACGAGUUUGAACUUGAUGCAUCUUUAUUGAGAAACAAACGUAAAGCGAAAGACUACGUUCUUUGUAUUGUUAGAAAGAAAAGUAGAUCGGUCAAAAAGAAUUCAGAAGAUCAAGAAGGAGAUGAGACGAGUUGCGACGGUGGUGAUGAUCAACAAGAUGGAGACCUUCCUGAGGCUAAGAAAAAUAAUGAUCAUAAAGAUUCAGAGACAGUGAGCUUAGAGGAGAUGGAGAACUUACUGAUGAGUGAUGACUGAUCGAGGAAGAUGUGUGUCAGAUCAUGAUCAGUUGUCUGAGGCUACUCCCUCUUGAAUUGUGUUAAUAAAUCUCGCUGCUUAAAUUGAUUAGCUUAAAAUUAGGUUUUCAGUUUUACAGAAGAAAGUUGGGUUCAACCUAGAUACAUAUAUCAAAAAUCGUUGAAAGUACAUGUUAAAGAAUGAUCAUGUUUCGAAAAGAUGAUAAUGUAAUAAGCUAGCCGUCUGUAAGAAAGAUGGAGAAAGAAUUAUCCAAGGAAUGAGUGAAUAGUCUAAGUAUUUGUCCCCCAACCUUUAGAUACAUGCUAGAUUGCAAGUCACAAAAAUUAAACAAACAUUCACAUAGAUAAAAGUUGGUAAUUAAAGAUUUUCGAUGCAUCUUUUUUUUUUUUUUUUGGUAAUUAAUGAAAGAUUCAUUAAUAAAAUGGGUAAACCCAUUAGAGGAGCCAAAAAUGCCCAAUUACAAAUUAACUUAAGAAAAAUUAACAUUCAGCCCAAUCCACAUAAAAAGGAUAAAAGAGGCUAUAGGGUAACCCUAAAAAGAUAAAAGUUUACAUCAAACCCUAAUUUUCUAACACAACCGCCGCCACGUAAACAAACCCUAGCCACUGUUGCUGACGUUGUCGCCGCCGACGCCGACGCCGCCACCGCCACCGCUGCCAGAGACCAAGAGGUCACGAGAUGUGCCAAAAUAAAGGGAUGAAGUCCGAUAACCGUUGCUAAUAAAAUCCAACAACACAAAUCCAAUGAAACCCACAGAAAUUAGAGAUGAAAGAGAGGAAUCCACACCAUACAAUAGCUAGCUUUCUCAAAUCCACAUAAGAGACUUGAUUCGAAAGGGAAGUGAGGCCACCAAAUUGGGACAAAAACCGUAACCGGAUAACAAAACUGAUGGUGAAUGGGGGGUGGAACACCAUGCGUGAGCACCCAUAAACCUUUUGGUAAGUGAUCAAUUCUUUGGUAGAUGGAGGGGAGCUCAUGAAAGGUUGUGGGUGAGGGGAUUGAUGGAGGUUUCCGGAUUUGAAAAGGUUGUUGGAUCGGCAAAAAAGGGAGGAACCAAGUCCUCUAUGGCUGAACAUAAAUCAGAAUAAUAACCACAAAACGGGCAAAAUCACCGCUGAGGUGAGAAGGAAAUUGGAUCGAUUGAUAUCAAGAGAUAGAAGAGAAGAGGCCAAGAGAACCCACCCUCAACUCUCAAGUCUUCGAUCUAGAUCCGGAGGGAUCUAAAUCUAGGCAAGAAAGAAGGGGGAAGGAGCUGGAUUGCAUAUCUAGUUUCUCUCUAAGUUUAGAGAGAUAGACUCUCCAAAGCAUUUUUUUUUUUUUACUUAAUUUUCAAUGCAUCUAAUGAUCUAAAUAAACAGGAAUAACAUGCAGCUAGCUUCGACAUCAGGUACCCUUAAAAUCGAAUUUUUCUAACUAAAUUCUAACAUCAAUUCUUCUGACUCGCUCACUGCAAGAGAGAAGGUCAUAUGAUAAUCCAAUAUUCAAAUUCAAUUCCCUUCUACAGCGGUGUCCCGAUUUGAAAUUAAAAUGUGAACCUGCUUAUUUCGCUUACUUUCAGGUCGCAUUUCCACAACUCCACAUUUCAGUGUCUAAAACACAGUUGUUAGAUCAUUUCUGCAAAGUUUCAUCCAAUUUGAAGAUCAUUUGAGCUUUCGUAAUCAUGAUUUACACAAACGAUUUUGUUUGGACAACUUUUGUUCUUUUGAUUUAUUUAAUCUAAUCUGGUACCCAAAUGAUCUCCAAAUUAGAUGAAACUGUGUAGGAAUGAUAUAUACACUAUGUUCUAGACAUUGUACGGUUGAGAUAUGGAAAUACGACCUGAAAGUGAGCGAAAUAAGGAGGUCUCUUUAAUUUUAAAGCGGGACACCGCUCUGGAAAUGAACUGAUUCAAAUUAAGUAAAAAUUAAAUAAAUAAAUUUAAAAAAAAAAAAUUGAAGUUAGGCACAUAAAAGUAACAAUGACAAAAUCAGGCAGGAUACAAAGGGCUUAUUUGCAAAGUAACAAAAUCAGUAAUCAAAUCCAACAUAUUAUGCCGUCUGAUUGUGAAUCCAGCCCCUCUCUGAGUUUAAUUAUAGAUAGUUUACCUAGACCGCUGCGCACACAACAACUCCACAAGCAGUAAUUAAGUUCAAGCCAGUCAAACAAAAUGGUGAGGUACUAAAAUUGUCUGCAGUGUAAGGUGUCUGUGUAACGUAAUAAGAAGCACGUUACUUUUCAUUUAGCUAAAGCUCUUUGGGGUUACAGAGUUUUGGUUGUAAAUGGACGAAAACGAAGAGAAGGAAAAGAUCUUCAUAGGUUUGAACUUCUUGUCCACCGCUUAUGUUUCUGUUCCUUUCUUAAAGGCCAAGUUAUGAUAUAUAUGUUUAUGCUCAAAAGGGAAAGAUGAAUUCUCAAUGGCUGCUGGGUUCACUUACAUGAUCAAGCAUAUCAAAGAAGAGUGCAGACAGAUGAACUACGUACUAGAGUUGAUCAUCCAUACCUGCGAGCUAAGAGAUCAUUUAAAGCAUCAUCAUCAUCAUCCAAUACAGGUGCAGCUUCCUCUUUUCUAUUCUCAUUCAAAACUCAAAAGUGACUCCAAAUAUCUCUUCGAUCUUCCGCCCUGCUGUGAUAAACCAAUUUUCAAGAGCAAUGACUAACUACUCAAGAUGAAUAUAUCAGAGUACGUAUAGAACAGCGAACAUCCAACCUAGCUAUAAAGAACAACCUUCGGUUUACGAGGUGAUAAUUAAAAAUUUUACCCCUUGGGGCUUGAGGUUAACAUCAUUUCAGCUCCCGUUCUCUCAAUUUUAAAAAUUUACCCCCUAAAGUUUCCAAUUUCCAUAAAUCAUGCCAAAUUACUGAAAUUCCGUCUAAUUUUGACGUUGAUUUUGACUUUAUAACUCAUUUUAAGAGCUCAAAUAGUCAUAUAACAACAAAUAUUGCCUUUUAAGACAGUUUUUCUAAGAUUUCAUGCUAGUAUUUAAUAUCCAAAUUCAAAUACUGCCUUUUGAAACAGUUUUUUUAAGAAUUUCAGCAAUUAUGCAUAAUUUAUGAAAAUUAAAAACUUUAGGGGGUAAAAUUUCAAAAUUAAAAAUGUGGGGACUGAAAUGAUGUUAACCCCAAACCUUGGGAGGGUAAACUGAAGUUAAUCCAACUUAAAAUGAUCAGGGAAUGAAUAAACAUGCCUCCUCUACAUGAAGCUGGAUGAGAUAUGGAUGCACGAUUGCAUGUAUAUAUAUUCGAAGCUCCGUAACAGAAUCAUGAACUGAUCGACCGGGCCUGAAAAUGAUGUGCAUGGUAAGAAACAACCUGGAGUACCAUGGACUUUAUACAAGAACUAAAAUACGUACCUUUGAAUUAGUAAUUGAACCCAGAUUCUCCUCUAUCCUCUUCAUCAAAAGCUUCUGAUAACUAGAAGCCUCGCAUCUUACAAGUCUCUCAAUCUUUUCAGGUAGUUCAUUCUCAACCUGCCAUAGAGAAGUUAAAUUGCAAAAGCGUUAGGAAUUCCUAACUAGGAUAUAUGGUGAUUUCCAAAGCUCAAUGUAUAUACACACACACAAAGAAAGGAUCAGAAGAGGACGUCUGUGUGCCCAUAAAGUGCGGACGUCCAUGCGUUUGCCACGAUCCGUGUGUUUACCGAGCGGACACCAGACCUCAAUUGUGACCUUCCUCUUUCUGGUAGACUCGUCCUAUACCAGUUACAGUCGCCAAUGUUCUUGUCUGAAGUUUUGGGUGGAGGUUGUUGUCCAGAACUUCAAAUCUGAUCUUCAUGGCUUCAUCUUCAUGGUAAAGUUAUCAGGGAUGCCUCUGGUGUCCGUCUGGCAAGAGAAAGGGACGUCGUCAACUUUUGAUGGCUGAGAAAGGCGAGACGUCCGCACUUUUACGUGUUUACGGACAUCCGCUCUUGAACCAGCCUCCCCUGUCCGGCGGCGAGCCGUGUUGCCGUUGUCAGACGGGCCUUUACCGACCCUUUGUGGGUCUAGAUGGAGCCGGCCAUUCAGUUUUGUAAAUUGGGUGGUGCGGCGGCGGAUUGCGACGAGAGGAUGGAGGAAAGCAAGGACAAUGUCAGGUUUCGGCGAGAUCUAAUCUGGUUUGGUCGUCGGUGGAUCGUCUGGAGUGGCAGAUGGGCGCGGCAGCAUGGUGGAGCUCAGGUCGAAUGCAAAGAUCGAUGGGAUCUGAAGGACGUCUGACUCGGAUUCGUGCUAACAUUGUCUGGAUUGGAAAGAUUAGAACCGAACUGGGCACGAUCUUGUGCAGGACAUGGUGCGAUCAGGCCUUGAUCUCGCGCAGAAGUGUUGGUCGAGCAGAGACGGUGGUGGUCCGGCGACUCUGGUGAGGCGGUGACUGUUGGAAUUUGAUGGCGGUGUUGGCAUUGACUUCGUCCUCUCCUUGUGGUGGAGCUUGGGCUUGGACUCUAUUGGACCUAAACUGGGCUGGUAUUGUUGUUUUUGUUUAUAUUUUUUACAUGUUUUACUUGUUUGGUUUGUUUUCUAGUGGCUUUAUGCCAUUAAUAAGCCUCGUCAAGCGAAGUGGGCUAAUGUCCUGACAAGUGCACGCAGCGUGUCAUGCCUGUCCUAAGGAGGCAACGAGUUUCUUAAGUAGUCAAAUGGUCGCAGCCACUUUAUAACAGGGAGAAUUUCGAGCAUAAUGGGAAAGGGGAUUUACAAAGUAUUUUAUGGCUCUAAUGAGUUUUAAUUUUCUGUUAUGUCGCUAUGUUUUAGUCAAAGCAAACAGAAUAGUCAAUGACACACUCUUUGCUAAAUAAUUCUUGCUAGAAUAUUUUGAUGAUGUAAGGUCUCCUGAUAUUGUUUUAGGGUAUUCUUACGUUAUAGAGUUUAUGCUUAAUGUCCCCCCUUACGGAAAAAAAAAAAAAAACGCAAUCAAGAAACCUAAACCCAUUCUCAAAUUAUUCUACAAUAAUAUUCAUGUAUUGUGCAAUAAUUCAAGUAUUUAACUACUGAAUCCUAAUCGCAUUGAAAUUAAGUACAGUUGGAGCAAUUUGGAAACAUUUCAUACUUCAUUCCCACUAAAUACAAGUAACCUUUGACGCAGUGGAAAGAUCACCCAUCUCAGGUUCAUAAACCUUCAAUCCGGAUCUGGAUUUGCCAACCAGCAAAGGUUGGUGGUCAUGGAGACCAUCCAAUCAACUCUCUCUCUCUCUCUCUCUCUCUCUCUUGAUUGGAUGGUCUCCAUGCUGGUUGGCAAAUCUGGAUCCUCCCACACCAGAACAUGUUUUAUCCUCCAGAUUUUGGUUUUCAGCCAUGUCCACCGGAUUUUUAGUGGGUAUAGAAAAACAUUUAAGUCCAUCUUUGCCUGGUAUUGACAGUUCUCCACACCAGAAGUCUUUUAACACAUACGCUAACCAACUCAUAUUCUAAAUGAACUGUCAAAUUGUACAACCACUGGAAUUAUGAAAUUGUAAAUAAUCUAGUAAUGAGGGUCUACCCAAAUUGUGUCUGACCAAUUUGUUAACCAAUACACAAAACUGAAGAAAACUCUAAACAAGAAUCCAAAUGUUAAACAUAGAAAGCAAAGAGACAAGAAACAUGCACAUUAGUGACGCUUCAAGGAUGUGGGUUCUGUACAGAACCUGUUCCAGGGAGACACAGUCCCAAGCUUUUCCCCAUUGUUCUGCAUCUUGACUAUGCUAAUGAAUCUUCGAUCAGAUCCCACAAUAGACCUCAAGUGGUGUUUUUAUGCGAGACGAAAAUCAGUAGAAAAGAAGAUUUUGAGAAACUGUAGUUGACUCUAGGGUUUGCGAAGGCUAAGGUAGUUCUUAGCGCUGGCUUACCUGGGGGCUUGCUUUGUUUUGGGAAGCAGACAUCAAUCUUCAGAUUAAGACGACUUCUGCGCAUCAUAUCGAUGCCACUAGCAAGGAGGUGUUGGUUUACCGGAUUGGAGAUUGACAAGCCCGGAAUGAGGCCGAGGAGCUGUUGGAUGAGAGCUACGUGAUGCCUCGAGAUCACUAUGUCCCACAACUCCACCAACCUCCUAUUCAUUGUUGGAAAAUACUUUACAUCCGGGCUAAUAUGUACGUGUUUUAUUAAUGUUGAAAAAUACAUGCCAAUCCAGACGCAAGUAUUUUCUUUCACUAUUCAGACACCUAUUAAGAUCAUUCUACCUUCAUUAAAAAACUGCUAUAGAACAAAUAUUACCAAGAAGAAACAAUAGAACAGAAUUUGUACCGGAAAUACAAAAUUGGGGCAUAAAAAAGUUAAAUUACAUAUGGAACAUUAAGCCAGCCUGAUUAUUAUAUCAAUACUGAGUUACACUAAUGCCUCAGAAAUAGCUCUUCUGCUGCCUGCGGCCUGCUUAUUUUAACCCAUAUCAUAAAAAAUACAGGGCACAUCCACAGAUUCCAUGCACAAAACUUCUAACUACGAAAAGUUUUAUGUAUCAUCCUCAAACCAACAGGCAAAAAUUUCUUCCCUGAAUUCACCCAAACCUAUGCAGUUAAUAAAAUCUUUGAUACGCAAAGUCUCAUGAUGCAGCUUUGGCUUUUGAUUUUUGUUUCUUGCCAUCAAGUGCUGCCAAGCCUUUGCCCAACCCAACUGGAGGUUGACCUUCCUGCUCUAAUGAUGGUUGGUUAGUUUUCGCAUCUGCCGGGCCAUUUGAAGGAUGGUUGUUGGCUUCCCUCGAUCCAUUAGUUUCUCCAUUUUGCGCUGACCCUGGGGCCCCACCAGCACUCAUCAUAUUGAUGAUCUGAGUCAGUGGAUUAUAUGCUUGGACAGGAACACUGUGUGGACGUAAAAGGCCCCUUGCUGCUGCCUUCUUUCUGUUGGCAGCUGCUGCUCGUGCAGCCCUUUCAUCAACUCCCCUCCCUCGGGGAAAAGCUUCACCCAUUAUUGCAGCAGUAUUAAGUGAUCUGUUCACAGAAGCGUUGGAACUCCCAGACCCGCCGGCUAUAGCAGCAGAUUGAAGUGCCUGCGCCCAGUCAGGAUUGGCCUGACAUGCAAAGUCACAUGUUAGCAAGAAGUUUUGAUAUGUUUAUUGAAAACAACAAAAAAAACAUAAAAUUUGGGAAACUGCAAACAAGCCACAUCCUUCAAUAUCAAUAAAAUAUCCAAUCACCAGUGACAGGAAGAAUCCAAAAUACCUUUAGAAUGUCAAUUGCCUUUUGAGCUUGAGCAGCAUUCAGAGCUUGACCUUUUUGCUUUUGUGCAUUCAUCUUUUAUAAAAGAAUAGGAUAAAGUUUAGUAAUAAGAAACUAGUAUUUUCAGAAUAUGGAACCAAUUUCGUCUGUUACACCUUAUAAGAAACUCAAAAAUACUAAACAUACCUGUUGCUCUCGCAACUUAAAUGUCUUCAUCCAGUUUUGAGAGUCGCGUGUCCUCGAGUCCUCCUCACCCAAUUGUUUGACAAGUAUAUCAUAAGUUUUCUUCUCAUGCUGCCACACAAAGUGUCAAACUCAAUCCGUUAUAUUUCAAAGUUGUUUCAAUAAAUCAAAAGGACUAAUUUCAGUAUGGCAUCUGAAUUUAUGUUUAUGAACUAUUUAUUCAACUCUUUAUUAACCGCCACAAGUCCAAUUGAUUUCAACAGUUGACUACAUUUAUUUUUAGUGUAAUGUACAAAUUAUGCUUACUUUCAACAUGAAACGCAGUCUUAAUUUCAAAUCAGGGGUCACUUGAAACUUGUGGAACAUGAAACUGUCAUGAAUUUAAAUCUUCUAUUAGAGAAACAUACCUGGUGGGAGAGCUUGAAGGCGCCCAUACAAUUACAUGCAAUGGCAAGUGCAUGAUAGCAUACAGCAGUCUGGAUAUGUUCCACGCCAAGAAGCCUUUCAUUCUUUUUCAAAGCCUCUUGCAAAUAUCGAAGAGCAGUUGGCAUCUUGCCAAGAUCCUGGUACAUCAUAGCGACAUUAAUAAAUGUUGCUGCAACAUCAGGGUGAUCUGGGCCAGAUGACAAACUUAGCAAGAGCAAUGCUCGGGACAUAUGUCGUAGGGCAAGUUCUGUUUGGUUAAGUCCAUGAUAGAAAAGAGCCAUAUUCCCAUAGCUGCAGUAAUAAUGAUGUAGAUGAAGGAAGCCAACAAUUAGUUCCAGAAAUAAAGUCAAGAUAGAUAAGAGUUAAGUAAAACAAUGAUAGGAUAGGCUAGGGCACUGAUCAUAUACAAUGGGGGGAAACAAUGAACACUGAAAAAAGAAAUAGAGUAACAAAGACCAAAAGUAACCAACUGCAACAAAAAAAGUAAAAAGAUAACAUACGUAUAUAUACAUUCACACGAAUUUGUAACAUUACAUCCACAUUCAUUUAUGACAACUUUUCUUCGUUAUAUCCCAAGUUUUGGUUUCCUGAGACAAAAAUAAAUAGCAGAAGUUUACCUGUGAGCAGUGUCAGGGUGGUCCAAACCCAGGCAACGCUCAUUUAUAAUUAGCUCCUUGUGCUGUUGCAUUAUGGCCCCUGCCAUGUCUCCUGCAUGAUACAGAACCAUUGCAAGAUACCUGAAAUUUAGCACAAGGGCACAUCAGCCCAUGAAUAUAUAAUUUCAAUCAGAACUAAACUUUAGACAAGUGGCGAAAUAUACCGACAGCAGUUAGCAACCUCUCGAUGCAUUGGGCCUGUAACCUGAAAUUUAGAAAGAAAGAAAUAAUAGUUUUCAAGUCAAUAUUAUCACAAAAAGUUUUACAUAACAGCACAAGUGAAGUUGCAUACCUGCUGCAGUAUGGAGAAGGCCUCAGAAAAUACUGUGUAGGCUUCACUCAACAUUCCCUAGCAAUAAACAAAUAAAGAAAUGUAAUAAAUGAUCAAUGCCAUUCCAUGGCAAGAGAAAAUUUCCAUCUGCUAAUUGUAAAUAAACUCAUUGCUUUACGAAAUGCAAAGUGGCAAAUUUUCAGUUAUAUUUUGCAAAUUCUGAACUAUUCCACAACAUAAAAUGAUAGAGACACCUUAGUAGUUGAACAGUUCUUUACAAUCUAAAUAAUUCAUAACUAGGUACAUGGGUACUUUCACUACUCCAAAGUAAAUUAUAGGCUAUCAUUGAAAUAGCACUGACACGUAGGCGGCAACAUAUUUCUGCCAGAUGUAUUCUUGGAAAAUUCAUUAAUAAACCACAAAGUAGGGUUAAUACCUCAGCCAAUUGGAUUUUCCCUGUUUCCACGAGUUCCUUGGCUUCUGAACAAACAGGAACUGAGUGCUUCACUACAGGUUGAAGAUUCAAUAUAUCUGAUAUUUCAAAAGGUGCAGCAGAAUUGAGAUCAUAUCUGCGAGCUGCAAUUGUAAUGCCAACCUACAAGAGAAAUAAAGCAAGUUGUUGACUACUAAGAAGCUAAGGUGAUUUUGCAAUCAUACUGCAAUGAAUUCAUAAUUACCUUUUGGCAGAGAUUACGGAUAACUGAAUCUUUCUUUACAUGCGUCCUAGCAUCCUUUGGCAACUCGAACUAUAAAGAAUGAAGAUUAGGUUAAAAAAUAUGCAAAUUCACAACACUCCAAAAUAUAUACAGGACUAAGAAUCUAAGAAUCAGCGACCCAAUACAAUAAAUAACAUGGAUAUGACACAUAAACACAAAUCAUAUGUAAAUAACAUUGCAAAACCUCCAAGAAUCAAUUUUUAAUUAAACAUAAUUGGAGAGGAGGUGAAUAGUAACAAAUGAAGACAAUAAUUUUAUAAGACGACAUAUUUGUUUUUAUACGACAGAAAUAAAAACAAUAAUCCUUGUGUCAAAAGAUUGUUUUUCUAUACAAGUCAAAAAGUUAUUCGGGAAUGUCCAACUAUAUCUGGUGUAAAAUACCUCAUAUUUGAGUUUGGCAAAUUCUUGAAUGUCAGACCAUAGAAUCUCUGAGCUAACAUCCAUAUAUGACGAUAUAUUCUUUUUCGUAGAAGCUCCACCCUUCCAUCUUCCUUGUCCUUUUGACCGUUUCCCAGGAGAUUGAUGACCUGCUUGUUCCUGAAGUUAAAAGCAUAUAAAUGACGAAGCUUUCUUCAAACCUUGAAGUAAAAUCAAACUAUUGGUAAUAAUGAACUAUUGAUUCGGCAACAGAAGUUCAAAUUAAUAGUUAUCUAUACUUGGUUGCAAUUUCUGAUUGCAGUACUUGGAUAAAGGAUCAAACCGAUAAAAAAUUAGCUGAUUAACAGGUUGACUAUAGAAGCACACGUAACUAAGAAAAUACUAUACAUAAUACAACAAAAAGUAUUUCUUCUACUAUUAAUGUUUUAUAGGUCGACGUAGAAUAAAGAACAUACUUUUUUAGGGAUUCUAGAUUGAGAACUAUUAGCAGUGACUUUUGAGCCAACAGCUUGAUUGCUUCCGAAAAAACAGUUGAAGAAAUGGCAGAUUGCAGGCCCAAUAUCAUGAUCCUCCGUGUCUCUUAAGACAUCCUGCAAACAUAAAAGAUAGCCAAUAUAUGAACAACUUCACACCAGCAACAUAAUGAGCAAUGACAAUUACGUGUGUUUCAAGACAAUAGCAACUUAUUGAGGGCAUAAGCAUAACAAGAACAAUGAUUUUAUUGUUACUAGAAAAUGAUUGCAAACGACAGAAGAUGACACCCUUGAAAUGAUCCAAGAAGAUCGACGAAUAAAUUGAUUAUUUUUUAUGGACUUCGAUGUUAAUAUGAAGUCCAAAAAAUGCAUAUAAUCUGCACUAGAACCUGAUCACAAGAACACUGACUUUGUUGGUACUAUAAAAUGAAUGCAAAAGUCAGAAGAUGGCACCCUUAAGAUAAUCAACCAAAGGCUAUGUAUUUCUAUCAGGCCAUGAAUUGCGAGGAAUUUAUUUAUUUCAUCACGUCAUGUUGGGGACAAUAUAGAUGAUGUAAAAAUGAAAUGGUUUGUGUAAACAUAGGAGGAAAAAGGAUGCUGCAGAAACCACAUAUAAUCACUACACUCGAUUAAAUUCUGAGCCACACAGAGCAUAUGACUACAAAUUAGCAGCACAUACUUGCUGUUCUCCAUCAAAAGUACAAUGAGCAAGGAAUUUCAUGACACAGUAGAUAGAAAAGCAUAUCACCUUGAGAAUGUGCUUAGCUGAUCUAACCACAAUCUCAUUAGAACAAAGAUCCCAAAGAUGAGGUAAAUGCCUGGUCCCUUCAGCCACCUGUUACAUAAUAUCCAAAAGAUACAGAAGCAGAAUUUGAAUCAAAAAUUAGCCUGGCAUAAAAUAAAGUUCUACUCCAAAAACCAUAAUUCUUACUUUUCCGAUAUACCGAACAUUAAUUCCAUGAGCAUGGAGAGCUUCGGUUAGUGUCUGCCCAUCCAUGGGUGAUACUUCAAGUGUGCAAAGAUCUUGUAUGAACUUGGGAAGAACAACGUCAGUAAGAUACGAACUGGCUUUCCUCACAUUUUCUUCAUCUGUUGCUAUCUCCUGAAAAUACGGUGGAAAAAAUAUCAUAUGGUAUUAUUUGAACUAGAUAGAUAAGUAAAAAAGUCAAUCAUAAAGUCCAAGAUUUACCUCUGCGCUUCCAGCCAACUUAAACUCAGUGAAGACAUUAGGGUUGAAAAGAAUUUCCUCACGCGGUUCAGAAAUUUCAGCUGGUGGAGAGACAAUUUCUUCAGCAUUACUGAUCUUCUCCUUUUCUAUUAUGUCCUGCAGAGAGCACCACAAAUUCAACAUCUUAGUGACAUUAUCGCCCUCAUGUGAGAUUAAACGAUACAUGAAAAUCAAUGUACAUAUGACCUUACAGAGAUACCAAAAGGCUAAAAUAGACUGAACAGUGUACUCUCAUCAUAAGCUCACCACUGCCAUAACAUUUCCCAAUAUAAUAAAUACUAUCAUCAUUCUCACCUGGUUACCAUUUGGCCCAUCAGUGGUGACCUGAGCCUCUCCUUCACAGAUAGACUUAGAUUUUGAUUUCUCUGCAUCAAGGACCUUCUCCCCAAAAGGCUCAUAUUAGAUAUUCAUGAUAAACCAAAACAUACUUGUGCAUAUAUCAGAUAUAUAUUCAUGAUUUACCUGGCAAUAAGAAGUAAUUAGUUCUGGCCUCAAGAUACAAAAUCGAGACCCAGACCCAGUGAAGUUUGCAUCACGAGGAGUUACUCUCAUCAAGUCAAGAAGAUAAUGCCUGCAAGAUUCAGAAUUGUAAGCAACCAGAUUUACCAAGUGAGAGCUUCAUGAGUGCAAGCAUUGAAAUGGGGUGCCCCACAUACUUGGGGCACUUUUUGUUGGUGUAAAUUAACAAAACAGAAAAAGAAUUUUCUUAACGAAAAUUGUCAACAAAGGAGCUUUGAGAAGUCAAAUAUCAUAUAUGACGAAGAAAGAAAAAAGAACAUAAAAAUAGACUACCUGUCAUCACUACCAACAAUACCCUUGCAUUCGACUGGAGCAGCUAAUUUGAAAACAUUUCCAGAUCCAUCACGGACAGUGUGUUCCUUCAAAUGAAGGCGUUUAGCAGCCUCCACCACCUAGCACCGUAAACAUUAGCACUUGCACAAGAAAUUCUAGUAUUAAGGAUAGUGUAAUUAGGCUUUUACUUAAAAUGAUUAAUGAAUCUGGCAGAGUGGGUAAUAAGCCAAGCAUCAGAUGCAUCCUCACCUUGGAAUGAAACUCCUCAUUCCAGCAUAUCUUCUUGCCAUUGUCGACAGAACCAUACAGAAGAGAGUCUGAUUUAUCCCCUUGAAGAAUGCCUGGUAAAACACUCUGCAACAGAAUGAACAAAAGAAUAGACAAAAGAAAACAAUCAGACAACAAAAAAUACUUCUUUUCAAAGAUAACAAAUAUAAACGUGCAAAGGAGUGGGGCGAAAAGGAUCCUUUAUGUCUACAAAAGACCAGAUCUCAAGUAGGUAGCUAAUAAAAAAUCGUAAACACGGAUUUUCGUCACACUGGUAACUAUCUCAUAAGAGAAUAUACCUUGUAUACAAAGGGAAAAAGCAUAUAUUUUGGUGGAAUGAAGGUUAGGAUACAGAAACUUGGGCAAUGUCACCAAGCGAUGACCUCUUAACAAGGGGGAAACCCGUACAUAAUUAUGCCCCCAUGAAUAUAGAAAUUAGAAAAUAUACUGGAAGAUAUUAGUUUUGAGACACACCUGAGCUACUACUCUAUGGCCUCUGUAAUCGAUUAUGGCCAUAGCAAGAUUAUAAAGCCCAGGGACAUCUGCUUCCUGGUAUGCUUUAGUGCCUUUCAGAUCAUUAUUGGCAGAAGCAUAAGUAGCCUGCUCAGUCUCGCCCAAUUGUGUCUCCAUGGCAUCAUGGCAUUCCCCUGCGCAUGACGCAUCACAUUUUUCACCGAGAAUUUCACUCUCUUUAUGCAACAAACUGCCUGUAGACAUUUCAGAAGAACUGCGUAGAGAACCAGUGCUCCCCAUCUUCGAAUUGGAAUCUGACAUAUGGUUCUUGGACAGCUGCUCAAGAUCCGCAUCAACAGCGAAACUGAAGAAUAUGUUAUUGUGAACAUACCUAUAAACAAAAUAAAUCAAAGAAACAAAACUCUAUCGUUAAUAUGAUUGUAUGAAACUUUAACCAGAUUUGUUUACAACAAACUUCUUGCAGCCAUAAGAGUUUAAUCUACAACCAAAACACUAAAUAAAUUGCAUGCAUACAACAACCAACCAAAAUAAAGUAACCGUACUAUGUUAAAGAUAUAACAAUACAUACUGAUGGAUGAGAAUACCAAUAUUCUGGAUAGUUACCUAUAAAGAAAACAUAAAAAUAAAAGAUAUUGGCAAAUGUCAGGAAAAACUAGAGUGCCACUGUUUCUGAUAGACCUACACUGAGACUAGAUGAUUCCGUACAGGACUGUGCAGCAACAUACAUUAUGGGAAAAAUAAAAGGUACCAAUAAUUAGCAUAUCAAGGAGCUGAGAUAGUUUUAAAAUCAUCAAAUACUAAGAUAAACUCACCGCCAUCAAGGCAGCUCAAAAAAAAAUAUUGUUUGCUCUGUUUCUAGCAGAAUUUCUUAAAAACAUGUAGUUGAGAAACAAAGGCUACGUCAGACUAACAUGUGGAAGCACUCAGGAUCAGUUGGAUUUAUAGGUGGUAUGCAUCUGCUGAUAACUCCAGUAGCACCACUAAUUGCUGCAUCCACGAAAUCUGAUGUCACUUUGUACAGAGCUCUAUCCCGCAAAAUUCUGCAAAAUAGAUAAGUUAAAUAAAGAAGAUACCAAAAACUACAUUCAAGUGACAGAGUUACUAACAUACAGAAAAGUGCUAGGACAUUGCAUAACUUUUACAAGACUAUACAUUACCUUUCCUGAGGAGUUGUAUGCGGAAAUUCCCUACAAGAUUGCAACUCCUCAUUCCAAUCCCUUUGCAUACCAAUUAGCUCACUACCAUAGGAGAGGGUCAAUGCAUCCUCUGCUCUAGCUGCAUCGCGCUUGUGAUCUGUAAAUAGAAGAUCCCUUUAAUUGUAUUCUUGUGCACAAAAUCAGACUAACAGAUAUAUCCAAAGAACCAAACAGAACAUGUUUGAAGAAAUGGAAGCUUAUUAGACAUGGGCAACCAACCAAGAAUAAGUACAAGGCAGGCAUAUUAUGAAAGACAUUGUCAAACUUGCUCAAAGGAAGUCAUAUGAUGUUGAGCUCACCAGGAACCGGAUGUAACCCUAGCCAUGAAUUUGGUGGUAAGAGAGAUUGCACAUUUUCAAAAGGAUGUGCAGAAGCUCUCCGCUCCAAAAUUUCACAAAAAGCUGUAAAUCAAGAAAAUAGUAAGGUGAUUGAUUAACUGCUGUAACUUUGAAAACUAAAUUCAAAAAUCAGUGGAUUACCUUUUUGGAACUUAGAGCUGAUCUUUUGCAAAAUCCCAACAAGAGUGGUCGCUUCCGGAUAAGUUUUGCUAGGCCUGGGAUUAAGGGUAUUAUUCACGGAGCUUGAAUUGACAUAGAACAUUUUUGUAGUCCCCGUAAUACAAAGUUUAUUACCCUCCAAUGUAACCACAUCCAGAUAAAUCAGGUCACCAACAAGCCUAACAAAAAAAACACCAACUAGCUAGUAAAGAAAUUUUGAAUAGAAACAGAAAAAUAUAUAUCAAAAUAUUUGUCAACUUAUGCAAUGAAAUACAAGCAACUUUCUUACCUUCUGUAGCUUGGUGGAGGAUUAAAGGAUGAAAACACAAUACUCUCUACACAUUUGAUCUCUUUUGAGGGUGAUGAGAGCAAAUUACUCGAACCGGCAACAUCAUCCAUAAAGCCCAAACCAUCCAGCUCAGGGACCUCAGUUUUGACGGAGUCUACAUCAAAAAUUUGUCUAGUUACACUUUGCAACAUCAAUAUAAGGUAUUAUUUUUAAUAAACACACAAAAGGACUGAAUUCAUGUUGAAAGAUGAAAAAUCAAAUACAUCACAAACCUUCAGUAGUUGCUACUUUGUUCUGAGCUGUCUCAUAUUGUAAUGCAAGUGAUGUUGAUAGUGACGCAUGAAGUGUCGAAAGUGAGAGUAAUUCUCUGGUACGAUGAACAUGAGCCCUUAUAGAUCUAUCAUCAUAUAAAGCUGCAGACCAAUUUUCAAAUCAAAAUAUACUAUCAGAGUCUGAAAAUUCCUCAGUAAAACACAGAAUCAACCUCCCAGGAAACAUAACUUCACAUCAUUUUACUAUACCUGGAACCAUUUCUAAGAAGCAUCCACCAAUAGUAAUGUCAGCAACUUCAGAGAUUUCAUUAAAAUCUUCCAAAUGAUAGGUUGAGCCAUCUUUGGUGUGCAGCAACAAGUCAUAGCAUGUAAAGAAGCAUGUCUCAGGAGCAUCAAGCAGAAAUUGUCUUAUAUCCAUAACAGAAUCUCCUGGGUUCAACUGUAGAUCACAUGAAUAAAUCAGUAUUCUCCAUCCUAUAUUGCCAGUAUAAAAAGAAAAGGUAGGAUUCCGCAUUAUGCAGCCAACAAAAUAAUGAGUUGGUGUACAAGUAAUGUCAUCGAAGCUAACUCACUUGUAGUUCUAGCUUCUCGCCACUUUGUGUCUUGACACAGACAGGGUAAAGAUGAAGGUCACCUGCACUCUCAGAACAAACAACAAUGAGAAAGGUUACAUCUCUUUGACCAAAAGACAGACAACAAAACACCAUUGAUCAGUUGGAAACCUCUGUCGAUUUUAGUCCAAAAACAAAUCCAAAGAUAGCAAUAGUGAGAACUUUACUGCAAGCUUAUAUAUCCAUAUGUCAUCAUUUGCUGAUAUGUUCAUGCAGUAUUUGUGUCUACUACAAUAUCCAACCAGGGUUUUUUUAAGUGUAAAGCAUAUGUUCAGUUGCAUAUAAUGAGUGGAUCAAAUCUUCACUUUGUAUGAAUUAACUAUUUUGUACCUAUCUCAAUAUAUCUACGCAUACAAAAUUUUAGUACACAAAUGUACAAACACGUGCAAAUCUACAUAAAUGUCAAAAGGUUUAUGCAUAUGCAUGUGUACAUCAGGUUCUCAUUGACUUAAUGUAGUCGGCAUUAUGUUCUCUGGAAAUAGACAAAAACAUUAAUCAUACAAUAAUAGCACGUCAACUAGGAGUAACGGUUUGAUAUAAUGGAAAACAACAUAUUAAUUAGAAGAUCAUUACUAUGGACCGAAUACUAUAAGACCCAAAUCAGCAAAUUCACCUUGCUUAGGUUGGCCAGCUGAAUUUUCUGUUUCAGAUUCACCUUGCUUUGCUUCGCCGCCUGCGACAUCAGUUUCAGAAUCCUUUACCUCCACCUUUUCACUAGCCACCUUGUCACUAGCCCACUCUUGCACAGUCGGAACACCAUUAGCAUUGGUGUUGAUGGACUCAGAGUCAUCUUUUGAGCUGUCUUUCACAGGAGCGUCGGAUUGGAUCACCACCUCAGCUGAUGAAUUUGCAGCAUUGUUCGACGCUCUCCGGUUCCUCCCUUUGUUUGAUUUUCCAGCCAUUUCCACCUCCUAUUCUGCAACCAAUCACCGAUUAUCAAAACUCCCUUCGUACACACCAAACAAAAAACAGAUACAAACGCAACUUAGACAUUGGACAAGCCACAGGAAAAGUAGAACAACAUUCCCCAAGAGAAAAGAGUAACAUUCCAUAAACACCGAUAUUUCAUACACAAUCAAACCUAAUUUUAAAGAUAAGUAACCAAUAAGACAUUCGAACACUAGAAUACAACAAAUUUUGGUUAGCAAGCUCAGUUUGAUGUAAAGAACAGUUCAAAUUUUCUUUGCAGAUGAUUAGAAACCAAAGCUCUUUCAACUGGUUGUAACCGCUCUUUCAAAAUAAAAUUCCGCGAGAGAACCGAAUGAGGAGGAAGAGAGAGAUGAAAUACCUAGAAGAAGGCUGGAAGCUGCUGAGGGUUUUAGCAGAGACGAUGAAAAACCUAGCAGCGAGGUCGGAAGAGGUUUUAGGAGCGCAGAGAAAGAGUAGUGACUGGCUGAGGCGGCUUCCCCUUGUUUGCUUAUUAAUAACAACUCUCUUCGCCCCAAAUACCCAAUUUUUAGUUCCGGGUUAAACCCUGCUUCUCCCCUUUUGGGCUACUCUACCCGACGACCCGGCUCGAACCCGUGAAAGAUAAAAUGGAGCAUUCCCAUAAUAGGCCUCAAUCCCGUUUCGCAAAUUGACGCCAUUAUCUCAUUUGUGGGGUUAGUUUAGGGACGUGAAGUUCGUUCUGCCCAAGCAAGCAAAGCAUGUUGAUCAAUGGCUCCCUGAUUAUGUUCUUUGGCUUAUUCCAAAAGACAUGGUGGACAUACCUCGAUUGGUGUUUGCUAUGUGGUACCAUCUCGUAUUUUAAAUUUCAAAUUAUUUUUCCUUUGAUUUAUAAUCACCGACGGAGGAUUCAUUGUUUCCAAACUCUCACCUAAACUUUUUGUAACAAAAAAAAAAGGGCGUAUUGUUUGCAGACACGAUAGCAUCCUCUAUUGAACUGCAGACGACACUGAAUAUGUUGAAUAUAUAAGACUUCUUGAUGUCUAUCCAUGAUCAUAUUUGGACAAAAAUUAAACUUUGCUAAGAAUUGUGUGGUUCUUAGCAACAAUGUUAAGGAGAACCAGCAAAUUGAACUUGCAGCUAGAGUGGGAAUCAAAUGUGUAGCUGAAGAAGAUCGAUAUUUGGGUCUAUUGAUGAGAAUAUGUAGAUCCAAAAUUGCAAUUUUUUACUUAUAUCAAGGAGAAAUGGAAAAGAAGUUGAUGGGGUGGAAGUCAAAAUUCUGAGCUCAGCAUGAAAAGAGGUGCUUAUUAAUGCAGAUACGUAAACAAUGUCACUUUAUGCUAUGCAUAUUUAUUUACUUCCAAAAAGUCUUUGUGAUGAUAUACAUUAGUUAUGUGUCUCAUUCUUUUGAGGAGAUAUUUCUGAAAAAUAAAAAGAUAUAUUUAUUCAAUUGGGAGCGAGUACAGUCUAACUAGGCAUAAAUGUGGUAUGAGUUUCAAAAAUUUAUAUGCUUAUAACUUGGUAAUGCUUACACAGCAAAGUUGGAGAAUUAUUUACAAUAUAAGAAUCUCACUGUUUGGGCCUUUUUUAACAUUCCUGGCUAACCCAGUUCUUUGAGCCCAUUGGACAGACACCUGCAGUCAAAUAUUUGUGGAUAUAUUUAUUUCCUAGUAGGUCAUGCACGGCGAGAUAUUGCAAGAUUACUUGAGGAUCUAUUCCACGAUCUUAUAUGGAGAUUUCUUCCCUAAUUUGGUUAGAGGUCUGAUAUGCCUUGAUCUGCAAGGAAAAGCGAGCCCUAAUAGUCAAUAUAAGGGGGUCGAGGUAAACGAGCAGACACACAAUCAUACAAACAACUUUCCACUCUGCAAAUAUCAAGCCUCCCUCAGAGCACCUACUUACAAAAAGACUUCAAGGGUCUUUAUUCCAUAAAAGCCCACCCAGUCGGUAACUUCCGCUUCACUCAUCAAGCCCAAGCCAUCAGCAAAAGUCUACCACCAUUCCAUAAAGUCUCAUUACGAGCAUCAAUCCGCAAAAAACCAUUAUUGUAGCUUUCUGCUGCAAAUAUCCAUUGUCAGAGAUAAGUCUUUGGCAAAUAUCCCUGAUCUUGAUUUAAAGCUCUGCUUGUCCUCAUCAGCGCCAGUAGGAACCGGCUGUUCUACGAAGAACAGAGAGAAAUCCUAGUGGUCUUCUGCUAGGUCUAAGGAAGAAUCCAAUGGCAGGUUUGAUCAGCACCUGCACUCAAUUGCUUGAAGGAGAAGUCAAGAAGCGCGUGAACAAAGAAAGAAGAUCAAGUUGUACCUAACUACUAGCACGCCUCAAAAGCUGAUUGUUCGAGAAUUCAAAAUUCACUCCGAACAUCUAGCACGCCCAGACCAGCGGGACAUAAUGUGUCAAGAUUGCGGGUGAAAACAUUUACUCGAGGGCUUUCUUACCGUGCAACAAACCUAAGCAUUCGCAUUGUGCUCCGCAUAACUUAGCGAACUGUAGAGGUUUAUCCCCAGAAGAAACGGCUUUGCGUUUAGGUACAAUGUCAAAAGUUACAGAUUCAACCAGUGGAGAAGGAUCUGAGUUGGCCAAAAUAAUGGCAAUGAUGCAGGCCAUGGACGCAAGAAUGAAGGACAUGGAGGAAAACAUGAAGCAUGUGCAAAUUAGCUUGACUCAAGACACUAACAAAAAGAUCGACCAAAUGAAUCAACAGUUUACCCAUUACAUGGAGAAGAAUGACCAAAACAUAACCAAGUUGAGGAAUGAGGUGACUUAUGAUAUCUGCAAUACUGAUCAAAGGUUGGAAAAGCAUCUUGAGCGUAUUAGGUGACACAUACAGUUUGCUAAUUAUAUGGAAAAGAAUGACCAAAUGUCACAUCCCAGGACCCAUUCCGCCGUAACACGAUAUUGUCCGCUUUGGGUCCACCGGCCCUCACGGUUUUGUUUCCGGCAGCUCAGGAGUAGCUUCCCAGUAAGGUCACCCAUCCUGGGAUUGCUCUAGCAUCAACAUGCUUAACCUCGCAGUACUCAUCCCCUCCGAAGCCGCUGAGCCACCAAAAGGCCUUGUAUUAGAUUGGAGGUGGGCAUGUACAUAUACAGCACAUAACCCCUCUCCGUUUGGCCGAUGUGGGAUAUUACAAUCCACCCCCCUUGGGAGUCCGACGCCCUCGUCGGCACACUCGCACCACACGGCAGAGUGGCUCUGAUACCAUUUGUCACAUCCCAAGACCCAUUCCGCCGUAACACGAUAUUGUCCGUUUUGGGUCCACCGGCCCUCACGGUUUUGUUUCCGGCAGCUCAGGAGCAGCUUCCCAGUAGGUCACCCAUCUUGGGAUUGCUCUAGCAUCAACAUGCUUAACCUCGGAGUACCCAGCCCCUCCGAAGCCGCUGAGCCACCAAAAGGCCUCGUAUUAGAUUGGAGGUGGGCAUGUACAUAUACAACACAUAACCCCUCUCCGUUUGGCCGAUGUGGGAUAUUACACCAAAACAUAACCAAGUUGAGAAUUAUAGACACAUUCGCUUUAUACCACCUUUUCUAAAAAGGGAUCUGAGGACGUUGCUAUCCAUAUUUCUUGUUUCCAAGGCGAGUGUAGCCUGUAUGGGAAUGAUAACACAUAUGUUCAAGUUAAGAGUCUUCGGUUCUUCACUGUCUAGGUCAGUUUUGACUUGGUACACCAAAUUAGCCCCAAGAUCAGUUCCAGAUUGGCCUACUAUGGAGGCUAUGUUCAUAACCACUUUUGGUGUUAUGGAGCUAGAAGUGGAUUUGUCUACUCUGACUUCCAUGUAUUAGCAGUCCAUGGAGUCAUCUGUGGAGUACCUGAAGAGGUUUAAAAUACAACAGGCCAAGUGCAAAUCUCCAAUUUCUGAUCAAGAUGUCAUUCGCAUAGCAAUCAACAGCCUAGAGGGCAUGCAAAGGGCCAAGCAUCAUGAUAUGCACUUCUCUAGCAUGACAUAUUUGAUGAACAAAGUUGGUAGUUACUAGAUUAUGUUGAAUGAGUAUGACGAGGAAGCGAAUUCUUCAAGAGGGCCUCCCACUUCUUACGGUCCUAGUACUUUGAAGCCUUGUUAUGGUCUAAAUAGGAACAAAACUGUGUCAACAAUCUAUUCACACUUGCAUCCUUACUACACAUACCAACAUUUGCUUAUCAGGAUAAUCAUCUUUAUGAUGAUGAAGAGGAGGUUGCAGCAAUGGAGUUAGGUGGAAGACAAGUAGUCAAAUCCUGGUGCUUGAACAUGUCCAAAGAGUCUGUGAAAAUAUCAUCUACAACAUACACCAAGCCAAAAUAUGAAUCUUAUACUUAUAAUGCUCACAAGGCUCUUGAGAUUUUAGAUGAGUUAUUUGCCCAAGACAGGGUGCGACACGACUUUGCACUUAUCCAAAGCCUGAGCAGACCAAGGGGAAAAAGUACUGCAAGUAUCACAAUUUAUGGGACCAUAAUACUUCAAAGUGCAUCAAGCUAAAGGACCAGAUUCAAACCUGGAUUAACAAAGGGAUGUUGGAAGUAAACAAUGAGAAAACAGCAGCUUGGGUUGACAUCGAUCCUUUUCCAACUGUUUCACUGGUUGAGAUUGCACCAUUGUCACCUUCACCCAAAAAACAUGUUAAGUCCAAGUUCCGGGAAUAUACAUAUAAUGCUAAAAUGGCACACUCCAUUUUGAUCGAACGAGGUGUUGUAUAGAUCUCAUGGGGGGCAAUCCCAUCAGAAGCAAAAAUCGCAUGUAAAACUUAUUGCAAAUUCCAUAAUGUUUGGACUCAUCACACAUCUACUUGUGUACAACUCAAAGAUUAGAUACAUCAUUGGAUCAAUAAGGGUCGGAUUGUUUUCGACAACCAGAGGGAGGUGGAUGUGACAACAAUAGGUGUUGCAUUCGCUAACAAGAGUGGAAGGAAGUUGUGUCACAUCCCGACCCUUAUAUUUUUACCUUAUUUACUAGCGUGAUUAUAAUAAGAAUUUUACCGUCUCGAUCAUUGAGUUAAUAGUUUAAGUGGUCCCUAGAGGGGUUUCGGGGACGAUUAUGUGCGGAGGAUUAUUCGCAGGAGGAAAAUUCGACGAUGGUAAAAAUGGUAAAUUUUAGCUAGUAAAAGGUAAUUUUUAUUCGGGUAUUAUUUUUCGGGGUGUUUAUUUUUGGAAUUGGGUUGUUAUAAGCUUGGACCGGUUUGGGGGAGUGAGGCCCAAACCCAUUUUUCUCUUUUUCUUCUCUUUUCUCCUCCUGGUUCUCUCUCCCUCCCGAGCCCCUCCCGCUGCCCGGUUUUCCAGCCGUGCUCUUGCCGCCGUCCGGCCACCACCUGCCGCCUCUCCACCUCAGUUCGGACCCCCAUCUCCUCCUCUCCCUCCCCGGCCUAGCCCCCGAACCUCUAACCCGUCGGAAGAGGAGAAAACCCGCCGGAAACGCCGGGAAGCUUUUCGCCGGAACUCCCUCCUCCGGCCACCAAUCCGGGCAAGCUUGGUACGGUUUUGUAGCCCUCCAACCCAGCAGCCUUGCCCUAAAAGGACUCACUCCCUCUUGAGCUAGGUAAGGAGAAAUUUGAGGUGGAAGUUUUAUGGCGUUUUUGAUGUUUUUAGUCGAUUACCCUAGUUAGGCUUGGAAUUGGUGUUUGUGCUAGUUAGGAAAGUUGUAGAGCAUGAUGAGAGGAUUAUUCUGUCAAAAUUUCAUAGGUUUUGGAGGUCGCCGGAAUUGGCCUCCGGCCGCCGGUUUGGGAGAUUUUUAGGGUUUUAAAUGUGGAAUAUUAAGGGGAUUAUAUUGAGGUGAUUUAUGAAAUUUUUGGAUGAGAUUUGGAUAGGUUUGUGAAUUUCCGAAGUUUGGUAUUUUUGGCGGUUAAUUAAUGCAGAAUCCGGCCGUAAGAUUUAAGUCGUAUUUUUGGGGAGGUUAUAUUUACGACUGCCGAGGAUGAUAUUUAAGUUCGGAUCGUUCCGAUUUAAGAAUAUCAAAGUUAGGCAAUGAUGAGCGUGUUUAUGGCUUUCGGGUAAUUUUGCCUAUUUUGAUUAAUUAUUGGAUUGUUAGUUGGGAAAUUAAUAUUAUAUUUGGAACAGGACGUGAGGAGGCUCGAGCAGACGAGACCCCAGAUCGACAUCAGGCUUAGGCCUAAUUUGUGAGUGGACUUUUUUUUUAAAUAAUGUGCAUGCGAAAUAAUUUAUGUUGUUGGAGAAUAACCGAAAUUGAGAAUUUCGGUGAGUAUAUAUAUAUAUAUAUAUAUAUAUCCAUAUGUGGAUAAUUAUGAGAAUAAUAUGUAUAUGAGAGAAUGCUAGCUAGCUAUACGUGCUUUUCCAUCAUACUGAGGUAAAAUUCCAUUAUGGUGCGACGUGAGCGUUAGACGCAAUCGUCGUAGCCCUAUAUAAAUAUAAUAAUUUAUAAAGGGGAUAUGCGCGUAUAUAUAUUUAUACACCGUCUUUUCCACCAUAAUGAGGUAAAAUGCCAUUAUGGUGCGACGUGAGCGUUAGACGCAAUCGUCGUAGCUUUGUGUGAAUUUUCUAUUUGUCUUUAUUGUUUCAAGAAAAUUCAUAUAAGGGAUAUGACGAGUGUAAUACAUACAUAUUUUAUUUUAGCCUGAGAGGCUCUUAUUUUUGAAGUGUUGGUGACUAGCGCGGCUAGUCACGUUCUGAUAAUUCGGUAAAUUUUUAAAGGCUUUUGAGCUGAUUGCAUGGCAUUAAUUGUUUUUCCACUGAAGGUAAAUCGGGAAAGCAUAAAGAUUAUUUAUAUUUUAAAAAAGUUAUUUUUGUCCACUCACUCUAACGGUUUCAAAUGUUUUCCCCUGGGCCUUUCUUUUUAAAAUGCCUAGUCUGCAGAGUUCGGGUUGGAUCUAGUAGGAGGCGAGGCAUAGUCACCCGCAUUUCCGCCAGUUUUCAUUAGUAGGUUACAUGUUUAACCUACUAGUGUUUUCUUGCUUCCGCUACUGUCUAGUAGCUCUGAAUACUUUGGGAUUAUUGUAUAUUAUGUUUAGAAUUUCUGAAGGAUAAUUAUGGAAUGUUUGGUUGUGUUGUAUUAAGAGUGUAAUUUGGAAUUUUCGAGUUAGGGUUGUCCAUUUUCAAGGGAGAUUUUAUCAAUCUUCUCAGUAAAUUUUUCCUUGGAGGUGGUCCCCGCACGACUUACUCCGGGUUUCAGGGUGAAAUUCGGGGUGGGUCGUGUCAAGUUGACUCUUGACUUGUCUGAAAAUCAGAAGGAUGAGCCUUAAUAACCUAUAAAUAGGGUAGAAUCCUCUCCUAAAGCUUCUACUGUCGUGUUAUGUUCCCAAUGUAAGAUGGAGUGUGACAUAAGAAUGUCCUACGAGAAGUUUAAGAAGGCCAUCAAGUCAGUGGAGGCUAGAACCAUUCAUUAGCCACCGAAAAACUUUCAGCCAGCAAGUCCUAAAGAGGUGAAGACUCUGAAGGAGGUGAACGAAAGGUUCAAAGAAUCCAGUCUCUUUAAGAGGAUGAUGACUGACAAAACUGGAGAGAAAGAACCUGGAAAAAGGGUUCAGCAUAAUGUUCUUACAAAGCCAUACAUAUCUCCAGCUUCUACAACAGUCAUAGAAGAAACAUGGUACGUUCGCGAGAGAGGAAGGACUGUUGAAGCAACCCCAACACGAACAAGGAAUGUGUAGAAAAGGUAUGGUAGAACGAAAAGAACGUUGGAGGCACUAGAAAGAGGAGAUAUUAAGCCGGAACAGUUGAAGCAAACUCUAGAGCAGCUACGGAAGACAUUGGAGAAACUGAAAGCUAGGUCUUACGUGUAAGUUAGGCAUUACCAGGAGACGCAAGAGCCGAUUCGCAGCAGAGAUAAUGUUUUUACCAAGGUCUCUGGUCACAAGAAUGAAGGUCAACAUAGAAAGAGGGAAUUAAUGUUCAACAGAAUGAGUGUUAUGCAGAAGGACAGGUUCGCCGCUUCAUCUUCCGAGACCAAAGAUGUUCCUAAAACACCUCGUGAAAAGAGGGCGAGAGUUGAGUUGACAUCUGAUAAAGAGGUGCAAGCAAAAGAGUAUGAAUGGAGAUGAAAGGUGGUUUCUAAAGUUGAAAAGGUGACUUCUGAGGAAGUUAUCUCUGAGCCUACACCUGAGGCUAUUUUUGAAAAAGAACCUGACAAUGAGGUUUCUUUGGUCGAGCAGAUGGCCAAGUAGUUCGCAGCCAACUCCCCGGGCAUAGAAGAAGUGGCGAAUGAAGAGCCACACCUAGAUUUGGCACUUGACGAGCAAGAUGAAAUGGUAGAUGCAACUCAGGGUGAAGAAGGGCAAGAGGUGGACUGUAACAUGCUCAACCUAACUUGGGAACCAGAGAUUCAGGAGAAAAUUGGCAUAGCAAGGCAGGAAGUUGAAUGUGGCAUGGUCUACACUUUGUCCUCGAAGCAUGCUCUGGCCAGACCAAUGUCAUCACAUAUUUUCUUGAACAUGGAAGUUGAAGAGGAGGAAGUAGUGCGUACCACAGAAGUUAUUGGGAGUUCGGCCAUGGACAGAAGAAAGGCAGUACUAUAGGCUAACGAACCCAAGAAAGAAGAGUCUGACUUGAAGAGGCUUUUAUGACGUUUAUCAAGCCUAUUGUGGCUAUGUCUUAGCACCUCAAGCCAUUGAAUUUGACUGCUGAGAUGGAGGGCAUGAGGGUCAAUAAGACCUGGUAGAUAAUGGAGUAGCAGUUAUCAUCAUAACAGUACGAAUAAUGGAUGCACUCAAAAUCCCAAGGAGAAGAUUUUGAGCAAUAAUCUCAAGGUAAAGAGCUUUGCUGGCAAUGUUACCAAAACUUCUAGAGUUUUGAUUGUCAAAAUGAAGUUGGGGCCUUCCGAGCUAUUCAAAUCCUUCUUCGUUACUGAUUGUACAACUCCUUAUAGCAUAAUCUUGGGCAAGGAUUGGAUCCAUCGUGCAUACUGUGUACCAUCAUAUCUUCACCAAGCCACACACAAAAAAAUAAAUAAAUAAAAAAUAAUUGUGAUCCAUAGUUCUAUAUCCAUUUUCAUUUAUUCUCCUAUAACUUUUAUCUUCUAAAUUUGUUAUUUCAAUUCAUGGCUGGUGGAUCCAAUUCCGAUGGGUUAACUUUGGAGUGCAGCUGAAGAAAUUUUGAUUGUGCAAGUGGUGGAGAUUUGUUAGCCAAAAUUUGAAAAAGGGCAAAGAUCAAAAGAUAGCCAAGUUAUUACAAAAUUAUGUUCACAAGCAGUACUUCGAAAAUUUUCCCUCAUACAUUUCCCCAAACAUCAAGUGCAUUUAUUAGAAUAAUAAAAACAUACAAGGCUUAAAUGAUUCACCAGGCCGCUCACCUGCGGGACAGAAAGGGAUGAAAGCACGUCAGUCAUUGGAUUAUGAACUAAAUGAUCUGAUAGAUAUAAAUGCACACCUCUUAAAAACAUAACACGUUGACCCAUAUACCCAAUCUUGUUUCUCAGAUCAAAGAUCCCCAGUUAAUUGAAGACUCCAACUGAGUCUAGCUCUCUCUUCUUCCACCCUCAUUUCUAUCUUAUGAUUAUUGUUUCCAAGGAUGGAGAAACCAGAAAGUUUCUACAAAUGGAGGCGGUGUUUGAUCGGAGUCGGAGAGAUUAAACAAUAUUACUGCCACCAUAAUCUUCUAUCUAGAUAAAAAAUCAAAAUUGAUGAUAGUUUUAUUUACCUGGAAAUUGAUGAUGGGUUUAAUGCAGAAGUUUUGAUGGAUGGUGUUUUUGAUUCAUAAUUAAAAAAUUAAUGACCUAGCCAUGAAUGGGUUGAGUGUGUUGAUGAAUAAACCCAAUAUAUAAAUAAGGUUUGUAAUUGCAUGUAAGAUCUUCUCUUCUGAACUGUGAGAGAUUUUAAGGAGGAAGAAGAUAGAUGUUAGAGUCACUACAAGAAUUUGGCUUAUUAAUAGCACUGUUUAAUAGCGUUUUUUUUUCUUAAAUGCUGUUAAUGGGUAUGUUAUAAAAAUUUUAAAAAUAUAAAAAUCUCUAAAACGCUAUACUUUCUUUUCAAUAACAAGGAGAAGAGAAGCCGGACUCCAAAAGUGUAAGCGGGAAUGAAAAAUCGGUUUUGCGCUUUGGAAUAGCCCAAAGCUUAUCCCUUACAAUGUUUAGUUUACCUAAGAAUAAAAGAAAGAAAACAGACACAGAAGACGAAAUUGGGCAAAGUAAGGUCGCGCAUUGUUCUUCUUCCUUCGAUUUGUCACCAUCGCAACUCUGGUGAGUCGCCGUCAUCGCAAUUCCUUGCCGUCAUUGCUAUUCCAUGGGUUUCCUGCUUCCGAUUCAUGUUUCGUCUCCUUCUUUUUCGCUACUUCUGGUCCCUCUUUCUCUCUCUCUCUUGAUACACACUUGUUGGUUUCAGAUCGAAAUAUUCUGGGUUUUGAUUAGGUGUUUGGUCACUUGAAUCUUAGGUUUUGAAGAAUAUGUUUGUGAGGUUUUGAUUUUGAAUCUUAGGUUCAGACUUGAAGCUGAAGAACUUUAUGUAUGUUUGCCAACAACAAGAAGAACCCAACUCUUAAGGCUAUUGAUUUCGGAUUGUCUAUAUUCUUUAAGCCAGGUACCAAUUUCGCACUUAGGGCUUUUGAUUAUGCAAUGUUGGUCUGGUGUGUCAUGUCUGUAUAGUGACUUGGAGAGCUUUGGCUUUGACUUGGCUUAUUAUUUUGGUUGUUGGUUUCCAUAGAUUGAGGUAGGGAAAACAAAACCUUCCUUAUAGCUUAGAUUCUAAUUUGAUGUGUGUUAGGUGUGAUUGCUGUGAUAUGUGUUCUCUAUGCAUUUUUAUGCGAUUUAGAUAAGGAUAUAUAUAUUGGUGGAAAUCUUGAUUGGUUUAUUUGUUGCAGCAACUGAUUAAAGUUUAUGGUCAUUUUUAUCGCGUUCUGAGAUCAAUUUCUGAAUCAUCUUCAAGUAUUGUUUCAGCUGAGCUUUGUUUUCGUUCGAAAUAGGCAUUCCAAGAAGUUCUUUAAGUAGGAUUUGAUCAAAACACAUUGUAUUUAUAACUCUUAGCUUUUACAUAAAGGAAUGAUAGAAAUUCUGAAAAUUCUGCAUAAACUGUUUGGUUAUGCAGUCACUUUGGAAAUUCGCUUAACUAACUUUUAAAUGUCCAAAUUUUCUGAAACUUUUACAUGUUGUUUCCUUGUUAGUCUACAAGAGAUCUGGAAAGUUUCAGCUUAUUCCAAUGUAAAUUGAAAACUCAGUGAUUUUCCAAAGUUCGCCCUGUGGUUGGUAAAGUUCCAAAAUUUUGAAUAUGCUUCCUUGUUUUCAGUUGAGCUUUGGACCUCCAUUUUAACUAAUUCAUUUCUGUUCUUUUUGAAUAUUAUAGUAGACUUUCUACUGAUUGUUGCGAAAGUGAUUUCUUGUCAUUUUCUCAUAAAAUGAGUUCAUGGUUAAUUUUUCAAGUCGACAUUGCAGCUGACAUUUUUUUCCUAUAUAUUUUGACAAUUCAGUCAGUUUGUGAUCAAGUUUUGUGUUACUUCUUAAAUACCGUAAUUCCUAAAAGUUAACUUCUUAUUCGAGUUUAUUAAAAGUAAAGUUUCAUUCCUUGAUUGGUUUCAUUUGUGCUUGCACCAUUGAAGAUGUACUUCUGUUGAUAAUUUUAGCUGCUGCGAAGAUGAGACGUUUACACAAAAGGAAGAAGGCUUAGGAAACCACACUAGCAUCAAAGGUUUCUCAUGUAAGAGAUAGGGUAAGUACACAAGUUAGUCACGCUGCAUUGAACCAAUGUGAUGAGACUGAAGAACCUAAAAACCAAUACCACUCACCUUCUUUCUCAAAAGAAGUGGUACAAGAAGAUGCACCAGCUUCACAAGAUUCAGUAGCAAACCCAAUAGGACUUAAGAAACCUAGGGGUCCAACAAAAAUGAAAGAUAUUGUUGUGGAGGCUGAAGAUAUAAUUCGUGUUGAUUUUAUUGAUAAAGGUGAACCGUGUGGUUCGGGAUCAGGUGCUUUAUCUUAUUUUUUAGGCCCACUUGUACGAGAACACGUACCUGUAACACUCGAGGAUUGGAGGAAACUUGGUGAUGACUUUAAAGUAGUGUCGUGGGAAUCAAUUCAGGUAUUAUGUUCCAUUACUCUAGCCUCACUCUAUCAUACAAGUUAUUAAUACUAGCAUUUUGUGAUUUUGUAAUAUUUCAUACUAAUUACCUUGAACUUUUGUGUUUCUUUAAUUACCAUGGUCCCUAGCUAAUCAUGUAUAAACUUCAGGCAAGAUUUGACUUGGAGGAGGAAUGGCAGAAGGCUGCCGUGUUUAAAUCGAUGGGAUGUUUAUGGAGGGCCUCAAAGUCAAGGUUAGUGAGCCAAAUACAGGAGGCAAAAAACAAAGAAGAAAGACAUCAUCUCCAACCUAAGAACAUUCAAAGUAUUGUAGAGUGGAAAAGAUUCAUCAGGGCAAAAACUAGUCCGGCAUUUAAGGUACACUAUUCAAUAAUACUAUUAGUUAUCUUCCUUGUGAAAUAUUGUACAGUAAAAAUCAUGCUAACGUAAAAAGAUUUCAAGCUAUAAGUGAAAAGUUCAAAGCAAGAAAGCGCAAGCAAGUCCCACACACAUGCAGCCGUAAAGGAAUGGUUCAAUUGAGGGAAGAUAUGGUGAUACAUAUAUUUCAUACUCUUUUAUGUUGAAAUUGAAAUAAUAUUUCUGGUCUUAUUACUUAUCUCUCAUAACCUGAUAAAAAAUUUAUUUUCUCUAUAAUAGAAAAAGGAGAGUGGGAAGAGGAAUGACUAUCAGCAAAUUGGCAUUCUUUCAAGCUAGGGACAAGCAUGUGGUUCAGAUGCAAGACUAACAAAUUCAAUUGAAGGACAAGAUUAUUCAAUUAGAGAAGAAGCUUGAUAUAAUAAUGAAAAAAAAAAAGUAUGUUUCCUAUAUGUUAUGAUCAAUACAGUAAAGUCUGACUAUCGUUAAUUAUUAUUAAUUGCAUCCAAACUUGUUCGAUUGUUAGAUUUUAUAAGAUGAUAAGGAUGAGGAUGAGGAAACAUCUCCAAGGGCAAAUAAUAUUUCUUGCAUCUUCGAAUUGAAUGUGUCAUUAAUGAUUCAACUAAUGUUUCAUUGAUUUCAGAGUGUCAGCACCAACUCAUCAAAUAAGUGCAAGUUACUAGAUUGGAGUGGAUCAGAGGACAUUGUUGUUGAAGGACGUUGGGUUUCAAGUGAUCCUCAAGAGUUUGUCAAUCAAAUUCCCUUAGGACCUAAUGCGAUGAAAGUCUUGGUUGAUAUUCCAAUUAAACCAGAUGCUUUUCUUUCGAGGCCUACAGCUAGUAUGUUCUGUUUUCAACAAGCUAAAGGUAGCAUGAUAGCAUGGCCUGCUGAGAAGGUUAUUUUGCAAAUGGAUCAACAGUCUGAAGAACAAGAUAAUUUAUCUAUGCAUUCGGUAAAACAUCUCAACACUUUUUUUUUCUUUAGUUGCUACAUCCUGACUUAUGUAAUACUAUGUUGUGACUCUUGUGUAUUGAUAGAAUCCGUACACCAAUUCAAGAAACAAGUGUAAAUUAUUUGAUUGGACUGGAAAAGAUGAGAUAGUUGCAGAAGGACGUUGGCAUUCAAGUGAUCCAAAAGCGAUGGUCAAUGGUAUUCCUCUUGGACCCAAUGCCAUGAUAGUUUGGGUAGAUCUUCCAAAAAAUCAUAAAGCAUUUUUAUAGAAACCUGCAACUGAUAUGACAUUCAUUGAAGAUGUUGUGGGAUCUGCUAUAGCAUGGCCUGCUAACAAAGUUGUUUUGGAAAAGAUGUCAGAAAGUCAAGAUGUUGGCAUUGCAUCCUCUCCUUUGGUAAGUUUUAUUUUCACAUGUUAUUACAAUUACGAGUUAUAUGUGUGAGUUCUGUCCUCAUCUAAAAUUAUUUUUUCUUGAAUAACUUGGUAGAGUGCGAACACCAAAUCAAAUAAAAAGUGCAAGUUGUUAGAUGUUAGUGGAUCAAGACAAAUAGUUGUUGAAGGAUGUUGGUCCUCGAGCGAUCCAAAUCAGCUUAUUCAUUUUGUUCCAUUGGGUCCUAAUGUUGUGAAAGUUUGGGUAUAUACAUCAAAAGUCUCAUUGGAGACCAUCAUCUGAGCUGCAAAUCAUUGAAGAUGCUCUUGGUACUACAAUAGCAUGUGGUCAGCAGACAAAGUGAUUAUGUCUGAAGGUUGUUAGUUCUCAGCUGGUUGUUACAUGGAUCCUUCAAGUUUUAUCUUUAAGUAUGAGAGAUUUUGCAAGGCUUGAUACUUUUCAGUGAAGUACUAUAUGAUCAGUUUGGUAGGAUUUUCAUGUAUCGUUAACAUUGUUAGCUGAGAUAUUGUAAGCCUUUGGUUUAUGAAUGUCAUUUGGUUUGGUUUAUGAAUGUCUUUAAUAGCACUAGUAAAUGCUAUGGAAUGGUAUUGUAAUAACUUUUCUUAAAAGCUGCUGUAACAUAUUUAUUGAAAGUAUAACAAUAACGUUUAUAUAUUGUUAUUGGUGAUAUGCAUAAUAGCAUGUUUUAAACGCUAUACAUGUGAACUUUAUAAUAAUGUUUCUAGAAACGCUAUGAAAGAUGGUAGACUUUUCAUAGCUCCGACUGUGAUAGCGAUUACUAAAACGCUAUGUAUAUGAUAGGAUAACGUUUUUCGAAUGCUAUGGAUGACAGUUUAUGGUGUAGUGAGUCUUGGAUUGGAUCUCUUUGGCCGUAGAGACAAAAUUGGGUAUAUGGGUCUACAUAUUUUGUUUUUAAGGGGUGUGCAUUUCUAUCCAUCAGAUCAUUUCGUUCAUAAUCCAAUGACUAACGUGCUUUCAUCACUUUCUGUCCCGCAAAAUCUGUCCCACAGGUGAACGGGCCUGAAUAAUUCACUAGUAAACUUCAAUCACUCCUUGAAGCUGUUAUAAAUGAUGCAAAAUGUUUUUUCUAAUGCCUACAAGGUGAGUCUUAUAGUCUAAAGAUAUUGGAACUCAGUUGUUAACAUUAAAGUCACCCUCAAGUAUUAAAGGUUAUCGUACCCAAAAGAUUGAGAAAUCUCACACUAACUAGGGGAGUCCCAAAAGGUAAGCUAGAAAGAUGUUCAAUUGUACAUUCACAAACAAUAUAUAACUAAAAAGAGAAUCAACGAUCAUGAUAGGUAGUGCAAAUGUGUGGUGAUUGAUUUUGAUUUGGUUUUAGUUUAGAUCAAAUUGCAACAACUAAAGCAAGAAAUGUAAACUAAGCUAGACUAAAUGAUUUUUUGACAAAUGCAUGGGAGUUGGGGCAUUGGGUUUCACUUUUUACCUCCCUUGCAAGCAUUAAGCCAAUUGAAUAUGUCAUUUUCAAACUAUAAUGUGGGUGUUUUCCUCUCAUUGCAUUAUUUCUUAAAAUUAAAAAGAAUUGGAUUAAAGGUAAUAAAAUCACAUGCAAGCAUAAGACAACUUCAAUAGUUUUAAGCACAUUUACAUAAGUCAUUUGUGUCUCAACAAUUACCCCCAAACAUGAUCAUUUGUUUGUCCAAAAGCAAUAACAUUAACCCAAAUCUGAAAAAUAACAAAUUGAACACAAUCUAAUCCUUCCAACAUGUUUAUGUGGAUCUUAGUGAUAUGCAAUAUGAUGAUGAUGAAGAUAUUGCCCCGCAUGAUGAUGAUGAUGGCAGCCAAGUAUUAUUUUUGUGAUGGGGUCUAUAUAUGCCACAUGUGUGCUCUUUAAUGGAUUAUUACAUAUGGUAAGAAGCAACGUAAUCAUCAUCUUAAACUCAAUUUGUAUUUAAUAAAGAAAGAACCUAGUCAAACCAUCAAGUUUUUGAACCAGUAGGAUCGUUUCCUUCCCUUCAAGUUUGUAUUUUGGGCAAUGUCACAAAUUUGAUAUUGGGGCUGGUAAUAGAAAUCAUCAUCUUUAGAUAUUUAUCCAAAAUUUAACAUGACUCUCUUCUCUUUGCUAGAAAAUAUUUUUUCUCGUUCCAUCCUAAUAUCAUUAGGUGAACUCAAAAACAUAAUGGGGUGGACGACGACAAUGAUGACAACGAAGAUUCAGUGUUUAAGAUCUCAACUUCUAUGAUUCGUCUGUUGCCAACUCCUCAGGUGCCUUGGAUCUUGCCGCUGCAACUGUUUCGCUAGUCGUUGACCAACAAUAUUCGUGUGAUUCGGCUCCCAAAUCCUCAUAUACCUUCGACCCGUCACAGGACCUGUAUCCGCUGAUGUUGUAUAAUGAGGUAUCUGAAAGAGUGUGCAAUACAUCAACCUAUAGUACGAAAUUCUCCACUGAAUUCUCUAAAAGGUAUCUGAUAUCGGUGGGUUUCUAAUGUAAAUACUUUUGAAGAUAAAUGACGGACCUAGGAUUUUAGAGUGGGUGGACUAAAAAAAUAUUUUAAAUCAAUAUAUGUGACACCCAUAUUUGUUGUUAUUAUGGUAAAAUAAGUUUUUUAGGUAAUUUUUUCAUGUAAUUUAUUGAAAUCUCUUAUAAAAAAAUAUAUGUAGUUCGAUAACCAAAAUUUUGAGGCAGAAUUACACAUUGUUUUUUUUUUCAUUCAACACUUCUUUCUUGUUCUUUAAAUUGAAAACAAUUAGUUGGUUUUAUAUCAAGAAUUCCAAUUCAGCAGUGUUUCACUUAACCACAAAAUACAUAUAUAUUCAUAAUAAAAUGAAGAUAAAAAAGAGAAACAGUUAAUGACUUUUAAAACAAAAAUUUGAGACAACUUGUCCAUAUCAUUGCUUACUAUCCAUUCUCCCAAUGAUUUAACUGAUGAAAAAGAGUCUUAUUUAACAUUACUAAGGAACAAAUAACAUUUGUGGCACAACUCCAACACUAGCAAGAACUCCAACAACCAUGUCAUGUAUGUCAUUGUUGAGGAUAAUAAGUAGUUCCAUAUUUUGCCAGCAGCUCAAAGACAUUGUGGUUAGCAAAAUCUUCAAAGGGCUUCCUUUUCAGGGUUGGAAGGGGAACAACUGUCAUAUCAUACAUACAUGGUGAUACUAUAUAUAUAGUAUCAGAUGGGAGCCAAUUUUCUUCCUCUACACCACAUGACAUUUUGUUUGUGCUAUAAGGAGAUGAUAAGAAGAUAUACGAAGUGACUGACAAGAUAUGUGCAACAACGGCAUGCAAAGUUGUAUUAUUUGAAGAGAUGUUAGAGAUAGCAUGAAACAAAGUUCAUAAUACUAAAGAUUUAUACAAAAUGAUUACAAAGCUUAAGAAGCACAAAGAGAAACAUCUAAAAGACAAGAGUAAGGAGAGCUUGAAAAAUAAGAAAAAAACAAGGGGUCGAUCCAAUAUUUAGAGCAUAUUUUGGUAUAUACUCCAUGGAUGGAAGGAAUAAAGCACCUUAUAUUGAGUUAUUUGGACUUAAGAUCUUGAUGCAUGUGAGAGUGGGGCUAUGGUUGCGUCUGAGACAUGAGGAAAGACUACUAAUGAACUGUCACACCACCGACACCGGGUCCCGGACCCGGUGUUGGUGGUGUGACAUGAACACUUGGUCAAACUAUUGAAAAGAGAUGGGGUAUCCUUAAACACAUGUUGGGUGGCUUUCCUACUUGAAGAAUUGUGCUAUUUGAAUGUGCUAUUUAGGAAUGUUGGUUGAACACUUUUUAUACAUUUGCACUAUACACAUAGUUGAUGUCUAUGAUUAUUGUAACUUGAUUUCGCAUGAAUGAUAUUUUUCCUAGAGGCGCACCUCGUCUUUCCCUCAUUGUUAGGGCACACUUGCGUAAGUUUUUUUGUAAUGUUAGUUUGGUCGAUUGUUAGUUCAAGUUUUAGGGAGUUCAAACCCUUAUUCCGCCUUUUGUGGCUAGGGGUUUGUUUACCUCCGAAGAGCAUACUAAAACAAGACAUGAUAUAGAAGAAUCUUUCAAUAUGUUUGCAUUGAUGCCAACACUUGUUGAAAAUGAUGAAUAUGUGUUGCUAAAAGGGGGAGACCUAGCUCUCCUCUUUCAUUGCCCAAGAAGCUCAAGAAUGUGUGUGAUUCUGCUAUUGUCAGUGAUACUGCUACUUUCAAAAGAAUCAUGACCCCGACCCUUAAACUUACGACCAAGGCUUUAGGUUUUGUGAAAACUAAUCAAGGAACAUUUGUGUACGCAUGAAUGCAUUUAACCACUCCAACAAUGUCAAGAAAAAACGCAGUCAACUUUUGGGAUAAAAACAAAAAACAAAAAAUUGUUCUAAAAUGAAGAAGACUAAGGAAGUUGGGAGCUUGUUGUUUGUCACACCCCAAGUUUAUUUGAAAGAUAAAUUUCAAAAAAAUUUUGGCAUGAUAUAUCCUAAAAUAUUAAUAUCCCAAAACCUGUUUCAAUAAAAAUCAAGGAAAAUAAACUCAAUGCGUAAUGUAAAUUUACACACAACUCCAAAUUGAGUUAAAUAUUACAUUUUCUUGUUUACAUAACUUGAGAACAAGAAAGGAAACGCUCACAUGAGUUUAAUAAUUCCUAUCCCCGUGUAUAUAUAAAGAAUAUACAAAGACACGCCCAAAACCCAACAAAAAACCCUGCUGAUCCUCACCUGCAGGUCUAACCCCUACACCAAGAAAUGGUGCACCGGGUUGUAAACAACAAACCCGGUAAGCUAAAAAGUUCGUAUGAGUAAACUCAAAAACAACACAACAUUUAUCACAUCCAAUAUUCACAAGAGAGAUUGGAUCAAUAAUUUCAAACCACACAUCAAACACAUUACCCAAGAGAUGUACCCAUGAGUCCCAGAUAUUUAAUAAAAUACCUCUCAUGACCUACCACAACACUAUGUGUACCCAUGGGUCCCAGAUACCAUACAGUAUCUCCCAUGACCUACACUGACAGAUGGACUAGAGCUCUAUUCCUAACCGUAACCAAUCACCCGGCCAAAGGCUUGGACUAAAGCAUGAUAUUAAAACCAACAUCACCAUCAUUAUCAUUAUAUAACCAUAAUAUCCUUAGGUUCAAAAGUGAACCUUGGUGAGGUUUACUCACCUAAAUCUCCCGCUGCAAAUUCCAUAACCGACCAAGAUAAACCAACUCAACUUCACAAAUCACCUAAAAAUAGCACAAUUAAAACCUUAGUAACUAAAAUACUAUAGGUUAACACAAUACCCUUAACUAACCCUUAAUUCAAGAGAUGACAACUUUCCAAAGUCGUCGAACUUAGAGACCCACGAAGGCUGCCUCUAAUCCUCCAUUCCUAACUCAAACCUCCAACAAACCUAAAAUCACACUUAACGUUCUAGCAUGCCAACAUUUCUUAAAAACUAGCCACACUACCACUCAACAAGCUCACAGCAGUAAGGACUACCUAACCACAGGAAACUAGGGCUGCAACUCAACCGGACUCGCCGCCACGCGCCGCCACAGGCGGCGGCGAGUGGGCCUCACGCGCCACCCCAAACUUCCGAAUUUGAGAAAACUCCCAACAGCAAAGUUAAAGCUUGAAGCAAGGGGAACAACUUUCAUACCUGAGACUUCGACCAAAAAUGGCCGGAACCGGCCGGAAACCGCCCCGAACAGUGACCAGAAAAUCAAAGGCAAAAUCUGCAAAACCGGCCUCAAAACCUUAAAAACUUGCUUCAAUCCAUGCCUAAACACUACCAGGAGGAAGAGGGGAUCAAGACUUACCUAAACUUGGCCGAAAACGGCGUCGAAAUCGCCGGUUUUCCGGCGGGACAGCGGUAGCUCCGCCGCUUCGUGGCGGCUUCCAGGCGGCGGGACAGCCGGCGGAACUGCUCCAGAAAUGGAGAGGGCUGCUGUGGGAGUCGAAUGGGACCGGUGGCGUCCGGUUUGGUGGCCGGAGGAGGAAGAACUCGGCUGAAGAAAGUGAAGGCUCGGCGAGCUCGGGUGGGAGGAGAGAGAGAGGAGGGAAACUGAUUUUUAGGGUUCUAAUUAAUCCCACACACAAUUUUUCUACUUAUACUCUUUUCAAACCCGAAAACAAACUUCCUCUGAACAUAACUUCUUCAUACGACAUCCGUUUUAGACGUGCCGCAUGUCUACGAACUCGUAUCGACAAGCUCUACAACUUUCAUGAAGGAAGUUUUCGAAGAUAACUUACGGAAAAUAAAGUCAACUUUUGGCCUAUUAAAAGUCAAGGCAACUUUAAAUAAACUCCCGAACUUCAACUUCGCAUAAACCCAAGAAUUUUCAUGAAUAAUCCUUCAUUAAAAUAAGGGAAUAAAACAAGGAAAAAUAGAUAUGAAAAUCUAGAGUAUUACAUUGUUUGUAUGAUUUCCUUCUAGCCCCACUGUUAAGGGCAAAGAAAGUGUAAUAGGCUCACUUGAAUAACUGAGCGAAAAUAUGAUCAAUAAGAAAAUUCUAUGCUAUGUAACGUCGUGAGUGUCCCACACAACUCCUUGUUUGUCUAAAAAUGGUAGCAGAGGGACACAGGGGCAUAGUGGGUCCCGUGCCUUACAAAGCUUUUUAGACAAAAUCUGUCGUAGAUAUGUGCCUCAUAGAUUAAAUCAAACAUAUAUUUCUAUAUUUAUAGUAUUAUAUUAAUAUAUGGACAAUAUUCUUUGUGUUUAAACGGAGGUUCUUCCAUUCACCAAGUGAAGCUUCACCAACAGUUUAGUUAACAGAGUGUGCAGUGCACACGCCUGUUAGUGGGAGAAGAAGAAAAAACCAAAUAAGACUAAGAUCAGAUUUGAUCUUGAUUUGAUUAAUUCGGGAGUGAGUGAUCCAAAAACCAAAAACCGUGAGUGAUCCUGAUUGAUCUCCAUGUCUCUGAGAUCAAAUCAGGAGGUGGGAAGAAGGAAGAACCCAAAUGGGUUAUGAUGACUUUUUUGCCCGGAUUUGGGGGUUUUCGGAUUUCUUCCAUGGUCAUGGUGUGGGCUGUUUAUGCAUUUAAAAGGAUUGGUAUGAUACUGAUAUUGGAAUCUGAGGCUAGAGAUACAGAUAAGUUUGGCAAAGUGUUGGCUUUGCUUAUGGCCUUCAUUGAUUUGUUGAAUGAAAGCUUUGAGGUUUUGGGUUACUUUACUUUUGAGGAAAAGGCUAUAAGAGGAAAUGUUUUUGGAUGUAAAUUGAAGACGAAAGAUAAGAACAUAGAAUGAAGGUGCAGUGGCUUCAUCAUGAUUAUGGUAUAGGUUCUGGGAUGGAGGAUUCAAUUUGGUGUGUUGCAGAAGGGAGAAAGAGAAACAAAACUCAGAUCGUUAACGAGAGAAACUCAAGUUAGUCAGACAUUGACUAAAACUUGUGGCUGUCGUGGUGCCACCUCAGAUUAUGAACCCUCACUCUGUGGAGGGAAGAAUUAUUAAUGUUUAAGACAACUGACACUUUCUCUUCUAUAUAUAUUAUUAUAUUAAUCAGUUUUGGCUUCUUCACGUGCACAUCAACACAUCUUUCCCUUUGCUCUAUUGUUUUCUUUUUUUAAUGGAUGAUGAAAAUGUCAAAAAAUGAGUGGCUGUUUCAAUUAAAUUAUAUCAAUAUAUUAUAAUAGUUUUUUCUCUCAUUCCUUUAGUAAUAAAACUCUUAUCUUCAUUAAAUUCAAAUUUGUUGCACUUCUUUUUCUAUUCCUUUUGGUAAUAGAAUUCUUGGCACGUUUACUUAUUUGGAAUGAAAUUUAUUAGGAAUAGGAGAUGGAAGGAAUGGGAGACAUAAUUGAAUAGUAUGUAGAAAUUUCAAUUCCAUUGAGUUGUUUACUUAAUUACCACAUUGAAUUGGAAUAAGAAUGUAACUAAUUACGAUUGAUGUUGUUUACUUAUAAUAGAGAAUUAGAAUUAACUACCUUUUAAAAAAGUAAGAGAAUUUAAGGUUAUUGUAAUUAUGUGAGGAUAUUUUGGGUACAAAAAGUUCAUUUCGGAUGAUAUCAUUCCUAAACCCACCUCCCCCUUAGUAUUACAAAUCCGGGUUAUCAAGGAAUCAAUUCCGGGUUUGGAGGUGGGACCCACAACAAUUCUCAUUCCACCAUGAGCAAGUAAACAUAGGAAUUCCCUUAUCCUGUAAUUAUUCUCACACAUCUCAAUUCUAUUCCAGGUAAGUAAACGUGUCAUCCAAGUAUUUAUAUUCCUUUUGGUAAUAGAAUUUCAAGUCUGAUGCAAAAACUUUACGAAAAACAUCUAUAUACCAGUUGUGACUGCAAGUGUAGAGAGAGUAUUUUCUGGUAUGAACAUUUUGAAGACUGGAUUACGUACGCAAUCGAAUGGGUGACCAGUUUAUGAAUGAUUGUUUGAUUUCAUAUAUCGAGAAGGACAUUUUUACUAGUAUAGGUGAUGAGAUUACCAUGAAACGAUUUCAAAAUUAAAUAUGAAAUCUCGUCGAGGACAAUUACCAUUGUAAUAGAUAGGAAUUAAAUUUAAAAAUUAUUAUUGUUAUUUUUAUUCAUAAUUAUUAUUAUUUUUAUUAUGUGCCCCACUCGUCUGAAAUUUGUGGGUACGCCACUGGCAACGGCUACUCUAGAGUUUAGACUAAGUUAUUCAAGUAGCUUAUCAAUGUUCAAUAAAAAAAAAAGUAGCUUAUCGAUGGAUUUUGUUAGGGUUGUGAAAUCCACACACCUCAAAUUGAAAUCCACACAAUUUUCUUUUUUGGUUAACACAUUCACAAAAAGACAAAAUUUAAGUUACUAAAAAAAGAAAAAGGGUGUGUGAAUUUCAAUUUGAGAUGUGUGAAUUUCACAACCCUUUUGUUUAUAGAUGCCCACUAAAAUCAUGUUUAGAACUUUAGAUCAAUAGUCAACUUCCUACUAUGCUAUUGUGUGGUAUGCAUCGUGGUAAUGACUACUCUAAAUUCUAAACGAAGUCAUUUCUUCAUGAAAUACUAUUGACUAGGAAGGCUACCCGAGUCUAGCCGCGGGUUUUUGCUGCAAUUAAAACCACGUUGCUUGUGUUGUAGAGUGAAAUAACAGCGAUCUAAUUAGUUGAAGUGGUCAGGAAGUUGAAAAUCACACACCUCACCGAGUUUUAUCUAUAUCGAUACAAUGUUUUACAGGGAAAGAAAAAAGACACAACUCUUGGAGUUUUGAAAUCUCUAGACUUUAAAAUAGAUGGAUAACUUUUUUGCAAGAUUAAACCAUAAAAAUAACGAAUGAGACAUCAACUUCUAUACUAAAGCCAAUUGAAAGCAUAACAAUAUACAUGGCAACAGUUUAAGUGAACGGCUAUGUCACUCUACAUCAAUACAACUUUCAUAUUAAAUUAAUUAUCUACAAUAGGUUGUUUAUUUUAAACACACUUCAUUUCAGUAUGAGCAUUCUUUUUAGCAAGUUUCAUUUUCAAUUGUGUUUCUGUCUUUCCCUCUUGUAGUCUUUCCUCCUGCAAGCAUAUUGUGAAGCAGUUAAACAUUUUAACGAAAAAUUUAACUGAAAUGCUACAAUAUCAUUACCAAAAACAAAAAGUUGUAACAAAUGUGUAACAUCAAAUUACUAGCAUUCAGUAACUUUAGGCAGAAGCUGCCAUCACUUCUCCACAAAUUUUGCCAUCAAAGGUUUGUCUGCAAGAUUAACAUAACUUCUCUUCUCAAUGUACUACAUUGUGUUUUUGAAUACUAACCACAUCAGCACAUAUCUCCUAUAAUAAUGCUAAUAUUAUAUGAACUAUAAACGAUUCACAUUCACCUUUUUGCGCAUAUAACUUCAGCAAGCAACAUUACAAUUUUGCUCUAAACAUCUCUGUACCUGAAAUAAUGAACCUUUAUGAUGAUAAUUAUGAAGUGAAACCAUAAGAAUAGAAUAUGAUUAAACCAAAUAGAGACAACUACCCCCAAUAUCAAUUACAAAUGCUAAAAUGCACCAGAAAGCAAAAAAAAAAAAAACACCGGUCAAUUGAAUCAAAGCAACAACUAAACUUUACCUCAGAAGAAAAGUUAUCAAAACUUUUCAAACCAUAGUCCUUGUUGUUCAAGAACAUGCAAUUUUGUGUAAAGUUAGAAAACGAAAGACUACUCUGACACAAUUUCCCCAAGAACAACAACCUGCGGAUAAUGACGAAGAACAUGAUUUCAUAACCGCAGACGUAGCUUUUUUAUUAAAACGAAAACACCCACAGAGGAGAUAAAAUUUCUUCCAUUUUUAUGUCCUUCUAUUUUUUGUUAUUUUUGAGACAAUAAAAAUAAUUCUUUGUUUGUUAUCAAGACGUCUAAUCACACAAUGAAAUACCUAAUUUGAUCACAAAAAGCCUCGACCUUUACAAUCACUAUCCUGGAAAAAUCAAAGCUCUACAGGACAACAAAAGCUUACAUCAAAUGAAGUCGUAAGCCCAGCCUUAUAAAAGCUUUCAUACAUCAAAUCAACUUAAUUAAUUAAACAAUAAGCAUACCUUGACAACUUAAUUAAUAGAAAAGAAUGAAAACAUAGAGACCACCAAAGCUGAGAAUUCGAAAUGAAAAACAAUCAUCAGAUGAAAAAUCAAAAUUCAAAUUUCUAGCUGCGUUUCGUUGUGGUAUUUCAAAAGGUGAUUUAUCAAGGAAAUGUGAAGAUGUAACUUUCUAGAAUUAGUUAGUGCUAUAAUUUAUCAUGUUUCUCUUUUAUUGCAUGAUUCAUCAAUAAUGAAUAUUCAAAGAAAAAUAGAAAAGAAAUGGACCUUCUACUGCUGAAUGCCUUGAAGGCAGUCUGUGAAACUUUGGAAAAAAAUGGUAUGGGCAAAGCACAUUAAGGUGGGAUUGCUCAUUGAAGAUUACCCUGACAAAAAAAAAAAAAACAAAAUAAAAAUCAAAUGCCCUUUUACAAAAAAAAAAAAUACAAAUGCCAAUAUAACAUUCAUCUAGCAAAGAACUCUAACAUCUCCCACAGUCAUCAAUGUCAAUAUAAAGGUUCAUACCAUAAUCUUGUAAAUAGUUGAUAACUGCAUAAGAUCCUCUGUCAACAUUGGUUACCAUCCAUUCGUCCAAAUAGGAGCUUAGAGCUCUAUCAUGUACUGUAUGAGAUGUGAGAAUGAGAACUUCAUUUGUAAAGAUAAUCUUUUAAAUGACUAUCACGUCAAUUCAAAAAAGAAAAACAAAAACAAAAGGAAAGUAUAUACAUUUUUUAUCAAAUGAAUUAGUAAAUUCAUAGGUUUUUCAUUAAUUCAUUCUUUCAUGAAUUCCUAUAAACAAAAAGCUUUGGCUUUGGCUUUCAAAGUAUAAAGGGAAUUCUAAAACAAUUAUAUGUAUACAUAUAUAUAUAUAUACAUAUAUAUAUACACCAAAUUGAGAGGCAAUACCUUGUACAGUCAGCUCGAAGCUUCAAAUUCACCAAACCCAAUUAAACCCAACAAAUUGCAGAAUCCUACCAAUGGAAAAAGUGAGAAAUCACAGCGGCAAAUCAAAAGAAAGGAAUCGAAAACAAAAGCAGAAGCAACAAUCAAGAAAUCGCUAACCAAAUCGCAACGGAGAUUAAGAUAAAAAAAAAUUAUCCAAAAUUUUCAGUCUCUAAUGAAGCAUAUCACAACCCAAAUCGCUUGAGAAAGUAAGCCAAAUCACUGACUUUGAUAGGGAACGAUGUGGUGGAGAGCGAGAGGAAAGAAGUGGUGGAGAGCGCGAAGAGAGAGGGAUUGAUGAGGUGGUUAGAAACUUAAGAAGCAAUACAGGAAUGUAAAUUCAGGAGGUUGCUUGUUCCUACUUUAUUAUAGAGUAAAUUUGCCUUUAGAUAUCAAUUCGGUGGGGAGCUUCUAACGAGGAUCAAGUGAGGACUUUUAUAUGAACGGUUGAAUUACAUGCAUAUAGGAAUUUAAAAAUAUCAAUUAAAAGUUAAAAUAUUCAUCUAACCAUUGAUUUGAAAAUCCUCACUUGAUCCUCGAUAUAAGGUACUCGUUCAAUUCGGUUACCAAAAAAAUGUCGUUUUUCAACAUUUCUCUCACUAAAACGGUGUGCAGAUAGGCCCAAGGGGAAGACACUUGGCGGGACUUUGGUUUAAAGAGGGAGAGGGAGAUUAGGGCACAGAGCCUAGAGCCUAUCUAUAAAUAAAAACCAAUUGGAAAAUGAGGGGUCCAAGUCUGAAAAUGCUCAAGGGAAGAGAGAGCCUGACCCGAUUGGUGGGCAAACGCCGGCGCUUCCUUCCCAAUCGUCAUUCCCUCCUCUCCGCCCCUACCCAGGUAUCUCUUACCUAUUUUCUUUCAUCCGUUUCUUUCUUGUUCAUCCAGUUUUAAACUGGGUUUUGCAAUUGCAGAGCUCGUUGAAUCUGGACAUGGUUGUGUCAGUGGACGAACAAAGCUCUUCGAAUCAACAAGGAGAAGAUAACGGUGUGGUGGAAGGCUCCGUUACUUGCCCUGUUUGCGGUGUCAAACUCAGUCCCCAAAACAGCCUCAUCAAUUCUCAUCUAGGUACUUCUAUUGUUUGAUAUAUCUUACUCUCUAAGAAGAAUACAAUGGCUUAUAACUGAGAUAAAAAGCUACAAACUUUCUCGAAAACAUUAGUGGACUAGACAUGUUAUGUCCUGAGGUGUGAUUUCGUUCUAAAAGGGCUUCAUUCUACACGGUUUGGCUGUAUGAUUUCAACGGUUUGAGUGUUUCGUUUCGCAAGGAAAUCAUGAGCUCAAUUAUUAGUGUGUGGUUGGUUUCUUGUGCGGAUUUAAUUAAUAUCGAUUGUUAGAGGGGAAUAAUAAGAAGGCCAUCAUUAUAUGGAAGUGUGUAGUCUUGUCUCUCACUUGGACGGUUGGUUCGCAAUAACAUAAGGCAAAGAGGAGGAGGAGUUACUUAGGGUUAGAAAUGGAUAGUAGCUUCCCUUGGGCAUCUGCUGAUCAGUUUAGACAUAAUCCUGUUACUGUUCUUCUUCAUUAGAGGGGAAGCUCUUAACACAAACUGGCUUUCAUUUGGUGGAUUACAACUGCAAAUCUUUACUUUCUACAUAAAAUAGACAGCUUACCGUUUUUUAAUUCUUGUAUAAUAGUAAAUGUUCAGCAUUAUACAUGUGUUUUUCCGCUCAUGUCAGGCAUUUUAUAUGUGAAUCAAAAGUAUUGUUUACUUACUGCACAAUGUAAGGUGUUAUGAAUUUCACUAUAGACUUCUCUUGGAUUUAAAUAGCUUAGGUUUCUGAAUGGUAAUUAAGAAUUAUAUCAUGAUAUAACUUCAGCAGAUUCUGAUCAAUAAACCAAAUUGGAUGCUUCUUGCAGAUGAGUGUCUAUCUAGAGGAACCAAACGGAAGCUUACCCAGCGUACUCUUCUAGAGUUGAACUUCUGUCCAGUGUCGAAAAUUCAAACUUGUUCCUAUGACUCUGAAGAGUUAGGAAAGGACCUAUUUCCUGCAGCUCAUGAUGAGAGCCCUGUACAAGAUGUGUCAUGGGGGUUGUCUAACUUACCAGCUGUUGAAGAAUGUCAAAAUCAGGUUGACAAUCUGUCCAGAAACCCAAUCAAUAAAGACGAGAUCAGUGAUGUGCCAGAUUUUGAUGUGACCAUCACUCAGGACGACAUAUAUGGGGUGACUCUUGAAACUUUUAUUGUUGGCCGCAGGUUUGGUGAUGAAACCGAGUUAUAUCUUGGUGCAAGCAUUCAUCUCUCAAGAGACCCUAAUAAUGUUAAGGAUCCCAAUGCUAUCAAGGUUUGUUUGCUUUCAUAUGCGUUUUUUCCUUUCGAUUUGAAUUCAACUUUUACUCAAAAUCUGAAGGCAUACAUGCAUCUUUCUUCGGUUAGGUUUUUCAUUCAGAUUCAGGAUGCCUUAAAGUGCUUGGUUUUCUCCCUCGCAAGCUAGCUGAGUACUUGUCUCCUCUUAUAGACCAGUAUCGUCUAAAUUUUGAGGUAAUAUUUCUUAGGCUGGACAUAUUAUCUUAAACCUUUGAGGCAGUUGCAUUGCUUGCUUAGUCUUAUUUUGCCGCUAAUUUUUGGGUCUUGCAUGCUCUAGUUAUUGAUUGAUUUGCGAGAUAAAAGAACAUGAAUAUUCUGAUGAACUACUCGAGGUUUAAUAUUGUUGAUACUUAUUACUAUUAUGUUACCAUUGUUACGUUAAGCUGUACUAUUAAAUGGGUGUUGAAAUUAUAAAAUAUGCAUGCCAUGUGAAAUUAUUCUGCAACUCUAUUUUACUGUAUGUAUGUUUUGUAGAACAUAUGUUUCUGUUGGUUUUUAACAUGCAAAAUCCCAGAUUGUGUCAAAAUUUGUACAUCAGUCAUCUGCUAUGGAUAAUAACUUCCAUUGUCAUAUCGUUGUGGGUUUCCUUUCAGGGAUGUGUGACCUCUGUUCCCAAGCAUUCUAUUGAUGUUGUCCCAAUACAGAUUGUUUGCCACAAGACCAGUGAUGCUAAUGACUUUAAUGAUGACAAUGUUUUCAAAUGUUUAUGGAGAAAUGCUCAGCAAGUAAUUGAAUCUACUAAGUCCUGUCCGCCUUGUGCAAUAAAAUAUCAGCAUAACUUUUGUGUUUUCAUACGUGAGGUUUUGAGAAACAGUUCUCAUCUAUUGACAGAUGAUGAAAAGAACUUCAUCGGUAUGUUUUUAAAUGCUCGUGUUGUGAUAUUCGUAUUGGUUCCUUUUUAAUCUUUUUUACAAGUUAUGACUUACAUCUAUCUGUGUGGCAGAGUCAUUUAUUUCAAUGUCAGAUGAUAGUCAGAGGCUAUUUGUUCGGCUUUAUACACGGAAAGGUGUGUACUUUCCAGAUCAUGUUAAUCACAGGCAUGGUUGUAUUAUGUUUUAAUUAUUCUGCUGAAUACUGUAAGAGAACUGGGGCCAUGGUUGUCUAAGCUAUCCAUUUUUAUUUUUUAGAAAUCCAUGUCCCCAGUUUUUUUUUAUAGUAGUGGGCACAAUAUAAGAUAGCCCUCAUAUUAUGUACAAUGUGGCUUCGGGUGUAUGUCCUAGUUUUGCUGUCCAUCACAAAACAUUCACAUUUCUAUCUUUCACAACAUAGUAUGCUGUUCCAACUUCACUGGUGAGAGAAUAUGAAAUUUUAGUACUUAUCCUAAGUCUCCUAACCUUAUAUUUUGUGGAAAUCGCUCCUUUUGGUGGCCUAUAGUCUAUAGUAGUUUUCUGUUAGGAUGUAACUUUUGUGUUAUGUAAUAAGAAAAUUUGAGUGUUAUCAUCAUGGUCACUUAGACGCUGAAAAGAGGACUGGUCUAUUUAGUAUUGGUUGAUAAAAAAAGGCUCUUUUUUUCUUUCAUUUAAUAUAGUUUCUUGUGCUGUAUCUGCAUGACCUUAAAGUUUAUGUCCUUUUUCUUUUCUCAAAACUGAUCAAGUAUCCCCCAUUGUGCCAAAAAGGAAACUGAUUUAUUAUAAUGGUUUUCUUGGUAAGGCCCAUGGUUUCGGCUCUCUACUAUUUCAUACCCAGAAGUAUUGGAUCCCCAAGAAGCAGUGAAAGAGCUAUCUGGUAAUAGAAUAGUAUCAGUUGGAUAUGCUGUAUGUUUUCUUUCAAAAUUCAGAUUAAGGUUGAUGGCAAAUUUUUUUUUUGAUAUUGCAGAGACAGGCUAUACAUAUUGCUUUAAUGUCACAAAUAAUCUAUCGGAUGAUGAUAUAAAGGAGAUUCUGGAUUUGCUCACUGUAUCUGAGCUGCGUGAAAUCUUGUGCAUUCUUAAGCAGGUAGACAUCUAAAAUGUGUAUUUUGGCAUCAUGUUUGCAGAUGUUGUUUUAGUGAUCUUCUCAUUAAUUUCUUUACCACAAUAUGGGAAUGUCAAAAUGACUCCAAGUAUCUUUUAGAGAAAAGGAAGCCCUGGGUCAUCGACAGUUUAUAUUUGUCCAACUGAGAUUGGUUUCUGCAUAUGUACUAUAAAUUUCUUCAAACAAAACCUGCAAUAACCACCUCAGCCACAAUUCACAACUUUAGGGAGUUUUCACUGGAAUACUGCCUCAAACUUAGAAAGGCUGUCUAGUGUGAUUUCUCUAAAAGAAGGUCAUAGGCAAACUGGAAAGUUCAAUCUAUCUAGAUUCUGUAUCAAAUUCUCUUAAUUUUGUUUGAAGGAAUAAUAACUGUUCUGGUUUAAAUUUCUGCCCGGUAUGUCACUGAACUUGGAAUUUUGGUUCCUAGUCGCCUUUAUUCAUCCUUGAUUGAAAUUGAGUGGAGCAUUUCGGGUGGAUCUUUCUAAAUUUGGUUGUGUCCCUAGUUUAUGCUCCAAAAGUGAUGAAUUGGCUUUCGAUGACUACACAUGAAGAGUUACUGUGUGGACAGAUACGGGUCAAACAUUUUCUUCACACUGUUACAUUAAGUCACAUAAUAGUUUUUGUGUGCACUCAUGUUUUCUUGUUUGCAGGUACACGAAUAUUUAUGGAUGCUUAGUGAUGUUUCUUGAACAAUGUCUUGUUGUUGAUAAACACUUUACCUUGAAAUAUUGUACUCAUAUGCUACUGCUCUUUGAUAGGAAUGUGGUCUCAUGAUUUUCUUUCUUUAUUAUCUGAUGGGUUUGCUCUAAUUCUGGCGCUUCUACUGAGGCUACAGAGUUGCAAUCGUGGCCUAAGAAAGCAGGAUCUCAUUGCAUGUCUUAUAUCUUACAAAGAAGACUUAUGGUAUUUAUAUUUUGUGUUGAUGUUCCCUUUGAUAUGUAAAUAAUGUAACUUCAUUAGUGUAUUUACGAUCUCUUUCCUGUGGUUUUCUAAUGUGCAGCCCAUUACUACCUAGUAUGGUUUUGCAUAGAAUAGGAUCCUGUGUUAGAAUAUCUUCAAAUGCGGAGUCCCUUAUCUGGCGUGCCGAGGUGCUUAUGUUAUGGCUAGUGUUAAAGUUAAUCAAGAAAUGCUUUUACACAUUUUUUUUUUUUGACAGUUUCUUUGUUUUAUGCAGAGACUUUUCUUCCUGAAUGGUGAACAGGAUCUGUCGGCAUUUCUACUGGUGGAUUUGGGAAUAGUCAAAUAUCCAACUUACAAGUGCAUAGUCUCACAACAAAUUUUCUCAUCUCGAGAUGACUUGCUUGGCUAUGAAGAGGUGUCCUUUUGUCUUUAUGCAGAAGUAUUGAUGCACACACUUGUCUUUACUAUAUCUAACGGUUUUGUUUUGCAGGCCAUUGAAGUGGCACAAAUAGUUGAUGAAGCUCUUGAUGAAAGCAACACUCAAUUGGUCUUAAAGUGCAUAAAGAUAGCUGAUUCCCAUUUAUCCAAUCCGGUGAAAUCCUUGACGUCUGAAGCAAUGGCUCCAUUGCAGAAGUAUUGAUGCACACACUUGUCUUUACUAUAUCUAACGGUUUUGUUUUGCAGGCCAUUGAAGUGGCACAAAUAGUUGAUGAAGCUCUUGAUGAAAGCAACACUCGAUUGGUCUUAAAGUGCAUAAAGAUAGCUGAUUCCCAUUUAUCCAAUCCAGUGAAAUCCUUGACGUCUGAAGCAAUGGCUCCAUUCCUUGCCCACUUUUCAGCAACAUUUGUCUACUCAAAGGUGGUUUUACUAGGAAUUUCUUUUCUUGAGCGUGAGCGUAGGUAUGCAUCUUGAUUUCAUAUCAUUGGUCAUAUCAAUGCCUCUGCUGGAAAUAUUAUAUCAGUCUUUAUCUCUUUAAUUAUCAUGUUUUGAAAUCUUAUUCACUAUGUACAUGGUAACCAGAAUUCAUUAUUGUAUCAUUUAAAAAAAAUUUGGGAUCUCAUAUGCACGUUUUAUAAUUAUGAAUCACUGCACACUCUGAAAUAAAGACGGAAAUGACAUUGAAAAUCAUCAUAUCUGCCAUAUAAGGAAAAAGUAUGGUAUGCAAGCAAUUAUAUUCCUUUACAGAAUUUUGGAACUACUAGUACUGUAGUGCAAUAAAGCUAGUUUCUAAACUAUUUUUUUUGCAUGUUAUUAUUUUAUUGGUUAUUUAUUUCCAAAGCACACUUGUCUUUUGUCCACCACUGCUCCAAGUACACAGAAUAGGAAGUCCUGAUUUUAGAGAUAGCUUCUAGAAUUCUGGUAUUCGGAGGCAGAUGACUGUUGUAGGGCUCAGCUAUGAAGAUUCCAUUGCAACAAGCAAAGACAAGCUAUGUGAUUCAUUUCACACCCUAAUAAUAAUAUCUGAAUAUAAGCUGCUCUGAACUAGAAGUAGAUCCUGUUUCCAACUUCAAGCAAUUAAGGACACUUGCCUCGGUCUUUUUCCUGUAUAUAUUAACUUCGAGGUCUUUCAUGUGGGAUAUGGAUUAUGGGAAAUGAUUUGGCAGUUGGUUUUGGUGUGGCGAACUUUGUGCUCAGUUUUUAUGUCUCCUUUAUUUAUAUCCUGAUUCUGUGAAGCACAGUCUUGAUUGAUGAGUGGUCUGUUUUUGUGCUAUGCUUAUACUUAUGUGAUAAAACUGCCAACUUCCUCAGUGAAGAGGUAGCUUUGACAGGCUUUGGGAUAUACACUGAAAAAUUUCUGCUUAUCCAAUUUGUUCCCCUACUUGUUUAUCAAAACAGAUUUCAUGUUUUUGAGGGUGCCUCUAUCUUGAGUACUGGUUUGGAUUUACAUACACUUGAGAGAACACCCUUUAGUAACCUGUUCAAUAUCACUUGGUUUUAAUAUUACUGGGUCAUCAUGCUUCAUAAUCAGUUCACUGUCAUAAGAGGCAUUCUCCAAAUCAAUAUAUUGACAUUCUUUUUUUUUAUAUUUUUCUUUACGACCAAGUCAACAAGUUUGAUGGCAGAGUGACCAAGUCAAAUGUCCGAUAUCACUUGGUCUUAAUAAAACUGGACCAUCAUGGCUUAUAAUCAGUCCACUGUCAUUAGAGACAUUCUCCACAUCAAUUUUGGAAUUCGUUUUUGAUAACCAAGUGAACAAGUUUGACGGCAGAGUGAUCAAGGUGUAGCCUAUGAAUGCCUAACUUGGUUACUUGUUGCAGAAUAUGGGGAAGUCACAGGUAUUCACAUAAACAGAUGAUUCAUCUCAAAGCUGUGCUUACCAGAAACAUUGCAGACCUCAACACAAAAUUUGCUUGUUGUUGUAAGGCCAUGAAACUGAACAGAACAUUCACCCAAAAAACCAACUGUGAUAUCACUUUUCACAAUCUCCAAUCUAACUUGCAGCACAAGGAGAGAGUCAGGAUUGAAGCUUGAGUUUAACCUGGGACAGAAAGCCUCAUUUCUUUAGGAUAAGGGUGCAGUGAUUUCACAGUGAUGUUUUAGGUUAUAAAUGGUUCAAGGGUGGAAGUAUGGGGUGUUGGAAAGGUCCACUAGUGCUGUUCCAAAGGACAUAACUGAAAAAUUAAAGCAAGAGCUACUGACGUGAAUCAAGAACUUUGGCUAUAAUCUCCAGACUGUAGGUGUGAAGUAGAAUAAGAUUCCUGUUGUUACAUAUGCUACAUACUGUAAACACAAUAUUUUUGAAGGUUGUGGUUCACCAUGAAUGACCAAAUAAUGUUCUUAGAGAACAUGAAUACAUGCUUGCUCAUUACAUUGAGUUUCAAUCAGCUAUAUUCUCUGGUAAUAGCUAAGCUAAUUGUGUCACUAAUCAUACAUGUCUGGACGAUUGGUAUUGAUUAAUUUGGAUUUGCCACUUGAAAUGCUGGAGAAGUGUGUUCUUAGGGGAUAGAGUAGGGGUCUUUAUGUGUGAAAGUAUUCAGUUUAGCACACUGAAUAGCUUGGUUUUUCGACUCAGGUACAGUGAUGCUAUCUAUUUACUGAAAAGGCUACUGAAUUGUUUUGCUCAAGAUCGUAGAAGAGGAUACUGGACACUACGGUUAUCCAUUGACUUGGAGCACAUGGGUUAUUUGAAUGAGAGCCUUUUGGUUGCUGAAAAAGGGUUACUAGAUGAAUGGGUGCGUGCUGGUUCAAGAGUGGCACUUCAAAGGAGAGUCCUUCGCUUGGGAAAACCACCAAGGCGAUGGAAAACUCCUAGUUUUGCAGAGUCUGUCAAGAGGAAUAUCAUGGAGGUAAUUGUUUCAUCGUUGUAUGCUUUUUAACUGUAAAGUUAAACGUAACAUGUGUUUCUAAUUUGUUAACAUCUUAUGGUCUAUGUUUUCCUACUCACAUUUUCUGUUCAUCAAGUCAGGUCAAUGUUCAAGGGAGACCUUUAAAUUGUGCAAUAGGCAUGAAGAGCAGGUUUUAUGGAGAAGAUGGGGAGCAAUGUGGUGUAGAGCAACUAGCUCUGCAGUAUUAUGCUGAGGAAGGUGGAUGGCAGGGUGUUCAUACAGAAAGUGGCAUUUGGCUGACUAUUUUUGGACUUCUUAUGUGGGAUAUUAUAUUUUCCAGUGUACCAGAUGUCUUCCGCACCAAAUUUCAGGCAUGGUUCCGACUCUUAAUUUUUUGUGAUUUGCUAACGUAUUUACUCAGACUGGCAUAUUCAUAAGACAAUGGUAUCAAUAACUUUGUGGACCUCCAGUUCCGAAACUCUUGUCGGUACUUAAAGUAAAGCCCUUAUUUUCUAUGGUAGGUUUACAACCAUAGGUUAAGUAUUAGAUUAACUAUGAUGUCAACUACUUCCAUAGACUCAUGAGCUCCUAGCACAUCAUCCUAUGUAGUUUUUUUUUUUUUUUACAAACUACACCUCUCUCCAUGCACAUGUCUAGUGAGAAAAAAAAAAAAUCAUGGAGUGGGUAUGGUUUGUGAAAAAAAACGGGGUGCCAAUUUCAUCCCAGUAUUAUAAUUUGAUCUGGUAAUACACAUUGCAUACAAUGCAAAAAGAUAAGGACUUGUUUGAUCUUGCACAUACAUUUUUUCAAUUGUUUGAAUAUGAGGCAUAUCAAAAAAUUCUUUGAAUAUGAGAUGUCCAAUCCUUGCUGUUAUUGAAUGUCUCAUGGUUAAUAUGGUUUACCAGUUGUGAUCAUUUUAAUUUUUUUUUGAAAUAAACGUAUUUUCCCUUAAUUUUGUUCUCUUUUAUUUGUUUUAUUUAUUACAUAUGGUCUUUUUGUCAAUAGACAGGUCUUGCUCUCAUCAAUAGAUUUAAAAACCAUGAACUUCAUUUUUUUCAGACUGCUCCCUUGGAUUUGGAGACUGAUAGCUUUUAUCUAGUGAGAAAGAACCAUAUCGACUCUCACCUACAGAAAAUUCAUGAUGGUAUGGCUGAGGAGAUUCUCAUCUCUUCAUGGGACUUACAUGAGGGAACAGCAUGUAGAGGAGUUAACUGGAGGCGACAUUCCCUUCCUGAGCUUCGUGCAGCUGUUACAUGCAUCGGUGGCCCAUGUGUGGCUGCAUUCUGUCGACAUCUUGCACAAGAUUAUCGUAGUUGGUCAAGUGGAAUGCCGGAUUUACUUCUGUGGCGCUUCCAUGGAAAAUACAGAGGUGAAGCAAAGCUUGUCGAAGUUAAAGGCCCCAGGGAUAAACUCUCUGAACAGCAGCGAGCAUGGCUAUUGCUUUUAAUGGAUUGUGGUUUCAAUGCUGAGGUCUGUAAAGUGAGCCCUGUUGUCUGAAGCUUCUAGGCUGGUUUGUUUUUCAAUUGGAAGGAGAAUGACAUCGAUGAGGUAAGAAAGAAUAGCACUGAAGAAUUUACUAGGAUUAGAAGUGCAAUAUAGCAACUGGGUCUGCUCUUAAAUGUGUUUACCUGUCAAACUCCAGGGUUAUUAUUGGACAAUUCUAGGAUUGGCAAGUACUUGAUUGGCAAGCUUUCACCUUGAAGAUGGUUUCCUUGUGAUAGAAACUGAAUCAAGUUGAUCAUAAUGCAUUUCUGAGAUUGGAUUCAGGUUCUUUUGGAUAGCAUGGAAAGCUGGCCAUUCGUGUGUUAAAAGACUUUCAAUUCUAUCUGCUCGAGCAUGCUGUGCCCCCAUUAUAAACAAGCCUAGUUGUAAAAGGCCUUUAUGUAACAAGAAAAAAAAAAAAAAAAAACGGCCAUAAUCUUUCUUGUUUUAGGGUAUAAAUUGCCUGAAUUUGGUUUAACUGGUAUAUACACCGUUACUAGAAUUUUUUUUGGACGAAAUAUACUGUUAUUAGAUGACAAAGUCAAAAGUUGUGAAUCUUUAACAAGUAUUGCUGAUAUACUAACACUUUAAAGGCAAUACUCUAACUGUCUCCGCCUCAACCUCGCCUAAGUUUCCCAAAUCUUCACCAUGAAAUUGAAAUUCUUACCCAAGCAUCUGUUGUCACUACCUUUUUUUUUUUUUUUUUUUUUUUUUUGAGGGGAAUGAAAUUGCUUUCAUUGAUCAGAGAUCAUUACAAUAUAAAGAGAUAAGUUCCUCCAUAUGCGGAGGAAUUACAAGAGAAAAACCUAUGUUCGUCUGAGAAAGAAAAUAGAGCAUAUUGAGUUAAAACAUGAGCUACCGAAUUAGUUUCUCAUUUAACAAAAAUCAACCUCGCAUUAGAAGGGAGGCUCUGUUGUCACUACUUUUACUUCAAACAGACUCGAAAAAAUUCAGGUACCAGUUGUAACAAGUAUUACACUUUUACUUCAAACAGACUCGAAAAAAUUCAGGUACCAGUUGUGACAAGUAUUACACUUGAAAUACUAUCGAUUAAAUAGAUGUAUAGUUCAUACACCAUUUGUGAUUUCGUCCCAAACACACAAAAAACACCAAGCAACGUGGUAAAUUGUAAAAGAAGAAAAGAAACAUUAGGGUGGGAAGUAGUAGUACUCAUUUGGUCGAUUUGCUUGUUCCUCUGGUUGGUGCUUCAAGUUUGAUGAUGAUGAUGAUGGUGAUGCUAAAGUCUUUACCCAAUAACCAAGAUAAGAAGAGAGAGCCUUUGCCGACAAAUUCCACGUGACAUUCAAAUCAUCAUCAUCAUCACUCAAAAAUGCAAUACCCAAAAAUAUCAUCUCAUCAUUUUGUUCUGUGUAUUAAUAAUAUCUAUUAAUAUUAUUAUUGGUUAAUAUUAGUAUUGAUUGUUCCUCUACGACUUCAUUUCUCUCUCUUAAUUUUCUCAUUCCCAAAAGGACCCGCACGCAGAUAGAGAGAGCCCUAAUCAAAUCAUACCAUUCACAAAUUGGGCUUCAUUCUUCAGGUCAUUGAUCUCUCUCUCUCUCUCUCAAUUUCUUUCAUAGGCCAUCUGGGUAUGUAUGUAUGUGUUCUUGUUCUUCUUCUUAUUGUUUCAAUUUGGUUUGAACAGUUUGAUAUGAAUUUUGAAACCCAGUUGAGCUCUGUGUUCGAGUCUCGGUCUUUUGUUGUUUUGGUGAUUCUUUGCAAUCUGUUUGUAUUUUUGUGGUUUAUUUGUUCAUGAUGGGUUGUAUAUAUUGUGUGUGCAUGCCCCCACUUUGAUUAUGCCUCAAGUUUUGAUAGCUUCAUAGCACUCAUCAUCUGCCAAAUGAUGUAGUAACAAUUUCUUUUUUGUAUUUGAAAGUAGUUGUUUUCGAACAUUUGACUUGGGUUUUGCAUAGAAUUAGCUCAGGAAGUUGUUUUUUGAAAAUUUCGGAUAGGACAGUAGAAGCUUGGGGCUCUUCUACCUUCAUUUCCUAGGUAUUUGGGUUUCUUUUUGUUUUCUUUGUCUAUACAUAAUGUAUGUAUGGUGAAAGGAAGGAUGAUAGUGCGUAUCUGUAGUGUGUGCGGGGGGUGUUUGUAAAUUGUACUAGUGUUCUGUUGAAGAUGUUGAGUUUGGACUUGAUUGCAGAUAGAGCAUGGCUUUUGAGCAGCCUCAUCAGUUUGAGUAUAUGGCAGAUGAAGGUGACAUGUCUGAUUUUGUUGAGGAUGUUGAUGCGGAUGCAGAUGAAGAAAAUCAUGGUAGAGAUAUGGUUCUUGACGAGUACGACAUGGUAUGUUUUGCCUCCUCUCUUGGUGCCUGUGGUUUGUGUUUUGCUUUUUAUUGACAGGACCUGAAAUUCUCAUCUUGAAAGCUCAACCAGGUGUCAGAUACGUCAUCUGCUCAAGCACGAAAGGGAAAGGAUAUUCAGGGUAUUCCAUGGGAUAGGUUAAACAUAACAAGGGAAAAGUACAGAUUGACGAGGCUUGAACAGUACAAGAAUUAUGAGAAUAUCCCUUUAUCUGGGGAAGCUGUGGACAAGGUUUCAGUUUGCUCUUAAGUUCUCUCGUUUUCAUUUCUGAUUACCAAUUGAAUAUUGAAGUUAGUGGGCACUACUAAUGAAUGCAAUCUUCGACAUUAGGAGUGUCAACUAACGCAGAAGGGUGGCAACUAUUAUGAAUUCUUCCACAACACAAGAUUGGUUAAACCUACAAUCCUUCAUUUUCAGGUUAGUUGACAUGCAAGUGACAUAUUAGCACUUCCCUUAUCAUUACAUUGUUGAUAAGUAUAAGUAUACUUUGUUGAUAACCUUCAAUCAUGUUGUCGUACAGCUCAGAAAUCUGGUUUGGGCUACUUCGAAACAUGACGUCUAUCUCAUGUCCAAUUAUUCAGUUAUGCAUUGGUCUUCUCUAUCGGGCAAUUUGUCUGAGGUCCUCAAUUUUUCAGGACAUGUUGCGCCAACUGAGGUAGUAGAGUUACCUAUACAUAAAGUUUACCAUUUUGGUUCUUUUCAACCUUACACAAAGAACAAGCAAGUUUUGUUUUUUUUUUUUUUUUUUGGUCCCAAUAAAAGUUCUUAUGUUUGAGUGUUCAUUCACAAUUUUGCACAUGGUGUUUAGUGUUUAUCUAUGUAUAUAGUUUGAUUUUGCCAAGUUCUAUGGUCUUGCAGAAACAUGCAGGAAGUUUAUUGGAGGGUUUUAUGCAGACUCAGAUUAGCACGCUAGCUGUCAAGGACAAUUUCCUUGUUGCUGGAGGUUUCCAAGGAGAGCUUACUUGCAAGGUUUGUUUUUCAUCUCACUGGUACAUUAACCCCUCUGUCAUUUGGAGUAAAUGUUUAAAGUAGAGAGAAAAAGCUUAACAAAUAUUUUAGCUAAUUUUAAACAUAUUAUUUCUCCAAGAGGACCACCAUUUGAUGUAUUUUGGAGUUAUACAUAAUAUAUCUCUAAGAUUUUCAUCUCUUUUUAUUAUAAACUCUUAUUGAGUCGCAGCACAUUGGAAUUCAUUGUUGCAUCUAGGAUUUUACGUUCUACUUGUCUUGGAGAAUUUGCAAACUGAUGAGUGAGAAGUGACUGACCUUACAUUUAUAGAGUUGGAUAAGAUUUAAAUUUUUAUGUAAUGUACACAUGGACUUCUUUUGAAUGUUAGUGGUAGUUGGUUAGAAUAAUGUUAAUGAAAAUGAUUUGUAUUAAAAUUCUGGAGCAGUUUUGGCUUGGAAACUUUAGAGCAAUAAAACCUGCACCAAAUGCGUAGAACUGAAUUUAGCUCAGGGCAUUCCCAAUAGGAUUUGUUUAGAAUAUAUAGUGAAGUGAUGUGAUUUAUUAAGAGAUGAUAUGGAUUUGUGUUUUGGAGUUUUGGCUAGGAGAAGCCGGUUUUGUUGCUCUUUGGUUCUUAUAUUGGUUUCUGAAAAGCGUAUUACUAUUUAUUUUCCACAUUUUCUUCUUAUGUUCACCAGUGUUCUUUCUGUGUGUUCCUUUAUUUUUUUAAUCCAAGUCUCAUAUACAUAUCUAGGUAUCCCAUGUGCACAAAUUGGCCAUCAAUAUUUAGCUUGACAAAGAAUUACAGAGCUGUAGUUGAUUCUAGAAAUAUUGGGGAAUCUGGCUGUAGCACCUGCUUCUAAGCAUGGGGCUAUUCACUCGAAUAGAUUUGGCAUCUUUGCACACAACGUAGAAGUAGAAAAGUGACAUGUGAUUGAUUAUGUUCCAUUGUGUCUCAGUUUAUGAGUCAAAUUUCUGGUAACACCAAGGAGGUUCUUUUUGAUUGAUACUUGUCAGCUUUUGUAAGGAGUGUAACAGUAGGUGUUUUUGAACCCAACAGAUUUCCAGUUAUCUCCAUUAGGUCUACAUCUUCUGACGUAUUAUUGGCUUGAUUGUCAUCACUGAACUAGUGACACUGUUACAUAUUAUUAAAUAGUAAUUUCCGGUCCUUUUACAUUCUAAAGAGCGAUGAAACUGCAAAAUUACCCCAUUGUUGUCUGGUUUUCCUUCUUGUGUCCACAGCUGAAUGGUCAUUGUGACAUGGUCAUGUACUUUUAUUGUGCAUUCAUAUACUAGUUAGUGAAUGUCAUGACUAGUUGGUCAUAUACUAGUUGGGGCUUUUGUCUGGUUGCCCACUAUUUCUGUUUGUCAUUGGGAUAAGAUCAUAAGAGUGAUGGUAACUAGAGACAACACAGUGCUGUAUUUCUGUUAAUGGAUUUGUAUAAUGUUAUUUCUCUUUUGGUGCAGCGUCUUGAUAAAGAAGGAGUGAGUUUUUGUACCCGAACCACAUACGAUGACAAUGCCAUUACAAAUGCUGUUGAAAUAUAUGAUAGCCUGGGGUAUCUUUCCUAUUUCUUAAAGCUAUUUAUCUAGAUCUUAUUCCUAUUUAUAAGUAACACAGUCUGAGGCGCAAACUCUUUCAGGGGUGGAAUGCAUUUCAUGGCAUCCAAUAAUGAUUGUGGUAUAAGGGAAUAUGACAUGGAGAGAUUUCAGCUUCUGAAUCACUUUAGAUUCCCCUGGCCAGUGAAUGUGAGUCAUCAUAGCAUGCAUUGAAUAGGAGUAAUGUUAUCGUAAUCUUUCCUUAAAGAUUACUAUUAGAAGACCAGUUUUGUUGCUCCUAGAUGUUGUACUCAAGAGUACAAGGUUAUUGGCCAUUUAUUUGAUGUUGAACUGUCUCUCUAUGCAGCAUACAUCAAUAAGCCCAGAUCGUAGGCUUGUUGCCGUAGUUGGAGAUCAUGUGGAUGGAUUGCUUAUGGAUUCUCAGAAUGGAAAGGUGUCAACAUUUUAUUUUAUUUUUGCAGUCGUUUAGAGCAGAAAUAUUGCUGCUAGAAUGGUCAAGAGUCAUUAGAAUUUCUGAAGAUGAUAACUGGGGUAAAGUAAUCAAUAUGGCUAUCAUGUUCUUUAAGCUGGUGCCCUUCAAUUGAUAUAGAUUUCGAGAGCUUUAGGAAAUUGACCCUAUGCCAGAUUUGUUGCCAUGCAUAUAGGAAGGUUUGCAUCCUAUAAUCCUAAGCUUAACCCAUUCUUUCGCCAAUGAUUAUAUAACUACUAAAUCAUAUAAUAACAACUAAAGUAAAUGCUAGUUGAUUAUUGUACCUACAAGGUUCAACAAUUAGCCGAGAUCGUUGACAUGCACUAAUAACCGACCAAUUGUGAGCAAAGAUGAUCUUGUCGUAAUACAACACUUUCUAAAGCAGUUUAACCAGAAUGUAGGUGUGUAUACUUUCUGUUUCUAGUAGUAUGAUGAUCUAUGAUCCUGUCUGUGAUUAGUACUAAACCAAAAGUUUUUUACUAAAAAGAAACCAUAUAGAUCAAAAAUAUAGGGACUUGUCACUAACUAGAUGCACAUUGUUUGAUCUUUCCAGACUAUUGCCAAGGUUGUUGGUCAUCUAGAUUACUCCUUUGCUUCUGCAUGGCAUCCUGAUGGCCGCAUAUUUGCCACCGGAAAUCAGGACAAGACUUCCCGAGUUUGGGAUAUAAGAAAUCUCUCAUCACCCAUCGCAGUUCUGAAGAAUAACUUGGGUGCUUGUCGGUCUAUUCGGUUUUCAUCAGAUGGUCAGUUUAUGAUUGUUGCAGAACCUGCAGAUUUUGUGCACAUAUAUAGUACAACGGCAGAUUACCAAAAACGGCAAGAGAUUGAUUUCUUUGGGGAGAUUUCGGGAGUGUCAGCAAGUCCAGACGAUGAAUCCUUGUACAUAGGAAUCUGGGACCGUACGUACGCAAGCUUGUUGCAAUAUAACAGAAGGCAUACAUAUGGAUACCUUGAUUCCUAUUUUUGAUUGAUUAAGAGAAACGGGUGCUUUCAUUUUCAGCCUAUCUUUCUGAAUUCUCUCUGUUCUAUUUCUUGUUAUAAAUCAAGUUUCACAGUAGAAUAAGCCGAUUAGACUACAUAAUAAUAUGUACAGUGAAUAUUUAAACUUGCUUGAAAAAUCAAAAUCCUGAGAAUGCAUUUUGCUCUUUCGAUGUCUUGCAAUUCAAGCUCCAAAUAGCAUUGAGAAGUACUGAAAAAGGUCAUGACAUAAAAUUCUAGUAGAUGCCUUGUCUGAGAUGCAGGAAGUCUCUUUUGAAUAUCUGUUUUUAGCUCUAUUUAGUAGUCAAGUGGUAAUAUUGUUUUACUUUGUGAGAAGAAGUAUAGCCUUGGAUAGCAGUUUACGCAGCAGUUCAAAAGUUUAAACCAAGGUAAUGCGCAAUAGUCCGAAGCCAAUGCAAAGCGUAUUUGUCUAUUUGAAUGAUGGUGAGUUGGUGACUGACCUCGGAGGAGUGCAACCAGAUUCUACAAGAAGGAUCUUAGCAAAACAAUGGUAGAAAUAGAGCAUUGGUGUGGCAAACAGAGAAGAUGGAUACAAAGCAGGUAGAUGGGAGGAUAGAUUAGAUUUCCAAAAGUCCCCAGCAAGGUGUAAAAUAUUCAAAAUAUCCUUGAUAUUUUCUCGAAAUUUCUGUUUUUUACGAUUACCGAUAUUAAUUUUCAUAUAUUUCUGAUAUUUUAUAUUUAGUUUAUUUUUUGUCGAAUAUACAAUUUUUAGAUAAAAUUUGGUAAAAUUUCUAUCGAUAUUCGAUAUUAUCUCGAUAUAUCCAUCGAAAUUUCGUUUUUUUGAACUAUCGAAAUUUCCAUCGUCGUCGAUAUUUUACUCCUUGGUCCCCUGUCACUCUGUCAGUUUAUCACAAUGGAAGUGGUACUAAACUACCAGUGAAGCUGGCCGGAGAAAAAGGACAAGAGCAAGGAAGCCCCUCCCGGCGGGACACCGAAGAGAUAAGAAAUCGCCAUGACAGCAAGGGCGCAUACAUAUAUCUCCGAUGAGAGUGGGGUCCCCGGCCACGGUGGUUUUGUCUUUGCCGGCGAACAUGCAUGUUGUUGGGGUUUGCUGCUAGGCGCCAAGAACAUCUCAUCCAUCCGUGACUGUUCAAAUUGAACAGCUAGCCAAACCCCAUACUGAUGAUACCUACUGUUCCUUCCUUCCUUCCUUCCUUCCUUUUAUGAAUGAAUGAACGGAUGAAUAUGCAUGUGAUCGAUUAUGUAUUCAUCGAGCUGGUCGACAUGGUUCGUGUCGUUUCUCACAACCCCCAUGCAUAAUACAUAUCUUGAAAUUUAAGCAAUAUCUACCUAAGCUAUAUGUGUGCCCUAGCUAGCUAUUUCUUUUUCUUUUCUUUUCUAGCUACUUCAUUCUUAUAUAGUUGCUACUUGCUACCUUGUACAACCCAUUCAAAACAAAAAAAAAAACAAAAACUUUGAAUCAUAUAGUUGAGUACUCUCUCUCUCUCUCNNNNNNNNNNNNNNNNNNNNGUCUCUCUCUCUCUCUCUCUCUCUCUCUCUCUCUCUCUCUCUCUCUCUCUCUCUCUCUCAUCUAUGGCCGGAAUGGUGUUGAAGCUAUGAUGAGCUUCCCCCUUGCUCCUUCCCACAUGAUAUGUUUAACAGAAACAUAAAUCCACGUCGUCUUAUAAUUAGAAACUUGACGAACAUAUAUAUAUAUAUAUAGCAGAACACUGGCCUUUUUCAAAAACAGUGAUCGAGGCGGGUAAAUAUUUGAGAGGGCGAUGAAUUAAUGCACAUUUUGGUUGAAAAUUAGAGGGUAUAUAGAGACCAACUGAUUCUAGAAUCACAAAUACAGCAAUCACCAACAUUUGAUGAAAUAAUUAAUUAUCAACAGAAUGUUUCAAAAUUGAUUUACGGUUUUUUUAAGGACACAAAAGAAUGAAUGAGACCUUUUGUUUGUGCUUGAAAUUCAGAAUCACUUGCUUAGUCAAUUUGUUCUUAUUAUUUUGUUGAUUAGUGUCCUAAAAGAGUAGCAAUAUAUUCAAAUGGGCAUGCAAUAAUUGAAAACUAAAACAGAUACAAACACAAGGUUAAGGUCUAAUCACUUUGACUUAUUAUGCUUGAAAUAUGCAUGAUUCAAAUUCUUGCUAUGUUUAAGGCAAAGACAAUUUGGGUUUAUGCAUAGGGCAUAAAAUAAAAGUGUACGUAUGUGUUUGGAAAUGAAAGGGAAUGAAGAGAUCGAGCAAGAAGAAGCUGAAGCAAGCGACAAGCAGAAAUGCAUAGAUGUGCGUCUGGCAUAUGAUAUGUCAGGACUUAGUCGAGCCCAAGAUUCACUUUUCCAUCAGCAAAUUGCUAUAUUGUCUUGACGCUGCUAGCUAUGUGUUGGCAUGCAUUAGGGUUCAUCAAUUGUUUAUUCACUACUAGCUGCUAAUUAAACGAUGUGUAAGUGUGUAAUUAACUUGUAUCAAUCUUCACGACCCAAAAGUAUUUUCAUAGUUUCUAUUGCCUUUGUGCAAUAGCAAUUGUCCACUGCGAGGUGUGAGGGAUCUCGUACUCAAGAACUAAUUACAUCAUAUCAGUAUUAUAUCUGUGUAGUUACAUUAGUAAGUGGAUCAGUGUCUGAGUGAAACUCAUGUUUUAGUUGUUGUAUUAUUAUCAAUUAUUCUACUUCAGAGAAUGUCAUACCCUCUCAGUGUGGAACUUCUCAUACUAUGUGCAACUCAUGGACAUAACAUUUAUACUAUUUUGCCAUUUAUCAUACUAUGUGCAAUGCAUAUAUACAAACAUCGUGAACAUGACAUUGAAAAUUUUGAAAUAGCUUCGAUGAAAAGCUUAUUUGCGUUUCGCCAUUUAUAAGAAACAUGGAGAAAAAACAAAUUGUGUUAUUGCAUGUUUUAUGAAAGCCCAAGUAUUGCUGAACUCGCUGACAAGUCUAUGAUUAAUUAGUAUGUCCAUUAUUAAUCAAGAGGAAAAAAAAAACAAAAAUGAGGUAUUGGAAGAAACUGAUAAUUAUUCACAAAAAUUCAACAUUAAAAAAAAUGAGUGCGGCUAUCGGGACCUCUAAAUUUACUCAGUAUACCUCUCAUGCUCUUUACACCUCCUUUUUAAUUUUAACUACAAACAUUUGCUCACUAGACAUCUUUUCAAAUCCUUAAAAUAACCUUACGUAUGUUAUUCACAUAUAUAUCUUGAUAAUUUACUCAUUAUACCUCUUAUUUAUUCUUUAGACCUCUCAUUCUUUUAAUUUUUUUCUUUUUGCAUAUUAUCAUCGAGACCUCUAUUUCUUGAUUUUUUUUCGUUCAAACUUUUUUCAUGACCUCAAUUCCUUGAUAAUUUUUUAUUUCCCAUAGAAUGUCACCAAACCUCCAUUAUUUGAUCAAUUUGUAAGAAUUUUUUUUCAAUGACAUCAAUUUUUCUCUUAAAAGUCAAAUAACACAAAGUAUUGGGUUUCAAAAACUUAUAUUUACCAGCUUAAUACCGUCUCUCCUUAUAAGUGAGAGGUCGUGAGUUCAACUCACAGUAGACUCGUUAUAGCAUAUUAGUUGUUUAUCUGAAUUAAAAAAAAAAAACUUAUAUUUACCAAUAAGAAUAUUCUAACAUAAAUUAGUUUUUCUUUUUCUAUUUUACUUGUGCUAAACGAUCAACGAUAAUAAUUGUAUACUAUGUAUGUUAUUUUUUCCCCUCUAUUUAAUGUACAUCAUGAAAUUAUUUCAAUAAUUAUUUAAUUUUUCAUUAUCGAUCGAUUUGUUUUGCCUAUAUAUUCUUUCACCUUGUAUAUAUAUAUAUGCUCUCAACAUGUAUGAUAGUAGAAAAUUUUAUGUCACACGGUUGAUAUUGAUCAUAGUUUUAGCUCUAAUUAAAUAUAUAAUAUGUAGUAAAAUUUAGAAAAUUGUAAAUUAGAAAUUAAAAAUAUUUAAGGAAAAUAAUACAGAAUACAUAAAUUAAUUAUCGAAUUGGAAAGUCUGGAGAGAAUAAAUAUACUUCUUUUUGUAUGAUUAUUGUCCUUAAUAAUCAUUACUUAAGAGGAGAUAAUUGUCAUUUAAUAACUCAUAAUAAAGAGAAGUCAAGUGAGCAAAUUUGGAGAUCCCAAUAGUCAAGUGAGAAUAGAACACAAUUGUUGUUCAACUUACUUAAAUAUUUUAUUUCUCUAAUGCAGGUAGAAUUUAGCUAUAUAUAGGUUUAUUAAUUUUGAGUGGAGGUUCAGGAUAAAAGUAAAUGGUACUAAUCUUUCUUAAUUGUUUAAAUGAUUAUUAGAAAUGGCUUAAAAAUCAGUGUAAGUGUCAUUAUCUGUUUUAGUGAAUAUUUUCCAUCUUUAUUAAUGAAUAAAAACUAAUCAAAAACCAUUUAUGAAUGUAUGUUUUUUUAGAAUCAUCGUUAGUGCUACAAAGAAUGAAUUAGAACGAAAAUAUUUUACUAAUUGAGUUACACCAAACAAAUAAUCAUGAAAUGAAUGGAUGGUUGUGAUGAUGAGGUUCAUUUGCAAGACGAACACAAACUCCUUCCCCAUUCAACAUUUUUUUUUUUGUUUCUUCACUGCUCAACUCCAUCUUUCCCUCUUAAUCUGGCGCUUUGCAAAACCCACCAUCACACACCUCAUACACACAGCAUUAUUCUCUCCCUUUUCCUCUUUCUCUCUCGUGACCUCUCACAGUCACUUCGUUUUCUUCUACCAGUACAACCUCCCAAAUCCAGCUCUCUAUCUCUAGCUUCCAUGGCAGGUUUUCCAUGACACACAGUCUUCCAAAAGUCAUGUUUCCCUGGCCACACUCCCAUUCCCCAUAACUACUCUACUCCCAUUUUCAGAAAACAAAGUACAAACUAGUCUUCCAUCCCAAUCGUUGCAUUGUACUCAACAAUGGCUUUUCUCAGAUUUCUCAUAUACACACUAAUGGCUUCUCUGCAACUCUGCAUGGGCGACGACCCCAUCCCGGUGCAGCUCAACUACGACGUGCUCGGCCUCCUCGUCUUCAAAUCCGACCUCCACGACCCUUCUUCCUACCUCUCUUCCUGGAACGAAGACGACGACUCCCCUUGCUCAUGGAACUUCAUCCAAUGCAACCCUUCCACCGGAAGAGUCUCCCAACUCAACCUCGACGGCUUAGGCCUCAAGGGCAAACCCGGUAAAGGUCUUCAGAAUCUUCAGCACCUCAAGGUACUCUCUUUAUCCGGCAACAACUUCACUGGUGAGCUUAGUCCAGAGAAGCUUGCUCUCCCUCCAAGUCUCCAAACACUCAACUUAAGCCGGAACAGUUUCUCGGGACUAGUUCCCACUACUCUUGUCAACUUCAGCUCCAUUAGAUUUCUUGACCUGUCUCAAAACUCACUGUCUGGUUCACUCCCAGAUUCUCUCUUUGGUGCUUGCUCUUCGCUUCGCUACCUUUCCUUAUCUGGAAACUUGCUAGAAGGAAACUUGCCUAGUACUCUUUCUAAAUGCUCCUCUUUGAAUAGCCUCAACAUCUCCAACAACCGUUUCUCCGGUAACCCGGAUUUCGAAUCCGGGAUUUGGUCCUUGAAACGCCUUCGUUCUCUGGAUCUUUCAAACAAUGCUCUAUCCGGGUUCGUGCCGAAAGGGAUAUCAUCUAUACAUAAUUUGAAAGAGAUUUUGAUUCAGAGGAACCAUUUUUCUGGGACAAUCCCUUUUGAUAUUGGACUGUGUCCUCACUUGGGUCGGAUCGAUUUCAGUGAAAAUCUCUUCACUGGUGAGUUGCCACAGUCACUUCAGAUGCUGAAUUUCCUGACAUUUAUGAGUCUUUCAGAUAAUAUGUUCAAUGGUGAUUUUCCUCAAUGGAUUGGGAACUUGAGUAGCCUUGAGUACUUGGACUUUUCCAACAAUGGCUUCACUGGAAGCCUCCCACCAUCAAUGGGUGACCUUAGAUCUCUCAGUUAUUUAAGUUUGUCUAACAACAAACUUGUUGGGACACUUCCAACUUCUCUUGUCUACUGCAACAAGUUGUCUGUGAUUCGGUUGAGGGGUAAUGAUUUCAGUGGGAGCAUACCAGAAGGUUUGUUUGAUCUUGGGUUGGAAGAGAUAGACUUUUCGAAUAUGGGACUAACAGGUUCAAUCCCACCCGGUUCGAGUAAAUUGUUCGAGUCUUUGAAGAUGUUGGAUCUGUCAAGGAACAAUCUCAAAGGCAACAUUCCAGCAGAGGUGGGACUUUUCUCCAACUUGAGGUACUUGAAUUUUUCAUGGAACAAUCUUCAAUCAAGAAUUCCACCAGAGCUAGGAUUUUUCUCGAAUCUCACUGUGUUAGAUCUACGGAAUAGUGCAUUGUCUGGUCCAAUCCCAGGAGAAAUAUGUGACUCUGGUAGUUUGGAUAUUCUCCAAUUGGAUGGAAAUUCAUUGACUGGCCCAAUUCCUGAUGAGAUUGGGAAUUGCUCAUCUCUCUAUUUGAUGUAAGUCUGAUCAUCUCUCUUUCAUAUGAAGUUCUGUACAUUGAGGUUUGAAUUACGUAUACCAAUUACUAACUGCAAGAUUUUCCCUUUUGUUGCAUUUGCAGGAGUUUGUCACAUAACAAUUUAAGUGGUGUUAUUCCAAAAUCCAUUUCGAAGUUGGGCAAGCUCGUGAUUCUCAAGUUAGAGUUCAAUGAGUUGAGUGGAGAGAUACCACUAGAGCUUGGAAAAUUGGAAAAUCUUCUUGCUGUGAACAUUUCAUAUAACAGAUUAACAGGGAGGCUUCCUGUUGGGAGUGUGUUUCAGAGUUUGGAUCAAAGUGCUUUGCAAGGAAACUUGGGUAUUUGUUCACCAUUGUUGAAGGGUCCAUGUACAAUGAAUGUACCUAAGCCUCUUGUUCUUGAUCCAAAUGCCUACCCUAACCAAAUGGGUGGUGGAGAUCAUAGAUACCAUGGCGACUCAUCAGAGUCUCGAAAAGGACAUCACCAUAUGUUCCUUAGCAUAUCUGCUAUUGUGGCGAUUUCAGCUGCUACUCUGAUUGCUGUUGGAGUAAUAGUCAUUAGCCUUCUGAAUGCAUCUGCAAGAAGGAGGCCUGCAUUUGUGGAAACUGCCUUGGAAAGCAUGUGCUCGAUGUCUUCGCGAUCGGGUAGUUUGGCCUCAGGGAAGCUCAUUCUGUUUGAUUCAAGGUCAUCCCCGGAUUGGAUCAGCAGUCCUGAAUCACUAUUGAACAAGGCCUCUGAGCUUGGGGAGGGAGUCUUUGGAACAGUCUACAAAGUUCCACUGGGAGCUCAGGGAAGAAUGGUGGCAAUCAAAAAGCUUGUGACAACAAACAUACUCCAAUGUCUUGAAGACUUUGACAGAGAAGUUCGAGUCCUUGGAAAGGCAAGGCACCCAAAUCUAGUAGCCCUGAAAGGAUACUACUGGACUCCACAGAUGCAGCUACUUGUGAAUGAGUAUGCCCCCAAUGGCAGCCUACAAUCCAAACUCCAUGAUAGGCUUUAUUCAAGUUCACCUCUUUCAUGGGAUGAUAGGUUUAAAAUCCUGCUAGGAACAGCAAAGGGACUUUCCCACUUGCACCAUUCUUUUCGCCCUCCUAUCAUUCACUACAACGUAAAACCAAGCAACAUACUGCUCGAUGAAGACCUCAACCCGAAGAUUUCAGAUUUUGCACUUGCAAGGCUACUAACCAAGAUCGACAGGCAUGUAGUCAGUAACCGAUUUCAGAGUGCAUUGGGCUAUGUGGCGCCGGAACUAGCUUGCCAGAGCCUAAGGGUGAAUGAGAAAUGCGAUGUGUAUGGUUUUGGCGUGUUGAUCCUUGAGCUUGUGACUGGUAGAAGGCCAGUGGAAUAUGGGGAAGACAAUGUGGUGAUAUUAAACGAUCAUGUGAAGGUUUUACUUGAACAAGGCAAUGUGCUAGGAUGCAUUGAUGUUAGCAUGGGGGAGUACCCAGAAGAUGAAGUCCUACCAGUGCUCAAGCUGGCCUUGGUGUGCACUUCUCAGAUACCAUCUUGUAGGCCAACCAUGGCAGAAGUGGUGCAAAUUCUUCAGAUUAUCAAGACUCCACUUCCACAAAGAAUUGAGCGUUUCUAAUUUCUCUAAGAUCACAUUUAGCAAUCUUGCAUAACUUGAUAGAGAUUGCUCCUUCUCGUUGUUGGAGUUUGUUCAUUACUCUUUCUUUUUAUUCGGAUUUGAUAGAUAGGGAACUCCUCCAUUUGUUAAUUUGCUGUUCUUCUCUCCUGUAAGCAGUUUAAUUUCCUGCUUGCUAUUUGCAGAUAUCUAGCUAAUUCGAAAUCGAUGAAUUGUGCCUUUGAUUGCAAUUUGCAUUUUGGAACACUUGUCUAGUUCAAAACAACAACAUGAAUUCUUGCAAGUCAAGGAAAAUUUGACACUAAAGAGUUUAGGAUUGAAAAAAAAAAAUCACUAAACCAAUUAAGGGUCUACUUCUUAAUCACAUCAUCACCUUGUGCAAAUUGAAAGCUAGUUAUUUUCUUUUACUUCAUCUAGCAGCUAAUUACAGUAUAGAUACUAUAGCUCUUAAAAUGGUUCAACCUUCUUCUUUUGAAAGCUUGUGGAAACUGUUCUUUGAAAAGAUUAGCAUUGUGCACAGACAUGAGACAUGUAACAUCUAUCACUCCAGUUCACUACAGUUAAAGGUAGAACAUCUGAACAUGUAUCUAUCAGUUCAAGACGAUGGUAAAUUAAACUGACUUCAUACAUUGGUUAUUGGUAGACAUGAUCUGUUCGACAUGAUCUUAAGCUAGAUUACAAUUGUUUUUAAAAGAGUGAUUUAGUAUUGAUGCACCGAUCGGUCACCGAUGUGUUAUUGAUUGAACCUAUUUUGGAAAUGGGGGUGUUUCGUUUCACGGGGUUUUACCUUUGUUGGUCAAGAAUCACAAUCACACUGUGAUUUUCCUUAGAGGUGACUUUAUCGUGACUAUAUAUGCAUGGCUUUCGUUUUCUAUAAGGUAGACGACAUAUAAACUUCACGGGUUUCUUUACAAUUCAGCUUCACAUCAUGUGUGUAUUAUAUAUAACACAACAACAUGAAAAUCAAGUUGUAUACAAUAAUAUGGAAGAAGAAUCUCCAUCAACAUCUAUAUACAAUAACAAGGGAACAGAACAGGACCAAUCAAUAGAAACGACAGAUUGAAUUAUGCCAAUCCAAUGUGAUGCAUGUCAAAGUCAUCAUUCUUUAUAAUCAAAACCAUUUCAAUAUGUCUGUAAAAAAUUUUAUUAACAUAUCCCUUAAAAAAUUUUAUUAAUACAUCCCUAAAUGUUAGAUACACAUUAUUUUUUAUAUAGAUUAGAUAAGACUUUGUAUGUACAUAAAAUUUUAACAAAAGAGAUAUUUAUAUCAAAAGUAAAGAAACCUAGUUCAAAAAAAAAUAUCUUGUUUAAGACUAUUAUUCUCCUCUACAAGAACAACGUAUGUGAAGAUACCAAGCCCAAUCAAAAAUAGCUAGCGACAACCAUAGUUUCAAGCAAAAAUUAAAGACAAGGUAAUGGAUUCUAGUGGUAUUUCUCAACCUCUAAGCGAGGUAUAACUUCUCUAUCUUUGAUCAAAAUUGAUCUACUACAAAAUUUAGAUUUUAGGGUUUGUUGUUUGAUUAGAUAGUACAAAUUGAACUUGAAAAAUUUAUUUUUUACUGUUCACACAUGCUAGGUCGUUCAAAAGCAUUUACGUUUGAACACCAAACUAGAACUUGGGAUGGUGCUAUAUAUAAUUAUAUAUAUACUCUUCUAGUUUGUUUGCCAUUGAUCUAACUCAAUGAGAGAGAUCUCAAGCAAAAUCGUGCCCUCGUGACGCAAGAGAUCUCACUAAUGUGAAUUUUCUUUUAGAUCUAAAAAAUAUGUGUAUUUAGUGAAUGAGUUAUGUAUUUAAUGAAAAAAUUGUGUAUUUUAAAUUAGGGUAUUGUAUGAAAUUUGGGUAUGUGUAUCCCGUAAAAUGUUAAAACAAUAAAGUUAAUAGGUGGUGUAUUAAGCAUUGUAUGUGUAUCUAAUAAUUAGGAAUGUGUUAAUAAAAUUUGAGUUUUUUUUUUUUUUGUUACAACUAUGAGUUGGGUUUUUUCUUUUUCUUUUUUGAAAGGAACUAUGAGUUGGUUAUAGUUGAUGAUAGUAUGAAACAUAAAUAUUCUACUUUGGUGAUGACACACCUCUAGAGUACGUAUGGGGUACUCAUCAACACAAUAGGUCGUGUUUGGAAAUUAUUGGUUUCUACUUUCUACAAAUUUGAUGUUCUCAUUGCAAAUCUAAUUGCCACACCCAGUUAAAUAAAAAAUAAAUAAAUAAACGCAAGACAAUUUUAUGAGAACUCUGUCUCCUAUAUAGAUUAGCAUUAGCAUCGUCCUUCACAAAAAAACUGUCGCAGAGUCUUUAUAAGAAGUAAGUAGAUUAUUUAACUCAAAUUCAUAGGUUUUUUUUUGUUUUUUUUUUUUUAAAUAGUCAGUUACGACUUUCAUAUGAUUUGGGGUAAAACGAAAGGCAGAUGAUAGCCAUUACAUACUCUACCGUUAUCAUCUACAGAUAGACAAAUUGAUCGCUUUGAGAGAAAGAGUUUGAUUCUUGUUCAAAGUGAAGCGGACUUCGAAGAAUCACAGUAAUAGCAAGUACAAUGCAACCUGCUUUCAUUUCUGUUUAGAGGCUUAUUUCAAUUGCCGAUCCGUGCUUUGCAAUUUUUGCUCUAGAUUUUGAUUGUCAUCUGUUGUUGUUUGAUUUUGCGUGGCUUCAGUUAGGAAUAGAGAAGCAUGUAGAUUUUGUUGCGAAUUCCAGUACAGGUUCUAAUUAAUAAAUUGUUGACUUUUCUGGUGAUCGGAAUCUAGGCUGUGUUAUUCCAUGUUGUUCGUGCAUUCAUGGCGGGAAGUCAAAAAGACUUAUAAAUCGUCUUUUUGAUCAAGUUUAGGGUAUGCAUCCUUUUGUUUUGUUGUUUGUGACGUGUCAUUCUUUGCCUAUGUGUCAACCUGAUAGACUUUGUCUUAUCUUUCUGCAGUUAUGGUUUCCGAAUACCAUAGGUUUAUCGAAGAGUUGAUUAGAAAAGCCGAGAGCAGGGCUUUGUAUGGAGAGGGUGCUCGUGAAGUGCAUCCUCCGUCGGGUUUGGACCUUGAGUUAAGAUUGGGUCCGCCCGGUCCCCUGUUGUUUGGGGUAGGACUAGACCGUAAGAGAAAGUGGCGGGAGGCGGAUGGAGAUAGGGCCCAAUAGCCGCCGAGAUCCCUCCUUAGCCCAUCAGUGCCUGAUGAACUUUAGGGAUGGGGUUCGCCGCCCAGGAAUAGAGUUUAGAGCAUCUUUAACAGACUCUCUACUUUAACUCCUUAACUAUUUUAGAGUGUGUUUAGCUUUUUUGGAUGUUUUAGGAGCUCCAGCAAACUAGCCAAACUUGAGCUAUUAUGACUUUUAGCUAUCUCGCUAGCUAUAUUUAGCUAGCGAGAUGACUCAGAUGAGGCUAGCUAUAAUUUAAUACAUUGCUUGUAAGAUAUUUUAUGUGAUAUAUAAAUAUAUUUAAAUUAUUUAAUUUCUAUUUAAAGAAUAAUGUUGCUGUAAUGCUAGCUAAAAUAGAGAACAUUGAUGCAGCCGCAUUUCUAAAGUGGCUAGCAAAAAUGACAUUUUAGCUAAUUUGACUAAAAUUUAACUUUAAAAUGGCUAGCAUUUCUAAAAAUGCUCUUAUAAGGCCAGCCACAUCAAGUUGUGGUCGUGUACUAUGCCGGGCGGUUUGUCAAGGCUUCUCGCCCAACCGAGACGUUCUUCGAGCUGUAAUUUCCUUUCUUGUGCAUGGCCACAGAAAGAGCUCUACCGAAGGGCCGAAUUCUAGCGUUGGCGCAACGUUGUUAUUGUGGAUCUAAUCUGACCAUAAGGUUGACGUCGUUGCGGGGAUUUGUGGAUUUCGUAAUGGAGGGAGCGGCGGUGAAGGACGGGAGGCUGCUUUUUGACAGAGAGGGUGGUGGUGACGGUGGUGAAGGUGGUGGCUGACAAGGGUUACUUUGCUCUUUGGACUAGGCUUUCUCUUGAAGCUGAUUGGUUCUAGGUUGGGUUAGGGUUCUUUUGCUUUAGCCCAUUUCUAAUUAUUUGGUUAGUCUAUGCAAGUAAUUGAUGUGUUUACCAUGUUAUUCAUGUAAUUAUUUUGUUGUGGAUGUAAUUAACACGCCAACACUCUCUAUAUUUCAUGAUGAAAAUAUUGAAUGUCUCGGCUUCUUUUCUAGAGCUUUAGAAGUGCAGCAGAUAAAAAAGGACAAAACAAGCGAGAAAGACUAACAGUGAAUAUAUGGACAUUUUUCAGUUAAACGAUAAUUUUCAGGAAAAUAUGAGAAUGUUUUUGGUUACAAAAAAAAAAAAAAAUGAUUGCUUUAUGAUUCACGAGAAACAUUUUCGCUACCUGCUAAGAAUCCUAAAAUAUAAAAUUGGAGAAGUCAUUUCUGAUUUUAGUGUAUCAUUUUCACUUUGAAGAGUGAUGAUAGUACAUAAUAUGUAUAUUUUUUAGUUUGCUGAAUAAUAUGCCUACCAUGCCCGUGAUCGAUCUUUAGUCUGGUGCAUCCAUCUCGCAUUUUUGUUGACAUUCUAGGCACAACCGGUCAUAUUUGAAUGAUGUGUUGCCAGCACUUAGCAACAUUGUUCGUUGCAGUCCCAUGUCCCAACUAAGUAAUCAAAACAAAUUAUUUGUUCGCUUUAUUUUCUUCAUUUUUAUUUUUAUAUUACACAUUAAUAUAUUAGUGUAAAUUAAAACGUUGUAAUAUUAUCACUCAUUCACCAUUAAUUUUUCAUCAGAAUAAAUUGUUAAUUAUAUAGUUGGAAAGGGAACAAAAGAUACAUAAGUCAGUGUUAAUAGAUGCCAAUCAUCGUCUAGUCCCGUUUCUUGAUUAUGGUAGUGAUAUUUAGGUUUAAUCUAACACACUUGGUAUGUGUGGUAGUGAUAUUCUCACACUUUGCUGGUUUUGAAUGUGAAUUUUGCUCGGUAUAUGAAAAACGAGGGUAAAACGGAAAAUUACAUACAAAAAAUGGUGUUGUUUGGUGUAUUCAGAAAUUUGUUGGAUACAUUUGACAAUACCAUUUAUAUAAUAGAGAAUCUUGUGUAAAACGCUAUGAGAGUCUAAGAAACAUUAUUCUGUAUAAUUCUUUAUUUUUUCAUCUAAGCCUAGACAUGCUCAGUGAUAGGAUAGUUUUAAGAAAUUUGUGGGACAAAUGUAUCUCAAUUCCAUGUCUAUAAUUGAAAAGCAUUGAUGAUAACAAUUUGAAACUUUGAAUUUAUUUUUUAUUUUUUUUGAUACAAACUUCAAAUUUAUUUUCGGUUUAGCAGUAUAUAGAUGAUCGGGCUAAUUAUCCCAUAACAAAGCCCGUUUACACAACCCAUUCCACGUCCCCAAGUCCAAUCCACAGCGCCUAAACCUAAGGGCAUAACCGUAAACCGAACACAUAUAAAUAUCCCAGACCCCAUCCUCACUCCAGCUUCUGUGAGAGCCGCCGAACCCUAGAGGCCCUAGGAGAGAUUCACAGAGAGCGAUGACGACCCGAUUCAAGAAGAACCGCAAGAAGAGAGGCCACGUGAGCGCCGGUCACGGUCGUAUCGGCAAGCACCGCAAGCAUCCCGGAGGUCGCGGAAACGCCGGAGGCAUGCACCACCACCGCAUCCUGUUCGACAAGUACCACCCGGGGUAUUUCGGUAAAGUCGGUAUGAGGUACUUCCACAAGCUCCGCAACAAGUUCUACUGCCCCAUCGUCAACGUCGACAAGCUCUGGUCACUCGUCCCCCAGGAGGCCAAGGACAAGGCCACCAAGGACAACGUCCCCUUGAUCGACGUCACUCAGCAUGGAUACUUCAAGAUCCUCGGCAAGGGCAAGCUCCCGGCGGGCCACCCCGUCGUCGUCAAGGCCAAGCUCAUCUCCAAGGUCGCUGAGAAGAAGAUUAAGGAAGCCGGUGGCGCUGUCGUUCUCACCGCUUAGGUUUGGGUAGUUUUUAUUCCUGUUUCAAAGUUUAUGUUUCGUUCGUUUAGACUGCCAGGAGACAGCUAUGUUAUAUUUUUGAUUUUCGAUGAUCAGCGAAUGUUUAAUGGCUUUUCAUAUCUAUGGUAUUUGCUUAAUUAUCUAUGUUUUCUUAUUGGUGUCAUGAUUUGAUUUUGUGUUUGGUAUUGAUGGAUUCAGAUGAGUUUUGAUAUAUCGUAUUGAUAUUUGUGGUGCUUGUUGCGUAACCCUGUAUUGUGCCUUGUGUAUGUGUAUGAAAUAAGGGUCUUGCAGCUUAUUUGGUUGUCAUUUGGAUUGAAUCUGAAGAUUUGGUUCAUGUUUGAUUUGGAAUUUGCUCCUUUAGACCAGUACCUGUUUGCCUCAAGGUUUAGUUAGAAGAAUAAUGAGAAACCUGUACCUACAGGAUGAGGAUAGAGAUUUCAUAUCCUCAUUUUGGAUGUGCACUGUCUGAACCGACAUAAUGGUAUUUUAACUCAAGGAAGUCUCUCAGCUUGCCCUUAGAGCUAUACCAUGAUUGGAUUUGCACCAGUCCAGUUGUUUGAUACUUAUUUAUGUUCGUCCUGGUCACUUAAUGUGAUCUUCCUAUUAAUCUUUAGCAGUUCUUUUCACAUUAUAUUUGUAGGAGUGAUAUUUGGAUAUGCUUUACACUAUUCUGCUAGUCAUAAGCACAGGAUUAGCCUUAUGUUUUUUACCUACUGUACGGCAUUCUAGCCCUCAAGUUUGAACUCGUAGAACUCAUUAACAGUUCCACCAAUUGCUUUGGUUUAUAUAUCCAUCAUAUUGGAUAGUCUUGUAGAUUGUUCUCGUGAACUUGUUUUCAUGUGUUAUGUAGUGUUUAGGAUGCUGCUGAUUGUACAUAAUCAUUUUUCCAUUGAACAGCUGCAUUUGCGGUUUGUAUGUUGUUUUUACAAGCAGUGUCUUUUAAACUAGAUUGGCUAACAUGGCAUUUUAGUAGUGGUUUCUGCAACUAUGUCUAAGUUAUUCGAUGUUCUUCUGUAGUGUGAUGAUUUCAAUUUCAUCUCUGUAAUUGGUAGACAACAUAUACUUGAAUAAUAUAAACUACAAAGAAGGUACUGGAUUUCAAUUCCAACUACUGAUAACUCGAAGCUCAAAACUAUUGGGAAUGUCCUGUGACCUUUUUUUUCUUUGUUUUCUUUAAUCUGAAGGGGGAGUGGGGGAGCAUCCACUCCCUUUCCUCUCUAGUAGUAAAAGAUAGGGGUGGGCAUAAAAAACCGUAAUCCUAAACCGGUCCCGAAAUUUGCGGAGACGGGACGGGAUUUAAAUCUUAAAACGUUAGGCCUGUCAUGUUUUUAUAUAACAGGACGGGACACGAGACGGAUAAUUCAAGUCUUGUUUAGGUUUGUCAUGUUCCGACUAUUUUAAUGAUUGAUUUUUUAUUGAUUAAGAUGUGAUUUGAGCAUUUCAUUUAAAUGUUUUGAUCUUAGCUCUUUGUUUCUUUAAGUUACUAGAUUGUCACCAAUUCAAUAACAGUGAUGUUUAAUAUUUUAAUUUGUUGAUUGUUGUAGACUCUUUACUCUCUUGUUGAAAAGUAACAGUAUAAACUCUCUUAUUACACUGUGUUAUAUUUAUAAAUAUAUUAUAAAAUACUUAUUAAUACAUAAUAAAGUAAAGAGCAAUAUAAAACUAUGGAACUCUUUCUUUUGCUCACAAGUUUAUUUUCAAUUUUUUUAUUCCGGGAUUGGAUUUGUCCCGUCCCGUUCCAUCCCAUCCCAACCGGGAUAAGACUCGGGUGGGAUGAAAUUUAAAAAAUGCAAAGCUCGUCCCGUCCCGUCCCGAUUUCAAUGCCUGGGACGGGCCGUGGGAUUAGCUCCAUCCCGUCCCAUCUCGUCUCAUGAGUUGGUUUUUCAAUGUUUAUAUAGCCUUUGAUGAGUCCCCUCUAAACGGAUGAGACAAAUUUGGUCCAAGUGCUCAAAGAGAACAAAAAGUCACUUGGCCUUAUUCGUAUGAAGAAUGUAUGUAUCAGGUUCUUUUAGUUGAUUAUGUGAUUCAAUGCACACGACUCACAUAGUUAAAGUGGCUAAUGUUGAUACCCAAAAUGUAACUUGAUUUUGUAAACAGCUCGAGGGUCAAAUAUUGGAUUUUAAUUCGAACUGAGGCCCAUUAGAUCAAUAUUAGGGUCAACAAGUAAAGGUUUAGAGUACAACUCUUCAUCGUUCACGGACUAUGACACGUUGCUCAUUUUGGGUAAUGGGCAAGUGACAAGGUUCAUAUUCAAAACCUAAAAGAGGCAAGUCACGCCAUGUCACGCCAUGUCAUACCUAAUAAUAAGCAAAGGGACGUCUUACGGGCCAAGCCCCUCCCAAGAUAAAGUUAUUCGAAGCCCAUUUUGGAGUCUGGUCAGGCCAUGUUCAUUCAUGCCCAAACAUACUCCCUCUAGGUACGUGGUUCUUUAUGGACACGCUUCUACGACUACGUGUCCGCUCACUUCACACACACCAAGCAAACUCGUGUACAAUUAUCCUACCCCGUCUAUCACAACAUGCCACGCGGCUAAUUAGUAACGUGGACCUAAGACACUAUGCCAAAUGGGGGCUUAUUAGUGGGUUGUGGUGUGGAAGGAUACAUGAUUUUGCAAGGCCUAUGAAUGAUAAAUGUCAACUGUCCAAAACGUCUUGGGAAUCGAUGACCAAACUUGAAAAAGAAGGUGUCAUUCUAUCUGGGGAUUAAGGGUAUCUCUGCAAUACAAACAUUAGUACAACUAAUAUCUACAAGUAUUAUUUACAUCAGUGGUGUUUACAUGGUCACCUAGUGACUAAGGAAAUCAUGGUCAAUCACCGUUAGAUGUAAAUCCAAGGGUGGAAAACAAAAUAACUUAACUUUAAAAUAAUACUUCCCACUCUUAAAUUUACAUCCAAUAAUAAUUGACCAUGAUUUCCUUGGUCACUAGUGAACACUAAUGUUAUUCACAUAUAUACAAUUAAAAUACAAAAUACAUGAUCAACUCUCACACGCAUAGAAAACGUUUGAAGAACAUCAGUAAAUAUGUUAUCUAAAUUUCAACUGUCCCAAGUCGAUGUCGUCUUGAUACCGAAAAAAUGCUGGAAAGACUACAUUCCAGUGACUUAUGUCGGGUCUCAAGUUUUUGGGUCCAACUUUGGGAUUCAUAACGUGAGCUUCCCAUCAUCUUUUUGAUUAAUUUGUGACAUGAGAAUGAAGAACAAAAUUUUUACUUAAACUUUGCAUAGAGCCCUAGCAAAAGGAAAUAAAAGAAAGUCCUCGAAUUCUUCGUCGAAAAUGCAGUUUAGUAAGCUGCCGAAAACUGCCUUUCUCAAGGUGCCUACUUUGGAUUCUAUUGCUCAUUUCCGCAUUAAUGCUCUUGGACAAAUAUUUGGCUGGGAAUGAAGUAUGUAACUUUGUCUUCAAGGAAUGAUAACUCGUCUUGAGAAAAUUCAAACAAAACUAAAUCCUCCAAAAUGAGUGAAAUAAACCAUUUCGGACUUCAACUUAAUGCUUCUUGAGGGCUGUUUUGCUCGCGAAUUUUCUUCGACUUCUCUUGAGAUUUCUGACCAGUAAAAUGAUCAUUCUCCAUAUUCUAGAACUACUUCAUAAACAAGAUCUUAAUUGUCGGGUCUUAGCUUUCUAUUAUCCAUAAUCGCUCCACAAAAUACCUAAUAAAGAAUGUCAUGAGAUUAGUGGAGUCAUGUUGUGAAUAGGAGAAGUCUUCUUUACUUACCACUUUACCAGUUAUUACAAGUUUAUUACUGAGAGAGAGAGGGGGGGGGNNNNNNNNNNNNNNNNNNNNGUGGGGGGUUGUAUUUAUACCAAACCAUAUAGACACAGCAGCUAUCUAUGAAUAAUCAUGUUUUGCUUUCUUUCGUUAUAUAUUUCAAUUUCUUUCCUUUCCUUUCUUAGCUUAAGGGUCGGUACCAUUGCAAAGAAAAUAAGUUAAAACGACAUUUUAAAGGACUAAAUUAAGUAAAAGUUUAGAUGUUGAACUAUAAAUUCGUUGCAUAUUAUGUUUUUAUUAGGUACAUUCCUUGAGUGUUAAUUAUUCAAAAGAUGUUAUUUUUAAGUUUCGUUAGAUACGAAAACUUAGAGUACUUCAAUGUGGACAUAUGUAUACUUGGUACAUGGCAAGGAAGCUCCAAAACAUAUUUUGCAAGCAUCUAAGGCUAUCCGAAUAUAUUUUAUAAGUCUGAGGCUAGUUUUUAUCCAGAUCACCCAGUUUCAAACGCUCUUCAAAGACAAACACCAGAGAUCAAAUAAGUUUGAAAGUCUGGUUUUACAUUGAUAUACUAGUUAAAAGAUGAUGAUAUAUGACUAUUCAAAAAAAAAAAAAUAAUGAUAUUGGAACCUUUUGAGGUAUGUUUGUAAGAGCAAGUCCACUCCAACCCCAAACACAAGACCUAGGCUUUCGCCAUGUCAGACGAAGACUUAGUCAAAAAAAAACCUCCCUCCAUCCAUGAAAUUUCUUUAACCUAGGUUAGACCUAGGUCAUCACCUGGGUCAGACCCAUGAUCCAGGCAAAAGAUUUUGACGACCUCGGCCUUCCGAGCCACCUCAGCUCGCCUCCACUCCACCACAUGACGUCGGCCACGUUGUGGCACUAUGACGCCCAGGCCUCAACGCGUUGCUCUAGUGCGUCUCUAGCAUGACCAAAUCAGAGAAAGAGCGAGACGCGUGCCAUAUACACAUACCGGAAAGCUUGUACAGCGCCUUCGGUGGAAGAUCACCGGCGAAUCUCAAAAACGCAGAGAAAAUGAUGUAUUUAAAAAAUAGAAGCAUUUCGUUAAAUUAUGGGUAAGAGGAGAUAGAGAAGGAAAAGGUGAUCACAACCAUACAUCUAGAACACGAUUUCGUCACCGGAAAUCCAAACCCUAGCCGGAAAAGCAAAAGCUUCGCUGAGUCGAUUCGAUCACCACGGUGAAUGCAUGUGAAAUUGAUGAUGGGGGUUUAGGAUAAGAAAGAAAGAGGAAGGUUUUGGCCAAGUCUGGCGCCGUGGGGUGACCAGAAUCGAUGGUGUCGUUUUGGGCGGUUGGAGAGCAACACAACUCUUGGUCGUCUUCGAAGAAGAAAGAGUUUACCUGAUUUGCGUUAGUUCACCUGAGUUGGGUUUUUAUAAAGAAAGUGAAGGUCCAGAUUUAAAAUGAAGAGAUCAAACGGUUGAGAAUUAAUCACGAAUUUCUAAUUUCUGAAAAAUAAUUUUGUUUUAUCAAAAUUUUGAUAAAACAUAUUGUUCGACAUACCGAAAAAUAAUCCGAAUACGUCGGCAACCUUAUGUCGAUGCGUACUACCACAUGAGCCUAAAAUCGAAGACUCGACAUUUCAGGAAAAACUCAAAAAUAAACCGAACAUAUAAAAUACCAAAUAUAAAAUUCAAUAAACAGUCACUGCCACAUGACGACCCAGAAACAUGGGUGAAAACUACAACCCAAAAUCACUGCUAUGUGGCGACCCAGGUCUCACCCAUGACCCAGAUCUUCCUAACGAAAACCCAGAGGGUUGACUUGCUCUAAGGGCAUCUCCAACCAUUGUUUUAUAACCUAUACCCAAAUUUAAAAUUUGACUCACCUGAACCUUUUUUUUUUUUUCUAAACCUACCGGCUCAACUCAAGUUGUAUUUGGUAGGAGGUGUAAAUUAAAUUGAAAAACCUAACCUAUAAUAGGCUUUAAGAUCAGGGUUAGAGAUGCUCUAAUGUUCGACCGAUAUAGGCUUUAUUUCUUGAGACUGCUAGAGCUUAUUUUGUACCAACACUUGUGGUCUAUGCGUUUAGCAAAGUAUAUAGUUGACAGUGGGAACUGAUUUGUCAAGUGCUAUUCACAAUCCAGCUCUACCUUAUCUGAAAAUCUGAAUGGUCCCCUGCAAUCCCAGUGGCAUUCACGUAAUAUUUCACACCAAACUGCAUUCCUAAAAGAGAAGGAACCUCUUAGAGAAACAAAUGCUGGUGAAUUUCUUUUCUUCUCUUUCUGUGUUUUCCCAAUUUUCAAUUUGAUCUGUAUAAGUUUUUGUUCAAUUUACUGUAUCAAAUUUUUGCAAAAUUAAAAUUAUGUCACUAAAUUUCAAGUGGCAAGAACAACUGCAUGGCCUUGCUUCAUUCCCAUCCCCUGCCACUCCAAUCUUCAAUACCAGGUUCCUUUUCUGUUACUCAAUAUUUUUGAUGCAGUCGCUAUUUAGAUGACAAGUACUAUUGGUCAAGUGUUUAAUUAUGAAUUUUUUUAGGAAGAAAGUUGAAGUAACAAGGGUGUUGGCUAAAGCAGCUAACUUGGGUGCUGAAUCAAAUGCAAAGAAAGCAAAUUUGUCUGCUGCAAAGAAGGAAAGAAUUAAGCUGCCAAGUUUUGAUAGUAACAAUGUUCACAUUAGAGAAUUCCUAAGCCACCAAUCAGGAACUGAAGCCAUGCUCAACACUAGAGCAUUGCAAAGUUUUGAACCGCUUAGUACUGAUACUUACAGGUCAGUCCUUCUCCAUAAAUUUUGUUUCUUAUGCAAACAUGUGAACUUUUGAUGUGGGAUUCUAUACAUUCUCAAAUCGUCAAACUUAGUUGCUUAUGUUUUGCAGGUGCACUUUGCCAAAGCUUAAACUUUUGAAUUUUGAAGCUGCCCCUGUGGUAGAUUUGAGAGUCAACCCAACCGAUGAGGAUUGUAUGGUUGAGAUGCUCUCUUGCAGGGUAUGUAACUGUGUUUUACAUCCCAUAAGUUUUCAUUUGCAUAUCAAACUGGAUUUCUAGUUUUCUACUAUUGAGAUAUGGAUGCUUGGGUUGCUCACUUAGUCAUAAAUGAGUGCAUAAGCUCAUUCAAAAAGUUCAAGUUUAUGUCAGUUUAUUUGCAUAAAAGUUUACCAUUGUGGUUUCCAGUUUGACGGUUCAGAAGCCGUGGAACGCCAAAACAGCCGUUUUUCAGGUGAAUAAAGAUUUGGUGAGGUUCUUGCAACUUUUAGAAGAUUGGAGGACUUGUCUUCGGAAAUAGUUAUUUUUGGUUCUUUUCAACUCCCUAAAUUGAGGCUUGUGAGUUUAUCAAAUGCUCAUUGACUGUGGAGAGCCUGCUGUUGUUUCCUACCACAUUUCACAUUUGAGAUGAGUCAAGUUUUCAUCAUGGCUAUAUAUCUGUAGGAUUUCAGAUAUGUAAUGCUUGCUGCAAGGCCCUUAUGUAUUACAAUAAUGCCAAGUCUAAGUGAAGGCUUCUGUUUACAGCACUCAUGACAAAUCACAUGUCAUGGGAGAGAGACGACUCUGAAUCAUAUUUGGAAGUUGAUGUGAAGUUAAAGCUCACCCUCGAGGUUGUCUAUCUUCCCCUAAACAAUUCUCUUUUUUCUCUUCUUCCUGCUAAAAAAACCUACAAUAUCAGUAUGCUACUUUUGUUAACUUGAUGUACAUUGUGAGUCCAUUCCCAAACAACUCAAGCUUUUGGCAAUAUGUUUUAACAUCAUAUGUUAUGUGCAGAUCUAUACACGUCCUUUUACCAUGAUGCCAGUAUCAGCUGUUGAGCGUCCGGGAAACUUGUAAGUGAUUCACUCUCAAAAUUGUAGUAUUUACUAUUUAGUAUUUACAAUAGCCAGAGCUCCAUUCAACUCGUGGAACUGUGAUUACAAUACAGAAUGAUGCAAGCACUUCUGGAUAGGCUAGUACCACUGCUUUUGCAGCAACUCCUAGAAGAUUAUCAGAAAUGGGUUCAUAAGCAAUUAAAUGAUGAUCUUCCAUGAAGUGAUCCAUUUCUGCAUUGUUAAGUAAACGUCUCUAGCCUUCUAAUGUUGGUUCCUGUCCAAAAAUUUCUGAAAUGACUUCUGAUGCUACUGCUGGUCUCUGCUUGGUGUGGUUUGUAUUCUUUGUUUUUAUUUAACAGAAUGGCCUUUGGUGAAACCAAGAAGACACAGUGACGGCAGUACUCUAACCAAGUUAUCUCUGAUUCUUAUUGCUUCACGUCAUCAUAUUCUUAUCAGGCUUCGAUUAGACUUGAGCCUCGCAAACUAAACCCAACCCAAAGAGUUAAGGAAUAUUCCUAAAAUCUUCCUAGGGUUAUGUUAGCAUCAAUGUGUUCAAGUUGAGAAUUUGUAUGUUCCUCCACAUUCUAGGUUGCAAUGUAAAUUUUCCAAUUUCCCUAUCUGCUCCAAUCCAACUAGGCUCAACUUUAGUAACCCCAGUUCAGUCACUCCCAAGUAAUUCCAGACCAGAAAGUUCUCCUUGAAAAUCUCACAACAAAUAAAACAAGGGAAAUUUUCAUAUACACCUAAUUUUGAAGAGUGGUUUUAAAUAAAAGCCACCUAAUAUUCAUAUCUGAUAGACAUCUAAAAUGUAUCAAUUAUGAUAAAUAUUAUGUCCUAUUUUUUCUAAAUUUUACACAAUUGCCACCAUUCAACUAUAACAUAUUAAUAUAAUAAAUAAGCUUAAUUGAUGUUGUCUUAAAUACCUUCGUUAUGAGUUUAUCUUUUUUAACACUAACAUUUUUCAAUCAAUUUGCAAGAAUUAUGUAGUUUUCUUUAUUUUUAUGAAAAAAUCUAGAUUAAAGGAAUUCAUUCUCUAAUCUAUUCAUAAGGUAAAAUAUAAUAUGAAUAAGAUAUCUGAUCUAAACCCUAAACCCUAAACCCUAAACCCUAAACCCUAUACCCUAUACCCUAUACCCUGAACCUAUACAUUAACUCUACCCUAAACCCUGUACCUUAACCCUAUACCCUAAACCUAAUUUUGGGUUCCUUCUUUUUAGGUAUAUUAUCAUAUCAUGCCCUACUUAAAAGGUACAUUAGAAACGUAAGUAGUAGAGAAAUGUUCUCUCAAUUAGGAUGAGAAAUGAUAUAAUAAUAUACCUAAAAAGAAGAAAAUUAAUCAAAGAAUAAGAAAGUGUACCUUACAAUUAGACAUUUUUCGACUAUGUAGAGAGAUAUCAAAUGUGAGCUUAAGAAUAAAAAGUAUCAUCCUAUUACAAAUGAGAUACUUCUGUAUAUAGCAUAUAUAUAUACACUCAAGUUAGUAAUAACAAGGUAAGAAAUUAAAGAAUGUAAUUGAUUAUGACAAAGUUAAAUCUAACUAAAUUUUAGUUAGUGUUUGAGUUUCAAAUUGAUGUUAAAAUUGAGAAAUAUACUAAAUUUAGCUUUCUACUAUCUGAAGGGCAAAUUAGAGAAACCAAAAAAUGAAGAAAACUAUUAAUUAUAGACAUUUGCUCUAUAUGAUAUGUUUGCUUAUGUGGAGUGGGUGUAAAAUAAAAGAAAAAUAUGUAUGAGUUUAUCUUAAAAGAGGUCUAGUAUUUUGGGUUUUUAUCUAAUUUUCUCAUAAAACAAUCUUAUACAUCAUUUCCAACAUCUUUUGUUAUCAGUUUAUCACGGCAAUUUAAUAACUAUCACUCGUAUACCAUUGCAUCCUGCUAAUGAGGCCAAAAUGGUCUGGACUCUGGCAUUCACAAUAAACUAAAUAGUUCAGUAGUACUACAUCUGUAUUUUUUUGAAACCACCAGCAGAUAAAAUGCUGAUAUGUCAAACAAACUGCAUUUUAUGCAUGACAUGAGCAAAAUGUUACAUUUUCCAAAACAUGCAAGCCUUAUCAACCUCAUCUCUAAUUUAUUUUUGCAGCUCCUCUUCGUAUCAUGACAGUACCAUCUUCAUCCUUGCACACACUAGAUAUAAGUCUUGAGUUAUGACUGACCAGAACAACCCCACUGGUGAAUUCUCAGCCAAUGCAUCAAUGCUUUGCAUAUCUAAAUGAUCCCUCGUAAAAGUAGAAUGUGGGGUUUUAACAUGGAUAUUGAUGUGAAGACAACUCGAGCUUUCUGUCCUCCGGAUAAUUUUGCAAUAGGAAUAUUAUGGUUGUGGCUAGCGAGUCCAUACUUUCCAAACUCUGCACGCACAGCCUCCUGCUUGCUACAUGUCUCUUGGUCAUGAUGAAGUCGAAGAAGGUAUGAAACUGGGGUUUCGUACAUUGUCAAGAAGUCCACAAAGUGCCGUGAAUACCUACGUACCAAUCCUCAACUUCUGGCUAACUCCUCCAUACUUCACCCUCUCUAGGAACCAAGUCACCUGCAAGAAGGUUAAGCAGAGUAGACUUUCCGGCUGCAUUAGGUCCAAGAAUUGCAACACGAGUACCCAUAUCGAUACUGACAUCAACAUCAGACAGCCUGAAAUCUUCCCGGUUCGGAUAACUGAAGCUGACAUCAAUAAGUUGCAAGAGUGGAGGGUGUAAGCUCAGUAGGUUCAGGAAAGUGAAACUCCACACUGUAAUUCCACUCCUUUUUGCUAUGUUCUCCUCCUUAACAUAUUUUUCAGCCUCUUUGCUUACCUCCUUACGGCGUUCCUCAUACUCUCUUUCAAAAACAUCAAAGUUUCCAAGGUAGGGGUGGAGCUUCAGAUCAUGCAGUUGAAUAAUCUCAGUGCACACUGUGUUAAAGGAAAUUACAAUCAUGUGAGACAACCACCAAAGUUUUUCUUCCAGCGGCACAAGUACUCCUCUAACCAAAGAACAGCUUCAAGUGGAGAUGGUUUGUUCAAUUGUUUGUUCAUCAAGCAACAACAGAGUUGGUUGCACAAAAAGUGCCCUAGCUAAUGAGAUUCUCAUUCUCCAACCACCACUGAAUGACUUGCAUAUCCUAUGUAAACCCCAAACCGACAAGAAUCUUCGAAGCUCCGCUUCAGCAGCAUCCGAUCCCAUCAGCUGCAACUGAUCGUACAACUCAGCGAGCUUCUCUCCUGCAUCAUCAAUUCUUCAUCAUCAUCACACUCUUUCUCUGAAGUCUGUAAUGCUGCAACCUCUUCCCGGAGCUUAACGAGUUCUUCAUUGGCCCAAACUGCUUCUAGAGCACUUGUAUUAUCACCAACCAACUCUUAUUCAACUAGAAGAACGUCGAUGUUUUUUGGUACUGGAAUCUUCCUCCAAGCAAGAAGCUUCGGGAGGGUGGACUUCCCCAUCCCAUUCGGACAAACCAGACCCUAUCUCUUCCCAUGAGAUAUCCUCAUUGAUGUAUUCUCCUGUUUUUUCUAGCCGCCACAGAAAAACCUUGUCAAUGAUAUGUCCUUGAUAGUUGAUAUUGCCAUCUGCAUCAUCUUCACCUUCUCUAAUAGUAACAGUGAAAGCAUCAUGGUCAUGAUCAUCUCUCAGGGCCUCUUCACUUUCUUCCCAUCAUUUCCAGCGAGCUGCCGACUUGCCCUUCCUGGUUGCUCCAGCUUCAUCUGUCACUUUUUUUGUUUCCAUUGCAGCAGUAUCUAAUAUCAAACUCUAGACGAAAUCUUAUGACGCAGCUUUCACAAAAUCUAAAUUUCUGAACUGUAGAAUGGCUAAUACAAUCUAGUGUGUGCUUUCUAUAGGCCUAAGAGGAACUAGGAAUCCUUAUUGAACCAAGAAACUUAUUGAUCAUAAGACCAAGUUUGGAAUAUUAUGAAUGAUGUAAUGCUAUAUCAUAUUCUUGAAUUUUUUUCCCUCUUACAAAGGAUUCCGUUUUCAGUUACUUUUUGCAAAAUUCAGCAGCUUUUUGCUCAAUUUCUUGUGGAGUCAAAUUCUCGUCAAGGGAACGGCCCCUGGCCUCUGAUUUCCAUAUAAAGGACCCGACGAGCAAAAAGACCUUUAUUUUGGACUGAAUAUCUUUCAUAAGGAAUCGCAAGAAUAUGCAACGGUUUUUUCUAGGAAAUCCCCAACGAAAAAUACACACUCUGCCCUCUUUUAUAUCGAAUCGAUCAUAACCACUACGUACAUUCCACUCAUGAGUUAUGAUCUUGUUCUAGGGAGCUCACCAAACUCUACAAUUUCACAAUUAACGCUUCACUGACAAAGAAAUCAAACUACAGGCGAAGCAUAGUGCCAUACCAUAUUGCUCCCAUCACAUAGAAAGGUUUUGUCAAUUCAAGCAUAGUCAAUAGUCAAUACAAGCUAAAGAAACAAACCGAAGCAAAUAAUGUACGAGAACAGCCCACCGCCACCACUGGGAAUAGUGACCCUAAUGCUGGCGGUGGUUCAAUGACCCCAAAACUUCCACCGCCACCACUUAGAACAGUGACACCGACGUUCGCGGCGGUUCAAUGACCCCAAAACUUCGGCUACAUUCCACUAAACCAGAAAACAAGUAUACAACCAUGUAGAGCUUCACAAGAGUGCCGUUUGACACCUUAUUCAUCAUCGAACGGCAGCUUAGGAUAGCCCCUAUAGAGCUUCGACUUUCCCUCACUAGAGCAUGUUUCAGGAAAACAACAAGACAAAGCAGAAUAUCAGCCAUUGAUACGGCAUCACAGCGUGACCGAAAUUGAAAAAAUCAUAGAGAAUCAAAGCUUUGGGGCUUGCAUUUCACCACCCUGUAGUGGUUUGGACAAAAGAGCAUCAAAGCGUUUGCCGCCAGCAAGACCCACCCAUAGGAGAACCCAUCAAGUUUUCAAGUUGGGUAAAGAAUCGACUAGUCAGACCCUUUCCUAGUUUGACCAGAGUUAAUAUACAACCAUACCCACCUAUCUAUUCAGGGGGUUACAAAUUCAUUGACAAAAUAAAAUUUUGAUCAUCUUUUGUAUCAGACAAGCAGUAAUGACUAAAUAGGAUACUUUUCAAAAGGAGUCCUUCACAUAUCAGCAAAACAUCAUAUAUAAGAUGCAGAAGUCAUUUUUCAACCAAUUUGCCUUUGAAAUUGUAUAUGUAUGAUAUUUGCUCAAAAUUUGACAGAUUUGGUAAAACUUGAAUUAAGAUAGAUAAAAACAACAUGACGAGGACAGGUCCUUAACAGCACUACAAACACAUGAAAGAUCUCACAUUGCAGCAUUACAUCAGUUCUCGUGCAAAGCCUUUGUCAAAUAUAAUCUGCUGAAGCUCUGUCCAGCAACCCUGUAUUUUAUUUUUUUUCCAAGACAAACAUAAAAUGACAUCAGUAAAAACAACAAAAAUCCAUGGUCACCAUAAUUUACAGACAAUUUCAUUGAGUAAACACCACAAUCAUGAUCACCAAUUCCAAGCAAUAAUUGUUCAGACCACAGUUAAACAGACAGAAGGGAGGGCAGAAGCAGACUUAAGAUCUAGCAGUAUUUUGAUAACAUAAUAAAAUUAUACGUCAGUAAAAAAAUUUCAUAUAUCUAAAGUUGCAACAUUUAUUCUUUAUCGGCCAAAAAGUCACAAAAGCUAGGAAACAAAUCAUUAGUACAAUAGUUGACAGUCUUCCAAACAGGUUUUCAAACACGAAUUCUGUCUGAAUAGUUAACAAAGUCAUACAGAUAAAAUAUGUACAUAUAUUGUGUGAUCACAAGCCCAUGCAAAUAUGCAUGUGUCUUCUUCCAAAGUAAAAUAUUCAAAUAUAUAGUAUCUGCCAGCCUAUCAUUUGAUACAUACCCAUUAAUUUGGUUGCAGUAGUUUGAGACUUGGUUUGUUAUCAGAUAGCUGUCCAACCGUGAAGGCUCGGGUAGUGGCUUGAAAAUGGGAUUUGAAGGAUCCUCUUCAGGAAGGGGUUCUUCUCCAGCAGCCUUCCGUGCCAUAUUCUCAGUCCUACAAAUCAAUUUAAAAAGUACAUUUCAAGUACACAGGAAAAGCAAUAAUCAGGGGUAAGUUCCUUAACAAACAAAUCCUGCCCUUUAUGCAAAUAUUUCAAUUUUCUGAUGCAUACAACCUUCCUCUAAUAGAAUUUUAGUACCAGUUAAGUAGGCCAGUCACCUCAGAUGCAUAAGCAACUCCAGGUGAGCUGUAGCUUUAUGAACAUAGCACCACCUAGCCAGUAACUAAUGGGACAAUAAAGGACACUGAAAAUGAAACAGACUGGACAUUUCAAAACUAAUCAAACUUCUUACAAAAAGUUGAUGACCCACACUAGCAGCGCUUUAAUUUAAACACCAAACUUCUUGAAUUUAUGAAGCAAUCUACAUGGGUAUUCAGUUUAAAAUAAUCACUUCAUCCACUUUCUGAUUACAACACAUCACAUCUAUUUGUUAAUAAAAAUUUUGCAGACAGAAACCUUAAGCGAAGUCUGGUUAAAUCAAAUUAUAAUAUGACCAAAGCUCCACAUAUGAAACAAUAUGAGAGAAAAUUUUUAUAUACGCAUGCACUAAUGAACAAUAUUCAAGCCACUUUUAUGUAUGCAUGCACAAUUGCUCUCAACAAAUGUUCACUGUGAAUGCAAUUUCUUACCUUCUCUUUUGAAGCCAGGCUUGUUGUUGGGCUUGCUGGCGUGACAGGUUUCUGUAAUAGUAUUGGAACUGAAAGAGGAAACUCAUCAAGAUACGAAAAACACCAAUCUCAACAUGAACACAAUUCAGGUAUCUAGAGAGAAUAUACCUUCUGCUGGUCCGCAGACAGAUCAUCCAUGCACUCAAUAAGAAAUUCCACAUUCCUCUCCAGAAAUGGACUAGUUGAUAAUUGCAGUCGAUCACAAUCACACUGAAACAGCAGUACUUUAUAAAGUACUCAAAUAAUCCAAAAAUCAUGUAGAAUUCCCAAUAAAAGGAUCACAUACAAACCUGGGUAACAGGUGUAUCAGCUUCCAACUCCGUCAUAAAUGCACUAAUAAGUGCAGAAUUUGAAACUUUGAUCUGUCAAGUUCAAGCAAAAUAAACAUUUAUAACCCUUGGACAAACAUCAAGUAAAACCAAAAAAGAAAAAGAGGCUCCAAACAGGCCACCAUGUGCUACCAGAUAUAAUUGGUAAGAACAAGUAACUUUUUCUAGGAGGGAUUAAUGAACAAAAAACUAACAGUCAAUGAAUUAUCUUGUUGAACCUUACAAAUUUAUAUUAUAGUAAACUAUCUCAGGGCUCCAGAACAUGCCUUUUUUUUUUUUUCAAGAGGACAUUAGUAUAUCCUAUCUUAAGAUACUUGAAAGAAUUACAGCUUGCAACAUCUGAGAAUCACUUUUGAACAGCUGAAUAGCAUGAGAUCAAAAAAUUCACCAUGUAGCAUCUAUAUAUAAACUAUCAUUGGUUAACUAUGGCCUAUGGAUGACAACAAAGAGGAAUAACAUAGAGCAAAACAUGGGAAAGGAAACAAAAGGAGAAAAAAAAUUAUACAGGAUGAAAUGGGUAUUCUUCAAGUGUAGACUGAUAUAGAGCUUACAGGUAUUUCCUCAAAGAUAUCCACCCAUGAAAGGUUUUUCUCCCUCAGCCUAUUGCACCAAAACAAAUAACAAAUUAAUUUGCAUCUAAUAUUAUAACUGUAGACAAUAACAUCAGAACAGAAAAUUGUCAUACUUCUCUCCUGUAAAAUUGUUACUGCGGUAGAGCUCCAUGAAUGAAUCAGAAAGCUUUAAUGCCUUGAGUGCUAAGACUCCCUGAUUGGAUUUCAAUGGAUCAUAAAUGAUGCACACACAUCGUUUGAUAUUUUCCUGCAACGAAUAUUAAUAAAAGCAUAUAUAAGGCACAGCAACCAUGUCUACAAGAGAACUAAAAUAAAAACGCAGAAGUAAGAAUGAUAACUCAUCAGAUAUGAAUCUAAAACAGUACUACUUCUACUCUAAAUCACAGAGAAGAAGGUUUGGCUAAUCUCUGGAAUCCAAUAGCAUCAUCAGUAACAACUACAACACAGAAAUAAUAGAAGGAACACUUUCAUUCUUAAAACAAGGGUUCCUCAUGAAUUUUUGGAUAUCGAAAUUAUGUAACAAGGACUUCUAUAAUGGAUAGUCACUUCUGCAAGUACAUUAAUUUCAAGUAUCUAUUUGGAUUUAGUCUUCCAUAUCAAGUUCUUACAUGUCAUAUGGCAAAGGGAAACUCUCUCUCUCACUCUCAAAGAGAGAGUGAUAUCCACAAUUUGUAGGCAGACAGCUAAGCAGAUUUUUGCAGCAAUUUUGUUCUAGGAAAAUGCAACUUAGACAUGCAAUCAAUUUGUCUCUUUGAUCUUAUUCAUAUACAAAACCACUUCAAGUGAACAUGGAGUUUCUAGAAUUACAUAAAACAAUCCGAUCAAAUUAGAGUAUAGAUACGACUCAAAAAAUGUCCUUGAUUUCAUGUUCAUGAAAUUAAAUAUAACUAGACCAGUAAUCUGAAAAUAAUUACCUGGUAGUUCAAGAAUGUUUGAAUCACCUCAUCUGUUUGAUAAGCACCCAUCAACGUGGAUUGGUACCUGAGAAGUAUUUACAAGAGUUAGAAAAGUGGAAUAUUUUCAGCAGUAUCUACCCUUUUAACACUUGAUAAACAGCACUCGAAGUCCCUACAUCACACUGUGUAUCUGAGCAGUAUACAUACAGAUGGGGCUUCAGUCAUGCGCUUGCCGGAAGCAAACGAAAAGUGGAGAUAAUAGGAUCACCUAAAUUUUCAAACAGGAACCAAUACAUACAUACAACAUGCGUUUAAAAGUUUCAUCUACCUAACUUUCUAAGUUUUAAAUAGUUCAGAAACAAACUUCAUCAAUUUGCAGUACUAGACCCCAACGGUCUCUACAUCUGUUAAUUAUAUCUGUCUAAUCCAAUCUUAGCUCUCUUUAAGACGUGGCUAAUCCCUUAAAAUCGUAGCUCUCUUUGAUCUAUAUCCAAGCAAUGAGAUGAAACAGAUAAGCAAAAGAAACAAAAGUAAUCCAUAACUCGACAUGUUUUAAUAUGCUUUCAAAUUAAUACGUACCAUCCAACAGUGUUGUUGUCAACAUUCACCUCUCUCAAACACCUCAUCAUCUCAAGUUGGUAAUUGGCACCUUCAGCUUCAAUCUCUUCAUCCUCCUCCACCACCCUUGCCUGCUAAUGUAUUGUCGUAUUAACACAAUGUAUUGUCAUAUUAACACAUACAAAAGAAGGCAAAAUCAAAUCCAAUGUGCUUACCGGGAACGGGAAACAAUUAGUAACUUCAAGAACACUACCAACAUCCAAUCCAAGAAGCUGCCCGGUGACCAGAUUAGGUGAAAACUCCUUGCAGUGUUUGAUUAUCUUUAAAAUAACCUAUUGUGGUGUGAAACAAAUCCAAUAGCAACCAAUCGGAACAGAACCUUAGAAUCUUUUAGCAGAACUAAACCAGAAAGAAGAGUAAAAUCUGAGCUAUGUAUAUGAAAACAAGGAAUUGAAUUUACCAGUCCCUCGAUCUGAACAACUCUGAGAGGAGGAGCAGCCUCUUCUGUAGCCGCAACCUGAAGAAAGGAUCUCGCCAUUGCUGUACAGAAUAACAAAAUUUGUAUAAGCACGACAAAGUAACAGAAUUGAAAUUUACAGAUGGAAUUAGGGUUUCAGUACGCACUGUUCGCCGCCAUGAUUUGGAGUCUCGGAGGAGAUGAUGGAGUCUCUGAGGAAGCUUUUUUGGGUGAGUCAAUGUUGUUGAGAUUACACUAAAACCCUAGUUCUCUCUCCACGAAUUUUAUGACACUGGGCCUCUUCCUCUCCUGGUCCAAACUAGCUAAAAGUAGUUCUUUUUUUUUUUUUUUUUUUAAACAAAGUAGGUUUUAACAAAUGAGAUACUCACGAGCUAGAUUUGUCUUACAAAUAAGAGAGCCAAACGAGCUAAAAUCAAGCCGAAUACAAUUUGAACACGAGUUGUUCGAGCCUAUUUACAGCCCUACCAAAUUCCAACAACUAUAAAAAUAAAUUUCUGAUUUAUUUUUCUCCACGAUUUUAUGAUUUAAUAUCUUAACUUCCAACUCUAUAACCAGUUAUUUAAGUUUUUUAGUUUGUCAUUCACAUCAAUCGAAAUGAGUCAUUGCAUACCAUCUAUUUGUUAUAUGAGGAUAAAUACAAAGUUUGUGGUGUUACCACAUGGAUAUAUAGAAUAAGGCACAUUGGUUACGUUAACAAGUUAAUAAACACAUCCAUCCGAUCAGGGACUUGAUGGGUCAGAACCCCCUUUUGGGUUUUCAGCAGAUAGCAACACAUUUAUGUGUAUUUUGUUAAUUUCUCAAAGCCAUUAGAAUUUGCAAUCCUAAUCAAGCAACUUAGUGACACAUUAUUAUUUUUUUCUCUAAUUUGCAACAAGCGAAAAAAUACAGAAUUUAACCCUUUUAAAUUCUUUCUUCUUCUCGUCUAUGCUUUGAUAAUGAGUACUCAUUACUUAUAUGAAUUUUAUUUUAAUUAGUUGUUUUGUAUUUUUCUUUUGAAUAUAAUUAAGCCUCUAUAAAUUAAUACCGUUAGGACCGAAAAAAAAUAUUAUUUACUGUAACCGAGUUUUAAAUCGGUGUUAUAUUAUUGUGUUUUCAUCUUAUAUUAUGGUAACUCGGUUGUAUGAUAGAAUGAUCAAUAUUUUAUAUCUAAACUCCCCUGAGUUUAAAUCCUGGUCCGCCCUUGUAUCCAAUUAAUAUUGUAGAAUGUAGUUGACAAUGGAGGUUCUAGAAUCUACUAAAUAGUAACGAGACAGAUCGAGGAAGCACUCAAAACAAUGAAGAAUUUGAGCGAUUCUCAUUCUUCAGAUCACUUGCAUGAGGACAUUUGAGGAUCUGUACCAAGUGAAUUCACUACUUAAUUUGCAGGCUAGCUAGAUUAUUCCAUACACUUAUUUGAAUUCUUUGCAGCCUUAAUAGGUAGGUACGCAUUAAACAUAUGUUUCAAGUCUAAGAUGCACGUACUAUUGUAAAACAUAUAUGCAAAGCAGCAGAAGUGGCAUCAAUCAUGUUAAUUGUUUCCCACCGUAUAAUCACUACUCAAAGAGUUAGAUAUGAUAGAACCAAUGAUAUAUGUGUAUACUCGAUCAAUCUGGAUAAUACUAAAUGAUGAUGUCAACACCAACUUUACCCAGCUGCAAGGGGAAUGAAACGAGCAUGUUUAAGUUUGGUAAUGAGUCUGGUAGUUUAAGGCAUCACAUUCCUUUGGCAUCCAAUAAGCAUAUAUAUAUAUAUAUAUAUAUAUAUAUAUAUAUAUAUAUAUAGUACUAUAUNNNNNNNNNNNNNNNNNNNNUUCAUACGAUCGAAAACAAAUAUAUUGUGGUAUAAUAUUGAGGUCGUGUCACGAUUGAUUUCUUGUCAUUCAUUUUGCUUUGGUAUCAUGCAUUCCUACAAACAUUACCGGCCACCUUAGGGAAUCCGAUCUAGGAGAGAUACCAAAAGAAUAUAUACAAGGCAAUGUAGUGGAAUGAGGGUAACAUAUGCAUGAUUCGUGUAUGCGAUUCCUUUUCUCUUUUCCAAUUUUGUAGCAGCCAUACAAGCAUUUCUAGUGGCAUUAAGCCUAACCUCUUGUAAACAUGCAUGCUUAAUGAUGGCUAUACAUCAGCACAAAAUUCCAUCAGUUUUGGAGCCUACCGGGCACAUCUUUUUCAGCCUUCAAGCUAACUUAAGGGGCAAAAGCUAGCUUAUACACGUUUACCAUAGUAAUUUGGCACUGUUUAUACUAGCUCAUCGCUCUCCAACUUACCAAUAUUGCCAUCAACUCAAAAUUACGAGUUCGAUCGAUCUACUGCAAUAUAACAAUUUCUAAUUUUGUCAAGUGAUUUCUCGACUAAUCUGUUUCCAUGUUAUGGUUAGAAAUCGUGUUUAUUAUUUAUAUUUGAUCGAUCAACACAAAAUCCAUGUGAUCAACGUUAGUUAUUUAUCAUGUGUCCGAUAUUAUUGGAUUGCUUAGAUAUGGAAGCUAGGAAAUUAAGCAACUUGGUUCCAAUUGCCAACCAUCCCAUGCAAAUUCCCCAUAGGUAUGAACCAGGUUGAUACCAUAAAAUCUCUCUCCCAUAUAUUGUUCAGUUGGGUAUCUCUACCUAGGUGAGAUGAUACAUCUUUAAUUGAUUCAUUACACUCUACUAGUCAUUGAUUCCUACAAGUAUAUGGUAGCUAGUAUAUAUAACGUGUCCAAAUUUCAUUUUGCAUAUAUAAUAAAUAUUUUCCCCCUCUCCUUUUCUCCAUUUGCAAUACUAUCUGAACAUUCAUCUCCCAGAAUCCUUCACUUUUGUUGGGUUAUAAAUAUAUCCGCACCCUUUAGCUUCUCGUAUCCGAGAUUAAGGCUCACCAAGUAUCUAUCUUGCUUUCCUCAUUUUAGCUUGCGCUCUAUCUGGCUCUAGAACUAUUGUAAGAACAAUAUGUUCAAGUGGUUUCGAUCCAAGUGUCUUCCUCACCAAAACCAAGUUGCUAGUGAGUCGGUGCACGGCAGGAACUUGGCUCUGAAAGAGCUGAGCUGCAGUGUUUGCUUGGAGGAAAACAAAGUAUGCAAAUGCGAGGAAAGUUUUGAGAGCUGCAAGAAAGUCGACUCAGAUGUUAGCGAUGAUGAGCAGCACCACGGAGAGGCCAAUAAUUCUGUUACUCAUGCUGUGAUCAACAUGACUGGGAUGCUCAUAGGUACGUAACAAUGUCUUCUAGCUACAAUGAAGCCUAUGGCUUUAUGGUCUGCAAGAUAGUUAUCAUUUCAUGUACGUAUUUGCUAAUUUUCUAUGGCGUGCGCUACAGGUUUGGGGCAGUUAUCAACUCCAUAUGCCCUAGAAUCUGGAGGGUGGGUUUCUGCAUUCUUGAUGAUAGGACUUGGUGUUAUAUGUGCGUAUUGUUCUCAUCUACUAGGGAAAUGCCUAGACAAACAUCCCAAGUCAAGAAGCUACACUGAUAUUGGACAGAAUGCUUUUGGAACCAAAGGAAAACUCCUAGCAGCAACCUUCAUCUACUUGGAGAUCUUCAUGGCUCUUGUGUCCUACACCAUUUCAUUGCAUGACAACAUAAACAGGGUUUUCUCGGGCACCCAAGUUCAGAUUCCAUGGGCCAAGUUAUCGAGAUCUCAGCUCCUGACGUUGGCGGCGGUUCUCGUUGCUCUGCCGAGUCUGUGGUUGAGAGAUCUCUCUUCCAUAUCAUUCCUUUCCUUUGGUGGUGUUCUCAUGUCACUUGCCAUUUUUGCAUCAGUGGCAUGCACAGGGAUUUUUGGAGGGGUGAAAGCUAAUCAUAUUAUACCAGUCCUUCAGAUUCAAAACAUUCCUGCAAUAUCUGGCCUUUAUAUCUUUAGCUAUGCAGGACAUAUUGUCUUUCCUAAUUUGUACAAGGCCAUGAAAGAUCCUUCUAAGUUCACCAAGGUACUUGAUUUACCUCUCACAUGUCAACAACUAGUUAAUCUUCUUAUUUUCUUUUUUGGUCAGUUAAAAUAUGCUACAAUCUUAUAUAUACUGGGUUCUUGCUCCUUGGUUCUUUUCUCUUAAAACCUAACUAAUUUAUGUAUUAUAGUCCUAAUAAAUAGUAACAUAACAUUCUAGCUAGUCGAUCUUGAAGCUUUGUAUAUUCUCCCUCGUAACAACGUACGUAACAUGCUUGAAUAAGAAUAAAUUCGCCAUCACUAAUUCUAGAAUAUAAUACUCAAGUAGAUUUUGCUUCAUUUUUCCUGUAACUUCUGACUCAUAUAUGUUUCAAAUUUUCCUGCAGGUAUCUAUAAUAAGCUUCAGCUUAGUCACUUUGCUUUACAGCACUCUAGCCUUCAUGGGUGCCAAGUUGUAUGGUCCCCAUGUAAAUCCCCAAAUCACUCUAAGCAUGCCUCCCCAUCUUAUUGUUACAAAGAUCGCACUUUGGGCCACAGUGCUCACACCAAUGACCAAAUAUGCUCUGGAAUUUGCACCAAUGGCAAUCCAGGUGGAACAUAAUCUCCCAGAUUACAUGAGUUCAAGAACAAAGUUGAUUGUGAGAGGUACUGUUGGAUCCUUUCUACUUCUUGUGAUUCUGGCACUAGCUCUGUCAGUCCCAUAUUUUGAGUAUGUUCUUAGUCUCACUGGAUCCCUUGUGAGCAUUGCAAUUUGUGUCAUUUUCCCUUGUGCCUUCUACCUCAAGAUUUGUUGGUCUCAGAUAUCAAGGCCUCUUCUGGUCCUAAACUUCACCCUGAUUGCAUUUGGAUUUGUUCUUGGAUUGUUUGGAACCAUUUCCUCUUCAAAGUUGCUCAUGCAAAAUCUGAGCAGAGCUCACUGAUUAGCUGAGACAAAGUUGAAGUACCAGACGCAUACAGUUAGUUACACCUUUCCAUUCUGGGAUGAGUUGACUUUAUGAAUUGUGCUCUUUUCUUUUCUUUCUUUUCUUUCUUCAUGUAAUAUUAUGGAGGUUGAACUCCAUCUAUAGUUGUAUAUGUAUAUGCGGUUGUUAAAAAAAAAAAAGAUUUCAGAGACAAAAUGCUUUUUCUACUGGGAUAUUUUGUAUGAUCAGAUUAAUGUAACCUUUUCCUUGCUCAAAUUAUCAUCCGAAUGCCUGCUACUCGGUUAGCAACGUUUGGCAUCGGUAUGUAGUCUUGGUAUAUCCAUUUCAGUAUUAUCUGCUUUUGUGCAACAUCUUCUGAUGUCAAGUCCAAUAGUUGUCCCAGUAUGCUAUCACCGAUUCUAAUACUAUAUCACUGUUGAAAAUUAUGUAAUAAUAUCCAAUAUGAAUGAAAAUAAAAUUACUCAUGACCUUUCUAUUUGAAAAUGUGUCUUUUUUAAUAGGUGUCUUUAGGAAUAAGUGUGUCUCUUUAAGGAGAUAAGUGAACGGACAUGUUGGUUCACUUGGGGUUUCUAUAUAAACCCAUACUCAUAUCUCCUUAAAUAUAAGAUCAAGAAUCUUCAAUUCUUCAUUCUUCUAGAAGUCUUGUUCGUGUCAAGAGAGUACAAGAUACAAUUUAUGGUUCGCUAGAGUCCAAAAUUGCGGUGUUUCUAUUUUGGAUCAUCGAUUGUUGUAUUCUACAAGGCGGACGCCCAUCGAACUACAAACACAAAGGUAAGAGCGAAAUAUGUCUUUAGUGCAUUUAUGCAUGCCUCAAUCGGAAUAUCAAAUCAGUUCUUUCUUUCGUUGUACUACUUUUAUAAGAUUCAUAUAAUGUUAUACUUAUAAAUUAGGAUUGAAUCGUUACUUUUAAUCGUAGUCGUACUUUGUUUUGUUUCUCACACUCUUUAUUGAGAUUUCUAUUUUAUUUAAAAAUCAUAUAUAUGAUUGUUCCCCAACAAUCACUUUGAUCAUCAUCUACGCAAGUUCAAGCGAAGUAGUCUUCAUUCUCGAUCCUUUGAAACAAUGCUAGCUAAAGUUGUACCUGAGCUCCACUUGACCAGUGAACCGCCCCUUGUCGCCUAACUUUCAAUUUAUGCCGCUUAGGGUCCCAAACAAGGGUACAAGCCCCUGAGUCUGCAUUGGACUCGGGUUAACCAUGACCAAAGUGACCAAAUGUGACCAGUUCUAGCUAUGAUUAACACCAAACUUCAUUCCUGGUAAAAGGAUAACCAAAAUUUUGUCACAGCACUUGCUUCCUUCCUGCGAGUUUAGGCCAUCUUUAACCCGGCCAGUUUUAAAAACCAAUAAAUCAGACCAAUUCCUAUUUAAAAUGACCCAAUCGAUGAAUAUAUCAAAACCUCGAACAUGCCAAAUACACAAAAGCAAAUAAAUCGUAGAACUUCAUUAACAAAUGUGAACAACAAAACAAUUAAAUUGUAAACAUUAACAUGUAUCAUGAACCACAUAAAUAGUUUUACGCUGUAAUAAAAUAUAAUCGACAUAACACUAGAGAAAUAAAUCUAACCUUAACCAAGACAAAAUUAUAGAACAGCUUCUCUGAAAAGCGUUGCUUUUAUCAAGUCGCUUUUCCUUUUUCCUUUUUAUUUGUAUUUAUAAAACACAUUUUUUCUUCCCUUUUCGCAUAACAAACUAACGGUGUCAAAGUCAAAAACAUGUCGAUAGUUAUGUACAAAAACAUGUGCAAAAUAUUCACGUACAAAAACAAUUUACAAAUACGAUAGUUUUGAAACUAAAGGUGUCCAAGCCAAAACAUGUGCUUGGUAUUUUCUUUAUCUUCUAUUUAGAAAAACUUAAUUUUGUAAUUAAAACAAUAGAAAAAAAAAACAAAUAUUUGAUAAAGGGAAAGAAAAAAAGAAAAAGAAAUAGACAGGAAAGAGGGGUUCUACUUCUACCGACUUUAAACGCCUUUUCUUUAAUUCAAAUUUCAAACCCCAAAUCUUUAUCUUUUGGGAUUUCUGUCCGUUAUGCAGAGAAAGACAGGUAGAGAGAGAGAGAGAAGGGAGAGAGACGAGAGACCCAAAUCACCCAAUUCCAUUUCCGGUAAAGUGCCCCGUUUCUCGGAUCGAUUAUCGUCUCUCGUCGCUCAGUCUCGUGUAAGGAUUAGCUCUCUCGCUCUCUCUUUGUGUUUGCUUGAAACAAAUUCUAUCUGUUUUCUUUCGUUUGGCUUGAUUCUCUAAUUGGUGGUGCCUUGGGUUGCCUUGGAUUAAUCGAUUAUGUUGCCUCGAAGCCUUGAAAAGAGAGAGAGAGAGAGAGCUUGUUGCCUCGCUUGUUUGCCUCGGAUUAAUAUGUUGCCUCAAUUGAUAGGGCUCUCUCUCUUUUUUUUGCCUUGAUUCGAUAAUUGAUGGGUUAGUAUGUUGCCUUGGAUUAAUAUGUUGCCUUGGAUUAUUGAUUGAUUUUGUUGCCUUGAUUAAUGUUCAUGAUUUUGUUGCCUCGGAGAAUAUUGUUUCCUUCUUGCUGCCUCGGUUGUUUCAUUUAUUUCACAUAAAUGGGUUACCAUUUGAUUAACAUGAUUCUGUUGCCACAGAGAGAGAAUAUUGUUGCCUUGGAUUAGUAUGUUGCCUUGUCCCAAGAAUUAGAUUGUUGCCAUUUAUUUCUUGUUCUGCAAACCAUGGUGGCCUUGAUGCCGGCCUAUUUCCAGAUAUGUUGCCUUGUCCCAAGAAUGAAACUGUUGCCAAUCUGCAAGUUUGAAGCUUUAUUUGGUAUUAUACCAUUCAGGAAUUUGCGAUUUGUUGCCUUUGCUUGAAUGUAUAUGAAUCUGAGCAUGAGAUUAUAUUCAAAAUUAUGGUGCUCCCUCUUGUACUGGGGUUGAAGUACCAUUUUUAAAGAUUGGUGCUCCCUCUUUUGUAGGGGUUGAAGUACCAGUUUUCAAGAUUGGUGUUCCCUCUUUACUUGUUCUUUUAUUGUUGUCUGCUACAACGUACAUGUCCUCCUUGUGAAUGUGCCUCAGCUAGACGUCACUGAAGGCCUUCAUUAUGGAGAUACAAUUGUCAAAAGGGUUCCCUUUCAGAUGAAGAAAGACCAUAUAAAACCCCAAGAUGGAACAAUGAAAGAUUAUCUUUUUAACUUUGGAUUUGUUAUCUGUUUUCAGCAGACGACCCUGGAAAAUAUUUGGGGUUACCCACUGUGGGGAAAAUCACAAAAAGCAAGCACUGCCUGUGUUAAAGAAAGGGUGACUAAUACGAUUCAGGGAUGGAAGAAUGUGCACCUAACUCCUGCUGGUAGGGAGAUCCUUAUUAAGCCGGUAAUUACAGCUAUUCCUGCAUAUCCUUAUGGCAGUCUUUAUGAUUCACUGGCUCAGUUGGGAUAAGAUGGGGUUACCAAAUGAGCUUGUUUUCCUUGAUGAUUCUGUUGCUUCUGAUUAAUAUGUUGCCUUCAUUGUCUCACAUGAAUGGUUUACCAUGUGAUAAAUUUUAUGGUUUAUCUGUUGUAUACUAUUGAUGCCCAGAUAUUUUGCCUUGUCCCAAGAAUUGAAAGAUGGAACUAACACCACAAAAUGUCGCCAUUCUGCAAGUUUGAAGCUUCAUUUGGUAUCAAACCAUUCUGGAAUUGCGAUUUGUUGCCUUGUCGCUCAUUUCCUGGGGUUGAAGUACUAGUUUUGAAGAUUAGUGCUCCCUCUUUUCUAGGGGUUGAAGUACCAGUUUUCAAGAUUGGUGUUCCCUCUUUACUUAUUCUUUUGUUGUUGUCUGCUACAACGUACAUCUCUCUCCUUGUGAAUGUGUCUCAGCUAGACAUCACUGAAGGCCUUCAUUAUGGAGAUACAAUUGUCAAAAGGGUUCCUUUUCAGAUGAUGAAAGACCAUAUAAAACCCCCAAGAUGGAACAAUGAAAGACAUCUUUUCACUUUGGAUUUGUUAUCUGUUUCAGCUCUACUCUAUUUUCCCCUUUCAGACAACCCUGGAAAAUAUUUGAGGUUACCUACAAUAUGGGGAAAAUAAGAAAAAGCAAGCACUGCCCUUUGUUAAAGAUAGGGUGACUAAUAUGAUUCACGGAUGGAAGAAUGUGCACCUAAAUUCUGCUGGUAGGGAGAUAAUUAUUAAGUCGGUCAUUACAGCCAUUCCUGCAUAUCCAACGGCAGUCUAUAAAUUUGUUAAUGGGGUGUGUAAUGAGCUUGAGUCAGAAAUCUCUAAGCUUUGGUGGGGUGAUUCAAACAAAGGUGGCAAGAUUCAUUGGCUCAUGUUGGGAUAAGAUGGGGUUACCUAUAUACUUCUACAUGUUGGCUGCUGGAGUUUCACAUGACAAGUAUAUUUUCUUUAUUGUGAUUAAACCCCAUGUUUGUUUGAAUAAUGUGAGAUGGAUAAGGCAGGAUAUAAAUCAAUGCAGUUCAUGGGUUUUGACGUGGACAAUUGUAUGUGGACAAUGAUUGUGUCCAUGAUGAACGCCACUUGUUUGAUGAAAUGUCCACAACGAUUAUAUUUCAAAAAUGUCUUGCUGAAUUGAUAUGUUGGAAAUGAGGAGUUAAGUAAUUCUGUUGGUAUAUGCAUGGAGAUGACUAGUAGUGAAAUAAGGCCAAUGCAGGUACAAUUUCUUGCGUUCUCUCUAUUGUGCCUCAGAAGGAAUUAUCAGUGUUAGUACUCAAUUUCACGGUUUAGUAGUUGCUUAUGGUUUGGAGCUCUGUGUUUUCCUGAAGGCCCGAGUUAAAUCACAAAAAGAGAAAAAAGAGAAAAAAAGGUUCAGUGCUGGGAGCACAAUUCGAAUCCAGAUUGAGCUGCGUGUUGCAAGAUGCUAUCUUGUGCUGAUGACUGAAGGAAUGUCAUGCUCUUUUGCUGAUGACAGAGGAUGCUUGGGUGCAUCUCGGUGAACUGAAGUCUCAUGUUACCCUUGGUUGUGUUCAUUAGGUCAAGUUACAACAUGGUUGAGUUCGGGACCAAGUAUACAUAAUGGGGUAUGUUCUAUGUACCACUCAAGUGUUUCCAGCACAUUGAAAAUUUGCUCUUUAGUUGAAUUGUGCACUAUCCAUAAAAGGUCCAGACUUUGUUAGCAUAUAUGAGUGGGUGGCUGUGCUUGGGGAUCUUUGUUGUUACUAUUUCUUGGCGUACUGCUAAUUGAUCAAUGCUAAUAUUUUUAAAAGGAAAAGGCCAUUGAGAAAAGCUGUGCUAGGAUUUGGCAUAUAUAUGAAACUGUAUUGUGGCUGUGCAUGGGUUGUGUGUAUAGUAGUUUCUGUGCAAACUACAAAGCUAUGGUGUUUAGAUAUUGGUGGCUGCAUAUUAAGUUUGGACUCGUAGGAAAUUCAUGCAAGAAAGGUAGAGGAGAGUAAUAUAUACACAUAAUUUUACUUUAGCCAAUGAUCAUGCCAUUGGAAUUAUUGGAAAUUUGGAAGUAAUAUACUGAGCUUCGAGAGACAUGAUAAAAAAAAGAGGAGAGCAGUAGCAAUGUGAAAUAGUACUUCCGGUUUGGGGGUUAUAAACAUGCCGGAUCUGUAUUUGCGAAAGGAUGAUUUAAAGCAGAUGAAACAGUAUACAGAGGAGUGGACUACAGGGUACCUCCUGAUCGAGAUUCCCUUUUCACUCCUCACAAGAAUCAGAUGUGUUCAUGCUUUCUGUUCACCAAGAUUCUGCAGGUUGUACAACAUGACAUGCCCUCUGGCAUUUAUUAUGCGUGUUCAAUGUAGUGAUGCGCUAGUAGAACUUGUAUCCAUCUUUGCUAAUGAGCCAGAGUAUGCUAAUGAACUGAUUAGAACUGUGCGGUCAGAAGAAUCAGUUUCUGGAAUAUCAGAACACAUGCAAUGCUUGCCUUGGGAGCUCAAUUAACCGCAUAUUCUUCCAGCACUGGGAUUUACUGGAUUUCCAUGAAGGAAUUUUUUAAGUUUUGAUCUCCAUUUCUGUAUGAUUCCCCUCAAGCAGUAUACAAGAAGAUGAAGGAAAAACAACCCCACUGAGAUCAAAGACUCAACCUCUGAUGUGUGUUGAAAUUUGAUAGACUGCCCAUGAAAUAUCUUUUACGGUUAAGAAAAGUACCAUUUGGUGUGGUGGAGGCUCUUCGGCAAGGCAACGUUGAAACUAUCCAAGAUGCUGAAAAUUACUGAGAUCUGGAAUACCAAAAUUUAUGUGGGGAAAAUCUUGGAGACUGCAAAUGGUAAUUUCUAUGUGACUGGUCAAUGAAUAAACAAGUGGUCUGGUUCAGUCACAAAAUCCCCAAGGAUUAAACCAGUCUGACCAUGGUGCCCUUGAUGCCUGUAUUUCGGGAUAUGUUGCCCUGUCCCAAGGAUUAUACUGUUGUGACAAGUUUGAAGCUGCGUUCGGUAUUAAGUCAUUCAUGAAUUUGCGAUUUUUCUUGUCUGAAAUCUAUAUGAAUAUGAGCAUUACAAUUGAAACAAUGGUGCAAGAUAUAGGUAGUUGUCAUCUCUCUCUCUCUCUCUCUCUCUCUCUCUCUCAUUUGAGUUGUAUUUUGCAUCAUAAGAUUUCCAAAUUCAAUUUGGAAAUGCUUCUAGUUUGUUAGGGUUUGAUUAAUAAUAGGCUGAUCCUUGUUAUUUGUGAAAUGUGUUACUGUGUGUUAUAUUGUAUUGCUAGUUUGUUGGAAUUUCGGGUCUGUAACUGUGUAUGUUAUGUGGCUAGUUGCUCAGUUGCUGGAAUUUUGAAUAGGUAUAUACAUACUCGAUCAUUGGAAUAUUCAGGUUCAUUUCAUUGGAAUUUUCAGGUUCAGUUAUGAUCAUGUUUUUGGGCCAUUCCCUCAAAGAGGCCUACACGACAUCCAGUUGCAGAUAUAGGUAGUUGUCAUCUCUCUCUCAUACUCUAAUUUUUGUUGUGAAUUUGCAUUAUAAGAUUUCCAAAUUCAAUUCAGAAAUGCUUCUAGUUUGUUAGGGUUUGAUUACUAGGCUGAUCCCUGUCUACAGGGACGUAUCUAGUCCCAGGGCUCCUUGGGCUGUAGCCCAACCAAAAAUUCUACAAAACACUGAUAUAAAUUGUAGCUUGCAUCAUGAAGUUCUACGCAGUCCAGUUGGUAAAGUCAUUUAGUCCCCACGUAUUUAGGUACCUUGUUCGAGCAGCAAUAGUGUAGGUUUCCUACAUUUUUCCAUUUUUAAAAUUUUUCUUUCUCUUUCUUGCUUCUUUUACUAAAUUUAGAUCAUUUUUGAUAUUUUUCCUUUUCUUCUUUGCUUCUUUUACUAAAUUUAGACUGUGUAUUGCUUAUUUCUUUUUUCUUUUUUUUCCUUCUUAUGUUGUUUUCAAUCUAAAAAAUUUAGCAACUAUACUUAAAAAACAUGUUGGAUUAUGGAGACAAACAAGAAAAAAUUUUGGGUUCCCAACAAAGAAGAACGUCAAUAAAUUAGCCUACCCCAUAUCCGGAUCCUGGAUAUGUCCCUGUCUAUCUAUCUAUGAAAUGUGUUCGGAAUAGCUUAGAGUAGGUAUCUGAUUCUUGUUAUGAAUUUGAAGGAAAUCAGUUUCACUCCUUCAAAUUCAUGACGUCUGAUUCUCUCUCGGUCACACUUAACGUUAACAGCAACAACAUCGUUAGUCAAAUUAAGAAAAUUAACCCAAACUUGUGGAUGUCAGUUUUUACUCUGUGAAUGGAAGAAUUUUCGUGGCAUAGCCACUUUGAUUGUGCCCUGGAGAGAAGGCCCUACACCUUGAAGUACCGAGGCAGCAUGUGGUAUGUGUUUUUCUUGGCUGAUUGGUCAUUUCUUGUUUAGUUUAAUUGCUGUCAAGUUUUUGUUUUCGCUUUUGGUGAAUUGUGAUUGGGUUUUUGUGUGUUUGAUGUAUAAGAAUGGUGACUAGCAGCUUGUUAAGUAAUCACCUAAUCGGGUCAGUAAUGUUGGAUAUCAAAAGCACAAAUAUUAAAUAUGGGACUAAUAACCUAAGAUAAAGAAUGUAACAAGAGGCUUUGGAGAAAUAGAUUAUCCCAUUCGUUGGUGAGUUGGUGAGUUCAACGGUCUCACCCUAAAAUAUAAUCUCAUUUGUCCUCAAAGGGAUUAUCACAUGUUCACGAUCAUUAGAGAAAUAGUUACAAUCAAUUAUAUCAAGCCUAUCUCGUUAAUAUAACUGAGUUUAUCUAUUUCUCUAAUAAUCAUGAUAAUCCCUUUGAGAACAAAUGUGACUGUGACUUUCUUGAUCCCAAUCAUCCCAUUGUGGCUCGUCUUGGUCCGGACAACAGUGGCAGUGAAAGGUAUAAAAGAGACGAAGUGCUAAAUGAUCUAUGACCCCAAAAAAAAACAAAAAAAAAAUUCAGGGUGCUGUAUGCGGAUUUUGUGUAAGUCGUAGCUUGUAAGCUAAUGAGCUAUAAGUACCUGUCAGUUCAGCCCAUUACCCGUUAACCGCCCGCUAACCGUCCGUUAACAAAACGUGUUAAUGGGCUCCCAACCCAUUAACAACCCGCUAGUUAACGGGCGGAAACGGGGUGCAUGAUGGAACCCAUCUAAACCUGCUAAGAAAAAAAAAAAUUUAGAAAAUAUGGCACCUCAAUUCGACACAUUUUCAAACCUGAAGACGACAACCCAGUAUUACUCCUCCUAUACUCACUGAUCAACCCGGCAAAGAGCUCCGAAUUCGAGCUCAGAACCUCGAAGUUGAGCUUACACUCUUGGGUCAAACCUGGGUCGGGGCAACCCGGAAGCUCUCGAAUCUAGUGUCAGUAGGGACAAAAUCGGCGACGGAGGCAACAGGCAGGGCCGAGUAGCUAGAUCGGGCUGGAGUCGAUAAGGGAGACCCAACCUGAGGAGAGGAUCCGGGGGGCGAUCCGGCCGACUAAGAUGAGGCCGGAUUUGGCGCUACCGAGGGAGCUGGGGACGGAGGCGGGUUUAGAGGAGAGCUUAGGGGUUUGCGAGGGAGUCGGGGCUGGAAGGUGGGAUGGUGAAGGAGCAGCACUAUGAUCGUCGUUGGCGAGAGGUGAGCUUUCGUCGUUGGGAGAUGUUGUCCAUUACGGGUCGGGGUCGGGAGAUGUUUUCUGUCGUCGGAAGAAAAAAGAAAAAAAAAAGAAGAAAAAGGUAUUUGAUUAAAAGAAGAUAUAUAUAAAAAAUAAAAUAAAUAAAAACGGGUAACCCGCGAACCCAACGGGUUGAACACGUUAUAACCCGUUAGCUUAACGGGUUGUAGCGGGUUGAACCCGUUGAACCCGUUAACCGCCCAACCCGCCCAUUUGCCAGGUUUGCUAUAACCAAAAUUAUUCAUGAAGAAUAAUUGUGCGAGAGAACUACUGAGAUUGCUACUGCAAGUUGCUUCUGUUUCUGUUAACAAUCUUUGUUUCAGAGCAGUAUCGUUGCAAUUACAUACACAAAUCAUGAAAAAGAGAAUAAAUGUACGUUCUAAAGUGACUAGUCUAAAGUGACUCCUUACCCUGUGCAACUCUUUCAAUCUGAGCAGAGCUCACUGAUUAGCUGAGACAAAGUUGAAGUACCAGACACAUACAGUUAGUUAUACGUUUCCAUUCUGGGAUGAGUUGAGUCUAUGAAUUUGUGCUCUUUUCUUCCUUGUUUCUUUUCUUUCUUCAUGUAAUAUUUUGGAGGUUGAACUCCAUAUAUAGUUGUAUAUGUAUAUGCGGUAGUUAAAAGAAUAAAAUUUUCAGAGACAAAAUGCUUUUUUAUUCUUGGACAUAUUGUAUGAUCAGAUUAAUGUAACCUUUUUCCUGCUACUUGUUUAGCACUGUUUCGCACGGUAGUAUUGGUAUAGCCAAUAUAGUUAUCUGCUUGUGCAAUAUCUUCUGAUGUCAAGUCCAAGUCCAAUAGCUAAUUUUCCCAAUUAUGUUAUCACCGAUUCUGAUACCAUAUCACUUCGAUCAUAAUUUACGCUAGUUUAAGUGGAGUAGUCUUCAUCCUCGAUCAUUUGAAACAGUGCUAAAGUUGUACAUGAGCUCCACUAGACCAGCUAGCUGUGAACUGCCCCUUGUCGCCUAACUUUCAAUUUAUGCCGCUCAGGGUCCCAAACAAGGGUAAAAGCCCCUGAGUCUGCAUUGUACUCAGGUUAAUUAACCAUGACCAAAAUGUGACCAGUUCUAGCUAUGAUUAACACCAAACUGCAUGCCUUGUACGUAAAAGGGUAACCAAAAGUCCAAAACUUUGUCACAGCACUUGCUUCCUUCCUGCAAGUUCACCUCAUGUAGGAUAAAAUUUCUUGAAGUGUUUCUACUAUAGGUAGAUUAUAAAGCAGCAGCCGAGUAAAUUAAGGACAACAGAAUCACCACCUGUGUGUGUAAUUUAUAAGGUUUCGUUCUACAGUUCUACUGUCCUGGUUAGGAACACGUGAAAGGUGUAGGCGUGGUGUCUCAGUUGGCAAGACAAAUACACAAGCUUGAUAAGAUGAGCAUGAAAUCAACCUGAGAUUGCUGGGCAGAAAUAUAUAAGUACAACCUCUAGUCGACAAGGUACUCCAAAUGAUGAAACCUAGCAAACUACCUUGGCAGAAACACACAUCUUUAAUUAACCAUCACAAUCUUUGAAACAUUAUAUAUAGGUCAUGCAUGUAGCACACAUAACUCUAGAACGUAAAUUAGGGUUUAGGACUUAAGGUACGUACUCAUGUCACCUGCGCAGUUAUAUUGCCUCACUCCUCCUACGUACUCAACUGUUAAUGGAUUGAAAUCAGGUGGUGGAGAACAAUGAUAUUAGUUGGAACAAUUUCAACUAAUUCUCCACUGUUGUGAAUCUAAAUUUAAUGGCUGUUGAUCAACUCAGUAAGGACCGAAGAGCAUCGAUAUCGAUCACCACAGCGAGUCAUAUAUAGCCUCUGCCGUACGUAUGGCUUUUGACAAAGGCAUAUUCAUUGGAAAUGUUGUUUUUCGAGGAUCCAAGAUUUAUUGAGCCAUUUCGUCAAAAACUUACUUUGCAUAUGAAAUUAAUUAGUAAAAGUAAAGACAACAUCAAAAUUGUUAAUUGGAAAGUCGCAGAGCCAUUCUAAAAAAUAUGGUUAAAAACUCGUACAAGGAGAGACUACAAUCCCUAGCUCAAUCAUGUAUACUAAUAAGAUCCCUAAUUAAUCUAAAGUGACUCCUUACCUUGUGCAACUCUUUCAAUCUUCAAGUGCAAUUUCUAUGAAGCUCAUCAAGUGACAAUGUAUAUGCAUUUGUAUAUAUAUUACAAUAUAAAGGUCAUUUGUCUUGAAGCUAGAAUGAAGCUUCAAAAGCCUCAAGCCUCUGAUCUCUUUUGAUCCAAGCCAAAAUUAAAGCAUGCACGUACUGUAUCUUGUCUUUGCAGGACGUUGAUCCUGACCACCAGUAAACCCUAAACUCUAAACCAUCAGGACGUUGAUCAUUCAACCAUUUUCAUUUAGUCCAAGUGUUGAGUAGUACGUGCUACUUGAUUGGUUGAAUCAGAAUAGGCAUCCUAAUUACUUUGCACGUCUUAGCUAGAGAAAAAACAUCUUCAUUAUUCCCCCUACUUGCAUCAUAUCUGAAAACGACUCAUCUCUAAUAAUGUUACUAUUUAUCUAAGCAUAAGACCCAGAAAAAGGAAUGAGCUAUAGCAAGGAAAGGUGGGUUAGCUUAAUCUCAAAGAGAGGCAAGUAAAAAGGAGCCCGCCUUUAGAGAAGAACAUUAGCAACAGUAGUUAACUUAAUAAUGAAAAACAAAGGUUGGUCUGAGUGGAUCGACCUGGUCCAAUAAUAUUGCUAAUCCCACAAAACUUAGCAUUAGCAAAUCAGCUCGAAAAGUAGGUUGAGUUGCAGUUUAACCAACUCCAUCAUCAUAGUUUUCUUUCUUAUUAUCAUCUAUCUCUCCCUUGCAUCCCAAACUAUCCAGAAUCACAUAUAUAAAUUCCACAUGCAAAUCAUUGUUCUUAGCUUGUUCAUAAAGCCAACAAUAUUCCUAAAUUAGCAUCAUAUAACUAGACUUCAUAUCUCAUAUCAUUUCCAUGUCUUUGAUUCAAAACAAGAGGCUUCAUUUCCUUAUGGAAAGAUUCGCUGUUAUCCCUUUCCGACUCGGCUGCACUUCUCACUCCAGCGUUGAACUCGGCGAAGCAAUUGAACCACGAAAACUGAAAAUCAGCGCAGCGCCACCAAACCCACCACCACCUCCUCAAGCAACAGGUAAUUAAGCUCUCUCUCUCUCUCNNNNNNNNNNNNNNNNNNNNUCUCUCUCUCUCUCUCUCUCUCUCUCUCUCUCUCUCUCUCUCUCUCGCUCGGGUUUGGUUUUGAUAUGUUUUGUGGUAUUCUGAUAAGGAAGACGAUGGAAGAACGCAAGGUAGAUCAGCAAUGAAAAACUCGUUUCAUUUCCUGAGUCAAGGCAAGCAGCACAUAUCUAGUGGGAUGCAGAGAUUGAUCAGGAGCAUCAAAAGUUUCUCACAAAUAUUCGGUGAGUAGAUCGAGUUCAACAUAUAUACUUUCAGUACCUUUUUUUUUUAUCACAUACUUUCAGUACCUUAAUGCAUAGGCAUGAAUAAUACUCAGUUCCCUGGUAAAGAAUUCUUUGUAAGAUGUUCUCCCUUUUCACGUACCCCAGACUUUAAUCUGUUAGAUUUUAGGUAAAAUUCCUUGUAUAACAAACAACACUGUGUUAUUAGUACUUAUAUGAUUAACUAAAUAACUCUGUCACUCAUUCCGUCAAUAAGAUGUUAGUUAGAGACUUCCAUAUACUUUUUUCAAGAACCAUAAUCACAAAAGUGAAAAGAUAAUUCACGAAAAUGAUAACGGACAACACAUCACCACAAUAACAAAUCAUUAGGUAAGUAACUAAGAAAAACUAUUAUUUAAGGUAAUAAGUGAAAAUGUACAAUGUUAAGCAAAGACCACACAUUAUGUGUGAGCAAUAGGGGUGUUGCAAAUUGCAAUUCUCAUAUAUGUGGCAAUUGGUGGAGUACGAGAGAAAAUUGCCACAUAUAUGAGAAUUAUUGCAAGUUUGCAACAUCUCUGUUACUCACACAUGAUUUGUAGCCUUUGCUCAAUAUUGUGGUAGGCGUAACCGUAUGUAAUGAGUGAAAAUGCCAUCAUCGGAGUAAAAUAGGUUCUCUUUUAAGCAAUGAGUGAAAAUGUAACUGUAUGUAAAUCAUCCAUGCAUGCAUGUAUUACAGUACUGUAUGAAAAUAUGCAAAAAGAUAACCUAACCCGACACUAUAUAUAAUAUCCUUGUAUGAAAUUCCAUAUAUUAUAAGCGCCAAAAAACCAUCGCAUGCAGUUACCCGUCAGCUGAAACCCUAACCAUUCAUGAGUGUCCUUCUACCGAUAGGUCCUCACCGACGGCGACUGCCUUGUUGCACCGCCACCAUCAGCAAGGUAGCUAGAUAGCAUAUGAAACCCUUGCCUCCACCAAGCUUCAGCUCCCUUUCCGGCCUCUUGACGUACACUGUAAUAGUGUAGUUUAAAAGUAACUUGGAAAGUAAUUAACUUUGAGUUUCAUACCUAUUUUGGUUGACAAAGCAUGUCUACUCCCAUGUAAUGACCAAGACAUAUUAGCUGUACCAAGAAACCUAAUUGUAUGAUUGGAAAAUAAAGAACGACGAGACAGAUAUAUUACACAUGUUCCAUCUAGCUAGCUAAUUAGUCGUUCACUUACUCUAUCUCUUUCUCUCUUUGUUUAAUUUAGUUUACAAGGAAGACACUGAUGAGGAAAAGGAAACAGAAAUGGAGAUUGGAUUCCCUACGGACGUGAAGCAUGUGACACACAUAGGACUGGAUGGCUCUACCACUACAAAUAAUAAUCUCAACAAUUUUCAUAGCAAUGCUGCUCUUCCUCCUCAAGUAGUUUCCUUCCCUUCGAUUUCUCUGAAGCAAUUUGAGUUGGCCAUGGCUGCACAGACCACCCACCAGCCUCCUCAUCACCAGUAGUGAAUUGUUUUGAAGCCAAAGCAAAACUCGCUAUGUUUUCUUUCUUUUGUGAAUUGGUUGAUGUAUGAGCCUAUCUCCUCAACUAUUACAGAUUAUAUAAGCAUGCAUGUAUGGUUUUGGUGAGGUGGGGUGGGUGAUGAUCUAUCCACGGAUUGUAUUAUGGAAAUGAUUAGUUUUAUUGCGUGGAAUGAAACAUACUUGGAUUGAUAGAUUAGGAAAAGAGAAUGAAAUUAUUGAUUGAGAACCAAUUUCAGUUUGUUGAGUUGAACAUGGAUAACUCUUACUUGCAUUACAGUUCAAAAAUAAAGAUCCACGGUUCCCAGCCAUGAGAAACAACAAGCUUUUGAACAUUAUCAUCAUUGUUGACAAGGACGACAUAACCUCAAAAUCACAGUUAGUCAAUCUGAACAAGAAGAAUACACAUCACACCUUUUUUACAGCCGAUUCUAAUUUCAAAAUGUAAAUAUGACUUCUUUUACUAUUGAUAAUGGAAGUCGAAGAACCUGAAGAAUGUUGCAAUGAAUGAAUUUUCCCACCCAUAUAUAAUGUGGGGGUUGUCUACGGUAUUAGAUGUAUACCAUACACUCAUUUACCAUUAAUUGAAUAAAAAUAACAAGUUAAAUAAGCAAAAUUUACAACAUUGACAAGAAAAUUACUACAUUUUUUUUACAUAGUUAUAUAUAAUUGAACCAAGUUAUUACCACGACAACAAGUUGUUCAUAAACUUGUAUUUUGUCUUAAGUUGAGUAAUUAAAUCUAAUAGAUAAAAAUUACCCACGUGAUGACUAUCUUUACCAAAACGACAACAAAUUUGUUGUCAUAUCGGUAAAUGUUAUCAUAAAAUGGUAGGUACCCUAGAAAUUCCUAUAAUGGGGUGACGGCUUCUUCUCUGUUGUUAGUGGUGCAUCCUUUGACAACAUUUAUACUUGUGUUGGUCAGCAACUUCUUUUCUCUCGACAACUUCUUUUCUCUCGAUGGCUUCAUUGUCUUAGGUUAAUUUAAAUGUGCGUAUUUACAAUGAAGGUUACUUGCCAUAUAGCUUUAACGUUUGUGUCUUAUGACUCGGCAUCAAGACCACAAUAAACAAAAACAAAACACAAAACCUAGUUUUGUUUCUAACUUUAGUACUACAUGGUUAUAUAGAAGGAAAAUUCUCCAGUACUGGACAGUUUCUCGUACUGUGAUUUUUUAGAAUAUUUAGAUCCGUUAGGUCAAUUAUAUAUAAAUGGUUUAGAAUAUUCCAAAUAGCUCACCUAUCUUUUUUCUUUUUUUGAACUUAAAGACAAUUUUGUUAUUAGAACUCAAGUAGAUGGUACAAUACAAAUUGAUCCGUUGCCAUGCGCACAGAGGACAAACAAGACCAUCUGAUUCGUAUGAGGGUUGUAUCCUCAUUACAAAUUUCGGCUCAUAAGGAACCUAUAAUCUAAUAGCAAAUAAAUCAUAGGCAAAUGUUUCUAACCAAACUAGAGCAAGAAAAUAAAGCUCCCCCAUGUGAAAGCAUGGACUAAGAGCAAUUAUUCCGAAGUAAACAAGAAAAGCUUGCAGAUAGGGAAAUAAGGGAAAAGCAAAAAAUUAAAAAUUAAUGGGCUAAAGGAGUAAGCCCAUUUAUUGGGCCUUGAAGAAAGCAGCCCCAAAUAGCUCACAUGUUUACCUAGUCAUAGACCGAAUAAAAUAAAUCAACUUUUGUGUUUUAUCUAAUGGUUUUAUCUCAUAAAGACUUUCUAUGAAUGGUCUUGCGUUAUCAAGAUCUCUCCUUAUUUGAGGAGUCUUGCUUUAUCGAGAUCUUUGUCAAAAAGAUCUUUCUUUGUUUAAAUUUUCUUUGAGGAGAUUUCUCCAUCUCGAUGAGAUUUCAUUUCCCAUAAUGUGCCAUAGUUGGUCAGAUUAAUACUCACAAGCAAUCAAGCUAAUUAAAUUGUUAGCGAGUUAAGACUCGGUGAAUCUGUUGAUUUAAAGUUAUAGUUUUAGAAGAUUUUACCAUAGAAACUUGACAUGUCAUGAUUUAUCUACAACUUCUAUUUUGUAUUUGUAGAAAUUCUAAUUUUGAAAAAAUCAACUUUAGCACUGAAACCCCGUGUUUCGCUUGUCUUCCUCCUAUUAAUUGCUCUGUCUGCACACCCCGCAGUGUCAUAGGUAUUGAUUGAUGGUGGUUCUUUUUUGUCAUAGCUUGCAGAUAAGGAAAAAAAAGAUUGAUGGUGGUUCUCAAGGGAUCAUAAGAAAAAAACCUAGUCCUGUUUAGGUGAAAUGAGAACUUAAAAGACUGAGUUGGCUCUCUCUCCGUUCACAAUCCCACUACUUGUAUCGAAAAAUACUGGCAAGCCUCGCAUCCACAUCAGAGCCAAUGUUCACUAAGACAUGAGAAAUUUGAUGCAAACAUUAUCUAAGAAACAAGAACUAAGGAUUACACUAUAAUUCAAUUGAACUUGCAUAUAAGGAACGUGUGGUUGGUGAACACUCAUUCCCUACAUCAUCACAGUUUCUGUUUACGUUGAGAAUUCUUCCUUCAUCGACGAUGACCUUUUAUAAUAAAAGAUUUUCCUUUCGUUGAGAUUUUCAUUUCAUCGAUUUCAUCGAUGACUCUAGCCUUAAAAAUUGUUGUCUCAAACUGAAAAUAGUAAAUGUUAAAUAGUAACAAUACAAACGUUUUUUUAGGGUUUAAGGUUUAGGGUUUACUAUACUCUAAAUGAUUACUUGAGUGUCUACGCAACUUACCAUAACCAAAACAAUUGACGUUAAAGCUGUAAAUUUUGUUCAAAUUGUCGUAUAUACUCAACUAUAACCAAUUUACUAGUUUUUGAAUAGUUGAACAAAUGUGACAACAAAUUUGUUGUGAGAGUGGUAACAACCAAUAUACUCUAAAUGAUUACUUGAGUGUCUACGCAACUUAUCACAACGAAAACAAUUUACGUUAAAGCUGUAAAUUUUAUUCAAAUUGUCAUAUAUACUCAACUAUAACCAAUUUACUAGUUUUUUAAUAGUUGAACAAAUAUGACCACAAAUUUGUUGUGAGAGUGGCAAAAUAUUUAUGUUUUUUAUCAUUAAUGAAAUGAUUACUUGAGUGACUACGAAACUUACCACAACAAAAACAAUUGAGGUUAAAAAAAUUUUGUAUAUGUUCAACUAUAACCAAGUUACUAGUUUUUUAAAAAAAACCAAGUUACUAAUUUUUAAACAGUAAAACAAGUGUGACACAAAAUUUAAUGUUAAAGUGGUAAAUAUUUAUGUUUUUAUCAUUAAUGAAAUGAUUACUUAAGUGACUACGUCAACUUACUUUGUCCAAAUAGUAUCAAUUACUCCACGUGAUCUAAGGUACAAGUUUUUAGGUCAUAUAACAAGAGUGACAACUAAUUUGUAGUCAAAGUGGUAAAUUAUUUGUUUUCAUCAUUAAUAUUAUGUUGGGGAAGGCGUCUCGGGGUGGAAGGGUCAUCCAGUCUGCGAUUCAGAUACUGGAGGUUGAUUCCUGGAGCUCUCUAGGGUUUUCAAUGCAUCAUGUGUCUUCUCUUUACCGCCUCAUGCUCACUAAAGGCAAGGUAAAAUUUCAGAUCCCUUUUCGAUUUAUUUAUUUUUUUGAUCUAAUUGGUUUAGUGAUUUUUGUGGUCAAAGAAUUGAAAUUUGAGACUGAAGAUAGAUAAACUCUAGGUUCAGCUGUUUGGAAUAGAUGGAAUACAUAGAGCAAUAUUUGGUUGUGUGAUAUUGAACACUUAGUUGAUGAAAAGGCAACUAUUGAUGUUUAUGAGAUGCUACAUGGCCUAAGAUGAAAAAUUUAGAAAGGCAUAAGGGUGACUAUACAUUUUACCACAAUCUAUUAUAUUUGAUCUAAACUCUGGUAAUUUUUAUUCUAUUUGUAGUAAUUACUCAAAAGACUAUAUCAUUUACAUGAUUAUGAACAAUUUUACAAUUCUGACAACAUCUGCGUUGUGAACAUGAUAAAAUUUAAAUUAGACAAAAAAAUAUGUAAAUGCUCAAAAUCGUUAAUUUGUUCUCCAUUUGAUAAACAAGGUUCUUUAUUUGGUAAAAGUUGUCUAACUAUGGUAUUUACAUCAUUAACCACUCAAUUACAACACAACAAAUGUGAUCGUAAGGAGAAAUUUUUCAAUUCUACUGGAGGACCACGACAACAUGUUUAGUGGUCCUCUUUGACAAAUAAAAAGUUGCCAUGUGGUAUUUAUUUUGACACGUCAAAGCAAAAUAAAAAAAAUUAUUGCAUUGAACUUAAGUAAAACCCAACAACCUCAAACAUAUAACAAAAAAGAAAAUACUACAUCAACGUAGGACGAAAGUGAUAUCUAAUCUAUAAACAUAGUUAUUACUAUGUGAAACUCUCUGCAAUUACGAAACAUACGAACAAAAGCGGCAAGAUAAUACACUAGCUUUGUUGGGUAGAUUUAAUCUUGAAUGUUAAGAUCGAAUAUAACUAGCAGAUCAACCAUAUGAUCAAAAAAGUUCAUUCAAAACAAAAAGAUAAGGGAUUAUUGGUAGUCCACUAUACCUAGAACUUUGUGUGGAUCCAUUAGUAAGCUUUAUUGUUUGUUAUUCUCUCAAAUAUCUAUCCUUCUUGUAGUGCUAUUGGAAUCAAUAUCGGUCAAUAACAAUCAAUGCAAAAGAUAUUUUUGGUUCGUUGGAUGAUUAGGGAUUAGUCUUCAUACUGAAUUCAUUCAUCAAUUAUUCUAAUCACCUCCAUGAAAUAUUAAACCAGAAUUUAUCCAUUCUUAUAUAUCCAGCCCCAAUUAUAUAUACGAUAAUGGAGAGCUGUGUUUUUUUAUGUUUGAGGUUGUUUGGAUUCAUGGAUUUACUAAAGUUAAAUGCAAUAAUUUUUUAUCUUGUUUUGACGUGUCAAAAAAAAUACACCACACGGGGACUUUUUAUUAGUCAGGGAGGACCACUAGACAUGUUGACGUGGUCCUUCUGUAACACUGAAAAAUUUCUUGAUCAUAAGUUGUAAUUUUAGUUUUACUUGGUGUAAUUUAUUAUCUGACAAUUAUAGUUACAUGGUUUUGAACAAUUUUACAUUUCAACAAAGAACGCGUUAUUACUAUGGUAAAUUUUAUUUUUUUAAAAUGACACAUGUAAACAUUUGAUUGGGUAACCUGUAAACCGGUUCAAUAUGUUUCCACUAUAUUAGAUUAUAAAUAAUAAAAAUAAUAAAAAGUGAAGGUAUGUGAUACAUCCUCAUACCAUAGAUGACCCAUAUAGUUUUGAUAAAUCACUAUAUAACAUCAUUGAUUCCUUUUGUUAGCAGUCUUUGUUAUGGGACGAGCCAUUUCCUCAUGAGUAUCAAUAUCUUAGUCUUUCUCACUUGCCUCACCGAUAGGUCCUUGCUUCUUCCUAGAAAGGUAUUCCAAAGACUCCCAAACUUUCUUCUCUUUGUCUAAGCUAUCAAGUUCAUCUCGAAGUAUAGCAACAUAUAUAUAGUCAACUUAUCAUUAAUUACAUUCGUCAAGAGUCACCCUAAUAGUUGGUUCAGUUCCCUGUCCUUCAACUACUUUUCCUUAUAUAAGAUCCCUUCCCUCAAUCAAGACCUUGAACUUUUCUAAACUUCUCAAUGUUUGCUUAAUCAAGUAUUCUAGUGCUUCUUCAUCAUACUUAUUCUCCAAGCUUGGGACAUUAACCUAUGAAAGGCUGCAUAGUUGGCAAGACUAGAUGUAGUGGCAAGAGAAGAGUCAAGCGGUCAGAACUGAUUGAAAAAGACAACCUCUUCAAUACCGUAAUCAAUGUAGAACACUUCAUAAUCGUCUUGAGAGAAUUCUAGCUACAACUGCUUGGGGAGCAUUGACAAUCUCACUCUUCUUAAGCUUGAAAUCAAUAUCAGUUAGAGACCAGCUUCUUGAAUAUAUAUUCAAAGAAGUUGUUGCUGAGUAAGGGCAGUGUCUUGGUCCUUAAUUGUCUAAACAUAAAAUUUGCCAAUCUAAAACCUCUGUAACUACACAUUUAGCAUUUUUUUCUGUUUGUUGGAAACUUCCUGUCACUCAUCAUACUUCUUCCAAUUUUUCAGUUUUUGUUGUUUGGCAGACUUUUGAGCUCACUUAAAAAGGUGAGCAUCCAAAAUUCUAUUGUUGUUAUCAAAUGAAGUAUAUUUUGCGAGGUCAGCUUCAACGAGCGUGGAUAACAUAUUGAUCCUUGGAUCCCAUAAACUUCCCUCAAAAGUUCUAGUUUUGUUAAGACUUGCCACCUUAAUAUCAUUAUUACUCUGUAUUAGUCUUCGCCUUCUCACUACAAUUGCUUCAUGUAAGAUGGCUCAUCACGACAAGGACAUCUCACCCCUGAGAAAGAGAAGGCAAUGUUAAAUGUUUCCUUGGGAAUAAAUAGCUUAAAACGAUGACCACUAAGAACAUAUUCCAUGAUGACAAAAAUUGUUUCAUUUCAUUAUAACAACUGCAAGAAGUCGCUUGCUUUCAUAGUUGGUUCAGUAGUUAGGUCUUUAUAUGCUUGACUGAAGCUUUGUUGGAAGAUUAUCGUCAUUUCUUGCCGACAUUAACAACACGCAAUUCAGCAUCAAGAAGAGCAUCAAAAUAGUUUGAUAACUCCUCAAAAUACCAAUGUCUAACAAUGGUGCCAAGAUCACGUGAAACCAUGAGCUCAUCAACAUUCCCCUAAACCUACUCGUUUAAUCAUUUUUCACAGCCAUCACAAAGACUGAUCCAAAAUCCAUUGCAUCUCAUUAGCCAACAUUCCUAAAAUACUUCAAUUGAACACUCACUUCAUGAUCAACCAGGAGUACCGUAAGCCGUUUAUAGGCUUCGUGUGCAUUAGGAGGCAACUUUUUAUCUCUAUGAGGAUUACCUUUCUUUGAACACCAAAUGUUAGAAAGAUUGAUUCUUCGCUUGGUUAGUGGACUACUAGAAAAGAGAAUCAUCAACCACAAUGAUGCAGUACCAUUCACAACACCAUAAUCAUGUGAAAUUCUUAUCAAGAAAUUACCUUCAUUCUUGUAGUUGGGGAACAUAGUUUUUCUAAAUCCUCAGCUAGCUUGUUUUUCUUAACGUCAAACUCUACAACCUCGAAUUGUUUCUUUGCAUCUUUCUCCAUCAAGUUUGCUUUUUAUUCAACAUAUUUUGCAUAACCAUUCUUCACAAGUUCUAGCCUCAAGUCCUUAUAUGAUUCUCCAUCCGAAUAGUGCAAUGAUGUAAUUAAAUUGCUAAACUUGUCGACACCUUGUAAAACAACGUUGACAUCCUUGGUCAACACACGAGUUUCUGUAAAGAAUUCAGAUUCCAAUACAAACGGCUUAGCAACUUGAACAAUUCAGGUCGUUCCAUGGCUCCUUGCCAUGUAAGAGGCCCUUGUUCCUGCAACGAAUACAUGGGCAAACAAAGACUCUGAAAGUAAGUAAAAUUCCACAUUGUUGCAAUAAAAAACCUGCUCCACAAAAACUUCUUCGGGCAGACGUACCUAAUGGAUUACUCAACUACACCUGAAACCUAGGUCCAGCAACCGAGACUUCGCUACUUGUUUUAUGUUCCAGACUACGAAGUUCUUCGAUGUAAGGACUGGCUUCCACUAUCUGUUUUUGUUGAUCCUUUGGAUGACUAUGUGGCUAUGUGACAUUUUUCCGUCCAUGAAAAACAAUAAGCUAUACUUCGCUAUCGUUGUUGUUAACAAGGACGACAUAACCCCUAAAUAGUAGCAAAUGGAUUUUAUUUUUAUAACAUAGUGCACCUUGAAGACAAACUUCUUUCCUAAGCAGAGUUGCCUCAGAUACUCAUUGUUGAACAAUGUAAAUGCUUCGUUGACGCCACCUUUUUGGUCAACCUAGGCGCCAUAAGGUAGAACAGAUUAAUGGUUCUUUCGGGUUGAAUUCUAAUUUUGUUAGAGUUGAGUGCCAUGAUGACAAGGGUAUCUCUUGAAGUAAUAGCCUAUUUUUCCAAUGAAUCAUCAUGUUGUCCUAGCCACCGAAACAACUCAAACAAUCUCGAUAUCAUUUUCUUACGAUCAAAAUUAGAGUUUUCUAUUUUUCUUUAUGCAUGCAUUGCUUGAGUUAGAGUGAGGGAUACAAAGGGCCAGAGGGAACUAUAAUUUAUAUCUUCAUAUGGAAAAUGGGGAGUGAAACCCAAUUAAGGACGUCAUUCCUUUAUUGAUCAUAGCUAGAUUCGAGUCACUAAUAAUUUUUAAUAAAAUAUUUCUUCACCAUUUUGAGAUGAUUCCCCACCGCUACUCUUUCUUUACAAGGAGACACUACACACAAAUUUUUUACGGUCAACUCAACAAGUAUCCCCCCCCCCCCCCCCCCCCCAACCUGCUCGUUUGCAUGUUUCCGCACAUCAUUUAAAAAUACUAAUCUAAAAUCUAUUGCAUCUCAUUAGCCAACCUUCCAUGUGGAAAAUACUCUAAUUGAACACUCCGCAAUGAAUCAGGCGUGUCUUAAGUCAUUUCUAACCUACGCGUUCAUAAUGAGGCCAUUUUUCAUCUAUAUGAGGAUUUGCCAUUUUCUAACACUAAAUGCUAGAAAGAUUGACUCUCUGCUUUAGUAGCAGACUACUAGAUGCAAGAGCAUCAUCAACCACAAUGAUGUAGUCCCCAUUCACAACCUCCAUAACCUUUUAUGUGAAUUCUUGCCAUGAAUUAGCUUCGACCUGUAGUUAAGGGUACAUAUAUAGAUUUUCAAAUGCUCAACUUGCUAAUUCAAAGCGUCAAUCUCUACAGCCUUGAAUUGUUCUGUAUCUUCCUCCGAUCCAUCAUGUUUGCACCUUAUUGGACAUAUUUUGCAUAACCAUUCUCCAUAAGUUUCAGCCGUAAGUCCUUAUCUGAUCUUCAUCUGGAUAAUACAUCGACCCAAUUAAAUUGCUAAACUUAUCGCCAUGCACCUUGUAAAACAAGGUUUACAUUCUUGUCCACCACACGAGAUUCUAUAAAGAAUUUAGAUUCCAAUGUAAACGAUUCAACAGCUUAAACAAUGUUGGUUGUUCUAUGGCUCUUUUCCAUGGAGGAGACCCUAGUUCCUGCAAUGAAUACAUGGACAAAUAAAAACUCUGAAAGUAAAUAAAUUCCCACUCUGCUGCAAUCACAAACCUACUCCACAGAAGCUUUUAUGAGCAUACCCUUAUUUUCUAUCAAAAAGCUCUUUGCAUCAAAGUUGUUGCUUAAAGGUAUAUACCUAAUAUGGAUUCCUCAACUGCACCUGGAACCCAAGUCCAGCAAUCAAGACCUUCACUAUUUGCUUUUUGUCCCAGACUACGCAAUUCUUCAAGCAAAGCCUAGCUUCUACAAUCUGUUUCUAUUGACCUUGUGGCUGACUAUGUGGCUCCAUGACAUUUUCCUAUCCAUGAGAAACAACAAACUAUGCUACAUUAUUGUUAUUGUUAACAUUGACGACAUAACCCUUAAAUACUAGCCGAUGAAAUUUAUUUUUAUAACACAGUCCACCUUGAUGACAAGCUCUUUGCCUAAGCAGAGCUGCCUCAUAUACUCUCUGUUGAAUAAUGCGAAGGCUUCAUUGACGCCACCUUUUUGGCUAGUCUUAGCGCCAUAAGCGAAUACAGAGUGAUGGUUUCUUUCGGGUUGAAUUCUAGUUUUGUUAAAGUUGAGUGUCAUGAUGACAAGGGUAUCCUCUGAAAUAACAACCUAUAUGUUUCAUUUGAGCCAACAUGUUAGUGUAGUUACCGAAACUAAUCAAACAAUCUCGAUAUCGUUUUCUUCCGAUCAAAACCAAAGUUCUCUUUAAUUUCUUAUACAUUGUUUGCGUUUGAGUGAGGAAUUUCUAGAAGAAAAGAGGGAACUAUAAUUCCUAUCUUGGUAUGAAAAAAGGGAAGCAAAACCAAAUUAAGGACGUUCUUUCUUUCCUAAUCAUUGUUGGGUUCGAACACUGAUCAUUUUCAAUAAAAUAUUUCUUCACCAUUUUGAGAUGAUUCUCCACAGUUAGUCUUUUUUUACAAGGUACGUAACACUACACACACUUUUUUUUACGGUCGAUUGUUGUCUUAGUUCCAGCUUUGGGCAUGCUGGAAUUGCAAAUGGGCGAAGAGAUUGAUUGAAUAUUGUCAGACGUUGGUUGACGUCAUACGAACAAGUAAGGUCCACUAGUUUCUUUACAAGUUAGCCUUUGAGGGCGAGAUGAUUGUAGCGAUGUGGUGGGAGUAAGGUCGUCCACUAGAAUCAGCGGUGACUACAAACGGGUUGAAGUAUGGGUGCCUAACUUCUUGGGUACCCAUAACAGAAAGGCAUGGGCUCAUGGCCUUGAAGUUAUUUUUUUUAUCUUGGUUUAGGCUUAUGUAGUAUUAUCUUUGGGUCAGAUAUAAUCUCUCACAUUCUUUGUUGUGCAGUUUUGUAAGGUAUCCUCUAAGUCUUUGAAUUAGUUGAGGAAAUGCUUGGUUUCGGUUCAGUUCCUUCUCUACCAUCGUCAGAAAAUCGUCCUUGGGUUUCUUUGGUUCAAUUCCAUACUAGCUGCAAGUUUAUUUUUAUUUUUAUUUUUUAUAAAAUGGUUCUAUUCUAUUGAUAAAAAAACAAUUGUACAAUGAGCCCUCUCACACAAGCUAAUUAAGGGAUCUUGACAUUCGCAGUCGUUGCCUACACAUGUAACCAUGACUCUUAUUAUAGAAGACUACCCCUUGAUCAUAUAUAUAUAUAGAAGCUACAAAAUGUAACCCAACAAUAAAUCUGUUUAGAGACCCUUAUGGUGUACAUUAACAGUGGUACAAUUGGGUUAAACAUGUAAUGACUUUAUAAUCAAGUAAACAGUUCUGAACCGCACUCCAUUCUCUUAAAAUGAAGGCAUUAUUAGAAAAGUAAAGCAAGGAAAUAAAGAAUUAGGCCAAGAGCAACCUUAGUCCUAAAUAGCAGCCCAAAAAUGCCCAACUCGUUGACCCAAGCCCUGAUGCAUCUCCCUUUGUUGUUGUCCCCUCCGACCACGGGAUCCACCAUGAACCAAUGUCUCUCUGAUCCUGUCAAGAUCCUCACGCCAUGAGAAAUCCAAUACAUCUCCAUGACGCUAAAACCACCGAGCCCACAUCGGAGAUCUUCGCCCUUCCGCCAAGAAGCUCCAAGGCCCUCGCCGUCAUAGAAUUAGUGAGUUCAUGAUGAGUGUCCUGCCUCUAUAGCCGCCACCCACCCUUCCUUGAGAUGCCAUCUCAAAACAUGUUGCCAAAUCAUCUGCCAAAACCACGAGUGAACCGCAUCCAUGAUCCCUAAAACCCAAUAUUAUUCCAACACCCGUCGGCAUCAAUCCCACGUUGAGCAUGUACAUCGUCGACGAGCAUCAAACUCGAAACCUUAGACCAGAUGUUGGGGAGCUGUUCAGAUUUUUCUAAAGCUCUCAGAGUUGAAGGAACCUAGCUCAUCCCUCACUCAGUCGCAUGUUAGGUAGCCUAUAUAUAAUUGAAAUUUGUUUAGUUCUUCUGGUUUGAAGUCGACAUCUGUUUAGUUAUUGUGGUUUUAUUUUAAUCUGGAUAGUUUUUAAAGUCAUGAUUUUUCAUCCAAAUAGUCCUUAUUAGGGCUGGGCAUAAGGCCCGUAGCAGGAAAAAAACCCUACAAACCGACCCGAACCGGCUGGGCCGGGCCGGGCUUUUUUCCGGUCCGAUUAUAAAAAAUGUUCAUUUUGGGCCGGUCCUUGACUAUGCCGGUCCGGGCCCGGGCUCUGAUUUUUUAACAGCAUUUGAGCCCGAAAGUCCAAACUAUAGUUAUGUUGUGCCACUUAGCCCAUUAUGGGCUAGUUUUUCAAGCCCAGCUAGAGUAUGUUUCAAGUUGCAAUUAUACAAACAACCACAUGAGAUUAUCACCAUCUUGUAAAACCUUAUCUUUCUACUCUUAUAGAGCAACUCGUCCUCUUCUCAACUAUCACUUUCUCAAUUUCUCUUCUCUCUUUCUAAACACAUAGACGCAUAUGGAAACAAGUUUGAUCGGCAUAGAUCAAUCGAUGAAGAAGCUUCCUCUUUAUUCUUCUCUCUUCUCUCUUUCUCUCGUUCUUAAACAAGGCCGACAAAGAUCAAUCGUUGAGAAGCUUUCUCUCCAAAUUUGAAGAAAAAAGCAGGAUCUAACCGAUCUGUCACUGAAAAUUGUGGGUUUUGUACAACAAAUUUCUUUUUCUGGGAAAUAUAAAAAUUGGGUCCUAUGUUUUCUCUUUCUAAUUUGUUUGUUCUGGGGUUUUGCCCAGUUACUCAAAAGUUCUAGAUUUGGUUGAUAUUGUAAUGUGGUCUGUGUGAUUAGUUUGCAGUUAACACUACUAAGCAAAUUGGGAGGAAAUUGAGAAAGGACAAAGGAGAAUACAGGUUUCCAGGUUACUGAGAAGGGAGCAAAUAUUUCACUGAAAACAAGCCCGAAGGCCCGGCAAGACCGGCCGGUUCUUGUCUGUCCAGGCUUUCUCCGGUUUUAGAAAUUUUCAGUGCAGAGACCGGCCCGUUUGACUAGUGAUCGGUCCGGGCCCGGUCCUUGAAAAAUUAGUGCCGGUCUGGGACCAUGCCCAGCCCUAGUCCUUAUGGUUUUAUUUUAAUCUAAAUAGUCCUUAAAGUCAUGAUUUUUCAUCCAAAUAAUCCGGUUAUAAAUCACUUCCCAAUUGGUUAUCGUCCGAUAUUUUGGAAAUUUCCCGAGAUUUCGGCGAAAUCCCCGAAAUAUCACGAUAUUAUGAUUGGUGACAGAGACCCACCUUCAAUUAUCUAUCCGCACGUCAUCAGUUUCUUGACUUUGACCCGAAAUUCACCCAUAAAAACCCCCACAUUGAGAAGCCAGUGGGAUUCGAACCUAGCUUGGCACGUUUCCAGCUUAUUGACUUAGCCAACCGUGCUAUGUUCACAAGUUAUUAAUGUAUACAUUAUUAUGUUAUAUAAACGUUUAAAAACUUGGUAGAAAUCAAUAAUUAACUUACUCUCAAUAGUACUAAGGGACCCUAGUACUAAUGUAUUAUGUAAUAUACUUGCUUAUAGAGUAAAUAAUUGAUCAAAUAAACAUAUCAUAAAGUUUUACAUGGAGUAUGUUGUUAUGCAAAUUCCAAUAGUUUCCGUCGAAUUUUCGUCCAUAUCGGUACUUUCUAAAAUUUCUGAAAUUUCCUUCAAAAUUUCCAUUUUUCAGAUUGUCGAUAUAUCCAUAAUCAUCGAUAUUUUCUUUCUUGUUAAUGCCACUUUGAAAAAGGAAAAAAAAAAAAAAAAAAAAAANNNNNNNNNNNNNNNNNNNNUUUUUUAUUUUUUAUUUUUUUAUAAUUCUCUGUAUGAAAGUUUUUCUAUGUUAAGAAUGUGCCACACACAUUAAGGUGGUUAUAUAUAUCCCUUUCAGAAAAAAAAAGAAGAAGUUUUAAAUCCAUAGUAUGAUUUAGAUCAAUAGUCUAAGAUCCCGUGAAUAUGGAAAACAAGAUUUCUGACAACAAACACCAACUAAGAUAUAAUUAAGAUUUGUAAUGACAAACGCCAACUAAAAUAUAUGAACUUAGAAAGAAUCGUUUGGAGUAAUUUUAAAGUUUCCAUAGCUAUUCAAAGCAAUUUAUUUCUAGUGAUUUAGUUAUGAAAUCUCAAUCAAAUUAUAUCCUCAAUAAUAACCAUAUAUGGAAUAUCAUAUCAAAAUAAUGAUGUCACUUCCUUUAUAUGUGUUUGUAAACAUAGCAUUAUACUUUCACAGGCAUUUCUUUCUCUAAAAACUUAUGGGAAAGUGGUUAGAGUUGUUUUGAUCCUACAAAUAAACCUUUCAAAAAAAUAUUUUCAUUAAAAUAAAGGUAUUAUCAAAGUUGUAAAGAUGUUGUUCCAACUAGCAUGACUUGACGACACAUUUAAUAAAAUAAUGUAAUUCUAUAUUACCGCUCUUUGUGUUACUGACUCGAGCAAUACUUCUCCAAGCACGAACAUAUGAGGCCAAUAGGAUAUUACGGAUACGACUAAAAUAAUUUCUAUUAAAUAGGUGAAUAUGAUUAUAUGAGUAGCUUAUAACUAUAUCAUCAUUUCUCGGUUUUCAUUAUCUAUUUAAUGAAUUUAGCUAGAAUUAAAAUCCAAUCGCUGCUCGAUUCUAAUUUCCUUACCCAUAAUAAUCAGGUGGAAAAUCAUCAUUGCAAAUUUAUCCCAGAAAUAAAUGUGGCAAAUCUUUUAUUUCUAUUUGGGUCUGGUAAAUCCAAAAUUAACCACAAGAACCUAAAACCCAUUCGUGAUUACUGAUCCUUAAUUUUAAUUAUCCAUAAAUUAUCCACAAUGAAACCAUGUCCGUACUAAAAGUGGCGCACACACUUGUUCAAUCCCAUCCCGCUUUGACCCACCCAGAGAAUAAGAAGCAGCAGCAGUGACGUAGAAAAAUCGCAACACCCCUGUCAAUUUAGCCCUUCAUCACAAACAUCCAUAUCAUUCCUUCUCCCCCAUUGGUUUCACUGCUUCUCUCUUUGAAUUGAAUCCACAAUCCAAGACCCUUUUGGUUCUCAUCGUAAUCGGAGGCUCGGCAAAUCGGUAAGGAUAUGAUUGUAAAUUUGGGUGCUUGAUUUCGAUUUGUCUAUGUCUUUAUGGUUUGAAUUGAAAUGAUUUUGGGUUUUUUUUAAGGGGUGUGAAAGUUUGGGGCUUUAUCCGAAAACGACGACGGAUCAGGCGGCGGAGACGAGGGCGGAGCCGGACUGUAUGGUAGGUCCGGUGGUGGAGGCGAGAAGGGGUGGACAUGACUGUAUGGUUGGGUUGGAGUGCUUUUUGGACAUCGUCAGGGCUCUUGGGAUGGGCUCGUGCCUCUCCGUCACCGGUGACAGCGCCGCCGGCUACGGCCGGGUUUCGUCAUCCGCGCCGAGCAGCAAGAGGAGGAGGAGGUUGACCGGGAACUCGUCGUCUCCGGCGGGGGCCACGUCGCCGGUCUCGUCGGCGACGAGUUCCAUGGAGAUGUGGCUGCAUAGGGUUCCGGGGAGGUUGUUCCUUAAUGGCUUCUCUGAUGUGGCUUCCCUGUUCAGCAAGCAAGGGAAGAAGGGUGUCAAUCAGGAUGCUAUGAUUGCUUGGGAGGUGAAUUCUGAGAAUUACAUGUGUAUGUUUGUAUAAUUUGUAUAGUUUGUUUGUGUGUAUCUGUAAUUUGAGCUAACUAGGCAGGUUUUGUGGAAAAUUUACAGAAUUUCGGCUCGAAAGAAGACACAAUAUUUUGUGGUGUUUUUGAUGGGCAUGGUCCUAGUGGUCAUAUGGUGGCGAAGAAGGUGAGGGAUUCUCUACCUUUGAAGGUCAGCUCGCAGUGGGUGUUGAACACCACGGAUGCUAACCGCGCCGGUGCAUCUGAGGAGAAUAAGGAUAGCCAUGGUGAAUUUUUUGCCACGUUGAAAGAUUCAUUUUUGAAGGCUUUCAAAGUCAUGGACAAGGAACUUAAGUUGCAUCCUCGUAUUGAUUGCUACUGCAGUGGGACAACUGCGGUUACCAUGGUCAAGCAGGUACUUUUUUGUUAAGUUAGCUACAUUUAGGAUGCACCAUGCCUAUGAGUUUUCAUUUUUACACGUGUGUUGUUUUGGCCUGUAGGGUCAGGAUCUUGUUAUUGCAAAUAUUGGGGACUCUAGAGCUGUGUUAGGCACAAGAGAUGAAGAGGGUUCUCUCGUUGCAGUUCAGUUGACUGUAGACUUGAAGCCAAAUCUUCCUAGUAAGUUACUUGGCUCUUAAUUUGGUUAAGAGUGGGAAUGUUUAUUUUCUUCAUGUUGGUAUUAAAGAACGUUGCAUUUGAUUACCCAUUUUUGCAUAGAUUAAUGCAUGCUUAGGCUUGCUUCAUUUUAGACUUCUAAGGUUUUAAUUUGGAACCCUUGAAGAUUUCAAUCUUGAAAGUUUUAAAUUCAUGAGUACUGACGCUCAUUGAUGGAUUGUUUGACUUCUUUUGGUAACUUCUUGCUACUGAUAGACAUUAUACAAACUGAGAUAGCUCUCACUAAUAGGCCAAAACAUAAUGUAGGCGUUAGUUAGCAGCUAGGAUUGCAUAGUAGGAGUCUGUAAAUAUGAUGUUUCGUAGAGUGAACAAAACCUGUAUAAUCAAGAUUUUUCCUACAAGUCUCUAUCUUCAGUGAAUAUGUAGAAGGUUUUGCCUUCAAGUGGAUCUGUCAGAUGCAGAUGAUAUUAUCUCGAAAUAUUAUAUUUUCAAUAUUUCUUGAUGUUUUGCAUGCAUUUUUUUAUAACCUCAGGGAUAAAAAAGAAUCAUACAGUUUUCUAUUGACUUUGGGAUAUAUAGAUGCUUGGAAAACUUUAAAUAUGCCUACAAAUAACACUGACCUAUGCAUAUGUGAAGGAAGGAGCAAACACUGAUUUUAGUGUUAUAGUAGCUGAUGUUGGGUCAAUACACUGCCCUUGAUUUGCUGUGACAUGAUUAAUCUAUCUCAUAGGUUUAGGAUUUGUGGACCAUAGUAUUGUAAUGUUAACUUUUACUUAUUAAUACACUUCUUUUGCCUCCAUCUAGGGGAAGCCGAGAGGAUCACCUUACGUAAAGGUCGAGUAUUUGCUCUCCACAAUGAGCCUGAUGUCUCUCGAGUUUGGUUGCCUAACAGUAACUCACCUGGGCUUGCUAUGGCCCGGGCUUUUGGAGAUUUCUGCCUAAAGGAUUAUGGUUUAAUCUCUGUCCCUGAUAUUUCUUACCGUCGCCUCACUGACAAGGAUGAGUUUGUAGUAUUGGCUACAGAUGGGGUAAGACAUCCAUCUGCAUAUAUAAUAUUUACCUACAGCUUAUUCAUUACAUCAUUAUUUUGUACCUGCAUAUUUGGCUGGUGUAUGAUCUUCAUUGCAAACUAUGAAGGUAUGAGUAUAUUUUGUGAGUAAAUAAAUCUAAACUAAAGUUGGGUAAAAGGGUGAUCAUUAGUUUAUAAGGGUAGCAAUGCAGACUAAAGCUAUAACCAAGAAUAACCCACUAACCAAAAGCACCUGCCAAAAUAUAUAUGACAAGGAAAACAAAUAAAAACCUUAAUCGAGAGACCUCUCUAACAGAAUCUACAGCCACCUUGGUUGAGCAAGCGACAACCCUGAAGUUCCAAUCUUCAUUCAAUGAGGCAUGGCUACAAUCAGCAAGCCUCGACGAAAGUCCACCCCUUAAUUACUUGAUGAGUUAUAUAGAGAGAACAGUCAUAUUAUAAUUGCAUUCAUGGACAUCAUGUUAUAGAGAGGACAUACAUCUCACCUCUGUCCUCCUCCUCCUAAGGGUAGCUUAGUAAUCGAUUCAGCCCCACUUAAUGGGGUCUCAUCUAAUAGAAUAGGAUGAUACAAGGGAAUGGAGUUAUUGACAUCCAUUUGAUCACUUGAUUUAGCAGGGGAUCCUGCCACUCGUCUACUUGAAAACAGUACCCAGCACAGUUAUUAUUAUCUUAUUGAUAACUCUAGGAUUGCAUUUGAGCAUGAUGGUACCUCGCCAUCUUGGGUAUGCCUGGUAUUCCUACCAUACAGAAGUGUUUCUGGUAUCACCGACAACAUGCUGAGUGAAGGCUCUUACUAUUUUGAGAUGGUUUUCAUAAGAUGACCUUGCCUCUUGAGCAAUGGUUGCUAAACCUGAGGAGAAUGAAUUUUAUAUAGCUCCUAAGUCAGACUCUCCAGAAUUCACGUAGCUUAUAUGUUUAUCAUCAUCUUCUUUCACAAUUGCCUAACUACAAACCUUCUUCGGAAAUGAAGAUAUUUGAUCCCUUUUUAUCUUAGGAAUGCAAACAUUUCCUUACAAUCUCAGGUCCUUGGCAUUCUUGCAUCCUUGCCUUAGUUCUUUUUUGGUUGGGAAGAAGCCUGUCAACUUUUGAAUCUUGGAUUGGAAUAGACAUGCUGUGAACGUUAAUCCAUAAGUGGAGUCAACAGUUAAAAUAUAAGAUUGGGACUUUUUGCUACUUCAAUUUCAUUAGAUCAAGCUGAGUUCCAGCUUUGGGGCCUCGGGUGACAUACUGUUCUGGUAUUUACUGAGGAGCUCUUAAACUAGGGGAAUAGGAACCUGAAUUAUACUCUCAGAAAGAAAGAAAAAAGGCACUAUGAUUAGGCGGACGAGGCUGCAUUUCUAAUCGAUUGUAAAAGAAACACAACAUUGAAGUUUGUUGCAGGUAUUGGGGUUAUGUGGAUAGUAGUCAUGGAGACAAAUGAAUGGUCAAUCUGGAUGUUAUGGUGGAAAUGGCUCCUGUUUAAUGUUGAAUGGCUUUAUCCAAAAUUUGUGUCUUAGCAAAUAGCAAUAGCUUAGAGCAAGAGAUUUCUGAAAUCAUUACCUUUGAGUGGUUGGCAACCUUUGAACCAAAGACACUGUCCUGGUAUUUGUUUGUAAGAGUUGUUUUCGAACUCCAGAUAGUUGCUGGAAAUACCAUGGACAUCUUUUGGGCACUAAUCAAAUUUUCUGUAUUUCUACCAUCAAUGUUAAUUGCAGUUCUUCAAAGGAAUAUAAGAAGUUUAAAAUACUUUUUUGAAAUAGAGAUAUAACUCUUGAUGCAAUUAUUAUUAUCAUGUUUUCUUCAGAAUUCAAUUGAUACAAAGAUAACUCUUGAUUCAAUAAUUAUCUGUGUUGGUCUUGUGAAUGGAUGAACUAAGAAGAAGACAUGUGCUAUAUUCAACGGAAACUUGGAUGUGCUUAUUUUUAUUUUAUUUUGUACACCUGGUUUAUUUUUAUUUAGGAGGCAAUUCUAUCCUGUACUUGCAGAUAUGGGAUGUUCUCUCAAACAAAGAAGUUGUGGAGAUAGUAGCAGCAAGCCCACGACCAUCUGCUGCUCGAGCCCUGGUGGAGUUGGCCAAUCGAGCUUGGAAAUUUAAAUACCCAUAUGCCAAGACUGAUGACUGUGCCGUUGUUUGCCUCUUCCUUACUUCUGGUGCUUCAGUCAAUACUUCCCUUACCACCCCAGAGGGGAAAGUGAACUCGUUAGAAGUAGUUGACGUUGGUGGUGACAGCUUAAUUGUUUGAGGAACUUCAGAAAUACUAUGUGAAAAAUUGGCUAUGAGGAUGGGAGUUGGUACAAGAGCAUCAGUUGCAUGCUUUACUUUUUGACGUGGUACACUCACCUAUUCCUGAGCCUUCUUGAUUUGAGCAGUAGCAAGAUUUUAUUAGCUCUGUUCUUAUUGUGUAUAUUUCUCGUCAUUCUUUCAACCAUUUAUUGAUUUUUUUUAGUUUUUGGUUCUUCCAAAAUCCUGGAAAAAGAUAAAGGGUGUAUUUAGAUUGGUUUGAAAGGGAGCCUUGGAACUCAUCCCCUUCCAUGUCUGGUGCUAUUUCUUCUCUAGUGUUGUGGUCUCUUCUUUUUGGUCUUUUUCAUAUUGUAAAUACAAUCUUCAAGCUUUCUAGUACAUUACAAAGGCUACUGUGGUUUUGUGCAUCCUGUUGUGAAUCUCUUUAUGUUUAAGGCCUUUUGUUUUUUACCAGUUGUCUUGCCUCUGUUUGAACUUCUAGCCCAAUUUCUAAGGGUAAAAUGGUUUUUGCAUUCUAGUGGCUUAUCCACUGACAAUGAUCACAGAGAAAUGAACAAUCACACGCAAAUAAAACACGAUGCCGAAUUGAGAUAUUUGUGUUUGCUUUGGAGGAUAACUGAUUGUUUUGUGAUAUGACAUCCAUAAGAAAGCUGAACAAAACAGAUCUGCCAUUGUAUGCUGAUGAUAGAAAAGACUUGUAGUACCCAUUCUUGCACCUACUAAAGAGAGAAUCUUUACCAACUCCUCCUCCUGGGAAUGCACUUACCCCGUUCGUUCAUGUCUUUCUUGAGUUGCUUCUCCGCUUCCCUGUCCUCAGUAGAUUUGUGUUCACCAUCUUAUGUCACAGAUAUAGUCUAUAAAAUAGAGCACAAACCUUCUGCAGCGAUAUUUUAAUUACAUUCUCAGUGAGAACUUCAAUUGUCGCAACACGAUUUCUCCUAGAAGCCGGAAGAACCAUCUGCACAAUAAGAAGAACCAAUUGAAUCCCUAAGUCAAGGCACGGGUGUGGUUUUGGCCAAAGGGGCUCCAACAGGCAAGUUAGUGUUUUACUGAAGUAAGCAAAUACCCAUUGGCCAAGUCAGUGUUUUCUCAACUAAGCAAUAGGCUAGUCGAUAGUUUAGUGAACUUAACAAGAGUGGUGAAAUAGAAGCUUACAUAUCAAUCAUGUUGCUCCCCUAAGGAGGUCUAUAAUAUCUAAGCCAACCUCAGUAACCUUAACAUGCUUCAACAAACACAAUAAUAUAUAAUAAAUUCUUUAGUUUAGCUUUAGUAGAUGUCUCAAAUGCUGGUUUGUUUAUGACGAUGGCGUUUAGCAUGUUCAGAAUUCAUAGGGGUUUCUUAAUAGGAUGCCUCGUAUGCUUUUGGUUUGGAAUGGCAAUGGCAAUGGCAAUUCUAAGAGGGUGCUUUUCUUCACCACUUGGUUGGUGGAGGAUUUUGGGAAUGGAUGUAUCCUUGGAAUUCAAUUUAGGGGUCGUUGGUGUGUGCUUAUCAAAGUUUUCCUUAGUUGGAUGGUUUUCAAUGUAAACUUUAUAUGAACCUCACUCACUGCAUUGGUUCAAUGGAUUAGUUUUUUUUUUUUUUUUCGGUCUACAGGUUCUAUGGAUGCUUACCAAGUACAAGUUCCAUGGCAUAUACUUCGACUAUGUUAUGCCUCUGAUAUGUUUGCUCAAGUUCUUCAAUUGUAAUUCAAAUUGUAGCUAUGCAAAGGUUCAUCAGCAACAAUUUCAUACCAUCUAUUAGGAGCCACAUACAACAUCCUUGUGCCUAAACGGACCUUUGGGUUCUCAACAUGCAGAGGAACCAAAAUGUUCUCACAUUACAGUACAAAAUUUAUGUACAAAUUACUCUCCAGCAUCCGUAUAUGUUCCUGUAAUAUCUAUGCCUACCAAUGGAGCCCAAAACUGGCUGCUUGCAUAAGGGGGUGUGCGAAGUAUGUGCCUAACGUCAAUGCAGUGAUCACAAAAUAAGGCAACCGAAUAAAUUCCUUGUAGUAAUCUUUUGGCAACUUUUGACGGCCAUCAAUAAUGGCAGCAAAAGGUAAAAUACUUGUUCGCUUCUUCACAACUUCAAAGUUUUCCCCAUAUCUUAUAGCCAAUCUCCGGUCACCAUUCCAAGCACCAAAUAGGUGAUGCCCAAUUAAACCAAUAGAAGCUGCCACUGUCACCGAGUUUCCGAUCCAAAUUGUGUGAGCCAAGCACCAAACCACCUGCCCUACAAGCUACAACAAAUACAAAUACAUUUUCAAAUUUUCUUAUCUAACAACUCUGUAUAGAAAAUCUUAUGCCAGACUGCAAACAUAUAAUCAAAUACAGAUGCUUGUAACAUCAUAUUGGUAAUUAUGCCAAUAGCCACCACAUUAUGAAAGUGGAAAACAUAAAUAGUAGUUUCAUUUUUACAGGUUUAUCCAAUGUCCCAAAGAUCUCUGCACGCAAUAGUAACACAGCCCAGUGAUUUUGGAAAAUCCAAUGCAUAACAUUUCAAGUUAUUCAAGGUCCUAACAUUAUUUGUACAAUUGGUUUUAUGAAUAUGACUUCAAGUUAAUUGUAGUCAACCUAGAUCAGUGGAACCAACAAAAGUCUCAAAAAUGACCAUAUUAAGUAAACAAAUUUGUUACCUGUGGAUGCCUGGUGAUUCUCAUAAUCCCAGUUUCCCAAAGAUGCAUUUUGGGCUUGUCAACAGCUGCUACCUCUAGUAGAUUGAAAGUCGAUGGAUAAAGAAAGAAGAACGAAACAAAAUUAGACAACCACACCAAUUCAUGUACACCAAAUACAUCCUUCAGCUGCCAUAACUGUACUCCAUCAUAUCUGUGGUUAAUGAAAUAUACCUGAAUCACAAACCAUUAAAGUCAAGAAACUAAAUUUGGAUAAAUUUUUCUUUACUGUCAGACAAUAAUUCAAACAUAUGGUAAUAAAGAAUUAGCCUAGCUAGAAAGAAAGAAGAAUAAUCUACUUGAAGAGCGAAUACUCACAACAGUACUAACAGCCAAUGGUAAAGAUGUCCCUGCAAACAAAACGCGGAAAGCACGUUCUCCAAUAAGCUUCUCACCAGUGUCUCGUAGGCUAGCCAAACCACUAUGGACUAUGGCAAAUAUGAGAAUCAGGAGCAACAUUACAACCUGCAGUAGAAGGGUAUAAAAUUUCAAACCUCAGCUUUGUAACUACACCUCAUAGAAUUUGACAUCUCUUCCCUAGAAAUAAGUUAUAUAACCAUGAAAAGAAAGAAAGACAUUGCCGCCUAAACCUUUCAUUGAACAACCAGAAUGUUGGUAAUCCAUGAAUCUAAAAGGAAAUCUGAAUUAAUCCAAUGGGGUUGGUCUAGUGGAAGCACCCUACCCUAGAAGUGGGGCAGAUGUGCAGAGGUUCUCCUGGUAAUAUCUCUGGUUCGAACCCCAGAAAAAAAAUCCUUUGGCAGAGGGGUCAUACCUAACUUGCUCCCAGUCUCGAAGUGGUAGCUCACUCAGCCACCAUUUUAUGUUCUCUCUCUUUUAGGGGGCUGUAAGUGUACACGUCCAAGAAACCGGAAACCAUGAGAAAAGAAAUGAAAGAGAACGCAACACCCUUGAGCAAUUUUGUUGCACACCUUAUCAAAACUUGUCUACAAGCUCGACAACAGCUCUUGUUCCAAGCUUCAACCAAGGAAGUUUCUCUUUCUGCUCUACUUUUCAGAAGACAAGGUUAACCCAAAUGUAGACCCAAAUAACAAACAGGUUAACCUAAAUGCACUGUGCAAUUGCUCUCUAUGGCCCCCGUUACCCCCAUCAUUACCAGCACUACAUAAACCAAUUCCGGAGGAUCGGCUUAAUCAGAACUCACUCAUUUAUAAGUUCAAACAACAUACCCUUUACAAACCCAUCUAAACAUUCAAUCCACAUCCGCUUUCCCUCACUUCCACUCUUACAGUUAAAAUCUAAGGUUGUAAAGGGAAAUUGUAGUCUAGGCGCAUUGAGUAUCAUUCCUUAGAUAGGUCCAUUAACAGAUAAAUCCAACAUUAGCAAAAACAUUGACUACUUCCCUAAACAUAACGAGAGAAUGUUAAAGAUGAUUUCACCUCAGGGCUAUCCGAAAGCUCGGAAACCGCUUCGAUGAAGGGCUUCCCAAACCCGGUGGAAUUAUCAAUCCAAGCCACGUUGAGCACAAACAACACAGUCCCGAGAAUCGCAGUGAAAUAAAGCCAGGAAGACAGCUUCUGCUUCGACAGCAGAAACUCCGCCGAGUCCUCGCCCACAACCGCCUGCUCCUCCUCCUUAUCAGCAUCUCUGAUGGUCGUGUAGGCUCGAAACCUCCUCAAGAGUAGAAUCUGAUUGGAAGCUGUGUUGGGUCUCAGCAACGCUGAACGAGUGAGGGUCACUUUAGGGAGUUUUUGGGAAGUGGGAAAUGAGGAGAAGAGGUGUUUGGUAUUUGGGUUUUGGGUUUGGCGAGGGAGGGAAGAGAAGAGGGUUGAGAGGACAAGGGUGGAGGAGGAGGAAGCCAUUGUUGAGGAAAUGAAGGAACCCAAUAGGUAUAUGGUUGGGGGGGAGUAAGAAUGAUACAUGCAACAAGUGUGAAAGAGGGUUUUGAGGAGUAUCUGAAACAAGUUAUGCUCUCUGCUGGAGGGUUUGGACUCUACUUCGGAGAUGAUGGAGAGAGCACUUGUUUCAGGGAGUAUAGGAUAAUUUUCUCUGUUUGAACGGCUGCGUCCAAAUUCACUGACGUGGGCCAAAUAAGUCUCGACACUUGUUUUCUUUGUUUUUUGUUUUUUUGAAUAAAGGGCAGCGGCUGCGAAGUCUUGAUUAAUGAAACUACUGAAUACAACGGUUGCCAAGUCUUAAUUAAUAAAACUACUGAAUACAAGAGGAAUAUUAAGCCUAAACACCUGAUUACAAAAGCAUGAAAUACUAUCAGAAAUCUCUACACUAGAUAUGUACUCAGACAUGCACCAAUUAGCAAAGAAUGACCAUUUCAUUUGUUUUUACAUUACAGUGACAUAAUGGAAAGAUCGAUUGACAUGUAACCCGCUACAUAUCUUGAUGUCUAAUAUACCAGCUCUCCAAUUAUGUUGCCGUCGGAAGAUAGAUCCGACGACAUUCAGCUUCACCCUACCACUAGGCAGCAACGACCAUUUGACGAAGCAAGGAACUUGCUGCCUACCUAGAGCAAACAAGGCACUAGGGCACACACAGACACGAAUCCUGACUUGCACUACACAACUAGUGUAGGGACUUAUAGCUCGCAAAAAGUGUGAUCAAACUAAAAAAACAAUAAAUAAUUAAAAACUAAUAAAUUAGCAAAACAUAAAAUAAGAAACAUAUGAGCCCAAAUUGGGUCUAAACCAAGGGCCCAAUCCCUAUUUUUAACCCUAGAAAGAAGGAGAUCGCCUGCUGCCGUUAGAGUUUGGUUCGUCCUUACCAUUGCCACCAGCGCUGGAAUCCAUCAAGUGCCGCCCAUCCGUCAGCAUCCAUGGUCCUCCACAAUUGCGCAACCAUGAAAGUUCACAAACGCUAUCGAACAACAUCUUUUCCUGAUAAUGUUUAAUAAUCCCGAUCCAAAUCAAAGCCGUUUGUGCGAAGUUGCGCCAUGUAGCCAUCGGCACAACACUCCCAAGCAGCGUCUGAACCUGCACCACGAAUCCACCCCACCACCUAGGCCAACAACAAACAUCCCACACCCCGAAAGCCGCUGCUCUCUUCUCUUUCUUCACCACAAAACCCUCCAUUGAGAAGCUCCUCGAUCUCGGCUGUGACAACGAUCAGGACACGGCUUCACUCUAGACCUGCACGGGGCCAACAAUGGCCUGUUCGACGACGGCGACAGGGCACGCUACCGGACUAGCAGAAAACCUGUCACAUCCCGACCCUUAUAUUUUUACCUUAUUUAUUAGCGUGAUUAUAAUAAGAAUUUUACCGUCUCCGUCAUUGAGUAAAUAGUUUAAUUGGUCCCUAGAGGGGUUUCGGGGACGAUUAUGUGCGGAGGAUUAUUCGUAUGAGGAAAAUACGACGACGGUAAAAAUAGUAAAUUUUAGCUAGUAAAAGGUAAUUUUUAUUCGGGUAUUAUUUUUCGGGGUGUUNNNNNNNNNNNNNNNNNNNNNNNNNNNNNNNNNNNNNNNNNNNNNNNNNNNNNNNNNNNNNNNNNNNNNNNNNNNNNNNNNNNNNNNNNNNNNNNNNNNNNNNNNNNNNNNNNNNNNNNNNNNNNNNNNNNNNNNNNNNNNNNNNNNNNNNNNNNNNNNNNNNNNNNNNNNNNNNNNNNNNNNNNNNNNNNNNNNNNNNNNNNNNNNNNNNNNNNNNNNNNNNNNNNNNNNNNNNNNNNNNNNNNNNNNNNNNNNNNNNNNNNNNNNNNNNNNNNNNNNNNNNNNNNNNNNNNNNNNNNNNNNNNNNNNNNNNNNNNNNNNNNNNNNNNNNNNNNNNNNNNNNNNNNNNNNNNNNNNNNNNNNNNNNNNNNNNNNNNNNNNNNNNNNNNNNNNNNNNNNNNNNNNNNNNNNNNNNNNNNNNNNNNNNNNNNNNNNNNNNNNNNNNNNNNNNNNNNNNNNNNNNNNNNNNNNNNNNNNNNNNNNNNNNNNNNNNNNNNNNNNNNNNNNNNNNNNNNNNNNNNNNNNNNNNNNNNNNNNNNNNNNNNNNNNNNNNNNNNNNNNNNNNNNNNNNNNNNNNNNNNNNNNNNNNNNNNNNNNNNNNNNNNNNNNNNNNNNNNNNNNNNNNNNNNNNNNNNNNNNNNNNNNNNNNNNNNNNNNNNNNNNNNNNNNNNNNNNNNNNNNNNNNNNNNNNNNNNNNNNNNNNNNNNNNNNNNNNNNNNNNNNNNNNNNNNNNNNNNNNNNNNNNNNNNNNNNNNNNNNNNNNNNNNNNNNNNNNNNNNNNNNNNNNNNNNNNNNNNNNNNNNNNNNNNNNNNNNNNNNNNNNNNNNNNNNNNNNNNNNNNNNNNNNNNNNNNNNNNNNNNNNNNNNNNNNNNNNNNNNNNNNNNNNNNNNNNNNNNNNNNNNNNNNNNNNNNNNNNNNNNNNNNNNNNNNNNNNNNNNNNNNNNNNNNNNNNNNNNNNNNNNNNNNNNNNNNNNNNNNNNNNNNNNNNNNNNNNNNNNNNNNNNNNNNNNNNNNNNNNNNNNNNNNNNNNNNNNNNNNNNNNNNNNNNNNNNNNNNNNNNNNNNNNNNNNNNNNNNNNNNNNNNNNNNNNNNNNNNNNNNNNNNNNNNNNNNNNNNNNNNNNNNNNNNNNNNNNNNNNNNNNNNNNNNNNNNNNNNNNNNNNNNNNNNNNNNNNNNNNNNNNNNNNNNNNNNNNNNNNNNNNNNNNNNNNNNNNNNNNNNNNNNNNNNNNNNNNNNNNNNNNNNNNNNNNNNNNNNNNNNNNNNNNNNNNNNNNNNNNNNNNNNNNNNNNNNNNNNNNNNNNNNNNNNNNNNNNNNNNNNNNNNNNNNNNNNNNNNNNNNNNNNNNNNNNNNNNNNNNNNNNNNNNNNNNNNNNNNNNNNNNNNNNNNNNNNNNNNNNNNNNNNNNNNNNNNNNNNNNNNNNNNNNNNNNNNNNNNNNNNNNNNNNNNNNNNNNNNNNNNNNNNNNNNNNNNNNNNNNNNNNNNNNNNNNNNNNNNNNNNNNNNNNNNNNNNNNNNNNNNNNNNNNNNNNNNNNNNNNNNNNNNNNNNNNNNNNNNNNNNNNNNNNNNNNNNNNNNNNNNNNNNNNNNNNNNNNNNNNNNNNNNNNNNNNNNNNNNNNNNNNNNNNNNNNNNNNNNNNNNNNNNNNNNNNNNNNNNNNNNNNNNNNNNNNNNNNNNNNNNNNNNNNNNNNNNNNNNNNNNNNNNNNNNNNNNNNNNNNNNNNNNNNNNNNNNNNNNNNNNNNNNNNNNNNNNNNNNNNNNNNNNNNNNNNNNNNNNNNNNNNNNNNNNNNNNNNNNNNNNNNNNNNNNNNNNNNNNNNNNNNNNNNNNNNNNNNNNNNNNNNNNNNNNNNNNNNNNNNNNNNNNNNNNNNNNNNNNNNNNNNNNNNNNNNNNNNNNNNNNNNNNNNNNNNNNNNNNNNNNNNNNNNNNNNNNNNNNNNNNNNNNNNNNNNNNNNNNNNNNNNNNNNNNNNNNNNNNNNNNNNNNNNNNNNNNNNNNNNNNNNNNNNNNNNNNNNNNNNNNNNNNNNNNNNNNNNNNNNNNNNNNNNNNNNNNNNNNNNNNNNNNNNNNNNNNNNNNNNNNNNNNNNNNNNNNNNNNNNNNNNNNNNNNNNNNNNNNNNNNNNNNNNNNNNNNNNNNNNNNNNNNNNNNNNNNNNNNNNNNNNNNNNNNNNNNNNNNNNNNNNNNNNNNNNNNNNNNNNNNNNNNNNNNNNNNNNNNNNNNNNNNNNNNNNNNNNNNNNNNNNNNNNNNNNNNNNNNNNNNNNNNNNNNNNNNNNNNNNNNNNNNNNNNNNNNNNNNNNNNNNNNNNNNNNNNNNNNNNNNNNNNNNNNNNNNNNNNNNNNNNNNNNNNNNNNNNNNNNNNNNNNNNNNNNNNNNNNNNNNNNNNNNNNNNNNNNNNNNNNNNNNNNNNNNNNNNNNNNNNNNNNNNNNNNNNNNNNNNNNNNNNNNNNNNNNNNNNNNNNNNNNNNNNNNNNNNNNNNNNNNNNNNNNNNNNNNNNNNNNNNNNNNNNNNNNNNNNNNNNNNNNNNNNNNNNNNNNNNNNNNNNNNNNNNNNNNNNNNNNNNNNNNNNNNNNNNNNNNNNNNNNNNNNNNNNNNNNNNNNNNNNNNNNNNNNNNNNNNNNNNNNNNNNNNNNNNNNNNNNNNNNNNNNNNNNNNNNNNNNNNNNNNNNNNNNNNNNNNNNNNNNNNNNNNNNNNNNNNNNNNNNNNNNNNNNNNNNNNNNNNNNNNNNNNNNNNNNNNNNNNNNNNNNNNNNNNNNNNNNNNNNNNNNNNNNNNNNNNNNNNNNNNNNNNNNNNNNNNNNNNNNNNNNNNNNNNNNNNNNNNNNNNNNNNNNNNNNNNNNNNNNNNNNNNNNNNNNNNNNNNNNNNNNNNNNNNNNNNNNNNNNNNNNNNNNNNNNNNNNNNNNNNNNNNNNNNNNNNNNNNNNNNNNNNNNNNNNNNNNNNNNNNNNNNNNNNNNNNNNNNNNNNNNNNNNNNNNNNNNNNNNNNNNNNNNNNNNNNNNNNNNNNNNNNNNNNNNNNNNNNNNNNNNNNNNNNNNNNNNNNNNNNNNNNNNNNNNNNNNNNNNNNNNNNNNNNNNNNNNNNNNNNNNNNNNNNNNNNNNNNNNNNNNNNNNNNNNNNNNNNNNNNNNNNNNNNNNNNNNNNNNNNNNNNNNNNNNNNNNNNNNNNNNNNNNNNNNNNNNNNNNNNNNNNNNNNNNNNNNNNNNNNNNNNNNNNNNNNNNNNNNNNNNNNNNNNNNNNNNNNNNNNNNNNNNNNNNNNNNNNNNNNNNNNNNNNNNNNNNNNNNNNNNNNNNNNNNNNNNNNNNNNNNNNNNNNNNNNNNNNNNNNNNNNNNNNNNNNNNNNNNNNNNNNNNNNNNNNNNNNNNNNNNNNNNNNNNNNNNNNNNNNNNNNNNNNNNNNNNNNNNNNNNNNNNNNNNNNNNNNNNNNNNNNNNNNNNNNNNNNNNNNNNNNNNNNNNNNNNNNNNNNNNNNNNNNNNNNNNNNNNNNNNNNNNNNNNNNNNNNNNNNNNNNNNNNNNNNNNNNNNNNNNNNNNNNNNNNNNNNNNNNNNNNNNNNNNNNNNNNNNNNNNNNNNNNNNNNNNNNNNNNNNNNNNNNNNNNNNNNNNNNNNNNNNNNNNNNNNNNNNNNNNNNNNNNNNNNNNNNNNNNNNNNNNNNNNNNNNNNNNNNNNNNNNNNNNNNNNNNNNNNNNNNNNNNNNNNNNNNNNNNNNNNNNNNNNNNNNNNNNNNNNNNNNNNNNNNNNNNNNNNNNNNNNNNNNNNNNNNNNNNNNNNNNNNNNNNNNNNNNNNNNNNNNNNNNNNNNNNNNNNNNNNNNNNNNNNNNNNNNNNNNNNNNNNNNNNNNNNNNNNNNNNNNNNNNNNNNNNNNNNNNNNNNNNNNNNNNNNNNNNNNNNNNNNNNNNNNNNNNNNNNNNNNNNNNNNNNNNNNNNNNNNNNNNNNNNNNNNNNNNNNNNNNNNNNNNNNNNNNNNNNNNNNNNNNNNNNNNNNNNNNNNNNNNNNNNNNNNNNNNNNNNNNNNNNNNNNNNNNNNNNNNNNNNNNNNNNNNNNNNNNNNNNNNNNNNNNNNNNNNNNNNNNNNNNNNNNNNNNNNNNNNNNNNNNNNNNNNNNNNNNNNNNNNNNNNNNNNNNNNNNNNNNNNNNNNNNNNNNNNNNNNNNNNNNNNNNNNNNNNNNNNNNNNNNNNNNNNNNNNNNNNNNNNNNNNNNNNNNNNNNNNNNNNNNNNNNNNNNNNNNNNNNNNNNNNNNNNNNNNNNNNNNNNNNNNNNNNNNNNNNNNNNNNNNNNNNNNNNNNNNNNNNNNNNNNNNNNNNNNNNNNNNNNNNNNNNNNNNNNNNNNNNNNNNNNNNNNNNNNNNNNNNNNNNNNNNNNNNNNNNNNNNNNNNNNNNNNNNNNNNNNNNNNNNNNNNNNNNNNNNNNNNNNNNNNNNNNNNNNNNNNNNNNNNNNNNNNNNNNNNNNNNNNNNNNNNNNNNNNNNNNNNNNNNNNNNNNNNNNNNNNNNNNNNNNNNNNNNNNNNNNNNNNNNNNNNNNNNNNNNNNNNNNNNNNNNNNNNNNNNNNNNNNNNNNNNNNNNNNNNNNNNNNNNNNNNNNNNNNNNNNNNNNNNNNNNNNNNNNNNNNNNNNNNNNNNNNNNNNNNNNNNNNNNNNNNNNNNNNNNNNNNNNNNNNNNNNNNNNNNNNNNNNNNNNNNNNNNNNNNNNNNNNNNNNNNNNNNNNNNNNNNNNNNNNNNNNNNNNNNNNNNNNNNNNNNNNNNNNNNNNNNNNNNNNNNNNNNNNNNNNNNNNNNNNNNNNNNNNNNNNNNNNNNNNNNNNNNNNNNNNNNNNNNNNNNNNNNNNNNNNNNNNNNNNNNNNNNNNNNNNNNNNNNNNNNNNNNNNNNNNNNNNNNNNNNNNNNNNNNNNNNNNNNNNNNNNNNNNNNNNNNNNNNNNNNNNNNNNNNNNNNNNNNNNNNNNNNNNNNNNNNNNNNNNNNNNNNNNNNNNNNNNNNNNNNNNNNNNNNNNNNNNNNNNNNNNNNNNNNNNNNNNNNNNNNNNNNNNNNNNNNNNNNNNNNNNNNNNNNNNNNNNNNNNNNNNNNNNNNNNNNNNNNNNNNNNNNNNNNNNNNNNNNNNNNNNNNNNNNNNNNNNNNNNNNNNNNNNNNNNNNNNNNNNNNNNNNNNNNNNNNNNNNNNNNNNNNNNNNNNNNNNNNNNNNNNNNNNNNNNNNNNNNNNNNNNNNNNNNNNNNNNNNNNNNNNNNNNNNNNNNNNNNNNNNNNNNNNNNNNNNNNNNNNNNNNNNNNNNNNNNNNNNNNNNNNNNNNNNNNNNNNNNNNNNNNNNNNNNNNNNNNNNNNNNNNNNNNNNNNNNNNNNNNNNNNNNNNNNNNNNNNNNNNNNNNNNNNNNNNNNNNNNNNNNNNNNNNNNNNNNNNNNNNNNNNNNNNNNNNNNNNNNNNNNNNNNNNNNNNNNNNNNNNNNNNNNNNNNNNNNNNNNNNNNNNNNNNNNNNNNNNNNNNNNNNNNNNNNNNNNNNNNNNNNNNNNNNNNNNNNNNNNNNNNNNNNNNNNNNNNNNNNNNNNNNNNNNNNNNNNNNNNNNNNNNNNNNNNNNNNNNNNNNNNNNNNNNNNNNNNNNNNNNNNNNNNNNNNNNNNNNNNNNNNNNNNNNNNNNNNNNNNNNNNNNNNNNNNNNNNNNNNNNNNNNNNNNNNNNNNNNNNNNNNNNNNNNNNNNNNNNNNNNNNNNNNNNNNNNNNNNNNNNNNNNNNNNNNNNNNNNNNNNNNNNNNNNNNNNNNNNNNNNNNNNNNNNNNNNNNNNNNNNNNNNNNNNNNNNNNNNNNNNNNNNNNNNNNNNNNNNNNNNNNNNNNNNNNNNNNNNNNNNNNNNNNNNNNNNNNNNNNNNNNNNNNNNNNNNNNNNNNNNNNNNNNNNNNNNNNNNNNNNNNNNNNNNNNNNNNNNNNNNNNNNNNNNNNNNNNNNNNNNNNNNNNNNNNNNNNNNNNNNNNNNNNNNNNNNNNNNNNNNNNNNNNNNNNNNNNNNNNNNNNNNNNNNNNNNNNNNNNNNNNNNNNNNNNNNNNNNNNNNNNNNNNNNNNNNNNNNNNNNNNNNNNNNNNNNNNNNNNNNNNNNNNNNNNNNNNNNNNNNNNNNNNNNNNNNNNNNNNNNNNNNNNNNNNNNNNNNNNNNNNNNNNNNNNNNNNNNNNNNNNNNNNNNNNNNNNNNNNNNNNNNNNNNNNNNNNNNNNNNNNNNNNNNNNNNNNNNNNNNNNNNNNNNNNNNNNNNNNNNNNNNNNNNNNNNNNNNNNNNNNNNNNNNNNNNNNNNNNNNNNNNNNNNNNNNNNNNNNNNNNNNNNNNNNNNNNNNNNNNNNNNNNNNNNNNNNNNNNNNNNNNNNNNNNNNNNNNNNNNNNNNNNNNNNNNNNNNNNNNNNNNNNNNNNNNNNNNNNNNNNNNNNNNNNNNNNNNNNNNNNNNNNNNNNNNNNNNNNNNNNNNNNNNNNNNNNNNNNNNNNNNNNNNNNNNNNNNNNNNNNNNNNNNNNNNNNNNNNNNNNNNNNNNNNNNNNNNNNNNNNNNNNNNNNNNNNNNNNNNNNNNNNNNNNNNNNNNNNNNNNNNNNNNNNNNNNNNNNNNNNNNNNNNNNNNNNNNNNNNNNNNNNNNNNNNNNNNNNNNNNNNNNNNNNNNNNNNNNNNNNNNNNNNNNNNNNNNNNNNNNNNNNNNNNNNNNNNNNNNNNNNNNNNNNNNNNNNNNNNNNNNNNNNNNNNNNNNNNNNNNNNNNNNNNNNNNNNNNNNNNNNNNNNNNNNNNNNNNNNNNNNNNNNNNNNNNNNNNNNNNNNNNNNNNNNNNNNNNNNNNNNNNNNNNNNNNNNNNNNNNNNNNNNNNNNNNNNNNNNNNNNNNNNNNNNNNNNNNNNNNNNNNNNNNNNNNNNNNNNNNNNNNNNNNNNNNNNNNNNNNNNNNNNNNNNNNNNNNNNNNNNNNNNNNNNNNNNNNNNNNNNNNNNNNNNNNNNNNNNNNNNNNNNNNNNNNNNNNNNNNNNNNNNNNNNNNNNNNNNNNNNNNNNNNNNNNNNNNNNNNNNNNNNNNNNNNNNNNNNNNNNNNNNNNNNNNNNNNNNNNNNNNNNNNNNNNNNNNNNNNNNNNNNNNNNNNNNNNNNNNNNNNNNNNNNNNNNNNNNNNNNNNNNNNNNNNNNNNNNNNNNNNNNNNNNNNNNNNNNNNNNNNNNNNNNNNNNNNNNNNNNNNNNNNNNNNNNNNNNNNNNNNNNNNNNNNNNNNNNNNNNNNNNNNNNNNNNNNNNNNNNNNNNNNNNNNNNNNNNNNNNNNNNNNNNNNNNNNNNNNNNNNNNNNNNNNNNNNNNNNNNNNNNNNNNNNNNNNNNNNNNNNNNNNNNNNNNNNNNNNNNNNNNNNNNNNNNNNNNNNNNNNNNNNNNNNNNNNNNNNNNNNNNNNNNNNNNNNNNNNNNNNNNNNNNNNNNNNNNNNNNNNNNNNNNNNNNNNNNNNNNNNNNNNNNNNNNNNNNNNNNNNNNNNNNNNNNNNNNNNNNNNNNNNNNNNNNNNNNNNNNNNNNNNNNNNNNNNNNNNNNNNNNNNNNNNNNNNNNNNNNNNNNNNNNNNNNNNNNNNNNNNNNNNNNNNNNNNNNNNNNNNNNNNNNNNNNNNNNNNNNNNNNNNNNNNNNNNNNNNNNNNNNNNNNNNNNNNNNNNNNNNNNNNNNNNNNNNNNNNNNNNNNNNNNNNNNNNNNNNNNNNNNNNNNNNNNNNNNNNNNNNNNNNNNNNNNNNNNNNNNNNNNNNNNNNNNNNNNNNNNNNNNNNNNNNNNNNNNNNNNNNNNNNNNNNNNNNNNNNNNNNNNNNNNNNNNNNNNNNNNNNNNNNNNNNNNNNNNNNNNNNNNNNNNNNNNNNNNNNNNNNNNNNNNNNNNNNNNNNNNNNNNNNNNNNNNNNNNNNNNNNNNNNNNNNNNNNNNNNNNNNNNNNNNNNNNNNNNNNNNNNNNNNNNNNNNNNNNNNNNNNNNNNNNNNNNNNNNNNNNNNNNNNNNNNNNNNNNNNNNNNNNNNNNNNNNNNNNNNNNNNNNNNNNNNNNNNNNNNNNNNNNNNNNNNNNNNNNNNNNNNNNNNNNNNNNNNNNNNNNNNNNNNNNNNNNNNNNNCUGCAUUCGAUUUUCCUUAGAAUUAAUUUGGGGAAACAUUAAAUAUUUUUAUUUAUUAUUUUAUUUUUGUCCACUCACUCUAACGUUAUUAAAUGUUUCCCCUGGGCCCUUCGUUUAAAUUGCCCAGUCUGCAGAGUUCGGGUUGGAUCUAGUAGGAGACGAGGCAUAGUCACCCGCAUUUCUGCCAGUUUUCGCCAGUAGGUUACCUGUUCAACCUACUCGUAUUUUCUUGCUUCCGCUUGUGUUUAGUAGCUCUGAAUACUUUAGAAUUUUUGUAUAUUAUGUGAUGUUCAGAAGUGUAAUAUGAAAUUUUCGAGUUAGGGUUGUCCAUCUGCAAGGGAGAUUUGCUUAAUCUUUUCAGUAAAUUUUCCUUGGAGGUGGUCCCCGCACGACUUACUUUGGGUUUCAGGGUGAAAUUCGGGGUGGGUCGUGUCAAAACCUCUUACUUCGCUCUCUAGGAUUUUUUUCCUAGUCUUUGUUCUAUUCAUGUCUCGACACUUGUUAUUUGGAGUAUCAAAUUUGAUAGAUGCAUAAUAUGCUACGUUUAUAAUGUAUUUCCUACCUUAUUUGGCUAUGUUGUUUCUUUAAUAAUACCAUUUCUGACACGUUUUGUGUUUAUAGAGUCACGAAGAGUAAUAAUUGAGAAAAGAAGGGUAAAACACAAAAAAUGAGAAGAAUCCUAAUUAAAGUAUGAUUCCCAGUCCAACUAGGAGGGAGAGAAAUAAUGACUCAUUGUCGUGCACACAAAUGAGAGAAACAAGGACUUAGAGUUGGAUAUGGAUUUCCUUAUGUGAGUUGUCAAGUAAAUAAGGGAGUUAUAUAUGUUUAUCUUAAUUCCUAUUGGUUCAAACACAAUGUUUUUCCUUGCUUGUAGGAGACUUGGCGUGCACAUCAGAAGAAAGGAAGGAGAGACGGAUUACAAAUCUCCCUUUGAGAGAAUUUGACGCAACAAAGAAGGAGAAGCAUGUAAUACCCCGUACCUAAAAGGUUACUGUUCGGGGUUAUGAGUUAUCGCGGAUUUUUCUUUAUUCGCGCUCGGAGAUUUAAAUAAUGAUUGCUCGAGUUUGUUUUCGAGUUUUUCUGAAAACGGUAAAUAGUGGAUUUAAAACUCCGAAGUCGUGGUACACGUUUAUACGAGCUCCACAGGUAUGCCCGGAUUAUUUUCCGGAGCGACGAGCUAUGUUCUUUGAAUUUAUGAAGUCUACAGUAAAUCUUUAAUUAUUGUUUCUUGUAACCGUUUUACCGUAAAAGACCCAAAAAGUUGACUUUUUGUUAAGUCAAUAAUUUGGGAAAACUUCCUUCAUGGAAGUCGUAGAGGACGUUAAUACGAGUUCGUGGACACAUGGCACGCUCAAAUCGGAGUUCGUAUGAGAAAGUUAUGGUCUAAAAAUGGAAAGUUACUAUUUCGAUAAAGGGUAUAAAAAGAGAGAGAGAGAGAGAGGUUCUAGAGGGGUCGGUUAAAACCGACCUAAGCAACAAAUUAAAAGAAAAGGAAGGUUCGAGAGAGAGGGGAGGGAGGAGAAAAAUCAGUUCAGACCCAGACCGGGUCAUUCUCGACCCGAACAGAGUCAGCGGGUCAACCCGACUGAUUCUCCGUUUUCCGGCGAUGGCGAGGAGAAAGAAUGGUAGCGGCAGCUUCCUCUCGUUCUCGUGGUCAUGUCCAUGCCCUUGAUUUUUAAAUAAGAAGUCUGAAGUGAGAGAUUCGAAGUGGAGAAGGAGAGGCUGGGUUUGCUGGCGAGUCUCCGAUUCCGGCAGCGUCGACGCCUCUCACUGGUAUGGAUAGCUUCAUCUCGAUCUCAGGAACCUUUCCAUGUUCCUCGUUUUCGAAGAGAAGCUCGGAGGAGGGAGAAUCGAAUAGAAGAAGUUCUGGGAUUUUUCCGGCGAGGGUUCGAUGUUUUCUGGCGACCUCCGAGUUCGACUCAGGUAUCAAAGGUGGUCUAUUCUUCGAGCUCUACCUGUUUGUAUAAUUGAAAUUGAGAUUGGUUGGGAUUUGAAGAAGUUGGGUUUUGGCAAUGGAGGACCGCCGUGUGUGCUACUGUGCACUACGGCGUUGAUGAUGUUUUGGAUUAGCUAUCUUUGAUAUUGAUAGAGGCUUUGGAAUAUAAUUUCGUGGUUGGUUGUAAUUGAAUUUGAGAUUGGAUGAAGUGGGUGUUGGGGCAGUGUUGUUCGGUGACGGAAGUCGUGAUUGAUAGUUCUGGGUUUGGGUUAUGUUUUGAUUGAAAUUGCAGGACAUGAUGUUGGUGUUGUCUAUGCAUGAAGUACAGAAAUGGAGGAGUAGGGUAUUGGAAGGUUAAGCUCAACAGUUGGGUUGUGGAGGAAGUUUGAAAUUGCUGUACUGGAUUCAUUUAUUUUGUUCCUUGUUAAUUUGGUUAAGUUGUUGGUCAACAAGAAGAAGAUGGGGUUGUGAUGGUGAGUUCAUUAUAUUGAUGAAAGCAUGGAGUUAAGGAUUAUGUGAAAUUAGGAAGGGAGUAUUCGGUGUUCACAAUGGUGGUGGUAGUGAUUAUACUUAAAUUUGGAUUUAGUAUAAUGUUAGGAAAGUUGAUGAGUGGUGGUUAUGGGUGUCUAUAGUAAAAUCAGAGAUAGGUUAGUAAUUGAAGUGUUGAUAUGAGCAAGUCUAAAGGUGAAUUGGAAUGUGACGAUGAAUUUAAUAUGAGCGAGCAUGAUAUAUUAGGAAACCGUCGGAGAAAGUGAGAGGAAGUGUGGGAUUGAGAACUUGGGUGUCCUUAUCAAUUUGAGGACUUACAUCCACACAAAUUCCAGAUUCGAUAAAGUUGUUAUUGAAGGUGGAGAAUUAGUAUAAAAUGAUGAACUACGAGUGGCUUGAUCCCUUUAAAAGGGUACGUAGGCAGACCGAUCAAGUUUUGGGUGCAGCCGCAAAUUAACAAAAUAAAUUUAGGUUCCAAACACAACAAACAUUUUGUUUGUUUUGAGAUCCUACCUCCGUUUCGAUUUAGGUUUUCCUUAGUUACUUUAUUCGUAUAUUCUUCUAACACCUGGGUCAGGGUGUUACAUAGCAACCUUGCCAUACAAGACCCUUGGAGACUAAGGAAUGUAUCCGGACAUGAUUUAAGCUAUAUUAGAAGCAUUGUUACACAAGAAAUUCUAGAGAGUUACAUGGAGAUAAACAUCAGACUUUUGUGCAAUUAAUGAAGACCGUUGGAUCAAGAUUGAAUCAAGGGCCAGGAGCAAUUGAAGGAUAAGGCGUUACCUCUAUAAAUAGGGAGCAAUAUGUAAUUUUUCAAUCAUAUCUUUUCACACCAAAAUCAGUAAACAACGUUAGCCUUCGUUCUCCUUUUGACGCUCCUCUCCAGUCAAGAAACAAUCUUAGCCGACAUCUUUGUAGGACUUCUCCAAAAAGUCACCGAGAAGCAUCAAGCAUGAUUGAUCAUUUGAACAUCUUAAACUUCUUGAAGAAGUAUAAAGUGUAACUCAUGACUUGUUUAUUUUGUUUUGUUGAUAGUCUUUUUUUAAUUUAUUUAUAUUUUUUUAUGGAUUUUAAAGUUGGAAUUGGUUGGUUGUUAAAAACAUGAAUAUGUUAAUUUUCAGAAUAAAUUCAAUCAUGUUUCGACUUGUUUGUGAUAACAUAUGAUCAGUUUUAUGUCUUGUGAUGUCAUUCGAUACAUAGUUAUGUUUGAAUAAAAACUCUAGUUAUGCAGGUUAGUGUUGUUAGGUUUCUUAAUUUAAUUCACCUAAUAGUCUUAGUCAGAAAUCCAAGUAGUAAAGGUUAUGUUAUAAUAGCCGAGACUAUGUGUUACAUGUUAAACAAUUUUCGUAAACUUGUUUUGCAUGUUCAAAUUCAGGACUUUAUGACACUUAAUGAUUCAUGUUUAGUGUAGACGGGUGCUCUUUAAUAUUGAUCACAACCUUUACAUGAAAUAUCUUAGGUUCUAUCUUAAGAGAUAAAGUAAGUAUAGUUAAAGGGAUGCGAUGACCUAUUUAGGCUUGCAUUUCAAAUUUGUUUUUGACUUGAAGCAUGUUGUUGUGUGUUUGAUUGUUUCUGAAAUUGCUGGUUGAUGAGUGUCGAAGAUGAUCACUUUUAUAUAUUUUAUGUUUUGCUUUACUUUUUAUUAGGAAUUUGGAACAAACAAACAAACCCCCCUCCCCCCAACCUCUUGUAUCACGUGUAUAUUUGUAAAUAAAUUCUUGUGAAUAAUUGUAUAUUGAUAAUUACUAACUAUUUUGACCAUUGUUCGCACGAGAGCCUUUAGUACCCGGUUAGAAUGAUACCCCGCUUAUUCUAUAUUAUAAUGUUAGGUUUUUAAUUGAGAAUGCCCCAGUUUCAGAUGCCUAUCAGAGCAUAUGCAGCGGUCUUCUUCCAUCAUGUCAAAAAACAUGAUAUCUGCUAAACUGAUGGUAAGAAACAAUGCAGUGGGGGAAAAUUUGAACCAGAUGCAUGGGUGGGACCCAAGUCCCACCAUCAGAAAAUCAGAGAGGCAAGCAACAUUUGUAUGCCGGUGUGAUGGCUAUCAAUUGGCGGGACCCACGUACGUGGGCUCCUGCCAACAGCUUCGUUUUUUUUUUUGUUUUUUUUUUUUUUUAAUCUGGCGCGUCUAAUACACGCGCCUUUAAAAAAAAAUUAAAAAAAAGCCAGACAGCUGCAGAGCCGUUGGCCAUUCAUGGGUUGCCAGGUGGCACCCUGUCUGGUGCAACGGCUCUUUCAGCUGCCCAAUGGUAAAGUUUUUUUGUUUUUUUCUUACCCCGAAAAUUGUAAAAAAACCCCAAAAUUUUUUUCCUAUAAAUACCUCAUUCUUUUCUUUACAAUUUGCACCACUUUUCUCUUAUCUCCUCUCAUCUCCUUCCAUCUUCCCUCACAAUUCUUUUUAGUGUUCUUUGAAAAUGGGUUCUAGUUGGCUUCUCUCCGAAGAGUUACAAUUGUGUGUUUCUUGGGUACGACAAUCCACUUGCAACAUCACCGGCCGAUAUCAAAACAAAAACAAUUUGUGGAAGAAAGUUCAUGACGAUUACGUCAAAAAUUGGUGUGUCGAUCCCGAAAAUCCUCUAGCCGAGCCUCGUACGAAAGUUGCGCUCGAAUCACAUUUUCCGCGCUUGAAGAAAUUGCUCAAGAAGUGGCAUACAUGUCUAUACAAAUCAAGAAACCGUGCGGCUAGCGGGACGAAUUUGGUAGAUGAGGUAUGCCUAACCGUUUGUCUUCAUGGAUUAAAUUUUUCCAUUAAUAUAUUUUUUGCUGUUUUGUCAUUUUUUCUUCAUGUAAUUUUUUUGUUAUUUCCAUUAACAUAGAUUAAAGUUUGUAAUUUUUUGUUGUUUAGGAAACUCAAGCUCAAUCAUUAUAUUUCAAAGAUGUUAGCAAGAAAUUUGACAAGAAAGAAUGUUAUGAAGCGGUGAUAAAUCAUCCUUAUUUCUUGACGGUUGUGAGUACUCCUCCAUUUGAGCGGAAUUUUCCAAUUUCUCCUGAGCUCCAUGACACGGAUGGGCAUGUUGACUUGGAUGAUGAUGAAGGAUUCACAACUCCCGCGUCCAACCAAAAGAGACCUCGUCCCUCAAGUCCGGUUAGGCCUAUGGGAGUAAAGGCGGCCAAGGAAGCAAAGAAGAAGGGAAAAAAAGGUAUGGCGGAGAAAUCAGUAGUCUUUAGCUAUUUUUCAUAAUAUGCAAUGUAAUCAAAAAGCACUUAUGGAGGCUAACAUGCGAAGAGACGAGGAAACCCUUCGGUUGGCUAGGGAGAGCUUAGAACUUGAGAACCGAAAGGAAGCAAGGUUAGCCCGACGUGAUGCUAUGGCAGAGUUGCAAGAAGAAACCAAAAUUAUGACAAUGGAUACAAGCAUCAUGACCCCGAAAAGUGUGAAGUGGCACAAAAAGAGGAAAUAGGAUAUCAUGGCAAAAAUGAAUGAGAGUACUAGUACUAGUGAUGAUUAUUAUGUUCCCCUCUUUGAUGAAGACUAAUAUUGUGUUCUUGUUAUAAUUUCAAUUUUAUGUUCCUCAAUUUCAAGUUAUUUUUAUAUAAAAUAAUUUUAUGUUUUAAUACUAGUAAUUUUAUGUUCCUCAAUUUCAAUACCAAUUAAAAUUACAAUACCAAAUAAAAAUUACAAUACCAAUUAAAAUUACAAUACCAAAUAAAACUCUACAACUUGAUUAUUGUUGGUUGACUUCCAAUGCGCAAUUGUGCUCCACUAAAUCAUUCUGAAGAAUUGUGUGGAUAUAAGCUGACUCGAGGUGGUCAAUACGGUCCCAAAAUGCAUGUUGGUUUCUUCCAUUUCUUUCCACUGGUAAAAAAGGAAUUCGAACCCCCUCAUGAUCUACUGGCCCAUCAUAAACUCUUGCUGCCAGUGGGUUCAAUAUAUCUUCUUCUUCUGGCUCGACAAAUUCUUCUUCUACAAAUUCAUCUUCUACAAUCAUGUUAUGCAAUAUGAUGCAAGUUAUCAUUAUGCUUCUCAGUGUCGAACUCCUGUGCAACCGAGCUCCAUGACGAAGGAUUGCCCAACGGGAUUGCAAGAUGCCGAAACACCUCUCUACAUCUUUACGGUAUGCUUCUUGUUUCUUUGCAAAUAGCUUUUGUGCUUGCGAUUCAGGGUUUGGAUUAGUUUUUACAAAUGUGGAGUACUUAGGAUAAAUUCCGUCAGCAAGAUAAUAAGCAUUGCUAUAUCUCUUACCGUUUGCGUGAAAAGUCACAGCCGGGCUGUUUCCAGCAAUGAGCCCUUCAAAGACCGGUGAUUGGUCGAGCAGGUUAAUAUCAUUUUGAGCUCCUGACACACCAAAAAAAGAGUGCCAUACCCACAUGUCAUGCGAGGCCACCGCCUCUAGAAUAAUAGUGGGACGACCCUUUCGGCCACUGUAAGCCCCAUGCCACUCGGUUGGGCAGUUCUUCCACUCCUAAUGCAUGUAGUCAAUGCUUCCGAUCAUACCUGGAAAUCCCCGCUGAUCAGCCCUAGCAAGAAGCCUUUGGAGGUCAGCCUUUGUUAGAGCCCGGAGAUACUACGGACCAAAAAUACCUACCACCUGUUGGCAAAACUUCUUCAUGCACUCUAGUGUUGUUGAUUCCCCCAUCCUGCGUAUCUCAGCACACUGAUCAGCAGCUGCACCGUACGCCAACAUUCAGAGGGCACCUGUCAUCUUCUGUUGGGGCAGCAACCCUAGUUUUCCAGUGGCGUCUGCUUUUUGAUGCCAAUAAGGGUCGUGGUUACAGAGAGCCGUCAUGAUGCGGUUGAACAGAUGGGUGUACAUUCGGUACCUCAGACGAAAUUCUUCCUCCCUAAAGAUCGGACGCUCGAUGAAGUAAUCUGCCAUGAGACUUGUUCCCCCAGCUACCCUAUGUCUGGGGUGAUUAGGAGAGCGACCAGGAUGCGAACCGCAUCCUUGUGGUUCAUCUGAAGUAUCAAGAUGUACCAUCAUCAUGGUCACGUUAGUCAUCAUGGCAUCCAUCGUCUCAGCGUCCUCUUGACUAUGUUGUUGCCUCUGCUUCAACAAUUUACGAAAAAAAACUCAUCGUAAUGAUGAGGAAAUGUGGCGAAGUAAUUGAAUGAAUGUGUUUUUGAAGAUUUGUAACUGAGUUGUGAAGAUUGUGUGAGUAGAGAGGGUGAUAAAGCUUAUUUAUGGUCAAUUUCAGAUGCCAAGAACUUGAAGUUUAUGUUACGUGUUGAAUCGUCAUUUGUCGAAAAUCCUAUCGAAAAUCCAAUGACAUUAUUUGGCCGACAAACACACACGUGUCACUUUUUGGUUGAUCGGAAAUCCUAUAACAUUAUUUGGGUGAUCACAACAUCUGACAAUGCCACGUGUCGUUAUAUGAUUGAUUAACUAUCAUAUAUGAAAUCCAAAAAAUAAAAGAUUAAAUCGAUGAAUAGUGAUUGCUAAAUUGACGGAGCUGCACCGCUGCAUAAAAACAAGCUCAGAAAAGCAAUUUACAGUGAAUAGUAAUUGAUGGAAGCAAUUUAAUUGAUGGUUUGAUGGUUUGAUGGUUUGAUGGAGUUGAAUGGGUGCAUAUGCCCUCAAUAUCAACCUAGAAAGUUCCUUGUAUAUUGAUAAUUACUAACUCUUUUUACCAUUGUUCGUACGAGAGCUCUUAGUACCCAACUAGAAUGAUACUCCGUUUAUUCUAUACUAUAAUGUUGGGUUUUUAAUUGAGAAUGCCCCGGUUUCGGAUACCUAUCACUAUCAACCUAGAAAGUUCCUCGUAUGGUACCUGAAUAAUAAAUUGCAUUGCAUUUUUUUGUAACUUAACUUUCAAAACACUUUGAUGGUACUUGAGUCAACCUGGUUUACUUAGUGACUUUCACGCUAGGCGCUCCAACAUUCAUUGAAUAAGCGAAGUAUUGUACCAACAAGUCCAUUUAGAUGUUUUGUAACCCAUAUCACUAGCAAUGGUCAAUUGCAUCGACUUUUUGGUACUUACGUCCAUUCUAGACGUUAAAUAGUCUAGAUCACAUGUACUAUAAGGGUAAACUAGUCAUGGCCAAAUCGCAAGAGCGCAUGCCUUCAUCUACCUUAGUCAUCUUCAAAAUGAAAACCAAAAAUAAGUUGCCAAUACACAAGAAUUAAACCUCUGAAUCUCAACAAGCCCCACUAGUUGAAGUUUGGAAGGGAAUCUUGUGAAGAGAUUUCCUCCCAACGACCCCAUUUAGAAUAUCCAUAGUUUCUAAUUCUUUUAAUUCCGCCUAACAGAGAGGAUGCUACCCAUUCAUUCCCUAGGUGAUGGAGAAAAUGUUCGGGUGUUCACAACUCUUUGCCGAAUAUAUAUCUAUCUUAUUCAUCGUCAAAGUGAAAACCAAACUCUAAGUUGUCAAUACACAAAGAUUAAACCUCUGAAUUUCAACAAGCCCCAUUAAUCAAAGUUAGGAAGGAAAUCUUGUGAAGAGAUUUUACUUACAACAACCCCAUUUAGAAGAUAAUAUUUUGGGAGAUAAUUGAAUUAUGUGUUGGAUCUUUUGUUAAGGAAAUAAUCAUCAUUACAACUCACUCAUUUGGAUUGAUCAUUAACCUCCGCCUAUUAUGAUUUUUGAGAUAAGAACAAAACAUGAAAGAAGUUGCAUUCUAGUCAAACCUGAUAAAAGAUUUGAUUGGAAGUGAAGAAGGGAGAUCCUUGUAGAUGGUGAGAUCAAUGAUACUAGAGGAAGAGAGAGCAGCUGUUGGAUUGUUGCAGUUGCUGGUUUAAUUGAUUGAUACCUAGCGUGCUAUUCACAAAAGUGUUAAGGAAAAUGGUGAAAUGGUUGGCCAUGGUGUUAGUUUAGGUACCACUAGAGUAGUUUUGAAAGUCAAGGUACCCAAAAAAUGCAAUAGGCUCAAGUACCAUACAAGGAUUUUUCCUAUUUCAAUAUUCAAACUUACAAAUAACAGUUCCUUCAAAAAUGUAUCUCAUGUUUUAUAAACUUGUCAGCUUGACCCACUAACUUUAGUUAUGAUCAAUAAAUGUGUUAAUACUUGCACAUAAUUAUUGAAUAUUUAUGAACUAAAACUAGGAGGUCUCGUCCGCAACAGACGAAAACCUAUAUAACAAGUUUGAGCAUUUAGAGCAACUCCAACAAUGUAGUUAAAAAAUUUCAUCAAAUUGAAAUUUGAUUGGUUCAUAUUUUGAAAAGGUUUGCUCUAGUAGAGAUGUCAAAUUUGAAUGUUAUUGCAUUGUUUUUCACUUAGUAAGUUUUUGAAACAUUAACCAACUUGCAUAUGUUGUUUUCCUAACAACAUAAUUCAAGUAGUAGUUAUGCGCAAUUAAACUAAUAGUUCUUCAAAAUUCAUGACAUCAAGUAUCCAUAAACAUAUAUAUACAACAACCGUGACCAACUGGUCGGAGCCAAGGUUACCAAGUCAACAAAGAAGAAGUGAAUGUGCGCUUUGCAGGUGUCAGUUGUUGUAAUAAACAUGGAGUGUUUGCUACUUAUAUUUUUCGGUCAGUAUUUUGUUUUCGUCUUGUUCAGUCAUAUGCCUAAGUUUCCUCCAUCUUCAUGUGCCUAUUCGUAGAAUUGGGUGCUCGAUAGACUUGUGUUUUUUCUAGUUCUGUAAUCAGGGCCGGUCCUGAAGAGUAGAAAACCCGAUGCGAAAAAAAAUUAAAAAAUCAUUGGGCCACUUAUAUUAAAUUUCAUUUUUAUUCAAAAAAAAAACUUUCAAAAUUAAUAUACUCUUUAUUGUUAUCGAAAAACCCUCUUAUAUACCUCAGUAGUAAUGUUUUCUCUUAAUAUUUUUAUUAAUAUAUAUAUGGGCGUCAAAUAUGCUCUAAUUUUCAUUUCACUCAGUAAAAGCUGUCUUUUUCAGUUUUUUUUUUUUUUUGGAUUUUCAGUUUUUCUCAACAAUGUCUAAUAAAUUGUAUUGUCCAUACCAAUGACUAAAAUAUUGAAUGUAAAAAAAAAUGAUUAAAAUAUUGAAGAUCAUGAAAAUAUCAAUGAUUUGAAAUUCGGAAUAUCGAGAUCGGUAAAACUUCAACAAAAACUAUAGAAACUUGCAAAAUAAAAGGUAGUUUUUAAUUUUUUAUAUCUGUAAGAAAUGUCUACUAGACUAAUUAUGUAAUGUAUUUUAAAUAAAAAUAUGAAAAAGAUAUUGUUACGCGAUAUGUUAGUACCGUAUAAGGUGAUUAGUAUAGGUCUAGUAUUUCUUGAGAUUUAAGUCGACCAAUAUUUUUAAUCUAUUUCUUGAACCAAAUAAAGUGUUUUACUUUUUUUUUUGUUUUUUUGAGGAAAAGUGUUUUACUAAUGUUCAAACAGUAAGAUAAUAAAUUUGAUUAAUUACUACAAAAUAAGCUAACAAAAGAUAAUAAAUAAACAUGAGACAUUUAAACAAGCUAACGAAAAAUAAUAAAUAAAAAUGAGAUAUCUCUUAAAUAUAAGAAUAUGAAGAUAGCUAACAACUUUGUGUGUAGCAGGGUUGGUUGUGUUUAGCAGGGUUGGUUGUGUUGUUUGGUUUUCUAUUUAAACAGACAAUGUUUGAAUCCCCAAACUCCUAUAGGGCACAAUUUUCUUAUUUUUUUGAAUUUUGAUCAGAUUAUCAAAUUGGACUUCAACUUUGGCACGCCCUCCAUUGGACUUGAGCCCAUUGCGAGCGCACGGGCUGCACUGCACUUGUGUCGGGCCUGUAUGUAAUAUUGUCUAAGAUCUAUUAAUAUGAUGUUUGUCUCUAGGACUCCAACCUCUCGCAUGUCAAUCCUAAGGAGUGUUGGACCUCCCCAUGCUUAGCUUUGAUGUUUUUCAGCUUUUAUUUUCUUGGUUUUGUUUGCUGUUUGUUUCUUUAUUUGUAGUUUUUUGUUGCUUUAGUUUGAUUUUUGUUAUAGUUGUUUCUCUGCUCUUGUGGCUUAAUGAAUAAUGAAUGUUUCAUUUGACCAUAAAAUAAGAGUGCAAGGAAAGAGUACAAAAUGAAAAUACAUGAAGAUGAUAACAAGGAUUCUUUGAAAUCAGGGAGGUUUUAAAGUCAUCUACAUCCUCAAAUAAUCGUAUCUCAUGUAUGUUUUUGCCUGUCCUCUUAGUAUAUGUCAUUCUUUCAUUAAAAAAAACAAAAAGCAUUUCCACCAAUAUGCAUCACCAUUAUCAAGGACGCUGUUACUGUCAAUAAAUAAAACUACUGCUCUAAAUAGAUAUAAACUUGCUAAGGCAGCUAUAUGCUUUUAGUUUUAGCAGUACCCUUAUUUGUAUAUGUUCUUUUUUUUCUUUUUUUUUUUUUUUUUUUUUAUUAAAUGAGAGAAGGAAAUUACAUGGAGAAACCUCUAUAACAACCUAUACUAAAACGAUAAAAAUUAAAAGCAUUAAGUGCGAAGAGCGGGAGCUUGCGAUUCCAAAGAGUUGGAUUUAGGACCUGAUGCCUCAAGCUAGCUAUUGCAUCGGCCAUCCUUAUUUGUAUAUGUUGCCCUCAUUAAGAAAUCAAUGAGUAUGACCAUUAAAGCUUGAGCGUGUGACUAUAUACAUAUAUAUAGUCAACCAUGUACUCAAAGUCAGAGGCGUAGGGAAGGGGGGGUCAGGGGGUUCAGCUAACGUCCCUCAUAUUUUUUAUUAGGUCAUAUUGUUGUCUAAUUUAUUAGUUGAAAUAUGAUGUUAGCACUAUUUUGACCUUUCUAACUAAUUAAAAAAAAGGUUUGACAUAUAAAAUAUUAAUUACAACAAUCAAUUUGGACAAAGGAGUGUUCAACUCCUCAUGUGUGUUUGUUACGUGUGGUUCUCUUUAUUUUUUUAAUAUAGGUUUCUAAUCCGAAUCAAUGAUUGAUUGCAUCUCGCUUUAAUUUUACAAUUAAAACAUAUUCCUAGUCUUUUUUUUGUUGUUGUCUUUUUAAUUAAUAUGUUUUCCUAAUCAAUCAAUGAUUGUGAUUGAUUUCUCAUGCACCUCUAUAUAAACAGUUUUAGUCGCUUCUUUACGUAUAUCUUUUUGUUAUCCUUCAGUAAAUUUUUCUAUGUCGUCGACAACCUUCAUAAUUAAAAACUUGCAAUUAUGGAUGUUUUAGCUUUAUUUGAAAAGUAUCGUAAGAGAAAAACAGUAGAACAUUCGACACCAUUUUAAGCUCCUCCAAAAUUUCAAAAUAUGAGCAAUCGUCAAGGACAAUUAUAAUUACUUUAGGAAUAUUUGUUAUUUUGUUUAAUUUUUGUUUUCGAAGUAUUCUAAUGAUUUAUAAGCUUUUAUAUUAUUAUUCAAUAAAAAUUAUAUUUUUAUUUUGUGUGGCAUUAUUGUUUAAACUUUUGAUCUUUCUACUUGUGGUUUCUGGCUACGCCACUACUCAAAGUAUAACGUAACAAACUAGUGAUACAACAAAUAUCCUUAUACAAAAGUGAUAUAAUAACCAUGCUCAACCAGUAUACAGUGAUAUAACAAACAUUAUAAAUAUGCACCGAUAAAUGAAUUAGAGUAAUGAACAAGAAAUACAAUUGUUGAUACCUGAAUUUCAACAUUGUACGUAAAGCAUUAAAUUGUUUUGAUCUGCUCCAAUAUUUACAUAUAUACAACUACAUAGUUUAUGGUUUGCAAAAAAAUACACCAGUAUAAGAAUCAAAAUUGCAGAAAAACAUUAUUGUUGCACCAAUAAAUGAAUAAGAAACUCACUCAAAUAAAACUAUGAAGUGCAUAAGUAGGUGGAAAUCAAUACAAUUCAAAUAUGUACCGACUUAAGUAAAAAUCACUGCUUCAUAUAAUGCAAAUCGAUUCAAAAGCUAUGCACCAAUAAUCAUGACGAAUUUAUAACACAUAAUCAAACUACUACAUUUAGAUUUUGCAAAAUACUACAUUUGGACUACUACAAAAUAAUCACUGCUUCAUUUAGAUUGUUCAACUCUACUAUCAGACUCUAUUUCAAUCUGGCAAAGAUUCAAACUACUCAACUUAGUUUGGGAUUGCUGUGAGAAACCUCAAUUUUUUUUUUAUUUUUUUAAAUUCAGUUUCAAAAAAGCAACCCCUAACUUGCUUUCUAAAAUCGUGGUAAUUUAAACUAAAAAGUUUUAGAUAAACACCUUAUCAGAUUUGACCAAAGAUGAUAUCUUUUCAAAAUGUGACUAUAAGUGAUUUUAUUUACCAAAACUCAAUACCAAACUGGGCCUACAUCAACCAAAAUUCAAACGAUAUCACUUCCAAAACUCUACAUAAUCCACAACAACUCUUGAAAAGACUGCAUAGCUCCACAACUCCAGGUAUAAGAGAAACAAGAGUUAGUAACCAUGGAAACAUUUGAGAUGUAAUAAUAUUGUUGAUAGAACAAACACACGUAUACAUACCAAUCAAGUAGUCUUUAUACCUACCAACUAACAUCCAUAUAUUGGUUCUAGCCACAUGAAGUUGCCACAAAUGCUCAGUAAUGUAUGUUUGAUGCAUUUUAUGUGUUCCACUGUCCCUAAUAGCCAAAUGAUUGUUGAUAAACUCUUCAAACUCAAUUGUGUGAUUACGUGAAAAUAGAAAAUGAUAUGCUCAUCCGGUUCAACAUACUACCUCGCAAGAUUUUGUGAUCAUUGGUCGCACUACUUUCGGCACGUUCAUCUUCAAUAAUCAUGUUAUGCGUUAUAACUUAUGCUUUCACGAUCUUUUGAAAAGUUUCAUGAUCCUAAAACGAGUAGAUCCCUUCACAAUUGCAAAACAUGCUUAAAUCACACCAAAAACUUUUUGUACAUCUUUUUGCCACCCCUCUUGAGUUUUAGCAAAAUUCUUUGCUUUCUCUCCUUGUGGACAUGAAAUUGUUUUGACGAAAGUGGACCGUGAAUGAUAUAUGGCACUAGCCAAAUAAUAUCUCAUUUUCUAGUCAUGAUCAUUUGCCCUAAAAAAUUGACCUGAGGAGCUCGGCCUUCACGAAUUUUGCCGACUAAAGGUGAAUGCUCCUCAUUUGUAUCACCGUGAGAAUUGGGUGAACAAAAAAAACGAAUGUCAUAUCCAAGGAUCCUUUGAUGCAACAAAUUCAAGAAUCAAAAAAGUUUUUUUUAUAUGAGAAAUAAACUUUUACUAAAUAGAGGUGCCACAAAAACACCUUAAAUUUACACUAUCCAAGACAAGGACCAAAGAAGCAUCUAGGUGAUGUAGAACGACUUGCAUAAGAGUUUGAGGAGCAGCUGGAACAUCAACGUCGUAAGCAAGUUUAAGUUUUCUAUUAUUCUUAAGAUUAUGAUUUAUGAUUCAAUAGGGAUUUCUAGUUCCAACAGGUUUUGUUAUUUCCUAGUUCUAUUCUAAAUAGGAUUUAGUCAUAAGUUAGAGCCUAUAUAAGGCACUCUCUAUGUAGUAUUAGGCAUUCAACAAUUCAAUAAUAUUUCAGAAAACUCAGAGAUUUAUCUCACUUAUGGCCUUCAAAUUCGGUUCGACGCUUGUCUACCGAUCUCACCUUUCUACCUAUAGUUUUCAUUGCGUUAGGUGGCAUCAAAGCCUGGUCUCGCCUGGAUCGAUGUUAGACGACGAAGCGGAGGUUCCUGUCACAACACUCGCCGACGCUGGUCGGGAGAUUACUCCAAUGAAACAAGAUAUUGGGAAAUUUUGUCAAGACACCAACAAUGCUUUGGCAAAUUUAACAACUUUUGUGCAGCAGCUUACGAUGGAGGUGCGGGCAGGAGGAUUUGCCCGAGACCAACGCCGUCGUCAAGAACAAAACUAUGAUUCUGAGGAAGAAGAAGAAAGGGGCCCACCAAAUAAUCGACAACAAAAUCGCCAUGAAGAAAAUUACAGAAUGAAAGAAGACAUAUCUUUCUUCUAUGGAAACUUAUAAAUUGAAGAGUUUCUUGAUUAGCUUUCAGAAGUGGAUAGGUUCUUCAGUUUAAUGGAUGUUCUAGAAAACAAACGAGUGAAGACGGUUUCCUGGAAGCUAAAAAGCACAGCUACCUGUUGGUGGGAUGAUUUGCAAGAGUCUCGUAUUCGACAAGGAAAAGAACCUGCCAAAACAUGGUGAAAGAUGAAAGCCCUUCUCAAGGGACGUUUCUUACCUCAAGAUUAUGAGCAGACUUUGUUUGAAAAAUAUUAUGACUGCGCUCAGAAGAAUCGGUCAGUGUUUGAUUUCCAUGAGUUUAUGCGACUUAGCGAGCAAAACAGACUUGAAGAAAGAGAGACUCAGAAAGUUGCAAGGUAUCUACAUCAUUUGAAGCCGGAAAUCCAAGAAAAGAUAGGGUUGCAGACAAUAUGGACUCUAGUGGAAGCCAUGAACUUAGCUCUAAAAGUAGAAACUCUAUUAGCAAGUAGUAAAGUUAAGCAGCAGACUACCAUGAGUUAUCGCAGAAAUUGGCCUAAACCAUCUACUUCAAAAGGAUUGCAAAUUAAAGAGCCUACAAGAGAGCAACAAGUUAGAACAGAAACAAGUAGUGGAGACCGAGGAAAAGCUAUUGUUCCGUUUCGAAAACAAGAGCAACCUGACAACUUAGGGGACUAUGUGAAACCAAGGGGAGAAAAGUGUAAUCAAUGUUUUAUGCCUGGUCAUACUUCCAACAUGUGUCCCAAACCAAGGGGAUUACAUUAUGUGGAAGAACAUGAAGAUGAUGAAAAGUAGGAUGAGAUUGCAACUACUGAAAUCGAAGGCCAAGAUUUUGAUGACAUCCCACAGUUCCUAGUUUGUCAACGGCUUCUAUUAGCAAAGCAAGGACCCGACACUUAAAGGCAUAACAUAUUUCGCACUAAGUGUAUUAUUGGUGGCAUGGCAUGCAAUCUAAUAAUUGACACUGGUAGUUGCGAGAACUUCGUGUGCAAGAGAGUGAUCAACCGUUUCAAGCUUCCUACAACAAAACAUCUAACACCUUCCGUUGGUUGGAUUAAAAAGAGACCUACGGAGCCUAUGACAGAAACUUGCAAAGUUCCUAUAACUAUAAGACCAUAUAAAGACGAGGUGGUCUGCAAUGUUGUAGACAUGGACUCCUCUCAUAUUCUGUUUGGAAGGUCGUGGCAGUAUGACGUAAGAGUGGCAUUUGAUGGGUACAAGAAUACCUACAGCUUUGUGUGGGAAAAAAACAAGAUUGUCUUGAAGCCUAGUAUCCCGCAUGAAAUUAAUUAUGAUGGAAAGAUGAAGACAACAAACUUUCUCACUUUAUCAAGUUAUGAACGUGAGCUUGAAGAUGAAAUUAAGGAAGCACUUAUUUGUUGUCCUAUUGUGAUAAAAGGUCUUUACACCACCGAACAAGAAGUAAUGGAGGCACAAGUUCCAGAAAAGGUGAAGCAUAUAAUUAGUGAUUUCUAGGAAUUGAUGUCAAAAGACAUACCGGAUGAGCUACCACCGAUGAGAAAUAUUCAACAUCGAAUUGAUUUAAUUCCGGGAGCUAGCUUGCCUAAUCUUCCUCACUACUGCAUGAGUCCGAAAGAGAAUGAAAUUUUGAGGGAGAAAAUCAAAGACUUGUUACGAAAAGGGUUCAUUCGUGAAAUCAUAAGUCCUUGUGUAGUUCCUGUGUUAUUGGUACCAAAGAAAGACGGCAGCUGGCGUAUGUGUGUUGAUAGUCGCGCCAUUAAUAAGAUCACCAUUCGGUACAGGUUUCCAAUUCCACGUUUGGAAGACAUGCUUGAUGUUCUUAGAGGAACAAAGUUCUUCUCUAAAAUUGAUUUGCAGAGCGGGUACCACCAAAUUUGAAUCAGACCCGGAGAUGAAUGGAAGACAGCUUUUAAGAGCAAAGAUGGCUUAUAUGAAUGGUUGGUGAUGCCGUUUGGACUUUCCAACGCCCCGAGCACUUUUAUGCAUCUCAUGAACCAAGUAUUGCGCCCAUAUAUUGGAAAGUCCGUAGUCAUCUACUUCGAUGACAUUCUCAUUUAUAGCAGGUCUGAAGAAGAGCGCACCUCGAGCAUAUUAGACAAGUUCUUAAGGUUCUUCAAGAUAAUCAGUUAUACAUCAACCUGAAGAAGUGUUCUUUCCUGAAGAAGUAUUCUUUCCUCACCGAAAAGUUGUUAUUCUUGGGGUAUGUAGUAAGCUCCGAAGGAAUACAUGUGGAUGAAGAUAAAGCGAAGGCAAUUAAGGAAUGGCCUACUCCGAAAACCGUUAGCGAAGUGCGAAGUUUUCAUGGUUUAGCGACGUUUUAUCGACAAUUUGUUCCAAAUUUCAGUGCCAUUAUCGCACCUCUCACCUAAUGCCUUAAGAAAGUAAAAUUUUAAUAGGGAGAAGAGCAAGAGAAGAGUUUUGCCUUGAUCAAGCAUAAAUUGUGCACAGCUCCAAUAUUAGCCUUACCAGAUUUUGAUAAAGUUUUUGAGGUGGAAUGUGAUGCAUGUGGCGUAGGAGUUGGUGCAGGUUUAUCUCAAGAAAGGAAGCCGGUUGCAUAUUUUAGUGAAAAGCUUAGUGAAGCUCGACAAAAGUAGAGUAUCUAUGAUCAAGAAUUUUAUGCCGUGGUUCGGGCAUUAAAACAAUGGGAGCAACGCGAAUUUGUUCUCUACACCGAUCAUCAAGCUUCGAAGUAUAUUAAUAGCCAGAAGAAUGUGAGCAAGAUGCAUGUUCGUUGGGCUACAUUCUUACAAAAGUUUCCUUUCGUAAUUAAGCACAAGUCUGGAACCUUAAAUCGAGUGGCCGAUGCAUUAUGUCAAAGGAGCCAAUUAUUAGUGACGUUGUCACAAGAAGUUAUAGGGUUCAAAUUUUUGAAGGAACUAUAUGAGGAGGAUGAAGACUUCAGAGAGAUUUGGAGCAAGUGCAUAAAGCAUGAACCAUCCAAUGACUUCUUUUUAAAUGAAGGUUAUCUCUUCUGUGGCAAUAAACUAUGCAUACCCCAAUCUUCAUUAAGAGAGAUGUUGGUACAUGAUUUGCAUGGUGGUGGGUUAAAUGGUCAUCUUGUUAUAGAGCUAAAAUAAUUGCAAGUUUGGAAUAAAGAUACUAUUAGCCUCAAUUAAAGAAAGAUGUUGGCAACAUUAUCCGGAAGUGCUAUAUAUGUCAAGUUUCGAAAGGACAAUCACAAAACACUGGUCUUUAUAUGCCUCUACCGGUUCCUAACGUCAUUUGGGAAGAUCUUAGCAUGGAUUUCAUUAUGGGGUUACCUCAAACACAACGUGGGGUCGACUCCGUCUUUGUGGUGAUUGAUAGGUUUUCUAAAAUGGCACAUUUCAUUCCUUGCCGAAAGACCUCUGAUGCUUCUCACAUUGCCAAGUUGUUCUUUCGAGAAGUUGUUCGACUGCAUAGGGUACCUCGUAGCAUCACUUUCGAUCGAGAUACUAAGUUCCUAAGUCACUUUUGGAUUACAUUAUGGAAGAUGUUUGACUGCUCUUAAUCAUAGUAGCACCGCUCACCCACAAAUUGAUGGUCAAACUGAGGUUAUGAAUCGAAAAUUGGGAAAUAUGAUAAGGAGCACUUGUGAAGAUAAAAAAAAGGGAUUACGUCUUACCGCAAGUUGAGUUUGCGUACAACAAUUCCAUACAUCAAUCAAUUGGAAAGACUCUGGUUUCUGUGGUGUAUGUCUCCCCACCGAAGCAUGUUAUUGAUCUUACAAAUAUACCAAGAGACAAAGGCUUUAGUGUGGCAGCCGAGUCUAUGGCUAAGGACGUGCAUGAAGUUCAAGAAGAAGUCAAAAUGAAGCUAGAGGCAAGCAAUGCAAAAUAUAAAGCACAUGCAGAUUCUCAUAGGUGAGAGAAGGUGUUCAAAGAAGGAGAUUUUGUUAUGAUCUACUUGCUCAAAGAAAGGUUUCCCGCUGGCACUUAUAACAAGCUUCAACCUCGUAAAUAUGGUCCAUACAAAGUGCUUCGAAAGAUCAAUAAUAAUUCCUACGUCAUUGACUUGCCUGAAUCAAUGGGAAUUUCGAAGACCUUCAAUGUAAGUGAUAUCCAUGAAUUUCGAGCAGAUGAGCAUGCUUCCUAUCCUGAUAUAAACUCGAGGACGAGUUCUUCUCAAGUGGGGGAGAUUGAUGUAGAACGACUUGCAGAAGAGUUCGAGGAGCAGCUGGAACAUCAACGUCGUAAGCAAGUUUAAGUUUCCUAUUAUUCUUAAGAUUAUGAUUUAUUAUUCAAUAAGGAUGUCUAGUUCCAAUAGGUUUUGUUAUUUCCUAGUUCUAUUCUAAAUAGGAUUUAGUCAUAAGUUAGAGCAUAUAUAAGACACCCUCUAUGUUGUAUUAGGCAUUCAACAAUUCAAUAAUAUUUUAGAAAACUCAGAGAUUUAUCUCACUUAUCACCUUCAAAUUUGGUUCGAUGCUUGUCUACCAAUCUCACCUUUCUACAUACACAUUCUUCCCAAAACGAAUACGAUUCAACCCUAUGUCCAAGAAUUAAAGAAGGUUGAUGAUGAAAUAUGGAAUAAGAGUCCAAAUCGGUCUUUUUCGCAUACCAAUCUCAAGUUUCCAUAUGUCUUGUAUAAACCCAUAAAAGGUUUCAAAGCAGGUGGAACGCUGAUGGUAUAUCCCACCGAAGAGGAGGCUUUAGCCGCUUUUCAAGCUAUCAAACCAUUACUUGAAUACUAUAGGUGCCGAUGUCAAGCUGUUUGGGUCAUUUCAUACAUUCAUCUAGAUACCUACUUGGGUUGUUAGGUGAAGCAAGGGAUUUGUAAUAUAGAUCAAAUUCAACAGUGGUUUUCUCUAAACCAUCCGGUUUCUUAUGAUCUCCCCGACACCCUUAAAUUCUUCAACAAUCUAGGGCGUCUGGUAGAUAGCAAAGAAUGAUUGAAUCUCUGCAAAAACCCAACUUAUUGUGUGAACAUUAAGAGAGAGAUCCGUGAUUGGAGAAAAUGUGUGGUGGCUGAUAAUAAUCUCAAUUUUUUUUUUUUUAAGAAUUUUUAAGCACCCAAUUACAAGGGAGACAAGUUCAANNNNNNNNNNNNNNNNNNNNCUUCUCUCUCUCUCUCUCUCUCUCUCUCUCUCUCUCUCUCUCUCUCUUUUCAAAAAAACCAGCCAUUAAAUUUACCGUGGCAGGGAGGCCAAAUAUAUUCAUGUUUAUGCUUCGAAUGCGAUGAAACAUUACAGAAAAAAUUCUGGUGUUGGUGAGAAGAAGUUGACAAAGGGCAAGGUAAUAAACCAUUUGUACCCGGACUAGCUAACACAAUGUACUUGAGGUAUGCAAAAGCGGUGGUUGAAGGUUCAUAUCAACAUAGUCUUUUUGAUGCGGUUCAUAUCAAUUUGAGUCAUGACACAAAAGGUGGAUGUGAGCUGAACAAGAAAAUCUGAGCUUUGUUGUUAGGGUGUUAUAUUGCUACUCAAAGCUUUGUUGUUAGUCGAAAUUGAACAAGAAUCAAGAGUGUCCCAAGAAGAAUUAGGGUGUUAGGAGGCAGUAGGCAUUAAUCCUUUUCGCAGAACUUUAAUAGUGUGUUAGGAGGACAAAAGAUUUAGAUGGAUUUGUUACGUUUUACUGUAUUUUGUUAUUCAACUACUAACUAAGAGUUUGUUUGACUAAGUUAUUUCUAGUAUAGAGGUGAGUAGGUUGAAAUUUUAGCUUUGGAUGUGCGUAAUUUCCUAGAACUAGAACUACGAGCAUCAAUCAUUUGUUGUAUUGUUCUACUUUCUGGCUUUGUUUUCUCUUAUCUAUGUUUAAGCUUGCAACCGUCAGACUUGAAAGUUUGGAUAAGUUAGUUUAGCGUUCUUGAUUUUUCUAGUAAAAAUAAAAUAAAAAUAAUAAUAGAAAAAAGAAGGAUGACAAUAAUCUCCACGAAAUAACAUACAUUUCCAAGCAAUCAGACAAUAGGUAAAGUUCAAAAGAAAAAAAAAAAAACUUAAAUCUUCUCCUUGCCCUUAACAUUAUGGCCUGAUUUAGUAUUGAGUUUUGAAGAUUAAAAUCACUUAUAAUCACUGUUUUAGAUAGAUUUUAUGUUUGGUAAAACUUAAAACGUGUUUAUCUAGAACUUUUUAGUUUAAAUAACCACGAUUUUAGAAAGCCGGUUGAGGAUUGCUUAUUUAAAACUGAGUUUUUAAAAAUUGAGUUUUUAAACCACAAUACCACAAUACCUAUCAUUUGACCACAAUUUUUCUUGUUUAUUAUCCUUAUUUUACCUCUAAAUUCCUUUGAAUUGUGGAAUUUUAAAACUCAUUAUGAACACCCAGGUUUUGUUUUGGAAAUGUCAACCAUGUUAAGCUUAGAUCAAUCGAACAUCAAAUGGAUCUUUUGUAGUAUUUGAAUUUGUCAAUAAGUUAAUUGAAUUGUUUAGUUGUAGAUUGAUAAAAACUAUUCCAAAAACAUCAUAAACCAUGCACAAGAUCACUUCACCAACAUGUUCAAGUGUUUCAUUCUACAAAUCAGAUUGUUAGACCAAAACUAAAGCAAGGUCAGCUUAAAUGAUUGAAGUUAUUAGUCAUGGAGGUUGGCCUGGGCAUGACUGAUUUUCCUUGAGGAUUUUUUUCUUUUUUUGAACUGAGGGUAAAAGCGGUUAUUAAAACUUUCAAAAAUGUUAGGUGGUCUAACUGUUAUUUUUGUAGAUAGGAAUAGAAGUUCCUAAAGAGCAGAGACUUUAAUAUUUUCGGACCUAAAAUUAUUUGUAUAUAUAUUUUUUUUUCAAAAAUGUUCGAAUCUAAGUGUUAUUUUCGGAGAUAUAAAUAUAAAUUCUUAAACAGCAGAGACUCUAACAAAUUCUUAUAGAGCAGAGACCCUAAUCUUUUCGGACCUAAUAUUGUUCGUAUAUAUUUAGGAAAGCGAGAUUAUGGGGUCUUAACUCAAAUUUGGAAUAGAUAUUCGGUUUUCCAAAAGGGAAAUUCAUCUGAAUGGUAUCUCAACUUUUGCUCCUUAUAAACUUUGGUAUUUCAAGUUUCGAAAACAUCAUAAUGGUACCUCAAGUUUUCACCUCGAUUGAACUUUGGUACUUUAUGCCGUUACCUCCGUUACGGUGCCGGCCACCUAGCAAUUUUUAAAGGGCAGUUUUGUCUUUUUAUUAUAUUAAGGCAUUUUUUUACCUUCAUGGGUCCAAAUUUGAUCUUUGCACCCAAAGGAUUUUCUUCCAUCUUCCACAGCUCCAGCUACCGUUUCUAUUCUUCUUCAUCGUCCUUCUCGAUUGUCGAAACAUACACCAAAGCUUUGAUACCCUGAUCCUAUUUUGAAUGCCUCUCUUUCAAGAAACAAACAAGAAUUGUUGCCUCAUGGUUGUACUGGUUCUCAUUCUUGGUCUUUGCCGAGAUAAACCCAGCUCACCUACGUAAAUCACCCAUCUUAUUUCACCAUGUGAGCUCAAAUUUCCAAUACCCAUCUCUGAAUUUGAUCGACCUAAUUCUCUAUUUCAUCUAAAAAUCAUGCCUCAUUUACCAAUUUGCUAGAUAUUUGAGUUUUGAUAAUGUUGAGCUUGAAAUCAUCAGAGCAAAUUUAAGGGUUCACAAUGUAUUUGGUAUGUGAUUUUGUGGUCAUUAAAGCCAAGUGUUACUAUAAACAAGCACCUAAACGGCCAAACCCAACCCGAUCCUCUUCUGAACUCCUCCAGCUUGAAGCAGGACUCGCCACAGUUCGAUAGACUCACCGGAAAACCCAAAGAACGCUGCCGCCGAAGUUAGGAACUCGGAACCCAGAAAAGAUAGAAAAGAGGGAUUUUCGGAUUAGACUCGAUUUGAAGGAAAUAAAAGCACAUAAAGAAAGAAGAAGGAAAGUGGAGAAGACCCUGCCCAUCGGGACUCAAUUCGUGGCCGGAAUCGUCGUGUGUCGGCGGAGAACAGCUGGUGCUUCUUGCCGUCGAUUAGCUUUCAAACCGGCUUGCAUAUAAGGUUUGAGGGCUGGGUUUCGUAUAGAAGAAGAAAAGGAAGAGAUUGGUGGUGGUUUUGUGAAGGAUGGUGGCCGGAGCUAGCCAAACGGCGUCGGAGAAGACGGAGUCGAGAGAAAGAACCACCAGUUAAGAAAAAAUAAUAAUAAGACAGAAAAUGACGAAACUACCCUCUAAAAUUGCUAGGUAGCCUACAUUAUAACAGAGGUAACGGCAUAAAAUACCAAAAUUCAGUCGAGAUGAAAACUUGAGGUACCAUUUUGGUGUUUUUAAAACUUGAAAUACUAAAAUUUAUAAAAGACAAAAGUUGAGAUAUCAUUUAGAUGAAUUUCCCGAUCAGAAAAUUACAAACGUCCACGUAAGACUGCCUUUCCACAAAAAUUCUAUUUUCCUCGCCGAGUCAUUGCCAGCCAAACCAAAAUGGCCUCUUCAACUUCAACUUCAACUCCAGCGACGACGAACCCGACGACCACGUCGUCCUCCGUCAUGGCCACUCUCCGAAGCUCCGGCCAAAGCUUCGCCCUCCUCUUCCUCCUCUUCCUCCUCCUCAUCUCCACCAACAUCACCGCUGCCGUCGCCGUCAACAACGCCGUCUUGAGCGUCAAGUACAAGUACGCCGGCCGCGAGCGCACUCUCAGUGCCCUAAAGGCUCACGACACCAAACGCACUCUUCGCUUCCUCGCCGGCGUCGAUCUCCCCCUCGGCGGCUCCGGCCGUCCUGACGCCGUCGGGUACUCUUCUCUCCCCUCUCCUCAAUUCCACGAUUUCGUUCGAUUCGUAUAUUGAUUUCUUGCUUGCUGUGUAGAUUGUACUAUGCUAAAAUCGGAAUCGGAACGCCGGCGAGGGACUACUAUGUGCAAGUUGAUACCGGAAGUGAUAUUAUGUGGGUGAAUUGUAAACAAUGCAAGGAAUGCCCGGCCAGAAGCUCACUUGGUGUAAUGGCCUUUCUCUCUGUUGCUUUUAUCAUUUUUCGGAAUCAGAAUUUAUCCUAGUACUUGUUCUGAUUAUUAUUGGCUAUGUUGACACAGUUUGAGCUGUCAUUAUAUGAUAUCAAGCAGUCUUCCACCGGAAAAUUCGUUCCUUGUGAUCAUGAGUUUUGCGUGGCGAUGAAUAAUGGUCCAUUGGUUGGGUGUACUGCCAAUAUGUCGUGUCCCUAUUUGCAGAUUUACGGAGAUGGCAGCUCCACUGCUGGUUAUUUUGUGAAGGAUUUUGUGUUGUAUGACCGAGUUUCAGGUGACCUCACGACUACCUCUUCCAAUGGAAGUGUCAUUUUCGGGUAAUUCUCACUUCUUUGGUAUAGAGGAAUGACUAUGAGCUUUGCAGUGGUACCGCUUUUUUCUUCUGUGCUGAAGUAUGCUAGUUUCAGCUUUAUUCAGCAAUUCGGUGUGUAGGUGUUAUUGUCCAACCUGACUGAUACUUUCCUUUUCAACUUAAUUUGGCAUUCGUUGAUCGUCUUGACCAUGUAGUCACCCAAAUGAUUAGUUAAGUUGGACAUGGCUGUGCAUCCAGUUAUUGACUAUAAUGUAUAUGAUUUGAUAUCUUGAUAAUGCGAUAUAUAUCUGGCAACUGGGAGACCAGAAUGGUUGUGUUGGCUGGUGAGGAGUGAGGACCGUUACUGGGUUUUGUUACAGGUUGGGCAAAACUAAACCAUAAGAUGUGUAUUGUGAGCCCCAACCGACCCCUUUCCAGCCCAAUUGUUUAGUUUUGGUUUUAGUGUAUUCAAUAUUUGCAAGAAAGUGACAUCCAUUCUGUAGGACGCUACCAACUUCAGCAGAAAAGGUUCAUGGUGAAACUGUUAAGCAACAUUAGGGAGUAAAACUGAAACACUAAAGCCUUCUGCAAAUCAUAGGAUACCCCUGGGAAAUGCUUUGUGGAUCAGGUUUAGGUAAUGUUAGGUCUGUGGACUGGGCUGGACUAACCAGUCAAAACACACUUCAUUGGUCAACUAUGUUGAUUUUUAAUUUUUAUUUUAUUUUUUAUUUUUUGCAAAAGGAACUACUUGUAUAAUCACUCGUAGUGGUCAAAGUGAAUAAACUGUGAUUACUAUUUUGUUAUCUUGCAAUGUAGUAGCUUUUAAUUAGAAAGAUAGGAUAGUUGAUCUUUGUUGUAUCUUUUCCCGUCUACAAUUCCACUGCUGGACAGUGAUACUUACCCCACUCACUUUAUUUUCAUAUAAUUUUGUAUUAAAAGAAAAAAAAAAUUGACAAGCUUCUCUAUGUUUGUUAUCUGAUAGAAAAGUCAAUAUCUUUUGCUGUCUCUCUCAUGUGGUGGUUCUGAUGUUUGUGCAAUAGGUGUGGUGCUACGCAAUCUGGUGAUCUAGACUCAUCUGGUGAAGCACUUGAUGGAAUUCUUGGCUUUGGAAAGUCCAAUUCAUCCAUAAUCUCACAGCUAGCUUCAUCAGGAAAAGUAAAGAAGAUGUUUGCUCACUGCUUAGAUGGAAAAAAUGGAGGCGGUAUCUUUGCUAUUGGGCGUGUUGUGCAGCCGAAAGUUAACAUGACUCCAUUGGUACCAAACCAGUAAGUCUUGUUUUUCAUUAUAGUGAUACCAUGACAUGUUUAUUCAUUUUGUUAUAUAUCACUGGUAUUUUCUAAAAGAUACGGUUUCUUUAUGGUUAAGUGCUCGUUCUUUCUUUUCUUUGUAUUGUUAGGAAUAGGCUUCAAUAUAUGCUAUCACAGUAGAAGGAUGUUUUCUUUUUCUCGAAUGGAUCACAGUAGAAGUAAACACAUGAAAUGUGCUAUGUAUUAUAGGUUUAGUAACCAGUCAUGAUUGAAGGCUGUAUGUAAGUAUCUGUUUAUUAUGAAGCGAACAGAAGUUGAUAUUAGUUAGCACUUACCAGAGUAGCUGUUAGAUGGACUGGUCGCAUAAUUCUGUGAGAGAAAAGAGUGAUUUUAAAUAAAAUGUAACAUGUUGAAAUGUUAGAAAAAAAAAAGUCAUAUGAAGUUCAAGCCUCACUCUGUGGCUGUUGCUUUAUAGGCCGCAUUACAAUGUCAAUAUGAAGGCAGUUCAAGUCGGCCGUUCUUUUCUAAAUAUUUUGACAGAUGUAUUUGAAGCGGGAGAUAGACAAGGGACUAUAAUUGACAGUGGUACAACUUUGGCUUAUCUUCCAGAUGUGGUGUAUGAGCCCUUAGUAAGUAAGGUAUGUGAUGUAUUAAACUUCUUUUUCUUGAUGGUUAUUCUAAAAGUUUCCCAUUAUACAAAUUUUUUUUAUUUUUUAUAUUUUAUUUUAUAGAGAUUGUCAUCAUUAUUAACAGAAAUGUUAUCAUGUUUAUAGAUCUUCUCUCAGCAGCCUGAUUUGAAAAUUCACACUCUUCGUGGCGAGUAUACAUGCUUUGAGUACUCAGGAAGGUAUAAUCAUUGUCCCACUGAUAUUUCUGUUAGGAGAAGACAACAGAUAAGUGCAUUCUCGUCUAUUGGAAAAAAAUUACAUAACUAUUUAUCAUGUCUUGAGUGUUUGAUUCCUUAACAAUUUGUUUUGCAUGAUACACAGUUCUAGACUAAAUUGAGCAUAAGUAACUGGAAAUUGAUAACAAGAAUCAUUUUGUCCAGAAAAUAAAGUUCAUCCCUAAAUGUUAGAGAUCAUAGAUGUAAAUUUCAUCUUGUUUUCAUUUGGACAAAUUUAUAAAAUAACCCCUUGCUAGUUCAUUGGAAAAAUGUAUCUAUAGUUAUACAUAAAACUCAUCAGCCAAUGGGUAACUCUUUCAGAUGCCUCCAUGUAUAUUGUAAAUACUUUUUUCUUUUUGAUAAUGAUGUUACAUUAGAGUUGUUAUCAUUAUGGACUAUACAGUCUGUCACCUGAAUUGCUUAAUUCUAGCUUGGUAUAUUUGUCCUUUUGAUCUCCUCAUUAGAUGAUACAUUGAUCUGGCUUACUACAAAUUGAUCAAGUGUUACUCAAAUUGUGUAGUACAUCAUGUUUUCCUAAUUUUUGUAUACGGUUUGUUUCUACUUGCAGCCUUGACGAUGGAUUUCCUGCAGUCACCUUUUAUUUUGAAAACUCACUUUCUUUGAAGGUUUAUCCACAUGACUACUUGUUCCCCUCUGUAAGUAUUAGGAACUGAAAGCUACCAUCCUUUAUCCAUGCAUUUUUUUUAUGCAUCAAAUUAGCACUUUUAAUAGGGAGACCCUCCUGAAGAGGCUUAAUUUUCAAAAUUGGCUUUUUUUUUUUUUAAAAAAAAAAAAGGAAUAAAAACGUUGAAAUUUGUCAUUGGAUUUAGAGAGGAAGAACAAGAUUAAUAAAGGUCAAGAACACCAAACGUUUUUGUGUUAAGAGUCUGUAGUGUUGUUCUUUCCAGUUGUACAGAAUGGAUGUGCUUCUAAUAAUAAAUUAUAUGCCUCAACGGAAUGUAGGGAUUACAGCACUUCUUUAAUAAUGGUCGACUGGUCUCCUUUAGUGUAGGUGGAGUUUCAUUGGGAGUCUUUCUGCUUUGUUUAAGAGUCUGUAGUUGUUCUUUCCAGUCGUUGGUGUCUUUUCCUUGUUGCUUGUGGCCUUGAUCUCCACUUUUAUUGUAACGUUAUGUUGAUUGAUCACUAAAUUUCUUUCCUUUAGAAAGAAAUAUAUUUUGUGCAUAGGAAAGCUUUCUAGAAUCCCAGACAUCACUAUAAACCCAUAGUCUUUUUAAAAAGAUACAGCUUGUAUCUUUAAAUUAUUCCUAUCUUUCCUCUCUUUCUAUUACUGGUAUUUUUUUUUUUUUGCAGACAUAGUAGAUAGUGAUCGAUCCAGUAUAAUUACAGCUCUUUCUUCUUGUAUUAGCAUAUAAUUUUCUAGUCUUAUGCCUCAAUUUCUGUUUUGAUAAUUGUCAUUUCUUUUACUAAAAUUUAUUCAUGUGCAUGUGCAGGAAGGCUAUUGGUGCAUUGGUUGGCAAAACAGUGGGAUGCAAUCCAGGGAUAGGAAGAAUUUGACCCUUUUGGGAGGUAACUUUCAAUAACAUGUGUGUUUAAGUUUAUUGAUGGUGACACUUAAGGUUAGAGCAUUGGGCUUGAGUGAUGAUAUAGAACUAAUAAAAUGUUUAGAUACCACUUACAGUUCUAUUGAUGCUGACAUUUAACGUUAGAGCAUUGGGCUUGAUGGGCAUGGUAUAUGAUGGUUUAUCUAUAAUAAAAGCAUGUGAUUUGAUCAUUUUCUGUGUGCCUUGCAGAUUUGGUACUUUCAAAUAAGCUAGUGUUGUAUGAUCUUGAAAAUCAGGUCAUUGGAUGGACCGAGUAUAACUGUGAGUAUCGUGUUAUUUCAUUCUGUUAUCUUUAAUUUUUACCUGCAGCUUCUAUCUCUGCUUUGAUGUCAUCUGUUUUUGCUGCAUUUCCUUGUCACUUUAAGAUUGCUCUUGUUCUGCCAUUUCCAAGCUAACUUUCAUAUUCAAUUGCACGGAUCUUAUAGAUAUUAUAUAUAUGACAUUUUAUGGAUUUUUCCAAUUUUUAAGCUUACUCAGCAUUUUGUCAUGCUUGGUAGUUGUGUCCAUUAUGCCACUGUCCAUUACAAAAAACUUCUGUCAGUUCUUGGUUAGCAGUGACUUUCUUUACUUAUAGUCCAUACUCUAAACCAACAACAAAAGGAAACAAUAUACUCAGUUCUCGAUCUAUCUAAUGGAUAACAAUUGAAAAUAAGGAAUAAUUUCUAUUGGGUAAAGCGGACACAUUUUUAGGCUGGACUCCUUUUAGCCAUUAUUCUACUUUGGCAGUCCUAAACUUUGAAUAAUAAACCUUCGGUAUAGGAGAAGACUUGAGCAUGAAAGGUUUAUGAGCUUUAUUCACUAUGGGAAUUCUGUUGAGCACUUAGGCAUGUAAAUAAGAGAAAGAGCCUGGCAUGUCUAUAAAGGUGGCAUUGCAUGCAUCAAAGGGGAUAGAUUGAUCUUGCAGAGAUUAUAUUACUUUCAUUUAGGGAUAUAGGAAUUAUCUAGUGUUUUCUGCAAUAUCUCUGUAGCCUUUUUUGUUUUCCAGAUACUUUUUAGCUGUAGUCUACAUCCUAGAGUGUGAUCAACUGUGAAGAGUCCUAGAGCAUCUGCCGAUCUGAUCCCCAUUAGUGAGUCUCUGUAGCCAAUAGUCCAAUACAUCACUAGUCCUCACCCUAAAACUUCCCUUGAUAGCCUAUGGCUCUACUAAUACAAUGCCAAUUUAGGCACCUAUAAAAAACGGGCAGAGCAUGAAACAAGUAAUCUCAGCUUUGCAAUCUGAUAAAAACUAACAAUUGGUGUUGUCAUUUUAGUUUUCUGUUAUAAGCUACAUCAUAUGCCAUUGCUUAAUUAAAUUCAGAAGUAUUGUAUCAAUAUUGCCAUAUGCAUUGUCUUCAUGUAAUUCGAUUAGGUGAAAUUGAACUGGUGAUUAUCAGCGUUUGUCCAUAUAAUGAAUAAUGUAAAUGACUUGCAUUAAAAGACAUAUCUUGAACAUUUGAGAGGAACUAAAUAGUCGAUAUUUAGGGGUUUCUUAAGUAAAAGUUAAAUUGAAACAUUGCCUCUUCAUUGAAGUAUAAGUUGUGUCUGCACUUUGCAUUUACUGAGGAAAGUUUUAAACAAUAAGCGUAAUUUAUAAUAUCUUGUUGACAAAAAUGAGUUGCUACCUGCUUGCUAAUUGUAACUUUCCUAUGGAUACUUUCAGGCUCGUCAAGUAUCAAAGUGCAGGAUGAACAGAGUGGAACAGUGCAUUUAGUAGGUUUCCACUAUAUUUCUUCUGCUUGCCAUUUGAAUCACCAAUGGACUAUAAACUUCUUCCUUACGCUGCUGCUGUACAGUUUAGUGUACUGAAAAGGAACAACUAAAACAUACUGACAGCCACUUCAACUUAUAGGAAAUCAACAUAGAGAAAAUAUCAUGGAAAGUAUUGUCGAGAUGGUGCAUAGAGUAGCUUCAUAUUGUGGUCUCCCAAGGUGAAAACAAAAGCUAGGAUACUUAUCUCUUAAAGCUUCAUUAUGGGGAUAUAUUUUCCUCCCCAUUGUGAAUUGAUAGAAAUAUAUGAGAGCUUACUAGCUUCAAAGGCUUCAGAAUUAAUUGUAUAUGGUUUCAAAUCUUGAUAUUUGUCUAGGCUUUGGUCUAGACAAGACUGUACAUAAAAUCCUUAGUAUAUGUCAUUUUGUGGCUCCAUUUGUUCAGGGGUUGCACAGCAUGUUCGUAUUUAAUGAUACAAAUGUUUUACAUUUUUAAAAAACAAGAGAAUUGUGUACAUUUUUAACUGAGUCGGUAUGUUACACCAAAUUCAGAAAUGAGUAGGAAACCUUAAUUGUGCAAGUACCACUAGACCAAAUAGUAGUGUGCAGCUAGAGAUUGUCUUAGAUCAAAUGAAAUCAGCUUUAAAACUAAGUUGGUACGUGCACUUGGUUCCUCUGCCCGUGCGGUUUCAUAUGUGUGCAUUCUAAGUUAUUAUCUGUGGUUUUGUAGUCUCAAUUGAUGCUUGAGAAUUUAAACUUGCCUUUCAGUGCACUUUAAACACAUCUUGGUUGCUUUGCCAUUUUCAACCAAUGUUAUCUGUUGUGAACUUGUGAUGCUCCAAGAUUUUGUCAAUUUGCUGCGUCAGUUGUCAUUGUGGAAGCAUAUUGAACAGCUUCCAUCAUUUCCAAAUUUCAGAGCUUUCUUCAGAAGUUACUGCAAUUUGAAAGCUCGAUACCUAGUAUUUGUUUGCUCAACUACCUUUUAUCUAUCAAUUCUAUAAUUUGGUGCUUAGAUGUGUUUUUUCUUUAUGCUCUUUCCUUUUUGAUUUUGGUCACAUUCUUUUGUUCAUGUACUCAAUAUAUCGCUGUUCUUUUGGGGAAUGUUAAUUGAAUUUGAGCUUUGUUUUUGCUUUAUCCAAAAGAUCUCUGCAGAACCUGAAUUACAUGGAAUGAAGGAAUGAAGUUGCCGAUAGUCUGCAAGUUACCUACAUUUCUGGCCAAAUACUCUUUUUUCGUUCAUUCCAAUUGGUGCUUGGGAUGGGUAAUGGAACCUGAAUAUAGCUUAAUGGCUUCCAUGUUACAUUAACCGACCAACAUAAUACAAAGCCAAGGAUAAUAAACUAAUAAGGUUACUAAUGGUUGGUGCUGAUCACUUGUUACUCACUCACACUGGAAAUACCAGAUUUUAGGAGACAUUAGAUACAUUUGGUGAGAAUAGUUGAAGGAAAUCUUUUGCAAAGGUGCCAAUGGUAAACCACUAUUAACUACACAGUCGUUGUUGCUUAGAACUUUGAGUAGCCUGGGGUCGACCAGAGCUUGAGGAAAGCUUCCGCACUUCAAAUGAAGGUUGAUAACUGGGCACAUUGGGCAGUUGUUUUGCACUUCUACCAUGAAUGUUGGAGAGCUUCCAAAACCUACUUGAGACUGCUGCACUGUUGGAGCAUGAUCAUUUGUAGUACAUUUUUCUCCCCAUCCUGAAAAGAAAAUUAGCACUUGCUUAAUUAAUCAGACCAAAAAGAGAGAGAGAGAGAGAGAGAGAGAGAGAGAGAGAGAGAGAGAGAGAGACGAGAGAGAAGAGAGAGAGAGAAGANNNNNNNNNNNNNNNNNNNNNNNNNNNNNNNNNNNNNNNNNNNNNNNNNNNNNNNNNNNNNNNNNNNNNNNNNNNNNNNNNNNNNNNNNNNNNNNNNNNNNNNNNNNNNNNNNNNNNNNNNNNNNNNNNNNNNNNNNNNNNNNNNNNNNNNNNNNNNNNNNNNNNNNNNNNNNNNNNNNNNNNNNNNNNNNNNNNNNNNNNNNNNNNNNNNNNNNNNNNNNNNNNNNNNNNNNNNNNNNNNNNNNNNNNNNNNNNNNNNNNNNNNNNNNNNNNNNNNNNNNNNNNNNNNNNNNNNNNNNNNNNNNNNNNNNNNNNNNNNNNNNNNNNNNNNNNNNNNNNNNNNNNNNNNNNNNNNNNNNNNNNNNNNNNNNNNNNNNNNNNNNNNNNNNNNNNNNNNNNNNNNNNNNNNNNNNNNNNNNNNNNNNNNNNNNNNNNNNNNNNNNNNNNNNNNNNNNNNNNNNNNNNNNNNNNNNNNNNNNNNNNNNNNNNNNNNNCUUUGCAAAACCAACCUUCUGCUAAUGACAAAGCCCUUCUAGCUAGUUCAUGUGCUACUGCAUUGAAGCGUUUCUUCACAUGCCUCCACGAAACUAUCUCAAAUUCAGUCAUAGUCAACCUCACUGCAUCAAGAACGCCUCCUAUCUCACUGAAGUCCCAGCCACGAGUAUUUAAGCCAUUAAGCACAUUAAGAGCAUCACCUCUUAUAUCAACAUUUAAUAAUCCCAGCUUCUUUCCAUACUCAAUUCCAUACCACAAGGCAAGUGCUUCCGUAGCUUUUGGGUUUAGAGAAAGAGGAAGUGGUACUAAUAAGGCACCUAGAAGGCCAUGUUCUGGGUUCAACACCACAGCUCCUACUCCCACCCUUCCAUUUAACUUAUCCACAGCCCCAUCAAAAUACAAUAGAGAACUAGAAGUAUUACUGACCUGUGGGGUGCGCACUAUCUCCUUUAUAACAAUACCAGUAAUUGGUUUGUUAGUGCUCUGAGUCUGAGCUAAUUCUGACUGCCAUUCCUUGCACCGCUGGACAAGUAUAUCAGGCUUCAGACCCUCCUUACCAUGAAUAGUAUCAUUCCUACACUUCCAGAUCCACCAGCAAACUAAUCCAAACAAUUCCAACUCUUUAUUCGUGCCCUCCAUAGCCACCCUAUGUAAAAGAUCACUAAAAGACUGAAAUUUCCAUAGCUUCACCACUCCAGCUAACCAGGAAUACUUCCACACUUUCUGAGCUAUGCGGCAAGCCCAUAAACUGUGUAAAACUGAUUCACUGGCACCACCACACCUACCACAAAUAUCCGAAGAACACACUUUUCGUUUAAACAAACGCUCAACACAAGGCAAGAAGGCAUGGCAAGCUCUCCAAAGAAAGAGCUUGACUUUGUUUGGGACUGAGAGGCCCCAGAUAAUACUCCAUACCGAAUUGGAGUUGGUUUCAUCCUUCUCACCACUACUGCUCGUGCUCUUUCCCACCUGUUUUAACUCCAUUGCCAACCAGUAACCAGAUUUCACAGUGUAAUAUCUAUCAUUUGUGUAGUGCCAAAUAGCUACAUCAAUGGAUUUUGAAAGAUGUUUGUUUUGUCAAUUAUCUAUUAUAUUUGAAAAGAAAAUAUUGACUAAACAUUGAUCUAUAAUGAGUUCUAGUAAUUUAAGGUGAACAAGUAAAUGCUGAAUUGUUGAUAAAUCUUAAAAAAUUUACUUCAAUUUUAAAAUCUAAUUUAUUUUUAUGGCUUGAAAGAAAAAAGAAGGCUAGCUAGACCAUCAUACCUUAUAUGUACAUGAUACAUGCAUGCAUUGCAUAUGAUAAAAUAGAUAGUAGCAUGUCGGUUAUUAAUUUUCACCAAAGUUUUUAGAUUCGAAGGCAAUAUAUAUUAUAAAGAAGCAAACAAACGUCAUAUGCGCGCUUACGAUCAAGAAGGUCAUGGAGGGCCUCCGGUCUGAGUUUUGUGGGUCAGAGAUUGAGCCGCACAUUACAAUUGUGAGGUCUGUUCGCAGUGGCGUAGUUAAAAAUUAUCAUUAGAAGGGUCAAAGUUUAAACAAGAAUACUAUUGCCGGUUCAAAAAAAAAACGAGAAAAAGAAUACUAUUGAAUGACAUAAAAUGUAUGAAUUAUUAUAUCAAUAAUUGAAAAGACAAAAAGUAAGUCUCUCUAAAGCAUUCGUAUGGUAGGCAAUGAAUGGCAUUCGUAUUCAGUAUGGGCAAUACCACCAGAUGAUGUGUCUCUUACAAUCAAGAAGGUCAUGGAGAGCCUCCGGUCUGAGUUUGGUGGGUCGGAGAUUGAGCCGCACAUUACAAUUGUGAGGUCUGUUCGCAGUGGCGUAGUCAAAAAUUAUCAUUAGCAGGGUCAAAGUUUAAACAAGAAUACUAUUGCCGAUUCAAAAAAAAAACAAGAAUACUAUUGAAUGACAUAAAAAUGUAUGAAUUAUUAUAUCAAUAAUUGAAAAAGACAAAAAGUAAGUCUCUCUAAAACAAUUAUAAUUGUUCAAGACGAUUGCUCAUAUUUUGAAAUCUUUUCAUGAUGGUUUCACCGUCAAAUAUAUCUUUCUCAAUAUAUGUAAUCAUGAACAUGUCUCCCAUUCGGUUUCGCAAAUCACUUAUAUAACCUUCAUGGCAGAAAAUGUUCUUUCUACAGCGACAAUUGCAACUGGAAGAAUUAGUGUCAAUGUUAUAAGUAAGUAAACUAAUGGAUAAACCUGGUUUUUCUGUUUCAACCAUUUUUUCUCGAAGCUCACUAAUUUCUUUCAUGUUUUUUUUUCCGAAGUACCUUCAUUGGAUCUAUUUCUUAUUUGAGUAGCUUAAGAUGCUGUCAAUUGAUCCGUUGCUUUUCUUUUAUAAUAUUUCUUGAGAAAAGUUUUCAUAAUUUCAAAUAUUAAAUUCUAAAGGUUUUGACUUGUUGUUUGUAGGGAGAAAUGUUUAAAGAACAAAAAAACGAAUUACAGUAGGGAAGGAUUUAAAGAGAAUGAUAAGAGACAAAUAAAUUGUAGAAGCUUGAAUUUAUGUAAACACAAGUACAAUGUAAAUCAUGAAUCGAUUAGGAAGACAAAAAUGAAUAAUAAAUAUGUCCAAAUAUGAGACGAAAGCAAACUUCUUUCCAAAAACUUCUUUCCUACUCCUAUAUUAAUUAGCAAUAUAUAUAUAUAUAUAUACACAGUCUGUUUCUGGUGCGGACACAGGUUUAGAAAUUCACCAAAUUGUGUUAUGCCCAUAUUAUUACUCUUAUGAACUAAUUGAAACAAUUAAAUUCAGGAUUACUAUUGUAAAAAACAAAAAGGAAAUAAAAAUUAAAAAAUAGUGCAGAUAAUCAUGAAAAGUUAUGGGAAGUUACGACUUAUAACUGCAACAAAAAAUGUACUUCACAAGAAGAAAAGAAAAACGUUAUAUGUUAACAACAUCUUCAUACGUGAGUAUCACGGGUAUAAAGGCUAGUGGUAAUAUAAUUACACAAAUAGUUGCAUUUUCGUAUAUACCUUAAAUUUCGUAAGCCCCACCAGAAAGAUUGGAGCAUACGCUUUAAAAUAUGAUGUGUUGAACUAGCCACAUCAGAUUGAAGAGCGAAAAAAUAAAUACCAAAGUCGUAGGUUUUUGGAUCAGCUUGUUUCACAGGGCAGGGCAUAUAUCAUCCCAACGCGAGAUAUUACUUCCCUUAGGAUAUGUUUCAGCAAGAUUAGCUUUACAUGUCACAAGAAAAGAUGAGCUUGACAAUUCCAUAUGGAACCCUUCAGGAUAGACCAAAUGACGGGUUGAUAACCAACAUAGUGUUUGUGCAUGAAUUGCUAGAUGAUACCAAAAGGCUCCGAAAUGCUGAAAGAUCCAGAAAAGUACAAGUUAGCAAUCAAAUUUCAUUGCACCUUUUUAGGGUUUUGCUUAAAAAAAAAAUAAAAAAAAAAAAAAAAAAAACAAUGGAUCACCACCUCCCCCUUUAUUAAAUCCGAAAAUGGGUAAAAGAUCAAAAUCACAACCUACAAAUGAGAGACUUACGUCGUCACUAGGUCAAAUUUUGUUUUACCAUAAAAGACAAAAAUGAUAUACAGAAAUUGAAAGCCAACUUACAUCUCGAGAUGCUAGGAUGAAGGGAACAAAGCCCAAUAUAGGCCUAAACCAUCUUUCAACCGGAGUUAUAUCAUAUUAUAGACCUCCGCGUUAAUGAAUCAUAAAGAUGAUAAAUCCGUAACACAAAUUGAACCGGCAUUAGGAUGAAAAAAAUAACAGGAGCUGACCCAUUUUUUAUGAAUAACAUGGCUACGAGUACCUGAUCAGCAGGAAAAUUCCCAAUUAGAAUAACUAGGAUUAACAAUAUACUGGGCUAGGAUUAACAAAUUAAAAAGCAUACGUACCUGCGUUAUGGGAACAAAAACGUAGAAGCGAGAUAAGAUGGACAACAGGUUAGCAAGCCGUGGAUCAAAUGAGGAUGCAUUCCCUCUGAAACAUCCACAUAUUGUAAUGAUACUGUCGAUCAGAUAAAAAACAUCUGUGACUGAUCGACAGUAAAUAUAUGUCCACGCUAGUUUAUUGUCAAUAUUAAUGCACUUAUGUUCAUCAUCAAUGGAAUUGAUGUAACAGAACAUAGGGUCAUUGAAGACCGAGAAUGCACAUAUUAGGAUGAAGAAACUAUUCCACCAAUGUUCUGCGGCAGCGUCACGGCUUUCUCCAUUGAGUUCUUCCCCCAGUACUGUUGUCCCAUUCCCACUUAUAUGUCCUUCAUAAUCUUCGUCUGCUUGAGUCAUUUCCACAAUACUGAUAAAAGAAGCACCACAAUACUGCUUGAGUGACACAUAAUGCGAUUGCAUUCUAUUCUUUUAUCGCAUAAUUCUUUUAGCAAAUCCGGAUACUUCUAUAUCGUAUUCCAGCCAGCAAAUUAAUUUUUUUUCAGACUUUUACCCAUGUUUUGAUUGAAUAAUAAGAAGUCAAGAUCCAUUAAUAGGUCAAUAAUAUUACAACCGAAAUGUUCUGAAAUUGAACUAAAUGUUAUUAAGUUAUUUCAUUGAAUUGAAACAUGUCGGAAUUGUUUUGAAAUAGACCAAAUGUUUAUCGACAAGUACCUAUCCAACAGAUCCAAAAUGGGAAUGGGAGAGACCUCAAUUAAUAUCGAUCGAGUAAAAGAAACUAACCGUUCUUCUGAUACAGUGGUGGCCAGAGAGAGAGAGAGAGUUUUAUAUUUUGGUUCAUAACAGUAACUGUAUUUAUAGCUGCAUGGAGCAUUAUUUCGUAGUGUACAAGAAAGAAAAAGGAAAAAAAAAAAAAACCGUGACAUGGGUUAUUUGGUCGGCGAGUAUAUAAGUAAUUAACAGUACCAUGCGCAAGAUAAUGCUGUUUUAUUAUAUCCGAAAAAAGUCAGCAAAACCUUCCACCACGUUUUAAGGAGAAAAAGAAGUUCAUCAACUCCCACUCAAAUUCUGAUCAUCGAAUUGGCAAGUUCACAGGGAAUAGAUCUUGGUGCACCUCUGGGACUUGAUGCUCUCAUUGAUGGAAGAGUUCAUACGGGUAAAGUUCCCAUCAACAGACUUAUGUUCUUAUUAAUUUGUAUCGCCCAUUAGGUUUGUAGGAGACUGUCUUCUCAUAUAUGAUGGAGAAAACUCACAGCUAGACUCACAUUAUUUUUCAUUUAUUUGCUCUUAUACGCACGCGCUCGUGCAAGGCUAGUAUACUCUUGUUUGAAUAAGAUCGAUAAUAUAAAUUGCUUCGCGUCAACUUAUCACCCUAGCUCAAUUACAAUGACAAAACGGCGGUGGCAUAGAAAACAGUUUCUUGUUUGGAAUAAAUCAAUUAUCAAAUUUCUCUGACUGCCGCAGAUAGAUUGCUUGUUUACACUUGCAAUAAUUAGCAAAAAAAUAUAUCAGUAAUACGAAUAUGCUUACCAGGUACAACUAACUUAGCCUCCAAGAAGUGCAAGACGCCAUUGCAAAUAAAAUGCUAGUAGAUUUUCAUUAUUGGGAAUGCUUAAUUAAUUGGACAAAUCCAUUAGAAGAAAAAUCAACAAAUGUGUCUCUUGGUUUAAAUAAAUAAAAGGUAAAAUAUUUUAUAGUCCAUGUGGUUUGAAGUCGACAUCUGUUUAGUCCUUAUGGUUUUAUUUUAAUCUGAAUAUUCCUUAAAGUCACGAUUUUUCAUCCAAAUGAUCAUUCUGUCAAUUUAACGGUCACAUCAGCAAUUUAACUGAGAAAAUUGACGGAAUGACUAUUUGGAUGAAAAAUUAAUCGUGACUUUAAAGACUAUUCAGAUUAAAAUAAAAUCAUAAGGACUAAACAGAUGUCGACUUCAAACCAUAAAGACUAAACAAAUAUCAAUUCAUAAAGGGUAAAAUUAGAACCUUUUUUUUUGAAUAAAAGAACUUUCAUUGACUAGCAAUUAGGGUUUCUUAACAAGGCAUCCCUGAUGCAAGUAUCACGUACGAAUAUAUAGGAACUUCAUAUUGAAGCACAAAAUUUGAAUGUUCCCUAAUUAAAUAAAGGAUCCGGAUUCUCUGUUUGGAUUUAAGUUGCUUGGAUUUGCUUGGAAGUCUUAUAACCAUUAGAUAGAGUAAGGAUGACAUAAUGAUGACAUGACAGUCUUAGUUUGUACUCAAUCUAAUUGAUAGAAAUCAUCCAAGCUAAUCCAAGCAACAUAAAUCCAAGUAGAGAAGACAAUUUCUUAAACAAGAGCCCCAACCUCUUCAAUGAGAUUUCCCAUCACAGAAUCAUCCUUUUCAGUGGCAUUAAUAGCCUAGACAAGCUGCAGGCAGUCACUUUCAAACUGCACUGUAUAUAUCAUGACUCAACUAUAUGGCUAGCUGGAUGAGUGCCUGGAGCUUGACUCGGAAUGCCGAAGAUGCCACUGGUUAGGGUACUUGGUAGCGUGGAUAGUACGCUAGUUUUACUCUUACGACACGCUCAUACCUCCCUGCAUAAAACCAUAAUCAUUAAUGCCAACCACAUUACUUUUAUUCAAGUUUACCUGUUGCCCCGAUGCGAUCUCAUAUGCAUGCAAAAUAUUGCAGACUUGCUGGCAUUCCUCUUCUGAAGCUUUGCCAAAAAAGAAAACUGUCAUAUGCAAAUAGUAGUUUGUGGCUCCUUAAGUAUCGUUUUGGCAAUUGGCAUGUUUCUCAAGUUGUGUUUGUUUUCUGGGUUGCAGCUCCAUGCUCUACUCUUAUUUCUUAUAAUUCUUGUUAAUUACCACGUCAGAGUGGUACGGAAGCGUACGCGUUUAGUGGUGAUGGGCAAGGAUAAUGUGUCUAGGACAAAGAUAUGUAGGAGCUUUAUAUAAGUUGGGAGACAAUAUUUAGAGGAGAAAGAUAUUAGACGAGGAUUAGCUAGCUAGCUUAAGCCAGCUUCAACUAUAUCCUUUCAUUCAUAUAUUUCAUCAUAAUUACAAGAGGUCACACGUAUAUAUAUAUAUAGUUGAUGUUCACAACAACAUUUAGUGGUCUUGUACGUCAUUAGUGGUCUUGUACUUCCGAUCUAGUGACUAUUCUAGACUAAUGCUAGACCUUUUGCUAGCUCUAAAUUUGAGUAUAACAUUUUCAUGAUCAUUUUUUCUUAAUCUCUUGAUUAAUAUUGCAACACUCUAGGCUUCUAUUCAAUAAUCUAGUUCUGUAGAUUGAUGUAGGCUAUUUUAGAUUAAUAAUGUGCAUUAUUUUCAACACUCAUCUUUCGCUGUUCUAUCUUAUGCUGGUUGGUAAACUAAGUUGCUAGCUUCUUGGUGAUCGAUCAUGUUGAAGUGCUUUAAACUUUAUUAUAUGGACUGUAUAUGCGGUCUUUGAGUUGUAAUGUUGUAUAUUAUUCCUUCUUCUUUGUCUAUUAAUUUAGAAUGGAUGGAGCGACGGGCAAAAUCGACCAGUUUAUGGAACUUCAACAACAAGAUAAGCAAUAUCAGGUCAGAUUAUACACACUUGACAUUUGACAAGACCUGCGUGGCAUCAAUGACUCGUUCAUCAUCAAUCCAGAACAUAUGAGUCCCAGCUCCCUGCAUGCAUGAGUACAACUUUCCUGAGCCAUCACGCUCCGUCCAUGCAACCCGACGACUCAGAGAGCCGGAGAGCUUCGCCACCACACUGAUCCUAGCUAGCCACGCCGCCGCCUUGUAUCAUGGAGAGUUAAUUAGAUGUAUAAUGAGUAAUUUAUAGUCUCUUAGAUAAGUAAAAAACUUAAUAUAAUAAGGCUCUAAUAUAUUCUCGGUGGAAAAGGAAAAUUGAGAGGAUACGAAACAGAAACCUAGGGUUUACAGAGAGAUAUGGAGAAGAAAGGCAGAAACGCGAUUGCGGCAGGGGGUAGCAACAUGCCGAGCCUAUACAUGUGUUUCCAGGUACAUAAGUCCGAUAAUUCGACACGAUGGAUGGUUCAAUCCAUCAUUUUCAAGUUUUCAACCAUCUUAUUACUUGUUCUUCUUCUUCUUCUUCAAACCCUAACCCUUUAACACGGGAAGUGUUUAACACCAGCCCGGAUCCGAAAUUCAAAAUCCCAUAUAAGGCCGGCUGUUGCUGUGUCUCCGGGUCCAAAAUUAUGUUCGGCGGCGGCUGGCACUUCCCAGAGCCAGAGGACUGGAAGGUCAGAGGCCAUCAAGCUUCUAAUGAGAUUUUUGAGUUUGAUGAGACCAAUGAUGCCCCCGAGCUGAAGAGAAGCGAGAUGCGAUUUUCAAAGGGGAAAUCCCAAACAAUGAUGAUGACUCUGCCGGACAGUAAACUCUAUGCUCUAGGAUUCCCUGAAACAAACCUACACCCAGACCUCAAGUACUUGCCGCCUUUUGAGGUAUUCGACUUUAAAGAGCAAACAUGGUCAAUUCUGCCGCACCCUCCAUUCGAUGAUCUUGUAGGUUCUCCUAGUCAUUUCGAUUUGUGCUAUGCAAGUGUGGAUACCAGCAUCCUUCUCUCCGCUCAGAAUACCGACAUCUAGCGCUUUGAUGCAGCCUUCCCUUCUAAAGGAUGGACAGUAUACACACUGCAACACCGCUGCCGGGUUCUCUUGGCAGAGCUUUAGUGGUGAACCACAGCAAGGACCACUACAUUAUGUUUGGUUAUCAGUCCUGUCAUCGAGCCAGUCAAGACAUCCGCAAUUUUACCAUCGGAGUCCAUCUUAUGGACAAAAAUGAUUACUCGUGGACACAUAUCGCCUCUCUCCUUGUUCUGCCACCUGACAUUCAUUCUCAGUUGCCUCGUCUAUUUUUUUCCGGUAGAGCGGUAUAGUAUUGUCCAUCUUAAAGGUCGAAUUAUAUGCCUUUUCUCGCCAAAUUCCUGAGAUCCAUUCACAACUAUGGUAAGGACUAAGGACAAGUUCUCUUGUGCUUUAGUCACAUUUGAAUAUUGAAGAAAACUGGACACAAAACCUUGUGGAAGUUUUUCUGAUAUAUUUCUUGAUGAACAAAAGGAUUAAUUACAAAUCUAAUCUAUAUAGAGAAAAGUGAGAUAGAACAGACUCCUUCUCCUUUUCACGUCACUCUAAUAGCUGUCAAACCGAAAACAAGGACACAAAGAGAAAAGCUAUACAAGUAAAGUAAAAUGUAAGAUGUACAGUAGAAAGUGAGACAUGAAAAUAUCCAAAGGACAAUAGACUUCUACUUCCAAUACUCCCCCUCAAGCUGGAUCAAGGAGAUUCAUUGGGCCAAGCUUGCUCAAGAGUCGAUGAAAUUGAGCAGCGGAAAGAGAUUUGGUAAAGAUGUUAGCCAAUUGGUCUUGGCUGCGAAUGUAAUGUGUAUCAAUAACCUUGAACUGAACUUGAGCUUGUAUAUAAUGACAAUUGACCUCUAUAUGCUUGGUUCUCUCAUGAAAAACAGGAUUAGAGGCAAUGUGCAUUGCAGCUUAAUUAUCACAAUAAGAGAUAUGGGUUGGUUGCUAGGAGAUCCCCAAUCAGACAACAAUCCUUUCAGCCAAAUAAAUUCACAAGCAGUGGAAGCCAUAGCUCGAUAUUCAGCUUCGGCACUAGAACGAGCAACAACAGUUUGUUUCUUGCUUCUCCAACUGACCAAGUUACCACCUACAAAGGUACAAAAACCUGUAGUGGACUUACGAUCAAGAGAAUUUCCUACCCAAUCAGCAUCUGUGUAGCCCAUGAUGUUAGUAUGACCAUUUGGUUUCAUCAAGAUUCCUCUCCCAACAUAUCCUUUUAGGUAGCGAAGGAUGAGCUUGACAAUAUGAAGAUGAGCCAUGGUAGGAGCAUGCAUGAACUGACUUACUAUGCUUACUGCAUAAGUUAUAUCAGGUCGAGUGAUAGUAAGAUAGAUAAGCUUACCCACAAGCCUUUGAUAAAAUCUGAUAUUCGGGAGAGACUCACUGGAAACAUCCAACUGAAACUUGUUGUCGAGGGGAGUGCUAGCAUGCCUGAUAUCCCACUUGCUGUCAAGGGGAGUGCUGGUAGGCUUGCUAUCCCACAUUCCUGCAUCUUUCAAUAGAUCAAGAGUAUACUUCCUUUGAUUGAAAAACAAUCAUUUAUGAGAAGUGGCCAUCUCUAUUCCCAAGAAAUACUUAUUAAAGACUCUCAAAUCCUUAAUAGCAAACUUGCUAUAAAGAGAUUGUUUGAGAACAUUAAUCUCUUCAAGGUUAUCACCUGUAACAAUCAAAUCAUCAACAUAAAUAAGCACAACAAACUUACUAGUUGAACCAAUCCAAACAAAUAGAGAGGAAUCAACAUUGCUCCUACGAAAACCAACUUCUUCAAGGACUGAACUAAGUUUGGCAUACCAUGCACGUGGAGAUUUCUUUAAGCCAUAAAUUGCUUUAUGAAGUCUACACACCGCAUCCGGAUCAUAAGAUUGAGAAUGACUAAGAGGAAGCUUCAUAUACACCUCAUCUUCUAGAUCACCAUGUAAAAAAGCAUUUUUUACAUCUAUUUGGUAAAGAGGCCAAAAAUGGUUCACUGCAGCUGAUAGCAAAACCCUAUGGUGCUCAUUUUCGCAACAGGAGGAAAGAUCUCCUUGUAGUCUACUCCAUAGGUUUGAGUAAACCCACGAGCUACCAAUCGUGCCUUGUGUCUAUCCACACUCCCAUCAAAAUGAAACUUGGUCUUGUAUACCCAUCUACUACCAACAACCUUCAUCCCUUUAGGAACGCUUACCACACUCCAUGUCUUAUUUUCAUUAAGAGCAUGAAGCUCAUCAGCCAUAGCUUACUUCCAUACAUCAUGAUUAUUGGCUUCCUCAAAACUUUGAAGUUCAUGAUUAAUAUCAAGAGUACUCAAAAAGGUAGAGUGAGUAUAAGAGAACCUUUUAUAAGAGAUGAAGGCAGUCAUUGGAUACCUCGCAACAUAUGUCACAUAAUCCUUAAGCUUUGCUGGAUGACCUCGUACUCGCAUUGCAUUUCUACGAGGUACAACUGGAGGUGAAGGAAGCGGCUCAACAAUAGGUUGCACAUGUAAUUCAGAUUGAUCAACAUCUGGAUCAAGAGGCAUUGCCUGAACUUCUGAAACUAGAGCAGUAGAAUGAGAAGAUUGACUGGAAUCCCUAACAACAGGAUGACUGAAACUUGAAGCUAGAACUGGAACAGUAGGAUGGAAAGGUUGUCUGCUAUCCUCAUCGACAGAAAGAUUGGGUGUUGGAAACAGAUCAAAUAAAGACUCCCGCUGACUGUAACCAUCUGAUUUCCCAGCAAAGAAAGAAGUAUUCUCAUCAAAUUCUCAUCAAAUCUAACAUCCUUGGAAACAAUAAUCCUUCUAGAAGAAAGGUUGUAGCAUUUGUACCCUUUUUGAUGGAUGAAUACCCCAAAAACACACACUUUUCAGCCCGAGGAUCAAGUUUCCCUCUUUUAUUAGCUUGUAUGUGAACAAAGCAAACACCACCAAACACUUUAAGGUGAGAGAUAUCAAUUUUCAUUCCUUUCAACACUUCAAGAGGAGAUUUGCCACCAAACACUCUACUAGGUAAUUGAUUAAUGAGAUAAGUGGCAGUGAGCACACUUUGAGACCAAAAGAUCUUUGGUACAUUCAUUUGAAACAUUAGAGCUCUUGUUUUCUCAAGGAGAUCCUGAUUUUUCCUUUCAGCAAUUCCAUUUUGCUGAGCAGUACCAACACAACUAGUCUGAUGUAAAAUUCUAUGUGUGCUCAAGUAUUGACACAUGUUAUUGGACAUAUACUUAGAACCAUUAUCAGAUCUUAAAACAUGAAUAACUGAUGAGAACUGAGUCUGAACAAGAUUAUGAAAAUCCUUAAAAACAUUCAGAGCUUCACGUUUGAAUUUCAAAAGAUAUAACCAAGUAAUCCUUGUAAAAUCAUCAACAAAGAUUAUAAAAUGCUUAAAACUAUCAUGUGACUCAAGAACAGGACCCCAAAGGUCAGAAUGAACAAUUUCAAAAGGUCUAUGCAUGAGCCCUUGAUAGAGAAUUUGGAAAAGGCAAUCUAGAAGAUUUUGACAAAUGACAAACAUCACAUUGUUUGUCUGAUUUGCACAUAUUUGAAACAAAGAUGACAUCACUUUUUCAUAUGNNNNNNNNNNNNNNNNNNNNNNNNNNNNNNNNNNNNNNNNNNNNNNNNNNNNNNNNNNNNNNNNNNNNNNNNNNNNNNNNNNNNNNNNNNNNNNNNNNNNNNNNNNNNNNNNNNNNNNNNNNNNNNNNNNNNNNNNNNNNNNNNNNNNNNNNNNNNNNNNNNNNNNNNNNNNNNNNNNNNNNNNNNNNNNNNNNNNNNNNNNNNNNNNNNNNNNNNNNNNNNNNNNNNNNNNNNNNNNNNNNNNNNNNNNNNNNNNNNNNNNNNNNNNNNNNNNNNNNNNNNNNNNNNNNNNNNNNNNNNNNNNNNNNNNNNNNNNNNNNNNNNNNNNNNNNNNNNNNNNNNNNNNNNNNNNNNNNNNNNNNNNNNNNNNNNNNNNNNNNNNNNNNNNNNNNNNNNNNNNNNNNNNNNNNNNNNNNNNNNNNNNNNNNNNNNNNNNNNNNNNNNNNNNNNNNNNNNNNNNNNNNNNNNNNNNNNNNNNNNNNNNNNNNNNNNNNNNNNNNNNNNNNNNNNNNNNNNNNNNNNNNNNNNNNNNNNNNNNNNNNNNNNNNNNNNNNNNNNNNNNNNNNNNNNNNNNNNNNNNNNNNNNNNNNNNNNNNNNNNNNNNNNNNNNNNNNNNNNNNNNNNNNNNNNNNNNNNNNNNNNNNNNNNNNNNNNNNNNNNNNNNNNNNNNNNNNNNNNNNNNNNNNNNNNNNNNNNNNNNNNNNNNNNNNNNNNNNNNNNNNNNNNNNNNNNNNNNNNNNNNNNNNNNNNNNNNNNNNNNNNNNNNNNNNNNNNNNNNNNNNNNNNNNNNNNNNNNNNNNNNNNNNNNNNNNNNNNNNNNNNNNNNNNNNNNNNNNNNNNNNNNNNNNNNNNNNNNNNNNNNNNNNGUACUACUAUAUAUAUAUAUAUAUAUAUAUAUAUAUAUAUAUAUAUAUAUCAAUUGUCUUUCCCAUUUUCUCUAUCGGAAAGGUACAUGUUGUGGACAAACUACAUUGAAUUGUGGUUUUUAAUCUGCCUCAACUGCAUUAGGUCGUAAUAUUUGUGGCAUCCUUAAGUAUCCUUUUGGCAAUUGGCAUGUUUCUCAGGUGGUGUUUGUUUUCUGGGCUGCAGCUCCAUGCUCUAGAAAGACAAUAUUUAGAGGAUUAAGAUAUUAGAGUAGGAAUAGCUAGAGCUUGAGCCAACUUCAACUACAUUCUUUCAUUCAUACAAGAGGUCACACAUAUACGUACGUAGUUGAUGUUCACCAACAUAGUCAUUAGUGGUCGUGUACUUCCGAUCUAGUUGGACUAUUAUAGACUAAUGCUAGACCUUUUGCUAGCUCUAAAUAUGAGUAUUACAUUUUCAUGGUCGUUUUUCCUUAAUCUAGAUUAAUCUUGCAACACUCUAGGCUUCUAUUCAAUAAUCUAGAUUCUGUAGAUUGAUGUAGGCUAUUUUAGAUCAACAAUGUGCAUUAUUUUCAACACUUAUCUUUCGCUGUUCAAUCUUAUGCUGGUUGGUAAGUGAGUUGCUAGUUUCAUGGUAUCAAUCAUGUUGAAGUGCUUUAAACUUUAUAUUUGAUGUUGUAUAAUCAAGAUUGUAAUAUAUAAGUCCCUGCCCCAUCCAUAUAUGCAAGGGUAAAGUGCAGCUUUCCUGAGCCAUCACGCUCCGUCCAUGCAACGUACCCGACGACUCAGAGAGCCGGAGAGCUUCACCACCACCCCGAUCCUAGCCACGCUGCCGACUUAGAUCAUGGAGAGUUAAUUAGAUCUUUAAUGAGUAAUUUAUAGUCUAGUAGAUAAAUAAAAAUUUAAUAAGUUAAUAUAAGGAUCUAGUUCUCGGUGGAAAAGGAAAAGAAAACUGAGUCUACGAAACAAAAACCUAGGGUUUACAGAGAGAUAUGGAGAAGAAAGGCAUAAACGCGAUUGCGGCAAGGGGUAGCAACAUGCCGAGCCUGUACAUGUGUUUCGACUUUCGAGGUAUAUGAGUCCAUUGAAUCGGCACGAUGGAUGGUUCAAUCCAUCAAUCUUGCCGAUCUUAUUACUUGUUCUUCUUCUUCUUCAAACCCUAAUCCUAUAAUACGAGAAGUGCUUCACACCGCCCCAGAUCUAAAAGUCCCAUAUAACGCCGGCUGCUGCUGUGUCUCCCGGUCCAAAAUUAUGUUCGGAGGCGGCUAUCAAUUCCCGAUUCCCAAUCAACGCUAUCAAAUUUCUGAUCAGAUUUAUGAGUUUGAUGAGACCGAUGAGCUGAAGAUAAGCGACAAGAAAUUGUCAAAGGGGAAAUCCCAAACCAUGAUGAUGACUCUGCCCGACGGUAAACUCUAUGCUCUAGGAUUCCCCGAACCAAACCCAACACCAGACCACAAGUACUUGCCGCCUUUUGAGGUAUUCGACUUUAAAGAGCAAACAUGGUCAAUUCUGCCGGACCCUCCAUUUGAUGAUCUUGUAGGUUCUCCUAGUAGUUUCAAUUGGUGCUAUGCAACUGUAGACACCAGCAUCCUUCUCUCCGCUGAGAAUUCGUGCACCUACCGCUUUGAUGCAGCCUGCCCUUCUAAAGAAUGGAAAGUACACACUGCAGCACCGCUGCCGUGCUCUAUUGGCAGAGCUUUAGUGUUGAACCACAGCAGCGAUUACAACAUUAUGUUUGGUUACGACUCCUGUUAUGGAGCCAGUCAAGACAUCCGUAACUUCACCAUCGGAGUCCAUCUUAUGGACAACAGUGAUUACUCCUGGACACAUAUCACCUCUCUCCUUGUUCUGCCACCUGAGAUUCUAGCUCGGUUGCCUCGUCACUUUUUUCCGGUACGGCAGUAUAGUAUUGUCCAUUUUGGAGGUCGAAUCAUAUGCCUUGUUCUUCACAAAUUCCUGAAAUCCAAACAGGCAUGUGGGUGUGAUAUGAAUCCUACUAGAGAUACAGAUAUGAACAGUAUCUCUUGUGCUGUAGUCACAUUUGAAUAUUGUCUAUCACCCUACUCCAAGACCAUCAAGUUCAACAUCCUGGGUUUCCGCCUCCUUAAAUUUGAUGACGGAUAUGGAGCUAGUAUGCUUGGUGCCUUUUUGGUGGGGAAAGUUUUAUUCCUGAUCACGACUUCCAUGUCAGCAUAAUUCUCAUAGCUAAUGAUAUCUUGGCUUUGCUUGGUUUGAUUAUGUUGUUGUUCAUCAUGUCCUUCUAAUUUGAGGCAAGGACACCAGCCUCCCUUCAGUUUGUUCUAUUACUUGCUCUUAAGCAUGAUUUUUUUUCUUUGUUCUUUUUUUCUUUGUUCUACCUUUCUAUAAAUCUGUUGCUCCGCUAUUAUCGUUCAGUUCAUCUACCACUACUCAUAAUUCAUUUGCAUGUAUUAGCAAGGAUCCAGUACAAGAUGACAAUCCCUAUGGUGGUAAAUUCCCAAAAGCAACCAAGGUGAUAAUUCUUUUUCGAAAUAUUCUUACCCAGGUGUUUUCUAAGUGGCAAUGGCUUUACAGAUCAUGUUUUCUUUUGUUUUUAGGGCAUUACGCUAAAAACAAGACAAGAACUACCCGAUUCUCUUUUUGAAAGGAAACCACCUCUUCUGUGGCAACGAUGGCAAAUGUGGGUUGUAUUCUAAACCACUCCUCGAUUGUUCCUAGUUCUGCCUCUCAGCAAAAUUACUAUUUCCCAUCUUGUUCAUUAGGGCCUGAUAGUGUCUCCCCUGCGCUGAUUACAUAACUCGCAUUGGUGGCAACAGUUAUAAAUAUUCACAACAAUAUGCUGGCCACUAUUCUAUUCUGGCUGGACCUGGCAAUGCGUAUCCAAAUACUCAUUCUGUAAGUUGAUUUGAACAAUAUUCAUGCCACCUUUAUAUUUACUUCGAAUUCUUUUCCGUGGUGUUAGUGUAUAUUUCAGGGUGUUUGUGUGUGUGUGUGUGCGUGUCUGUCAUAACGCUCAAGGACAUGGUUGUAUGAUACUAAUCGAAUCAGUGUUAUAUAUGAUAAAAGAGUAAAUGUCUACGUACAUUAUAAGGAUUGUUAAAGUUGAAUAUAUUCAUCUCUGUUACAUGUUUCUGGUUUUUAUUUAUGUUUUCUGUUGGGUUGUUUUUGUUGGCUGGAGGCAAAGCUGGGUACCAAACCUUGUUCAGGCUGGACCGGCAUAUGUUUGUCCAAAUUGUCAUGCUGUAAGUAAUCAGUCAACUUCUUUUCUAAGGAGUCAGUCCCAAGAUCAACCUACAGGAGGGAAUACAUGAGGACUUAUCACUGAGGAUGAGAUUAUGAGUACGUACAAUUCGUCUGACGAUCAAUGAGAAUAUGACUACGAUUCGUCAACGUCAUUAGAUGUUGAUCAUGGAGAACCUACUCACUAUCGGCCUUGCUAUUUCUUCGUUUGAUACACUAUGCGGGCUAGUUACCUUUGUGUCAUACAUUAAAUAUACGUGUAACAUUAUUGUAUGACAUUAAUAUAAAUGCUUUUCGAUGAAUUUUAAGUGUCUGAUGUCCUAGUUAUUUUCCUAUGGCUUCUGCUGCAUCUAAAAAUGUUGAAAGUGUUUUUGAGUUCAUGUUUAGCUCUGUAUAUGGCUCAUUAGUAAUUUGACAAAAUAUAUUCAGUAUGGCCAAAUGCCAUUCUCUUUGUUUCUGCUAUUUCAUAGAUUCUGAGAUUCAAGGUUCUUACAAGUUAAAGCACAACACUAAUGAUUGCCCACCAAGUUUAACCAUUGAUUUGAUUUUUUCCUCAGCCUCUCAGUAACUUGUUUGGUUGAGAUUGUUGUUUAGUUUCAAUAUAUUAGAGCCUUUUUCUUAAACGAGAUUCUACUUUGUUUCAAUGCAACUUUCUGUAUGCUUUUUUGUAUGUUUCAUUCUCCGUUUCGUUCUGGUGUGAUUUGUGCUUACAACAGUACUUUUUUCUUCUUUUUUUUUUUUCUUUUUUUGAAAUAACUGGAAUGUACUUUAUAAUCAAGGUUUAUCAAAAUUUUCCUCAAAGGGCAAAUAUAACAGUUAAAUUCGACUCUCCAAAUAAUUACUUUACCUCUUCAAAAACCGAUAACCAAGACCCUAUGUUCUUUAUCUAAUUGAUCUCGAUCUGCUCUGCCAUUUGAAAUGUACAACCAAUUCCCCAAUCUCCAAUUCCAAUAAGGGCACAGAGAGGGACUUCAGCAAUUUCCUCAGAAAUCACGUCAAAAAUGGCUGGGGAAUGUACCGUCCCAUUGUGUUUAUGGAUGAGACUGGCUUGAUUGCAGUAGUGGGGAAGUUUAGAGGAGGAUUGUUUCUCAACUCUUGACUGAGAAGAUCAAGAGACAUCAGAUGCCGAGAUGCUUAGCUCCAUAAAAGUCGGAAAGGAUUUCGAAAACGGAUGUUAUUGAGGGAAGGAGACAGUUCAGUAUCCCGUACAGCAUCCUGAGAUGUUUGAGAAAUAUGGGAUGUCACCCUCAAAAGGGGGUUCUUUUUUAUGGCCCUCCUGGAUGUGGUGACUCUUUUUUGAUGAACUCGAUCCUAUUGCUAGAGAAGUAAUGUUGCAGGUUGUGGCGGUGGUGCUGAUCGGGUACCGACUCAUUACAGAAACGGAUGGACUGUCUGCCAAGAAAACUGUCUUUGUUAUAGGUGCCGCCAUCAGACCUGAGAUUAUAGACCUGACUAAGAUAAAUUUCAGACAGGUCUGGGUAAAUGAGAAAGUAAAUGACCGGAGUAAAUGACACAAAAUGAACAGAAGUCUAAACAGAUCAAGGGAAAGAGAAUUCGCUGAAUGAAUCAUGAAAAAAAAAAAAAAAAAAAAAAAAGGGAACAUCAGUGAUAUAAAAAUCACUUUUCAUUGAUAAUAUUUGAAUUGUUUUCACAAAGUUAUAUAGAUCAUAUGAACAACAUGAUCCCUAUCCAAUGGUGAGUUACAGAUCAAUACAAAAUGAGCUAGGAUUGACAAAAGCACCUUACUUUUUCAGCAAAGUGAAAUUAAAUUCUGUUAUGAACCUCAACGACAUCUUGAACAUAUACACGCCCGGAACAAGAAGAGGAACCAGCUUGAUGAAAAAAACAGCUGAGUCACUUGCUUCUCAUGACGUCAAAGCAAGAUAACUAGAGCUCUGCAAUACUAUCGAUAACAAUCUGCUACCAAGGAGCUCCCCGGAUCAUAUUUUACAUCAAGAAUUUUCUGCAUAAAAGAAGGUUGUAUUAAGUAAAUAGGCAUUUCAAAAAGUUUUACUUACUAGGUAUGUACAAGUUUGGUAGUAUCAUCCCUCAUCAUUACAUGAAGUUGAAUGUACUGUUUUUAACAAGUAUGUAGGGAGUGUGCCUGUAUAAGUGUGUGUGUAAAUGUCCUUGAUUCUUGAUUGCCAAAGUUUUACAUGAUGGACGCUGACUGUCCGUGAACACAGAUCUCAGACUAGAUGCCACAAUUUCUUUUGCACAGAGAUAAUACGAACCCCAAAGAUAAUCCAAAGAUAAUAUAGCAACUUAUCAUUAUUCUAUUGAGUAGAAUAUAGCAACUGACCCUUGUUCUCUCUAGAACCUCCCUCCACAAGUUAUAUGUGGCAUAUAUACAUAUAUAUACCCCUAUAUAAUAUAUACAAUAUAAACUGGAAAAAUGCUAGGAAAUCCAGUUAUUAAUGAAAGGUAACAAAGGCACAGUAAAGACGUCACAUCUCCUUGUACCAACCUUAAUUAUUCUCCUGUCCAAUCUAUUAAUUCACUGCGAGGCGCAUAAAGCUUUGUCCCUCGCUCUUCCACAUCGUUAACCACCCCCCGGCAUCUCGGAAAACCACAAUAACAUGCAAGUUGUUCAUCGAUUGAAAAGAAUCUGUAAAAUAAAGGAAUAAAGGAGAAAGUUAGCACCUUAGAUACAAAAGUAGAAACCGCAAGCACAGUAAGAAUCGAGAAGAACCUGUAAUCAUAUGUAAGUUCUUCCCAUCUUUUAAUGUCUCUCUUUGCAAAAAUAAUUAUGUGCUCAUCUGAAUUCACACUUAUGACUCUUGAGUAGCAAUUCGGCUGCAACCAAGAAAGGUGAUUCAGGUCAGGAAAUAACCAAACAUAGAUGUAGAAUUCACAAAGCAUAAAUGUUCAUAAUAUUCAAACAAUGCAUAUAUAGAAUUAUAUAUUUCAAUCAUAUCAAAAUUGAUUAAACAAGUAGGAAGGGGAAACCAAAAGCUGCAGAUAGAAAGCAUCAAAUGACAAGAAAGUAGAAUAAUGCAGGAUCCAAUUUACAAAUGAAUUAUCUUCCCACUCCACAUGUUUAAGCUAACAGCAAAAUCAACCAGUUUAUGAAACUUCAAACACCAGAUAAGCAAGUCAGGUCAGAUUAUACGCACCUCACAAGAAUGAUUGAUCAGGUGAGCAACACUUCCAGCCCGUGUGGCAUCAAUGACUCGUUCAUCAUCAAUCCGGAACAUAUAAGUCCCAGCCCCCUGCAUGGGCAUUGUUUUCUCAAUUUAUAUGGAAGUCAAAAUACGUACAAGUUACUGAAUGAUAGAUAAUUUUAUUUAUUUGGAUAACAAUAUGAAUACUAGAAGAUCAUAGAAGAAGAAGAUAUGCUUUGCAGAUGCCAGAAUCUUGGGGAAAGACUUAGCUAGAGACUAACUGAUUCUUAGUUCUGAAACUAUAGUAUAAAACAUUUUAGAAAUUGAUGAACAAAUCAAACCAAUAGAAUCUGCAACUCUUUGUUCUUUUGGAUCAUUUGAGUGCAUUAGAGUGUCUUAGAUUAAACCCAAAAGCUUAAGCAUACACGUGGGAUACAUUUACAACUCGUGUAAUCCAUUACCCCAAGUGCCUUCUUCUACAUUCUAGUGAAUUUAUAGUUAGCAUUUAACAAUGAAAAAUAAAGACUUAGAACAGAAUUGUCCCAUAUGCACAAUGGGAGGACUUGAACUGAACAGUAAAAACUGGUUCUCCCUCUCCCAACUGUCCAAAAAGUGCACGAGAAGAUACAUCCUAAGUAAACAAUGCAAUGCUGUAGGAAAAAGUACUUGCCACGCCAUGAGGAACUAAAACCAUCAAAGAAUUGAGCGAACACCAACUCACAACCACUGAACAAAGCAAAAUUUUCAGAAUGUCUUGUUUCCGUUUCAAGACAAUUCUUUUCCUCACAACAGAAGACAUCAGAUCAAGCCUGCACUUGAUUCCUUAAUCCAGUUUAUCAUGUUUUCUUUAAAUAAAAAAAUUAAAAUUAAGCAAAAAUUAAACUUCAAGUUUAAACCUCACUCUGUUUUCUGGGCAGUUGCCCCUUUCGGGAAAAGGAAAAAAAAAAAAAAAACCCUCACUCUCUUUCAUGUUUCCUGUUCCCAUUUCUCAUCCAGAAAACUAUAUAUAUUGUCGCUCAUUUCCACCAGAUCCACAAGUGUAGCAAAAGUUUUCUUGGAAUAAAAAUUAUUCUUCUCGUCACUAAACAAACAAACUCCUCUUCCAAAUUGUCCAACCUCAAAACCCAUUUUUAUAACCCCAAAUUUACCAAAACACCUCAUCUUAUAUAUUUUCCUCUCCUUCAACUACUUCAAAUUCUAGGCUAACAGAAAUUUAGGAGUCAACCACCUUUAAAGCUCACAGCCAACAACUGUUUUAAAAUCUAAACAGAAAGGACUCCCAGUAUUGCCUCAUACCAAUAAUACCAGUUUUCUGCUUUAUCCAACAAGCAUAUAUAGGCAUCUUCCUCUUUAAGAAACACCCAAAAGUAAAAUCUAUUUGCACUCCUAUGGAUCCCAUAAUCAAUUCUUCAGUGACUAAUAAAAAAGAUCACUCGAGAAAGAAUCAAGAUGAGUGCUUUAAUAUCCCUUCGUGUGUGAAUAUAUCCAUCCAAGAAGACUCGCAGUAUAGGUCAGACAAUUACUCACAUUCCACAGGGAGGUGAUUCACAAUUUCACUUAACAAUAAUCUGUGUGGCAGUGCCAUGCUAGCGAGCACAACCCCAUGAGGCAAGAUAAUCAAAAGAUCAAAGGGAGUCGGUGCACGAAAUGUCCUAUACAGUAUAAUGCAUGCUCUAGUGAUUAGUGAUCACUAAAACCAACAUACCCCAGAAUAAAUUAAAAAAGUAAAUCAUGUGGAUCAUUUAAAACCGACAUAAAGCAAGAGAGCCUUAUAUGUUUGAAUGAAUCAGCAAUGACCUUUUUGAAUAACUUACCACCAAUGAAUUAUAUAUGAAUCGCUCUCUCCUGUCAGCUAUAGGAGGUCUGACAAGUUCACCAGUGUAUUCAAUCACCUGCAAAAAGAUGAGAUAAGCAAUCCAUAGUCUUCUGUAGGAAAUUAGAAUGAACAAAGAAUGUUAUUAUACCAUGUCGCCCGCUCUAUGUGGGUGCUUCGCAAAUAUACCAAACCCAUGAAUUCCUGAUUUUCCUAAUAAAAAAAAGUUGCAAGAAGAAUAAAUUAAAAAGCAACAAUAAUAAUAGUAAUAUAUAACAGACCCAUGCAAACAUCCAGAAAAUACACAUGAUAGGAACCGGUGGAACGAAUGCUUAAGUUCAACAAUGCUUCAGCAUAUAAGUAUGCAUGUGUAUUUUGUUUAAUACAUUACAANNNNNNNNNNNNNNNNNNNNNNNNNNNNNNNNNNNNNNNNNNNNNNNNNNNNNNNNNNNNNNNNNNNNNNNNNNNNNNNNNNNNNNNNNNNNNNNNNNNNNNNNNNNNNNNNNNNNNNNNNNNNNNNNNNNNNNNNNNNNNNNNNNNNNNNNNNNNNNNNNNNNNNNNNNNNNNNNNNNNNNNNNNNNNNNNNNNNNNNNNNNNNNNNNNNNNNNNNNNNNNNNNNNNNNNNNNNNNNNNNNNNNNNNNNNNNNNNNNNNNNNNNNNNNNNNNNNNNNNNNNNNNNNNNGGUCCUGUCUAUUUUUAUUCAAUGAUAUUCUGCAUAUUAUGAUCUUAUCUAAAAAAGAAAAUCAUGCAAAGGGAAAGUCAAAUUUUAAGGGGAUUAUUAUUUCAACGUGACAAGAAUUUUUUUUUUUUUUAAAUAAUAGAACAAUAAGCAUAUACAACUAACCACAUCUGUUAUACCUUAAAUUAGAUUUUACAAUUUCUUAAAUGCUGAGAACACAAGGGGAUAAUUAGAUUUUAUCGCUUACUAGAUAAAUUUCUGAAAAUCCUAGAAUAAUAGAACAAUAAAAAUCUACAAUUAAACAUGAGUGCAGUUACACUACAGAGUUAUUAGCUCAAAUCACACGUACAAAUUAAAAUUCUCAAAACGUACAAUAAAGACGAAGGUGUUGAGUACUUGCUUUAGAAUUUAAAACGUAUAUCUUACCAAACGCUAGUCUUUUCCGAAAAGUAUCCCUCAUGUACUUAUACUUCUCAGCCAUAGAAAGUAUAUCGGUAGGAGCAUCAAGUUGAGAAGCUUUCAGCCUCUCAAGCCUAGAGCUGAACUUUGAGCCAACAACACCAUUGGGAGGCAGUGGGUUGCUUGACAAUUGGUGUUGGCUGUACCCACCAACUAAGUAAGGUUGGUUCUCAACAAACAAACGCUUUAAGGAUGCAGCAGCUAUUGCUUCAGGUUCUUUUCUCCCUCUUCUACAAGAGUAAUUGUAGGGCUCUGCCCAAGGAUUGAAAAUAGAGAUUAUUUAACAACAUUAAUCAAUUUCGUAGAAAUUAGAAACUAAAUAGUUAUCAAAUUGGUGCUGAGGAGCUGCAGGUGUUAGAUUCCAGGCAUAAGUGUCAUAGAGGUAUUGUUCUCAAACACUAUUUACAUCGGGAGGACUUCAGAGUUUUAGUUCUUAGCUCUAAUAUGUGUUAUUUAGCUUUGACUAAAAACUGGCGGUGCCAAAGUAUAAAUUAACAACAACUCACACAUGAUAGUGUCCCUAAAUAAAGAAAGAAUAUUAUAAUAUCAUGACAUCUGUUACAAAAUCUUCCUAGAACUGCUCAGGCACCAGUCUACACACCGCAUACCACAAAAAGUGGAACAUUUUAACGUAACUUUAAUGGGACUUGAAUUGAUAACAAUAAUACUCAUAAAGCAUAAACAUACCAGUACGAGCACAUCCAGAUGGAUUAGAUGGUGGGCUGUAGUCUGAACAUCGACGCACAGUUCGACCAAUGCGGUCACCAGCCAUUGAACGGUCAUUAGAUGGCUGCUUAUGCUUCUUGCAAAAGGAAAGGAAACGAAUGCAUUGACCUUCUUCAUCAUCAUCUACUGAAAGAAGAUGCAGUCUCUCUUCAUCCUCGAGCUUUGCAGUUAUUAGCGAGAGAGAGAGAGAGAGAGAGAGAGAGAGAGAGAGAGAGAUCAGUANNNNNNNNNNNNNNNNNNNNAGUAUAGAAACUUCAUGAUGGAUUAUUUAAGGUAAAAUUUGAGCUCUUAUUUCCAAAAAAAAAUAAUAAUAAUAAUGAUGGAUAUAACAUAAAACCAUUAUCUAGAAAUGGAGAAUAACUACCUCAACACAAAGACCAGCAGCGCGUGCACAAAGUGGAUGAUAUGCGGCAUAACAAGUAUGGUUUGAACACUACCAAAAUAGUAAAAGACAAAUGUGAAAAUUCAAAACAACAAUUAUCAAUCUUGAUGCAAAGAUAUGAGAAGAAAUCUUGAUACAUUUAAGUCUGCCCCAAUAGAUUAGAGAAGAAAUCAAUAUGUAUAUAUUUUAAGUAGUACAACAUAUAGCAGUGACAAUGCCAAAAUUUAUCACACUCGUGUAAGGAAAUCAAGACGCUCCAUGAUGAUUUAACUGGAGCAAGUUUCUGUCAACGCAUAUUAUUUUUUUUUUUUCCUUUUCAUUAUAUAUCCACAGAUAACCCCAAAACGCUUCACAAAUCCAGGAUUGAAACCGGGCCUCCUGUCAAACCCGGGAACAUUUAUGAGUAAGUAUGGACAGAGCUUCUUUAACGGCUUCAUGGCUUAUGCAUCGAGUUUUGAAGUUUUCUCGACCUAUUUCACCCCACAGCUCAGCUUAUUUAUUUAUGAGCCACACCCCCUACGGCCUAAGCCCAGCUAUCAUUAUAAUUCCAUCACCUCCCAGGUCCACAUUGGAACAAAUUCUAGCAAAUAUCUAGGUAGAUACCAUGAAGGAUUUCAAACCCCAAACCUGAUGGGAGCAAACCAAGGGCCUGAUAGUUUCCUACCAACCUUAGUUCAUAGUUUCUGCUGAAACAUAAUUGCUACGCAGAUCUAAUUGCAUAAGUUUCUCUGUAGCACACCUACUAUCUAAGGAGCAGCAUUGAUUCUCUCAACACCGAUUGACAAUCUCCCCAUCGUAAACACAAAGGAUAAAGUUGUCAAGGUAAUGGACUAAUAAUUGUUCUGUAGCAACAACCAAAAAGUCCAAACAUGAUUAUGAUGACCGAAUUUAGUCACAUACUUUCUCUACCCAUUGGCAUCCACCUGUUAUCUUUUCCCCUGCUGUUUAAAAUUAACACUACUGUAGCACACAACAGAUGAAGGUGAAUAAGCAGUUCUACUUCUUAACGGUAUUGAAAGCGCCAAUAAUACCGCAGACACUAAAGGUCAAUACUGCAAAAAAACUCUCUUGGGGCCAAAGUGGUGAGGGGGGUAGGAAUUGGUUUAGAAGUAGGCUAGAUCAGGGGUUUGAUUCCCUUGUUAUGUAACAAAUAAACCAGUUUGAAUUGUGGUUAUAAUAAAGCAUAACACAGUAACAAGUAUCCAAUAUGAGCUUACUUGAAUACAGGCGCCAUAAGAAACACCACAUAUACUACAUAACAGCUUCCAACGGUCCUGUUACAGAACAGAUGAUUAGUAAAAGCAGAUAAACCUCACCAUGAAGGCUUCUAGUGAUUUUGUUUCUAUAUUACCAAACAUUGAUGAAACCAAUAUCACAAACAAAUCCUUGGAAACUAAAAAUAAAUAAAAAUAAAAAAUAAAAAAACAAAGAAGCUAAGGAAAACGGAGGGAGUGAAUAACAAACAAAGACGGUGAUAGUGGUGUGCAGGGUGGCCCAAGGGUAAGGCAACCAAAGCAACUACCUUGGGCCUCAACCUGGAGCAGCCUUAUUUACUCAAAAAGUCUAGUAUAAAAUGCUAAAGUAGAAAUAGCUUAGAUAGAGAAUACUUUUGAAAAUGCUCAUAACAUAUUAUUUUAAAGAGAAAUAACUGGGUAAUAUCAGAAUGUCUCAUCAUGUGUUGGGCCUCUUACAAAGUUUUUUCAAUGUCUUACAGAAACAAAGUAAAGGAAAAUGUAAGUUGAGGCCUUAGUUUAAAAAUGAAGGACCCUUUAAAAUUUCGUCAAGGCUUCACUUGUCAUUGGGACGGCACUGGUGGUGUGCAUAUAAAGUAAAAAAGUAAUUACCUUAUUGAUUCUGCUCAAACCAUCAAUAGGUUCCAUUCUCUUGAUAUCAGAUAGGCAAGUUUCUGGAGUAUUUUCAAAGCAUUAAUAGAAAAUAUAAAUACACAUAUGAAUAAACAAAUAUGAAAACUGUUGUGUCAUGAACCUGGUAUCCAUAUGGCACAGGCCAGAUGAGCCCAGCGCCCAUCAGUUGUAGGCUUCAUUGCACCCCCUAGAGAAAUAUCAAUCCACUACCUUAAUAACAGAAAAACCCUGGAAUUUCAAAAAUGGAAUCAUAAUGAUAUCAAACUACCUAUUACAGGACAUAGGCAGCAAGGCGGUGGAGGUUCAGGAGCUCCAGGCCGGCAUAAGUUGCAUAACCAUAGAACACCACCAACAGGUUCUAACUCCCCAUAGCAUCUUGCAUGGACCUGGGAAAACAUAAUUACUUCUGGUGAAAUCAAGAAUCAGCCACAAAUAGCUGGAACACAAGAAUACUGUAAGAACAGUAAAGAGAUAGUAAAGCAGAGAAAUAAGCAUUUCAAAGACCAUAUACCAAGAACCUUGGUUUAAUAAAGUGGGUACUACCUAAACAAAACUAUAUUUAGCCAGCGCAUAUGUUAUGAGUAUGAGAUCCCCAAAUCUGAAAAACUGAAGAAAAUGCUUACCAUCAUUCUGCAUUUGUCACACUGCAGGAACAAGUUAUUUUCAUACUCCUACAAAAUGAAAAGAAAAUUGAGCAACUUGCAGGUAUUACAACACACAAACAUACACUCACACACAACUUGCAGGUUACAAAAUGAAACAAAUAUAAGCAAACAGGAAAAUAAACAGCCAAACAUUGUAUAGAAGCAAAGACAUAGCAUCACUGAUAAAGUUGAUGAAUGUGAAAUAAACAAGAUUUCACCUCAUCCAUGUGGCAAACACUGCAUUUAUCAAGGUCUUUCCAGUCAACACGAACUGGCCUGUAACCAACAGGUACAUCUCGAUGUCUUCUAGAGGCUGACUUGCACUUGUCUACUUUUGAAGCAUGGCUGGAUUUUAAUAACCCCUGCCAAUACCCAGAUGGAUCUUUUAGGAUAGAAAUCGAGCAAGAUAUGCAGAAGCAACAAUUUAUUUAGAAUUUUAAAAUGACUUAUGCUUUACCAAUCAAGAAAUGACAGCCAAGACAAAUAAAGCAAACAACUGGACAUUUACAUACAGGCCUAUGUGUGAAAAUGUUAUAAUUUCUUCUUGUGUUCAACAAUAAUCGUGCAUGUAUCCCACCCACGUGUUGUUGGGACAUGGUACUCCAGCCUGAUUAUAUAUUCUUGUUUUGACACUUUAUUCUGAUCAUCUGAGAAAGUUGCAGAAAACUGAUGCACACAUUCUUACAGAAUACUACAGAAUACAAGAUAAAGUAAAUAUUUAAGAGAACAUAUCAAACUCCUCAACCUUGUCAUUAUUAUUAUCAUCACUCUGUAAUGAGAGUUCAAAUAUAUUACAUUAGCUCAACAGACUAUUUAUGAACAAAAUAAAGAUGUCAAGUUUUGAUUCACAGGAACCCAGAUUAAAUUCCUGUUUUUUUUUCUUCAAAGUUUAAAGAUAUUAUGUAAGGCGGUAGUCACUGAGACCAAGUAUAAUAACUAGGUAAAAAAAAUUUGUUCCACUGCCAAUAAAUUCAGCAUGACAUCCAGAAUGAAUAUAAUGAUUGAUAUAAAAUAGAAACAUUUGAUAUAAUAGUUCUAGAACAUGGAAAAUAUACCACAUCUAACCUAUUGAUGAAUAUAUUACAUCAGAAGAAAUUUAGUGUGAAGGCAAAGCUGAGCUAAGGUACCUGUAUAAGUUUUGCAACUUCAGGUUCUGAGAAACCAAACAUCUCAGAGCCAGAUUUAUAGAUCUUCUCAAAUCCAUCUUCAGCAUUAGCAUUAGAAUCAUCAAGAGCACUAUUUUGAAUUUUCCUUAUCCUUUUGUAUAUUUUAUUCCAGCAAGCGGAUGGUGUCGAUCCCUUGAACUAGAAAGAGAGAGGAAGGGGAAAAUACAUAACAAUACAGAAUUAGCAUAUCUUGAUCUCACAAUAUUUGAAUUCUUGUAUUGUAUAAAUACUGUGUUGCACCAAAAACGGAAUCACAGUACAGAAGUUGAAAUACAUCACAACACAAUAUGUUCAUCUAUUGCAAAAUGUAACGGCAGUUGCUCAUAACUAAAAAGAGGGCUUGCACAUUCCAUCCCACUGAAACAGACUCUGGCUCUGGAUCACGAGUAGUGAAAAUCAUCGGCCAAAAAACACAUUAUUAAAUAAACCCAGCACUGAAACCACACCCCCAUACAGAACAAAUGUAUGGCAGUUUUCGGUUGUUCAAGCCCCCAAUCCCAAAUACUACCUAACAAUCUCUCCCUACUAUAUGGUAUCACCCCGAAGAAGAACAUGCUUAGGACAAUCCAACCUAUAGCCUAAAGAAGAAUUCUUCUUAGGACAACAGAUAACGCAACAAUCAUCUAUAAUUAAACAUGAAUUGAAUGUACAACAUCCUAUUCUGUAUACAAUCAAGUCUUGCUAGCCUUCUGAAAUACAGUAAAAUAGAUUAAAUAAGUAAUAGUAGAGAUAUGAUCAAAGUGCAAGGGAAUCAAAGAAAGAAGUCAUACAAUGUCUAACCACUGAAAAUAAAAAACAGAAAAAACUAACCUGCUCUCCAUUGUCUAAUGAGACUUGGAACAGAGGUCGAAUUUUUGAUUCCGGAUCUCUCAAUACCUCCAUCUUAUACAAGGUACAUAUACUUGGAUCUAAUAUAAAUAUUAAUGACAAAUUAUUACAAGACUGAUGUUAUAAAUAACAAUAAUAGAAGAACAGAAAAGGAAAUCUGAAACAAUAUAUUAUAAUAUCUUGAUCACAUUUCACCUGUUACUGAAGAAAACUUUCUUACAGCAGUAUAACCUUCAGGCCAAACAUCUCUCUCGUCUUGAAAAAAUUUUGAGUCCCUGACAAUCCUUCCUGGAAGAAGAUCAUGUAUGAUGAUAAGUAGAAUAGCAGUCGAAACUCACACAAACAAAUAGGAUAUAUAUCUUCAUAACAAAAUUAAAAAUAAAUAAAAAAUACUUGAACUACCAGAUCUGUAAGGAAAAAUAUCAUUGAAAAAUAAUACUGCUACGUCUGAAUCAAUAAUAUAACCAAUAAAUAAUCAAAUCCAAACGUGGUAUGUUUCCUCCUAAUAAUUUUGUUAUAUUUUUCAUCUUACUAAUCAAGGGUUAUGUGUUGUAUCAUUCCCUCACUGAAUCCCACAGCCAGACCUGAGAUUGAACCUAACACCUAUUACCUAUAUAAGGGGAAGAUGUACCACUAAUACAAAAAUGUCAAUAAUGCAUGAACUUUUACUACAAUUCCUGGCAUAGUGGCAUAUAGGAAUGUGGGAGUAGUACAGAGUACAAUGACUUACCUAGUCUUAUUAUCUGCAGAUCCCCCAUCACUAACACAGAAGUUCCAGGGAAAUCCAGCGACCUUGGAAUCAUGACAUCAUCCAGACAUCCAUCUCCUGAAUCAGUGCGCAUCUCAUCCUCACCACUUUCACUUUCACAAUCAUCAAUGUUAAUUCCUUUUUGCAGUCGUAGCAUUCUUCUUGGAAGCUUUUGUUCACUGAGAUACCUGACAAGAUAUGCCAGUUAUGCUAUAAUUAAAAGGUUCUCAUAUUACAGUGCCAAAUGCAUCAGAAAAUAAACCUCCUGCUAAGCACUGAAUCAUAUAAUGUUUGGAGAAAGCUGAUCGGAAUGAACAAGUAGCCUAAGAAGACAUUGUUGAUUAUGUAAGAAAAAGGAUCAAUUCAGGACAAAACAAAUGAAAAAAAAGUACUUCAGGCAGUUGUAUGAAAUAAGAGGUAGUUAAGGUUAUACCCUCCAAGUCUAUAAAUACCUCGAUAUCUCACAAACAUAUAUCAAACAUCUAAAUAUUUAAAUGACAGGGGAAAAAUUGACUUGUGAAAGGUCACCCUCCAGGUCGAUAUAUGCCAAUGCAUUCCAGCAUGCAGACAUAAAGUCAAACUACAAUAAUCACAAUAUACCUGAGUGACUCACGACUACGUUGAAAAGGAUAAAUGAUGUAUGCAUGGUUAUGAAAUAAAAGCUGAUGCAUGAAACACUCAGAAUAAUUCCAAUUAUAAAUAAAAUGAUAGAGUAUAUCAGAUCCUGUUUCAUCAUUAGCUUAGCUAAAGUGGAAUAGUAUAACUGGCUUUCCAGAAAAUAAGACGCAACCCGCUUUAUCAAUAUGAGAGAAGUGCACUCAAAAAGACCUCCAAGGAUUUGAAAGCAAAUUUCAAGAACACAAUUUUUUCAUGUUGUCAUAUUAAGUAAUGAAUUAUGCACAUGUAAAGACUCAAAAGGAACGCAUUUAUAAAUGACAGAUACAAUGAUUUAGAAAGCAACUUUCAUGUUAAUUUAAUGAAAUUGAACUAUCAUAUUAAGAUUACAUUUUCGCUUCUUCCAGGCUUUUAAGAAAUCGAGACUUCCUGCACUUCAAAUGGAAUGAUGAAAGAAGUCCUUUGAGAAAUGAAAUAGCCUGCUUCACUUUUAUCCUGUAUCAAGUACAACAAAAAAAGGAUUCUGUCAGAUUAGAAGUAUUCUGCAAUUAUUGGGACAUCAGAUGCAUAUAAGCUAGCCCUUAUAUUUCAAUGAAUCUCAAACCUUGCAAAGUCAUGGGUACCAAAGAAUUGAACUGGAACUGAUCCUCCUACCGAAGUUUUACUUAAGCCUUCACGGUCACCAAUAAGUGAUUCAUCUACAACAAUUGCUGGCCACAUAGCAUAGCCUGCACUAGAGCAGUUGAACGUAGUUUUGUUUGAGAAAUCAUAUAAUUGAAUGUGACAGUUGAAGCAAAAUCCUAAAAACUACAUGCAUCACCAUAGUAGAGACUCGUAACAUAUUAAUUGGAAACGUAUCUCUAUGAUUUGAGGAACCUAAUAAGUCUACAAUUUAUAGCCAAAUUAUCAUCAUGGCCGAGGAAAUCAAUCUCAGUUUUACUCCUUAGCAAUACCAUAUAUUGAAUUUGAAUAUAUCUUCAGUAACAAAAAAAAUUGCUGGGUAUAACGGAUUUUAAUAAACAUUUGCAAGCAUCUUGUAUCUUUUCUUUCUUUCUUAUCAACAGAUGAUUCUUAUCCAAAAAAAAAAAAAAAACAAGAAAAAAAAACAAACAAGAAAGGACACUAUUCACUUGGAAAGAGAUUAUGUGAAUUUACAGCCAGUCAACAGAGAUAUGAAUAAUCACAGUGAGUGAAUACUGACUUGGUGUUCAAUACCACCAUGGAGGAAUGCCUAUAUUGUAAUUUAUCUUUAGAAAAGGCAACAAUGUUCUUAAAGAAAGAAAGUACUAUAUGCCCAUGAACAUAGAGCUAAACACUGAAUUGGUAAGAGAUCCUAGAAAGAAUUACAUCUUGAGUUCACUAAUUUUCCGGUAAAAGAAGAGCUUCAGAUGCGAAUACAUUUACAUCUUCAUCUACUUUGUUUCUGUGCCCAUAAGAAACCAAAACAGUAUAUUAAGCACGUACCAGUAAGCUUGGCCCAUAUGAUAUCCCCAGGCUCUAGUUCCUGGCAGUCAUCCAAACUCGCUGCUAAUACGACCAUCUCAUUAUAAUCAUACACAUCACUGUCCAUAUUCUUGAGACUGCAACUCAAAUUCAAACUCUCCAUUUCUUCCCGAGAAAUAUAAAACUUGACUUUCUCGUUUGAAAUAACCAAAUCUUCCUCGUCACCGUCUUCAUAUUCAACCUACAUUGUACAAGUCAAAACAUUAUGACUCCAACAUAGUUCAAGCCCUACACUUUUUACUGCUAUCUGGGGCGUGCUUUGAAACAUAAAACUGAUAGAAACGAAAAGAAUAGAGGGCAUACAUGAUGCUUAUUACUGUCGGAGUUGUAUCCCACAAUGCGACCGCUAUAUGAAUUAGCAUCCAAUGGCCAGUAAACCUGUACUCAACAAGCACAUUAUCAGAAUUCCCUAUAAGCACAGCAAUGCUAUGCUCAGGUUCUCAAGGAAUCAAAAACAAAAUGUCAAAAGAGCUUACAGAGCGCUUGCCUUGCAUUGUAAUCCAAUAAAGGUUUUCGGAUCAACUCCGCUGAAGCUCAACCUGUUGAGAAAUCACACACACAUUACCAACACUUUCCAAGAAUCGAUCAAGACUGUUUUAUGAACUCGAAACCCUAGAAACCGAGACUCACCCGACCCAUCGCUUCACGGAAGGUGGAACUUUCUCGGCUUUGACAGAAGAAUUACGCUUCUUGGAGCUCGAUUUCUCAGGCUUCUGAUUGCUAACGCGACACUCUCUCAACCGCGGCGGAGCGCUCAGUGCAAGCAAGACAUUAGAAUCCACCCCCAAUUUCACUAGCUCGCUACUCCCGAACUUGCUCUCCUUCCUCUUCUUCUUCAAUCUCACAUACUCGUCCUCAUCCACCGCCUCAACCUUGACGGCCUUGGGCUGUGCCCUAGCGACCAGAGCGUCGAAGAACGAGUGGCGCGGCCGCUUCUCGCGGCGCGAAUAGACGAGGACAACCUCGGGCUUGUGCUCCGGCGGCGGCGGAGGAGGAGGAGGAAGCGGCUUGUGGUGGUGGUGGUGAUCGGAGACGUCGUCGGAAUCGAAGUGGUUGAGCUUGCGAGCCUUGACCUUCUUGGACAUGACGUUGGAGGAGCCGCUGGCGCUGACGCAGGGGGAGGUGGCGGAGUAGACGUGGUCGAGGGAGAGGUAGCGGAUGGGCGCGACGGCGGCGGUGUCGACGUCGAUGGGGACGUCGUCGUUUCGCUGCGUGAGGGGAAAUGCCAUAGAAAAAGGAGAGAGCAAAAGUGUCAGAAGGGGGUUUCAACUUUCAAGGCUUUUGCUCUCUCUCUAUCUAUAUAUCAAUUUGGGUUGGGGUUUGGGGGUUGAGGUGGGUUAGGGUUUUAAAAAGGAAAGAGAGGAGAAUUGCAAGAAGAGAUACAGAUCUGGAGAGUGCGCUUUUUGGAGGGAGGGUUUUGCCCCAAUUUAGCAGUUUCCCGCCUGCCUGCAACAAAGAGACUAGAGAUAGAGAGAGAUGGAACCACCCCCCACCGGAACACUCGUGUAUUUUACAUCAAAAUAUCAUCUAUGUUUGCUAACAAAAAAUAAAAUAAAACAUUUUUAUAAAAUGCUUGUUGUUACUUUUUAUAGUAAAUUACAUAUUAGUUACUAACCAAAUUUAAGUUUACAAAUACAUCUUUUACAUAAUAUUUUAUACAUUUAAGGACAAAUAUUAACAAAUUAGGACAAACUAAUAUCCACAUGCCAUCUGUCACUAUAAUUUUACCAGAAUACCCUUCACUACAUAUCAACGACUACUGUUAACGAGUAGCACAGUAGCACAUUGUAGUAGCACCCCCGAUAAAAAGGUGUUAUUGUAAUUUUUUUUAGGCAAUUCUCCGGAAUCAAGCAAAGCUGCUACUGUCGACUCUGAUGCUAGCACGCUGGUACUGCCGACAAUUCUCGAGAAUCAAGCAAAGCUGCUACUAUCGACUCUGAUGCUAGCACGCUGCUACUGCCGACUUUGAUGCUAGCGCGCUGCUACUGCCCACUCUGAUGAUAGCGUUGUUGCUACUGUAUGUAUCACUACUAAUGAACUUUAAAACUGCAUCUACCGCAACAAGCAAUGGUUUAACCCGAUAAACAAACCUCAUUCAGAUCAACAAAUCUUAUUCAUGUCCUCAAAACAAACCUCAUUCAUAUAUGAAAUCACCUACUAAUCAACACAAACCCAAACCAAUCAACCUCAUUUAUAUCACUGCUACUGUGUACAGUAGCACACAGUAGCAGAUAUAAGGGAGCAUAGUAGCAGGACUCUUAGUCAUCCGAUCAUUACGAUUUAAAGGGUGUGGUCACAAAGCACAAAACUUUUACUAGGCACAAUCCUAUCUCCAGAUUUCGUCCCAAAUCACAAUCCCUUCCAACACAUCUUAUAGCAACAGAAGCAACAUACCGUUCCAACUCCCAAUAGACCACAGUAGCAGCCAAUUAUCCUUCAAAUCUCAACAGUAGCAGCAAAUGGACAAACACAUAUACAAGCUCCGAUCUCCAUCAACACUGUCGCAUCCCUCAUGGCCUUCUCUGAUCACCUCGCUGAGGCAGUAGCAGCGGCGUCAGAAUCUUUUCCUCUGUCAAUGGAUUGUGCCAAUCCAAACCGGGCAGUGAGUUUGGAGCUUCUGCAAUGGGACGAUGGCUUUGGCCUUGGAGUCUUUUGAUUCCUUUAUCCUUGAUCUCAUCUUCCAAACCUGCUCCUCUACAUACCAUAACUGCUACUAGAUCAAACCGCGGCCUCCGACGAAGUCUCUGGCCAAUUGUGGUAUGUUCUUCAAGCUUUGCUCCUAGGAGCUCCGAUCUAGAGUUGGAGUCGAGCAUAGAGAGAGAGAGAGAGAGAGAGAGAGAGAGAGACGAGCAGAUCUGGAAAAUAGAUGAGCAAAUAUGGAAAAAAAGACGAUGAGGGGAGAGAGAGGAGAUAUAAGGACGAGAGGGUAUUAUGGUAAUUUAUUAGUGAAAUUCGGAUCAAGCCUGUUAUAACUUGGUUUUGGGCUUGGGUUGGUGUCCUAAUUUGUAUAACAAAUUAUGAAAAAGGGUUUUUUGUGUUUAGAAAUUUGGUUGGUUCCUUAUAUGUUAUUCUCCCUUUUAUAUAUUUUGAAUCGCUCCCUUAAGUUUCAAAACAACAAAUUAACUAUCACAAAUCCAUUAUCAUUUUCUCUAAUAAUCGUUUUGCUUUGCCUUCGUGACUUAUCGUUUCUCUUCUGUCCUGCUAAAUUCUCCUCUUAGGGAAUGUUUUUUAUUUUUUAUUUUGACUAAUAUAUUUUAUUUUCUAACUUUAUGUUUUGCCCUUUUUUUAUUUUAUCAAGCUUUUGUAAACUUAGAUCAAAAGAAGGGCAUUUGAAGGGAUUAUGAAGUUAACCAAAAACAGUUCCAUAAGCUAAAUUGGCUUAAUUAAUAGAGAUGAAUAAUGCUAAAGAGACCAAAAAUUUAUACAAUAACCUCUAUACCAAUGCCACAUCAUGAUCUUAAACCAAUAAAUUCCAACAUGUAAUCUUAUUCUAAAAUAAAAAUCACAAAAUUAAUAAUUCAUCAGAAUGAGUAAGCAUCAGGUUUGGAAUCUGGAUUUCCUUGAGCGAUACCAGAAAAUCUGAUGGGUGCAAGUGCAACUAUGGAUUCUUUCCUCCUAACAAUGGUGUGUGUUCACACAAAAAAAACAAUGGUGCUUGAGACUUCCACAUGACCAAAUUUGAAGUUUGCAUCAUGAUAGCAUCACACCUUUACCAUAAGGUGUUCUUUGGGGCGUUCGUAAGGGUAUAAUUCCCAGCUUUGGUGUCUGAGCAUAAUUGGCAAGAAGCCUUCACGGCCUCACCACUUCCUUGAAUUCAUUAUGUGAGUUCACUCCCAGCAAGAUCAUUUGCAUAACCCAUCUUUGCAAUUUUCACCAACUCAUGAUCCGAAAUCAAAAGCCUUGAAUAAGUAUCUUCACCGUAACAUGAUGAUUAACCAAGAUUGAUAAGAAAUGUAGUUGUUCUGCCAUACGAAUGAUGAUUAGUAUUUUUCUAAUACGCUAGGUUAAUCUCAUGAAGUCUUUCAUUCAUAUAAGAAACUAAUUAUUAUUAAGAUUGUUAUAAACUAAGAAUAUGAUAGAGAUAAUAGAGAGAGAUAGAAUGUGGGAGGAGGAAGAAGUAGCAUCUUAUUAUGUCUUAUAUGCCUCCUUUAUAUAGAGGUAAGGAUUACAUAAUAAAUUCAUAUACUAUUAAGAUAUUGCAUAUAAGUCCUCGGAAGAUGAAUGGACAGAUACUUGAUUGUAAAUAUUUACAACACUCCACAUUGGAUGUCCAUCAAUAAUAUGACUAUUUAAAAACAUUGCAAGGUAAUAAAAACCCUAUGAGAAAAAACAACCAUGGUCAAAGGAGAAAAAGAGUGUAACGCGCAUAUGUCCUAGAUAGCAUACUUCUGGAUACUCCUUUUGAUGAGAUUCUCCCUCUGAUUGUUACAAACUUCAUAUAUCGUAAAUAGCAAUUUGAUUUGUUUAUCACGGAAGUGAGAACUUGUGCGUUUUGCACUCAUCGUAAAAUUUUCGUACCUGCAAAAUGAAAACAAUACCAACAGAACUAUACAACUUUGAAUAGGUCUUACCUCAUUUAGUUAUGUUAGAAACAACCUCACAUGUUCAAAUUCAUACAAUAUGUAAUAACUAAGCAGUAAAAGCUAAUUAACACAUUACUAUGUAUGGUUCAAACCAUUGGAAGAUCAACAUGGCAUAUCUAGCAACUCAUAUCAAUCUCUUUGUUUAUUGAUACAUUUCGUAUAUGCUUUUUAAGAGCUCUAAGCAAUUCAUCGCGAAAGUUAGAAUAUGUAGCAACAUAAUCCGAAUUCGGUUUUGUAGUCUAAUCAUAAUACUCAUUGAGACAAUUUUGAUCACGUUAACUAUAACAUAAUGAGUAUAUAGGAGAGCAUAUCAAUUUUGAUCACGUUAAGUAUAUAUGAGCUAGUUUUAGACUAUCGAUUGCAUGAGUUAACUUUAAUUUAACAACCCAGCAUAACGAGAUAUGCUCGCCUUUGGGCCUCCCCCUCAUGACUUUCUUCUUGGGUUCCAACCCAAGACACGUCUCACUAAUAGGAGUUGUGUUUGCAUGAAUAAGGCACAUUACUUCAUUUCCCUUAGGCGAUGAGAAAUCUCACAUUCAGACUCUCUCAAGUAUUCAUGGAUCAAUUUACGUUCGAAUCAUUCAUGUACUUAGAUCCAUUAAGGAUUUGAUAAGCGAUACGCUUAUAAUGACGCUUUAUUUUUAGGAUUUUAUUUUUAGCAUAGUCUUUUAAGAUCCUUAUAAUAUACGAUGACGACUGUUGUAAGUCUCUCGUCAAUAACUAUAUGUAACACUGUACUUACAGAAAUUUGUCACGUAUAAGAAAAGAUAUUCGUAAUCCCUAUGUCUCUUGUAGACAUUGUACCAUAGUGAUUUAUUUCCACCGUGAUUAAUACCCUUUUAUAUCAUGUAGGGUUAAAAGUCUAAGUAUCUCAUCACGUUUUAUAUAUUCAAUUGUAUUGGAAUUGCCUCUAUCCAAUUUGGCUAAUAAUAUGUUUUGUUGACAUUCAUAAUGAAACGUGGUAUUGCAUCAUACAGUCCUUAAUGGAAAUUGAUUCAAAGAUAAUAACACAAAUAAUAGCAACAACACCAAACAUGUAAAACCUUAAGGGCAAAAGUCAUCUCACCUAAUGAUGUUGAAGUUCCAACUUGAAGAACACAACAAGCUCAUCCCAUUGUUGAAACACAGUUCUAUCAUCCAAGACCUCUAAAACACUCAUGCUACUAAUUCUCGUUUCAUGUCUGAAACGAGGCACCUCCUCUGUUAGCCAAAAAGUCACCCUCAAAUAUAAGGGGAACAAGUAAUAGUAUAUGGAUUAAGAAAGGUUGUCAAACCCACAAGGAUUGGAUUUCUUUCACUAGCUAAGGUGUUAUAACCUCAAGAGAGCUAGAAUGUGCAAAUGUACAAUCACAAACCUAAAUACACAAGGAAAUCUAGGCUCAUGGUGCGUAUGUCCAUUGUGGAAAUAUUUUUGGGUUUUUUGAAGUUGUGAACUAAACUAAAUACUCAAAUGUAAACUAAAUUACUCUAAACUAAACUAAUGGUCUAAUGAAUGGUGUUAGGAUUUGAAUUGUCUACCACUAACCUCUCUUGCAAGUAUUGAUGCAAAUCAAUAUGAAUGAUGCUAAGCUAAUCAACCAAUUUCUCUUCUUGCAUCCCUCUCGGGUAUGACAAGGGACAUGCUCAUUUUGUGGUAUCAAGCAACCCCUCUCGGGUGUAGUCUAGUACUUAACUACUUAAGUCAUGCAUUUCAAUCUGAUUAAGCAUCUAAUGCAUUACCCUAAGUGCAUAAAGUUUGGAGAUGAAGAAACUGUGCAAAUCAACCAAGCUUAUCUCUAAGUGAUUAUAAUUCACAACCCCUAUAUGCACACCUAGUGUGCUUUCAUGCUUUAACAUUCAAAUGUUACAAAGCUCUAAACAUUAACAUGUCAUGGCAAACACACAUACUCAAAGUGGUAAAUUCUAAGCAUAUGCAUUUAACUCUUGAACUAGCAUGUAGGAAUGUUAAUUAAAAUUGCAUUACAUCAUAUUAUAGGAUCAAUUCAUACAAGAUUGGUUAGGGUUUCAACCCUAACCCUAACAAAGUACUACUCACUCAUAAUUACAUAAACAAACUCCAUAAUCAAAUUAAACAUCAAAAUAGAUCUAGAGUUUAAGGGAGAGAGUUGGCUUAGUGGUGUGUUGAUUGAUCCCCAAGCUCACGUCUUGGUGGUGGUGGUGAUGAUGGUGAUUUCCUCUCCUUGCUCUUGAUGAUUUGAUGAUAAGAGAUGGUGAAGCUUGAUCUAUGCUGUGUGUGAAUAGGUGGAAUGGAUGAAGAAAAUGGUAUAGAUAAGAGAAUGGAGAAAUGGUGUAGUGGUGGUGAUGUUAAUGGAGGUUUGGGUAAGAGAUGGUGGUGAUAAUAUAGAUCCUGAUAUGGAUAUAGUUGUGGCUAUGAUAACCAUUUUCAGCGCAUUUGACGCAUGUCCUAACAUUUAGUGACACUUUACAAAGCUCUCUUUGGAUGACAAUAAGAUUAAAAUUGAUUAUAUUAAUCAGUACUAUCAUCUCAAAUUUACCAUUUUUCCUCUGCUGCACUAGAUUAAACAAAAUGUUAUCAUAGCCACUAUACAAAAUCUGUAAAUUUGUCCCUGCUGCAAUAGAUUGAACAAAAUGACUUUAUCAGCUAUACAAAAGAAGCCAAUUUUCCCAACAGUUAAUCUAUCACUACUCCUAAGGUUUCAAACAACCAUAUAAAUGAUGCAGCAAUCUCGUCGUACAUUAGAGCAGCUCCAAAUAUAACCGUCUCUUUGUGGUGAUUUAAUCCAACAAAGACCGCAAAUGGUCGAUUUGCUUCAUUAAGUUUGUAAGUUGUAUCAAAACUUACCACAUCUCCAAAUAUACAAUAAUCCAUUAUCAUUUUAGCAUCGGCCCAAAAAAUGUUAGUGAUUUGGUCCUCACUGUUCAACUGCAUCUCAUAAAAGAACGAUGGAUUUUCUAACAUCUGCUUUGAAAAAUAUUCCAUCAGAUAACUAGCUUCUCCAAAUUUCAUUUUUCUUUGUCGGACAGUUCGAAGAUAGUUCUUUGGGUCUUGCCUUGUAAAUCCCAAUGACUCUUCCACCAGCUUGUUGACCCAUUAAUUCAAAUACAGACUUUUUCGGUACUUCUGAAUUUGCGGUCAAGUCUAUAAAAACAUCAUUUGUAGAUAUUACAUUUCGUUGGGAUGACAACUAUUGCACACAGUCUUGUAUGACAAGAGGAUGGUUAUCCUCUUCAGAGAAAUGGUAAACACAGUACUUUCAUGUAUGCCUAACCAACUUAAUCCCCAUAAUCGCUCCACAUCCAGUCUUUGUCUGUGCUCUUGGAUUUUUUGUCAAAUCGUCUCUCUUAUCUUCUUUCCAAAAACCUUCCGUACAACAUACAAAAGUCCUUGAAGUGAGUACACACACUACGCCAAUAAGUGCAACAAACGACACUUUUCACACAACGGUACACAAUAGCAGAGUUGUACAAAUUUCAAAAAUGUUUCAUACAACGUUCAGAAACAUUCAUCCGUUGUGUGGAUAGUUUGAGAUCAUUCCAGUUUUUUUUCCUUAAACUAGUACAACACUUUAGACAAUAUUUUGUUGUCUGAAUGAAGAUAAAAAUGAGGCCCAUUUUGCUUCUAAACCCACUCUAGUUUGACAUAUAACUGGGUGUUGUUACACAAUAGUGAAACAAAUAAAUGUUGUGUGAAUGUAUACAAUUUAAACUAUCACACAAUACUUUUUAUACAUCUGUUGUACGAUAUAUCUCUCAUGCCAGGUUGCAGAUUUCUAGUUUNNNNNNNNNNNNNNNNNNNNAAAAUUAAGGCUGAGAUAUAGCAGCGGGAAAUCUCCCGCUCUUGCAAUUUAAGGAUGUCAUUUCUCAGACAACUAAAAUUUAGAGUUAUGUUGUAUGAUAUGAAAAACACUUGACUCAAAAACCUAAAAGACUUGACACUUAGAAGAAGAAAAAAAGGUAUCGCUCACACACACUUAAUUUCACACACACACACACUCACCGUUCUUACCUAUCGCCCUUUCUCUCUUCUCUCUUUCUCUCUCGAACUCAACCGCUCUCACCCUCCUCAAUUUCUUCUCAAUCACUCCUCUCAAUUUCUUUCUCUCUCAAACUCAAUCACUCCUCCCUCAAUCGAGACUAAGCCACUGUCACUCAAUUAGGGUUCGUCGAUUUGGGGGUUCAUCCAUUUGGCUCCUCACUCGAUUUCUUCCAAUUUGGUUCGAGGUUUGUACUCUUCUCCUUUCUCCGAUUAGGUUUCUGGGUUGGUUAGUUUAAUUUCUUCCAAUUUGGUUCAAGGUUGGAGUCAGUAGAGGAGGAUGGGCUUGGCGCAGCGGAGGAGGGGGUUGGGGGCCGGACCGUUUGGCGCGAUUUCUGCUUCCCUGGGCAGCUUCCUAAGGGAAGGAUAAGGGAAUACACAGGCUCUACACAGCUUGGUGAGUGGUUCUUCGUUUUGUCAUGUUUUGAGUUUUCUAGUUUCUUCUACCGCUGUCGGCGAUGGUGGUUCAUUUGAAAGACUUGUUAAGAUAAUUCUGAUAUGGCUAAAUGGCAGGGAGGAGCUGAAGGGAAAAAAGAAUCAAAGGUCCAAGUUCAACCUCUGUUCAACUUUAAGGUGGGUAAUUAUCAGUAAAUUUUCAAAGAAAAACUGGAACUCUAACUGAACUUCAAAAAAAUCAUUAGUAAUUGUAAAAAAUUCCUUUUUGUGCGAUUCCAGUUCCAGAUUGAUCUUUAGGUUGUCUUUUACAAUUGUUAUGAAGAGACCAACAUGAAAUUCUUAGCCGAACUAUACUGUUUUUAGCCAAAAAGGUCUGCUGGUCAGAAAGUUAGCAGACAUAUAUACAUUUUCUGAUUUUGGUCCUUUGCUCUUAGUCUCAAUGUUUGCCAAUGAUUCUUGCUUGAUUUGGUAUGAUAUUAUACAGAUGUAGAGAUUAGAUUAUAAAGUACUUAUGCAUGUUAUUUGUUUCUUAAAUUGAAAGUUAGAUUUGGGUUUCUUAAAGUUAGUUGAAAGAUUAGAAUUUAGAACUUUACAUUAGUUUACCUUGUAGUAAUCUAAUGCAGCUGAUGUUCUCUUACAUUUAAAUUGUAAUUUUUGUUUGUUUUCGUCUUUUUGAAACAUUGUUUUGCUUAUGUUCAAUAACUUGAAGUUUUGUGUCACAUAUAGUUUCAGUUUUGCUUUUAGAUACUUUAAAUAAGCUUUUAGCAGAAAAUUUUCAGACAAUCCUGAAACUGUAGCUGAACUUUGGAAAUCCAUAACUAAUUCAAGAAAAAUCAUUUUAAAGUGAUUCCAACUCUCAGAGCUUCUUUAGUAUGUCUACUACAAGUCUUUAGAAGAAAUCAAAGUCAACUUCCAAAUAGUUUUGUACAGUUUUUAGUGUAAAGGUGACUGCUACAGUAUGCUAGUUUGUAUAAUUGUGUUUGAGUGAAAAUCUGUUUAAGUAUCCUAUCUCUUGUUUUAAUUGUGUGACUGUGUAGACAUAUGGUAAGAGAAUGUUUACCUAUACAGACAUGUUUUUGUCUGUAUGUAGCUAAUCAUAGAUUUGUGCUUUGAUUAGGAUUUUGAUGUGC